CACAACCACACCCAGUGCUGACACGUGACUAACAAACCUUCGCUCAUCUACCAAACCCAUGGCCUCAUGCCUUAUAUAUUUCCACAAACCUAGCUCAAUUUUCAUAGCCACCUUCACUAUCCUAUACUCACUAAGCCAUGCCCAUAGAUACAAGCCUCUUGCUUGAGUUUGCUGCAGCAACUCUACUCUUCUUCAUCACCCGCUUCUUCAUUCGUUCUCUCCUUCCCAAACCUUCCCGGAAGCUCCCCCCUGGCCCCAGAGGGUGGCCGCUCCUCGACGCUCUUCCUCUUCUAGGUAACUGAUUCGUCCCUAGCAGCGGAAGUGGCAAUGGCACCAUCUGAUUCGGGGUUCGAUCCCCGGCAACGGCGCCAUUUGACUCAUGCCCAAUUGGUGUCUCAGCUGAUUUAUGUUCAGCUGGUGCUCCUUGAUUGAGGAAGUGAUCAACAAAAUUUAUACCUAUAACACCAUACACUAGGGUAGCAAAUACAAAGCUACUAUAGUAUAGUGGCUCUAGGAUCGUUCACUGGGAAUGAUUUGCAAGCAAUCAAUGAUACCAAUUCCAAGUGAAUUGGUCUUGUUUCAUUUCACAGUUAGCUUAAGGAAUAAAACACAAACUUUGAUUUGUAAAGGUUGAGAUUUAAACUAACUAACUUAACAGAAGUUUGGAAUAAUUUAGGAAGAAAAGCAUUCCUUGGAGAUUUAGGUUCACUGGGGUGGUUCCUCAUGCAAAAGACAUAGCUCCGGUCAGAUGGUUCAUUUCCUCGCAUUAGAGAUUCAACCUAUAGUCAAUUCUCUAACCGGUGAUGUACAGAGACUCCUUCAAUUAGAUUUCACUUUAAUUCUCUCACUGAUACAACUUGCAAUGGUUCAUGCCUCUCACGAGCACUUACCAUUCAAGGUGAUCUUUAACCUUGGAUUCCCCUUCACAAACUCGCAAGAGAUAACUAAUGGAUGUCUCCUAGGAGUCCAAAAGCUUACCAAGUGUUGGUAAUUCCAGAAAAUCCUACCUUGAAGUCACCUACCAGAGGCUCGCAAGGGGUAAACUAGUGCAUUUCCACGGUUGGAAAUCACUUGCCUUACCAAGUGUUGGCCCAGGUGACUCUAAGGUGUUUUAAGUUAACUAAAAACAUUGAAAUCACUAAAGGAUUUCACUUCCUCUUCAUUACUAGCUAAAACCACAGAGCUUUGCAUUCUUGCACUUGGAACCUUCCCCGGCAACCUUAGCUCCAAGGAAUUGGAGGUUUAGUUACUCAUUCUCUGGGGAAAACUCCUCAGAGAAUUCAUAACUUAGAAAUAAAAUGAAAAUACAAAGUGAGAAGGUAAGGCAGUAGAAAGACAAGACUUUACUUGCUUACCAAACGUUUUCAGAAGGAACUCUUCCCUUAGAGAACAGGCUCCCGAGAGGUAUAUAUAUCAACAAAAUAUAAAACUAAUUGUUACAAAGAUAUUUGGUCUUUUUACUAACUUAAAAACUAAGGAAUCAUGUAAUUGGUGGUUUACAAGGAGUAUUUUGGGAUUUAGACAACAAAAAUCUAAUGGAAAAUAUCUCCCAAUGUCGGUAGCAAGCUUCGGGAGGCUUCAGGAGCCAUUUCGCAGGUGAAAAAUGAGGCCUGCGAAAUUUCGCAGACACCCAAGAGGGCUGCGAAAUUAUCUUGCAAGACCGAGCUAUCUUCACUAGGCUGCAAAGUUGGCUUCCAUCUUGAGGUUUCCAGCUCCCUUCUCGCGGCAUGGUUCGUGCAUCGUUAGAAGGAGAAAUACCUUACUGUACAAAAGUGCUGCGAAAUUCUCGCAACACAUGGCUGAUUCCGCAACACUUUAGAGUGUCUGGCUUGUAAUGGCUGCAACUUCUUCGUUUCAAUUCCGAAUCGCACACCGUUUGAAGCAUUGGAGUGUUGACUUCCUGAGCUUUGAAAUGGUAUAUAGCUUGCAUCAUUUGGACUUCAGAAAGUGCUCCAAAAGUGGCUGCUACGACUGUCAUCAAGAAUAUGCUCCAUGACUGAUCCUCUUUGCUUUUUCUCCUUGCAAUCCGGAUUCACUCUUGGCAAUUGAAUUCUAAGCUUUGCCCAAGAUUCCUCAUAGCUCUCCUCAUUCUUGACUUGCUUUGGUGAUCAAAAUACUAUCAAAAACACCAAAACUUACACAAAGUGAUCAAAAUUGCUUUAAAGGAUCCUUAACAUGCCAAUUGAGUUAAAAGGCCUAAACUACUACUCAAAAGUGUUAAAAAGGAUUAAUUAAAAGCUAUCAAAUAACACUUUUUGAGUAGUAAUCACUCCCCCCAACCGACAUAUUGCUAGUCCCUUAGCAAUAUAGGAGAGAAAAAUAAAAAUAAAUAGCAAACUAAUCUAAAAUUUACAACAUCAUGCUAAAGGAAAAUAAUUCUUAAGUGGCAUGAUGAUUUACUUCUCACAUGAAUCAUUAAAGAAAUACAAACCCAAAUCUCAACAAGAGUCAUAACACCUGUGCUAAACACUGUCAAUCAAGGGAGUGCAUUAUGCAAACUGAAGUUUUAAAAUCAUUUCACUUUCUAAGAACUAAACUUCAAUCUUCCACAAAAAUCUAUGUGUAUUGGUUCCUUAGAUUCCGAGAAUAAUAUGCUAAACUAGUCUCACCCCCCAACCUAUCUCUUUUCAACACUUUAGCAAACUGACCAAAAUCAAUAAGAAAAGAACACACUUUCAUCUUUUUUUUUUUUUUUUUUUUUUUUUUUUUUUUUUUUUUUUUUUUUUUUUUUUUCGGGGGACCUUUUGGGGGUACCCUUUCUGACUUGCCCAUGGAAGGGGGGCCCCCCGAUGACCCCCCACCAAUUAAGGUUUAGGGCCCCCCGUUUUAAGGAUUUUUCAACCCCAAACCCCCCGGAUUUUUCCCCAAAUUUUUAAAAAGGAAUUUUUAAACCCCAAGCAUCCACCAAAUGCUAUUUUUUCCUUUUCCCCCUUGGAACGGGGUUUGGGGGCGGGGACCCCCCACCAAUUAAGGGUUAGGGCCCCGGGCUUUAAGGGGUUUCCCCAAAAACCCCCCAAACCUUGCUCGGGUUNNNNNNNNNNNNNNNNNNNNNNNNNNNNNNNNNNNNNNNNNNNNNNNNNNNNNNNNNNNNNNNNNNNNNNNNNNNNNNNNNNNNNNNNNNNNNNNNNNNNUUUCAACCACUAACUCCUCGGAUUUUUCCCCAAACUUUUAAGAAUGAAUUUCUAAUACCCAAGCAUCUACCAUAUGCUAACUUUACCUAUUCACCCUUGUAACGAGCAUUGAGGUCGGUGACUCCCAACCAAUUAAGGCUUAGGGCACCAGGCUUUAAAGGCUUUCACCAUAUACCCCUCAGACCUUGCUCGGGUUUCAAGGCAAGCAAACAACUUUCUUUAUUUCAAAGGCUCAUUGGCCUUUUGCAGGGUGUUCCAAUUUUUAUCAAAUGAGGUCAAAUAUACCAAGUCUCAAAAUUAUCCUAAGUCAAGAGGGAAAUAGCUUUUCAUCUUAUAAUCGGAAACUAAUGUGCACAGUGUGUGGAUAGCUUAAAGUGGAAGAACUAACUUCAAUUACAGUAGAAGUUUCAACAAUUGAACCACUUUAGUAAGCAUAAUCCAUACUCUAAGUCAAGUGAAAAACAACAGUUCAAUUUCUCUUGGUUUAAUUUGAAAAUUUUUCCUCAAAAUUCAUGGAGAAUAGAGUAACAAGAGUAAAAAGUAAAAACUACAACUAAUUAACCAAUAUAAUUGCAAUACCAAAAAGGUUUAGACUACUUCCUUCCUCAUACCCCCCAACCGAACUGAGCAUUGUCCUUAAUGUGAUUUGAGUGACUGUAAUAAAAGGGAGGAAGUGGUACCUCCAUGCUGAUAUCAAAUUCGAAUAUUGAUUGGGGAAAACCACAUGUUUCAAAAAGAAUAGAAUAUGUGAGAAAAGGAAAUAAUAAUAACUUAAUGCUAACUUUUAACAAGAAAAAUUCAACUUGUAUUACUUUGAGUUCAUUUGAUUACAAUGCUAAAGACAAGUAACACAAGGAAUCCCAUAUAUAGUACCAAAAUACUGGGAUUUCUUUUCAACUAAAACAAAACAAGCAUAAAAACAUAAAUAGCAAAUAUAUAUAAUGUCUGAUGAGUGGGGUGAUGGUGCUAAGCAGAAGGAUCUGCCUCCUCUGUAGGUGGAUCAGCUGGGGCUUCUGGCUCUGGAGGAAGAGACUCUGAAGGCUGAGAGUGUGGCUCUGGUGGAGUAGCAGUGGAGGGCUCUACAGCUUGUGGUAGAUCGAAAUGGACUUGAAGCUGCCUUAGGAUGGCAGCUUGUUGAGCCUGAGAGGCUAACAUCUGCUCCUGGCAUGCUUUGAUGGCUGCCAACUCUUGAGCAAAAUUGCUCUGGGACGCUGUAAGAGUCUCCAAUGCUCGGCACAGCUCUCGAUAUUCGGAUAUAGGGAUGGCCAUCCUCGGCUCAGCUGAUGUGGAUGGCUGUGAUGCAGCAGGUGCAGCUGGUGAAGCUCGAGGGAUGGCAGGAGUAGCAAGUGUUAUACCUUCAGGUGCAUGUCUUGGGGAGGCUCUCCUUGCUGCUGGCUGAGGCUGCCCAGGAUGAUCAAUUUUGUAGGCCAUCAUAUUAUUCCAUUUAUCAAGGGUAAAUGGCUCACGACAUAUUCUCUUUCUUUCCUGCUGAGGCUCAGAGGGGUAUCCAAGAUGCUCCAAAACUUGGCAUAGCAGCCGUGGGAAGAGGAGGGGAAUGCAAUCUGCUCUUUAAAGCUUCUUCUUGUGAACCUUCUCCUCAAAGUAGAGAAGGGCUGCCAUGAUCAGAUGAUGAGGCCCAAAGAAGAAUCCUUCUGACAUCUUGUACAAGGCUUCCAGGAGAAUUCCCCUUCUUUGGGUCCAAUGCUGCAGGGGAUAGAUAUUAUGCCUCAAAAAGGCAUCAAUCAAAAACAUCACUAGAGGUAGCUCCCCCCUCAGCAAAUGUGAUCGAUUUGCAGCUCCUCUGGUUAGUGUGCGAACCAUCUCUAACUCAGUAGGAUUUACCCAAGCUUUAAAAUUGUCGAAUUGGGUUGGCUCAAAAGGAAUUUGCAGGGCUUCAGCAAUAUGUCUUGCUCCCAAAAUACCAUGUCUUCCAUCAAUUAUAAAAUGAAUCAAGGUUGGAUUUCUUACUUCUUUGGUUGUCAUGGUCUGGUAGAAGUCCGUGACUACCCGGGGAUAGAAAAAAUCCCUUGGAGCUAGCAGAUACUCCAUAUGAUAUCUCCUCAGCAGCUGGAAGGAUUGGGCAAGCUCUGGCCUCACUCUGAAUGCUGUUAAAUCGAAGCAAAGCUCAGAAUGGAAUGCCCGUGUUCGACAAUCCAAGUUUCCUUCGAUUGGGGGCUGGGGCAGCAUUGGCCUUCGGAUCACUUCUUCCAGAGGUGCUUCAGCUGCAAUUUGGGGCUCUGGAAUUGGCGCUUGAGGCUCCUGAGCUUUUUCUUGGGGUGCCGGAGAUGGUACCGGCGAUGGAAUUGGAGUUGCUUCAGGUGAGGGAAUUGGCGAGGGAACCGGUGACGGCACUGGAGUUUGAACCAGUGAAGGAUUUGGGGACUGCUCAGGGGAUUGCUCAGUCAAAUCAAUUGGUUCAGAGCUCUCAACCCUGGUUUUCUUCUUCAAUGGCUGACCGCCUGACCUUGUUAAAUAUCGCCUUGCCGGCGGCUUUGGUGGCGCCGGCUUCACUGGAGAAGGAUUUGGUCUCGACGGCGAAGGCUUUGGAGCAGGUUCUGGAACAGAACCUGGACUUGGCUCCUUUCGCAGACUCCUUUUGCGAUUCGAAGGGGAUGAAGACUUUGCCCCUUGUGUUCGUGCCAUUUUGGAAUACCGAAACUUUAGCCGGUGCUGCUGAACGGAGAAGACGACCGGAGGUUCGGACGGCGUGGCUUGGCGAAGAAGAUGAAGGGGCUGCGAGAAUGGUGCUCUGAUUUUUGAAACCCUUUUUGCAGCACUUUUGACCGGUAUAAAUAGGAAAAACGGAAGCCCAGGGGUCAGUUUAAGUUUCGCAACAAAACGCCAAUUUUGCAGCAACUUGCCAUUUUCGCAGCAACUUCGCAGUGAGUUUCGCAGCUGCGAAAUUGAUGUCACUGUGCUGCGGAGUGGCACUCGUGUGCCAAAACCACUUUCGCAAUUGCGAAAUGCCCUGCGGAAUGAGACUUUUGGUGCGAAAUCACGCUUUUCCAUUUCGCAAUGAGUUUCGCAGCUGCGAAAUGGGUUCUACUGUACUGCGAAGUGGCACUCGUGUGCCAAAUUCACUUUCGCAGCUGCAAAAUACACUCGCAGAGGCUUCUACAGUGCUGCGGAAUGGUUUGGCAGCAAAAUGCUCAGUUCGCAGAAGUUUCCUUCUCUCUGCGAAAUUUCGCAGAGCUCUGUUUUUCCCCUGUUUCUGCUCUGUUUCGGCUCCAAUUUCGACCCGAUUUUUUUUCUUUUCAAUCCCCUUGAAAUUUCUUCCACCUGGGAUCAUUUUAAACAAUUAAAACACACUUAAAAACAUGAUUUAAGAUCAAAAACUAAGAUCAAAAGUAUGGAAACAACUUAAAAAUUUUACAAAAUUUACAAAAAUUUUGGACUGUGGUUAAGACCACGUCCAGCAAACCCUUUUCACUUAGGCUUUUUGAGGUUCAAGGAGGUUGAUUGCCUCCUUUUCUGAUUUGAAUGACUCCAUGAACGGCUUAAGACGAUAUCCAUUGACUCUAAAGCUAUCCUUGCCAUUGGAAUUCAAUAAGUCCACCACUCCAUUGGAAUAUACUCGGUGAAUAACAAAUGGACCAAUCCACCUUGACUUGAGCUUCCCAGGAAAGAUAUGGAGUCUUGUGUCAUACAUCAAAACUUUUUGCCCUUCCUGAUUCAGUUUGCCCGGAUCCCAUUUGAAGCUUGCAUCCUUCACUUGAGACUUGGUUUGAGAUGAAGAUAUUACGACAGGACAUUGAUUAUUUUCUUCAAGAUAUGUAUAUUUCAGCUCCACAGGUAAAGGCUUCAGAUUGAAUUUUGGAAUUUCUUUUUCAGCGGCUGCCUCCUCUUCUUCAUUGAACAAAGGUAGAAUUUCUUCUAUCUUUCUCCAACUUUGUAGAGUAGCAAGCCCAAUAGGCGAUUCAGAAAAACCUUCCUCAAUAUCCUCAAGAUUUUCAUUCAACUUAUCUUGCAUAUGUUGAUUACAGUGCUCCUCCACCAAAGUAUCAAUUACACAUAACUCUUCUGGACCUUCUUCUUCUUCCGGAGUGAUUUGAUUUUUAGACAUAUAGAAAAUAUUUAGAUCCAGUGUCAUAUUACCAAAAGUGAGUUGCAUAAGCCCAUUUCUACAGUUGAUGAUUGCAUUUGAAGUUGCAAGAAAUGACCUUCCAAGGAUGAUAGGAACUAAAUUAGCUUCCUUUACAGUAGGAUCAGUAUCAAGAACAACAAAAUCUACAGGAUAGUAGAAAUUAUCUACUUGAACCAAUACAUCCUCAAUUACUCCUCUUGGAAUUUUCACUGAUCUAUCUGCCAAAGAUAAAGUGAUUGCUGUUGGCUUCAACUCUCCAAGUCCUAGUUGCUUGUAGACAGAGUAUGGAAGCAAAUUCACACUUGCUCCCAAGUCUAGCAAGGCUUUCUCCACUACCUUUCCUCCAAUCAUGACUGAAAUGGUAGGACUUCCAGGGUCUUUGUACUUCGAAGGAGACUUACACUGUAAGAUUGCACUUACUUGCUCAGUCAAGAAGGCUUUCUUGUUUACAGUCAACCCUCUUUUGAUCGUACACAAGUCCUUUAGGAAUUUUGCAUACGUUGGAACUUGUUUGAUCAUAUCCAGCAGUGGAAUAUUAACUUUCACUUGCCUCAAUACUUCUAGGAUUUCAGCUGCAUUUCUAACCCCCUUUUUCCCAUGUAAUGCUUGAGGAAAAGGUGGAAAAGUUGAUUUCUUCAGCAUUUUUUCCUUCAGAAGCUCUUUCUCUGGAAUUGCUUUCAUUGUUGAAUCAGAGUCCUUCUUCUCUUCGCUGAUCUCACUCUCUUUAUCUUCCAUUUCCUUCCCUUUCUUCAUCUCUUCUUCUUUUUCAACAUGUGGCUUGGGUGUUGGCUGCUCAAUUUUUUUACCACUCCUUAGAGUGAUCAAAGCUUUCACAUCUUUCACCUGUGAUGAUUCUCCCUCAUGGAUUUCCACUUCAUGGACACCUUUGGGAUUUUGGUUAGGUUGAGAAGGAAAUCUUCCUUUUUCUUGCAGUGUAUUCAAAUUUGUAAGCCUGGAAAUUGAAUAUUGGAUGUUAUCAAACUUUUGGUUCAUUUCAUUUUGCAUUCCAUCCAUUCUUUUGUUCAACACACUCUCCAUUCUAUCCAUUCUUUGAUCAACUCGAGCAUUGGUGGCUUCUUGCUUUCCCACAAAAUCUCCCACUACCUUGCUGAGAUUGGCUAUUAUUUGUUCAAUACUUGAAGAUUGCUGAGAUGGUGGAUCCGGCUGUUGGUAUUGAGUUGCUCUGGCCUUCCAUGAGAAAUUUGGAUGAUUCCUCCAACUUGAAUUGUAGGUAUUUCCAUAUGGAGCAUUGUUAUUGGGCCUGAAUUGUCUAACAACAUUUGCUUGAUCUCUAUACAUUUCCCUUUCAACUGAAAUUGCAGGGCACUCCUCUACCAAAUGUUCAAAUGAUUGACAAUUGGGACACAACUUCACUUGCACUGGUGCUUCAGCAACAGCUUGCACUUCAUGCAUUCUUUUCAGCUCCAGCUCCUCCAAUCUUCUUGUCAUAGCUGCCAACUUUGCUUUCAUGUCAUCAUCUUCUUUCAAAUUAUACAUCCCAGCCUUUGCAUUGUAAGCAUUCAACUGAGACUUCAUCUUUCCCACUUCUCCUUUGGUUGGUUCAUCCCAUCCCCUUGAAACAUCAGCUACAUAGUUCAAGAAAUCCAUAGCUUCCUCUGGAUUUUUGCUCAUGAAAUCUCCUCCACACAUUGUCUCGAGGAGUUGCUUCAUUGAGGAUGACAUACCAUCAUAGAAAUAGCUCACCAAUAGCCAUGUAUCAAAGCCAUGGUGAGGACAAGCAUUUAUAGCUUCCAUGUAUCUUUCCCAACACUCAUAGAAUUUCUCAUUCUCUUUAGCUGAGAAGUUUGAAAUUUGCCUUUUCAAGCCAUUUGUUCUAUGAGUAGGAAAAAAUUUCUUAAGGAAUUCAGCUUGUAAAUCAGUCCAAGAGCGGAUACUCCUUGGCCUUAAAGAAUUAAGCCAAAUUUUGGCCUUAUCCUUUAAAGUAAAAGGAAAUAACUUAAGCCUCAUCAAGUCAAUUGAAGCUCCUCCCUCUUGGAAUGUAUUACAAACAUCUUCAAAUUCCUUGAUGUGUGCAUACGGAUUCUCACUUUCCAUCCCAUGGAAAGUUGGUAGAAGUGGAACAAGAUACGGUCUGAUCACUAGCUGCUCUGUAGGGGCACUAUACAUGAUGGUGCACUCAUACGANNNNNNNNNNNNNNNNNNNNNNNNNNNNNNNNNNNNNNNNNNNNNNNNNNNNNNNNNNNNNNNNNNNNNNNNNNNNNNNNNNNNNNNNNNNNNNNNNNNNUAUAGUCAAUUCUUUAACCGGUGAUGUACAGAGACUCCUUCAAUUAGAUUUCACUUUAAUUCUCUCACUGAUACAACUUGCAAUGGUUCAUGCCUCUCACGAGCACUUACCAUUCAAGGUGAUCUUUAACCUUGGAUUCCCCUUCACAAACUCGCAAGAGAUAACUAAUGGAUGUCUCCUAGGAGUCCAAAAGCUUACCAAGUGUUGGUAAUUCCAGAAAAUCCUACCUUGAAGUCACCUACCAGAGGCUCGCAAGGGGUAAACUAGUGCAUUUCCACGGUUGGAAAUCACUUGCCUUACCAAGUGUUGGCCCAGGUGACUCUAAGGUGUUUUAAGUUAACUAAAAACAUUGAAAUCACUAAAGGAUUUCACUUCCUCUUCAUUACUAGCUAAAACCACAGAGCUUUGCAUUCUUGCACUUGGAACCUUCCCCGGCAACCUUAGCUCCAAGGAAUUGGAGGUUUAGUUACUCAUUCUCUGGGGAAAACUCCUCAGAGAAUUCAUAACUUAGAAAUAAAAUGAAAAUACAAAGUGAGAAGGUAAGGCAGUAGAAAGACAAGACUUUACUUGCUUACCAAACGUUUUCAGAAGGAACUCUUCCCUUAGAGAACAGGCUCCCGAGAGGUAUAUAUAUCAACAAAAUAUAAAACUAAUUGUUACAAAGAUAUUUGGUCUUUUUACUAACUUAAAAACUAAGGAAUCAUGUAAUUGGUGGUUUACAAGGAGUAUUUUGGGAUUUAGACAACAAAAAUCUAAUGGAAAAUAUCUCCCAAUGUCGGUAGCAAGCUUCGGGAGGCUUCAGGAGCCAUUUCGCAGGUGAAAAAUGAGGCCUGCGAAAUUUCGCAGACACCCAAGAGGGCUGCGAAAUUAUCUUGCAAGACCGAGCUAUCUUCACUAGGCUGCAAAGUUGGCUUCCAUCUUGAGGUUUCCAGCUCCCUUCUCGCGGCAUGGUUCGUGCAUCGUUAGAAGGAGAAACACCUUACUGUACAAAAGUGCUGCGAAAUUCUCGUAACACAUGGCUGAUUCCGCAACACUUUAGAGUGUCUGGCUUGUAAUGGCUGCAACUUCUUCGUUUCAAUUCCGAAUCGCACACCGUUUGAAGCAUUGGAGUGUUGACUUCCUGAGCUUUGAAAUGGUAUAUAGCUUGCAUCAUUUGGACUUCAGAAAGUACUCCAAAAGUGGCUGCUACGACUGUCAUCAAGAAUAUGCUCCAUGACUGAUCCUCUUUGCUUUUUCUCCUUGCAAUCCGGAUUCACUCUUGGCAAUUGAAUUCUAAGCUUUGCCCAAGAUUCCUCAUAGCUCUCCUCAUUCUUGACUUGCUUUGGCGAUCAAAAUACUAUCAAAAACACCAAAACUUGCACAAAGUGAUCAAAAUUGCUUUAAAGGAUCCUUAACAUGCCAAUUGAGUUAAAAGGCCUAAACUACUACUCAAAAGUGUUAAAAAGGAUUAAUUAAAAGCUAUCAAAUAGCACUUUUUGAGUCAAAUGAGUUCAAGGACAUGGUGGUGGAGCUCAUGACCACUGCUGGGUACUUCAAUAUUGGCGACUUUAUUCCGUCCAUCGCAUGGCUGGACAUCCAAGGGAUCCAGCGCGGGAUGAAGCAUUUACAUAGGAAGUUCGACCGGUUAUUAACAAAGAUGAUGGAGGAGCACACGGCGUCAGCCCAUGAGCGAAAGGGAAACCCAGAUUUUCUGGACGUAAUCAUGGCAAACCAAGAAAAUUCUACAGGGGAGAAGCUCACUAUUACCAACAUUAAAGCACUCCUCCUGGUAUGCAUAGUUAAAGCUCGUCUUCAAUUUUGUUUUCCGAUAUUUUCUUUCCGGAAACAGCACUUUUAUUGCUUUUAGAUAUGUACGUUUUUAUCAGGUAGCCAUUUUAGGGGCACAUCACUAUUCUUUAUUUUUGGACUAUUUUUUUCUUUUUCCACUUGCAUGGUUGUUUUCAUAUGCUCAGCUGCAUGGCACAAGAAAAUUGUGAAAAAUGAUUGGUUCUCUGAUCAGACCUUCUGCACCAAAACACGCUUUUCUCUAUGUUAUAAAAUCGGUUUACAUGAUUUUUCAACCAGCUUCCUUGAACUUGAACUUUUGCUAGGGCUAAUGCAAAAAAUGAUUGAUCUCAAUUUUCAAUAGCGUUUGAUUACAUAAAUUUCAAGUAUGUGAACAUAUUUUUGUUUCCUUGGCUAGAAUUUAUUUACUGCAGGAACAGACACUUCAUCGAGCGUAAUCGAGUGGUCUCUGGCUGAGAUGUUGAAAAACCCGAGCAUCCUCAAGCGUGCUCACGAAGAAAUGGAUCAAGUGAUUGGAAGGAGCCGGCGGCUCGUGGAGUCUGACUUGCCAAAACUUCCAUACCUACAAGCCAUAUGCAAGGAAAGCUUCCGGAAGCACCCAUCCACCCCGUUGAACCUUCCUCGUGUCUCAACCCAAGCAUGUGAAGUGAACGGCUACUACAUCCCAGAGAACACUAGACUUAGCGUGAACAUAUGGGCAAUUGGGCGAGACCCUAAUGUCUGGGAAAGCCCGGAAGAAUUCAGGCCAGAAAGGUUUUUAAGUGGAAGAAAUGAAAAAAUUGACCCUCGUGGAAAUGAUUUUGAGUUGAUCCCGUUUGGGGCUGGACGAAGGAUUUGCGCUGGCACUAGAAUGGGAAUAGUGCUGGUUGAGUACAUUUUAGGGACGUUGGUACAUUCAUUUGACUGGAAAAUGCCGGAUGGAGUUGAGAUCAACAUGGACGAAGCUUUCGGGCUUGCACUGCAGAAGGCAGUUUCUCUUUCGGCCAUGGUGACACCAAGGCUUCACCAGAGUGCGUAUGCAGUCUGAGCUCAAACCGCUCAGACCAAAACCCAGGCCUCGCUGCUAUAUGGCAUGGAUGCAGUUAAGUAGAAAAUAUUUUGGGAUGCCUGUGGCUUAGUAUAAGAUGUAUUAGCUCAAAGAUGGUCGUUUCAUUCUACCACCAAGCCAUAUGCAUCUAUGCAUAAUCUAUUGAUUUAGGCUCGAUUUGGUUAUAGUUUUUGUUUUUUUGUCUUCCAAAUCAGUAAAUAGUAGGGGUAUUUUUGUCCUAUGUAGUGAUUCUUUUUGUUUGAUUGAUUAUAUUUGGAUCCUUCAAAAAUAUAUGGUCAGAGCCAUCUCCAUCUUUUCACUUCUUGUGCUGCAGAAUGGGAUUGGCUUAGAUCGUUAGUCUAAUGUUAACCCCCUUCAAAUCUAAUUAUUCAUACCCAAUUUUGACACGAAAGAGCCAUUGUCAUGAAAGGGGGACCAGGGACCUCAGCACCCUUGGUUCAUCAUUUUGGUACGAUGCCAACUCUACCACAUAACCACCAUUUAGAUAUCUAUCCUUUUAUUUUUGGCAUGUGAACUUAUAGUGGGUGGCUGACCUUGAAUCCAGUAGUUAUCAUGAUAUAUAUGGCUGUGUUGAAACUAACCACCAUUUAGAUAUCUAUCCUUUUAUUUUUGGCAUGUGAACUUAUAGUAAGUCCGAUUUAUGUCCAAGGGUCAAAUUUAAAUCUCUCUUCAAUCUAAUGGCUAAGAACUUCCCAACUUUAUUUAAUACUUAAUGUAUCCAAUAAUUGUAAUCGAGUAAUCCAAUGACAAGUACCUUCAAUGAUUAUUUUGGCAAAAGAAAUAAUAUAAGUUUGUUAUUUUAUGAUAUAAUAAAUUUAUUAAUACUUUCCUUUUUCAAAAUAUGUAAUUAGUUGUAAUUUCAUUAUAUAAUAUAUAAAUUAAGUUAUUUGCAAUUUUAAAAUAUGCUCAUUUUGUAUUUUUUUAAGUGUUAUUUAAAAAUUACACAAUUUUGUUUUAUAAAAAGUAUUUAGUACUUUUAAUUUUAUAAUUUACAAACAUUAAUUUAUACUAUUUUCUUAAAAUAUUUAGUUUAGUAUGCAUAUUAUUAGUUGUUUUCUCAGAUCUCAAGUUCCAAUCAAAAAAAUAUUUAUGAUUUGUUUUUGUUAAUUUGUGUCUUGUUUUCAAUUUAAUUAAUGAAAUUUUAUUUGAUCAAAAAGUUCAUUAUAAACCAAUUUUAAAAAUCUAAUCCUUUAUUAUAUUUUGAUAUGGUUUUGAUAAAAAUGUCUUUAUUAUUAUUAUUUUUUAUAAAAAUAAUUAUUAUUUUUGAAAUAUAUUGUAAAUAUUUAAAAUAAUUAAAAAUAUUUAGAUCAAAAAUCGAUUAUUUUUCAAACAAAAAUAUGAAAGUGAUAAAUUUGCAAAUAUGGGGAAUAUUUAAUCCUUUUAAUCGAUUAUUUCAUUACUGAAGUGGGUAUAAUGAUGAACGCAGACUUGGUUUUGCUAGGGCAUGCAGAGGUUUUGCAAGAGAGAGAGAUCAUUUCUCGACUCUGAGAAAUCAAUCUCCUUUUGGCCCGGUGGUGGACUCCAAGUAAAGCCUUGAAGGAGCCUUGCUAACAUCCCUGCACACCCACGCCUUCCAGUACUGAAGGAAAUGAAGCGAAGGGUUGGCUCGUUCAACUCCACUGCUUGAACUGUACUAGCAUUCUGAUGCCGCUCUGGAUUGAAAUUUAGCGGUUCUUCCCAGAUUCUAGGGUUCCGGCCCAGCCCCAGACGGCUCAGAAGGACAUGACUGCCUUUGGGGAUAAAGUACCUAGCAACACUAGUCGGAUUCCUGAACUCGUCUAUCCUUUCCAACCACUCCAUCAAUUUCUUCACUGCUUUGCUCAAAAUCCCUGGUUGCUUGAUCAUUGCCUACCCAAUUGCAUUUGAUGGACUAUCGACGCCUGCAAGCAUCAACUCCUGCAAAUUAUGGAAGGAUCAUAAUCUGAUGAUUGAUCAAGUUAUUUGCUGGCUAGGAAAUGAUCAUCAUGCAAUGUAGAUCAAAAGGUAAGCACAACGCUACUACAAAAAUAAUUUAUGGUGUCAUUUUUUAAAUAAUGACACCAUAGGGUUUAUAAUUAAUAAAGGUGAUACAUCGUAUAAAAUUUUUUCAAUUGAGGUAGUUAGAUUAUGUUAGUUUUAUAUUUAUAGUGUCAUUUUUUGGGAAGUAACAUCAUAUAAAAUAAAUUUUUUUAAGUAUUAUAACUUAAUGAGCCCACUUGAGCCCACUUUUAUAAUUAAUAAUGGGGGAUAAUGUAUAAAAAGCCCAUUGUUUCCACAUGCCACCCACAAUCCAAAAAAUCUCAGCAUACAAACCUUAUAUAUAAAACCAUAAUCUUCUUCUACCUUUUCUCUUACCUAUAGUCAACACACUUACAACCAACAUUUUCUACUUUGUGGACUCCUGGGUAAUCCAAAUUCUCUUAGAUCUAUCAUAUUUUUUUUUUCCUUUUAUUAAUAUAAUUAUAUUGAUUGUUUCAGCAUCUUUGUAUUAUGGUUUUUGUAAACUGCGUUUUCUUGAGUUGUAGGGAAGAAAAACUUAGGUUUAAACUUCUAGCAUAGACGAAGAAACUUGUAGAUUAAUUGAUUUUUUAAUAUGAACCAAACACAUGACUGACUUCUUAAAAACAAGAAAAAAUGAAUGAUUUUUAAUAUGUAUUUAUGUGAGAAUGACAGGUACAAAAUUUUGUUGAGAUAUACUGCCACAUAAUCUUCAUCCCUUCCCUAAAACAAGAGAGAGAGAAAAAAAAAAAGGAAUGAUUUUUUUUGUGUGUAUCUAAGUGGGAAUGAGAUAUAUAGAAUUUCGUUGAGAUGCCACAUGAUCUUUAUCCUCCAUUAAACCCAACAUAUUAAAUCCACUAACUCUCCCCAAAAACGAGUAAAAAAAAAGGGAAAAAAGUAUGAGUUAAAAAACAAAAACGGAAAAUAUGAUUUUUUUUUUUUUUUAAUGUGUUUCUAAGGAAAAUGAGAGACAAAUUUUUGUUAAGAUGCAUUGCCACGUGUUCUUCAUCCUCUCCAUUAAGCCUAACAUAUUAAACCUAAUAGCUCUCUCUUUUAACUUUCCAGUGAAGUGCCUACAGUAUCCAACUCAAAAUAAGACAACUUAAGCCCCAUUAGCCAACAACCCAUAUUUUGUGUACAUCUUGAUGAGAUUAUUUUGUGAGAAAAUGUCAUGAAACAAUCCCAAUUUGAUAAUCUAGGCAUGUAUUUGAGUUAAAAAUAAAUUUCUAUUCUAUAGAUCAAAUAAUAAAAUCAUGUUUGAAAAUUAUUUUUAAAAACUUAUUUAGAGCAAAAAUAGUUUUCUAACAUAAAAAUAAUUUUUUAACUGAGAAAAUAUAUUUGAAAUUAUUUGAUAGAAAAUUGGGCAUGUAUUUGACUUAAAAACAAAUUUCUAUUCUAUAGCUCAAAUAAUAAAAUCAUGUUUGAAAAUUAUUCUUAAAAGCUUAUUUAGAGCAAAAAUGGUUUUCUAACAUUAAAAUAAUUUUUUAAUUUAGAAAAUAUAUUUGGAAACAUUUGAUAGAAAACUGGGCAUGUAUUUGACUUAAAAAUAAAUUAUUAUUCUAUAGAUCAAAGGAUAAAAUCAUGUUUGAAAAAUAUUCUUAAAAACUUAUUUAGAGUAAAAACAGUUUUCUAACAUAAAAAUAAAUUUUUAACUUAGAAAAUAUAUUUGAAAACAUUUGAUAGAAAACUUUUUUUUUUUUAAUGUCAAUAAGUUGUCUUUUGUUAAUUUAAUUGUAAUCAAUUUGCUUAUACGCAUUUAAAAGUAUAUAUUAUCAUAUUUAGUAAUAUUUUGAUUGUUAGGCAAAUUAUCAUUUUUGAGAGGAAUUUUUGUAGCUCUCAUAAUUAUAAUUGUAUUUUAAUAACCAUUUCCAAUAAAAAAAAAGAAAAAAAAAGUUAGACAAUUAUCAAAAUCUGAUUUUUAGGAUUUAAAAAAAAUCUACAAGCCAAAACUAUCUAUAAUUUUGAUCAUGUGAGAACACUUCUUUUUUAAUACUUUGAAUUAUUUUGUUUUUUUUUUCUUAGUAUCUGAAAGUAUAAAAGAAUUUCUCUUAUUAUAUUAUUAUAUUAUAUAUGUGCAUGUGUGUUCUCAUGGUUGUUUAUGUCAUGUGUUAUUAAAGAAUAAAGUGAAAUUUCCUUUGAGUGGAAGGUUUUAGUCCACGCUAGUGAGUGGACACAGUAUGAAUAGUUUGGGUGGGUUGUAUCUAUGGUAAAAAAAAUAAUAAAAGACACCUUUUGCAAGUCUCCAAGUUGGUUGAGAUACAUGGUAUCAUGUUGACUAAACCUUGACUUUUGCAAGUCUCCUAGUUUCCAACUUUUUUUUUCUUUUUUUUUUAAUAUUAAGGUGUGGGGCCAUGAACUCCUUUCUUUCCUUUUUAAAUAACAAAAAGGAAGACAAUUUUAUUGUGAGAAGGCUAUUGCUAUCAAUUGUGUUCACGUCGAGAUUUUUUUAAUUUAUGGAGGCCAUAUAUAUAUUUAUGUCUAAUUUAGGAUGGUAAUUUGGGUUUGUUUAAUCUAUUCCAUUUAAUCAUACUAUACAAUCAUUUUUUUAUUUGGAUUAUUUUUGUAUUAAAUUUCUUCAACCCAAAUUUUGUUGAAAAGUUACAAUGUAUUAUUAAAAAUAUGACUUGGUAGUUGAUUAUGGAUAUGUGUCAUUUUUAGUAAAAAAAAAAAUCUAUAACAUUUUAUAUUGAUAAUAUAUUAUUCUUGUAACAGGUUCGAAUAGUAAGCAAGUCAUUAUCAAAGAAGUUAUUGAAAGUGUAAGGGUAUGUUUAUUUAUUGCAUGCUCUUAUAUAGUAUCAAUUGUAAGGAAGAUAAAAUUACCUUGUAAAGGUAAUUAAAUCUUUCUAUAUUUUAAAAACUUUUUUCCUAUAUACUAUGCUUUUGAAGCUUGUUUAAUUAAACAUAUUAGUUAUUUGACAAACUUUUCACAAAUGUUUUGCAUGUAUACUUAUGUGUUCUAUUUUGUUCCAUAGUUUUAUUGCAUAAUACUAAUGUAUAUUUUUUCACAAACUUUUUACAACUAUUUUGUGUACUAAUGCAUAUUAAGUUUUGUUCUUGCCUAUAUAAGCUACAUUUAGUUAUUUAAAUAUAUCCAAUAUUAUGUUGAAGAAAGAUGUACUUACUUAACUUUUUUUAUUCUAAAUAUUAACAAGUUUUUCAGUUCUCUUGUCUCGAGAUUGAAUGUCAAAAGAUAGAAGGUCAGUUGAGUAUGAUGAAAGAGUUGAAAACUUUAUCAAUUUUGCAUUAGCACAUUCAAUCAACCAUUCCCCUAUAAAAUGCCCAUGCUUACGUUGUGCAAAUCUGUUAUGUCAAACUCUUCAAGUCAUUACAGAGCAUUUGUUCUUUAAUGGAAUAGAUCUCAGUUAUCGAGUAUGGUAUUGGCAUGGAGAAAAUGGACCCAGUGGAGGAUUUUCAAAUGUCUCACAACAACAUUAUGACAAAUGCAAGUAUAAUGAUGUUGUUGACACAAUAGAUAUGGUUAAUGCUGCACAAGUUAAUUGUAUGAAUGAUCCCUAAGUGUUUGGAAGGUUACUUGAAGACGCAGAAAAACCUUUAUAUCUUGGAUGCAUGAAAUACACAAAGUUGUCAGCAUUGGUAAAACUUUACGACUUAAAAGCACAUUAUGGUUGGUCUAACAAAGGAUUCUCAAAAUUGCUUCAGUUGCUUGGAGAUAUGUUGCCAUUGAAUAAUGAGAUGUCAUUGUCCAUGUAUGAAGCUAAAAAGACUUUCAGUGCACUUGGGGAUGAAUAUAAAAAAAUUCAUGCAUGUUCUAAUGAUUGUAUUUGGUAUAGAAACCAGUAUAAGGAUGCUAUUGCAUGCCUAACUUGUGGAAAGUCAAGGUGGAAGAUAAACAAUGAGGGGAAAAAGAUUAAGAAGGGGCUUCCUUCAAAGGUUUUGUGGUAUUUCCCACCAAUCCCUAGAUUCAAAAGGAUGUUCCAAUCCUCAAAAACCGCUAAACAUCUUAUGUGGCAUGCCAAGGAUAAAGAAUAUGAUGGUAAACUAUGCCACCCAUCAGACUCCUCAGCGUGGAAACUAGUUGACCAUAUGUGGCUUGAUUUUGCUUCUAAACCGAGAACCUUAGACUAGCACUCUCAACAGAUGGUACAAAUCUUCAUAAGUCUAUAAGCAAUAGACAUAGUUGUUGGACUGUUAUACUGAUCAUAUACAACCUUCCUCCUUGGUUGUGCAUGAAAAAGAAGUUUAUGAUGCUAUCAUUAGUGAUCUCAGGACCACGACAACCUAGUAAAAAUAUAGAUGUUUACUUGAGUCCAUUGGUAGAUGACCUUAAAACUUUGUGGGAAAAAAACGUUAAGACUUAUGAUGCACACUUGCUUGAGGUUUUUACUUUAAAGGUCAUCAUUUUAUGGACAAUCAAUUAUUUCCCUACAUAUGGAAACUUGGCCAAUUGCACCGUGAAAGGAUAUUAUGCAUGUCCAAUAUGUGGAGAAGGAACAUAUUCCCAAAGAUUAAAGUAUGGUAGGAAGAACUUGUAUAUGGGUCACCGAUGAUUUCUUCCACGUAACCAUCCCUAUUGGAGACAAAAAAAGGCAUUCAAUGGUGAACAAGAUUUUAGAAUUCCUCCUAAAAUUUUGAGUGGAGAAGAAAUACUUGAAAAAGUUGAUCUCAUUCCUAUUUCUUGGGGAAAAAUGAAGAUAAAAUCUCUUGAACUGAUGUGAACACAAAUUGUUGGAAAAAAAAGUCCAUAUUUUUUGAGUUAGAAUAUUGGAAAUAUCUUCAUAUCCUUCACAACUUGGCAGUUAUGCACAUUGAAAAGAAUGUUUGUGAGAGUAUUAUUGGUACUUUGUUUAACAUCCCAGGAAAAAAAAAAGAUGGACUUAAUGCUCAACUUGACCUAGUUGAAAUGGGUUUAAGGUCUGAACUUUUCCCAAGAGUUGACUUGAAGUGGACCUAUCUUCGUCCUGCAUGUUAUUCACUAUCCAAACAUAUAUGACAAAAAAUUAUUUUGUCAAACAUUGUCUAAUUUGAAGGUCCCUGAGGGGUAUUGCUCAAAUUUUAGAAAUCUUGUCUUCUUAGAGGAAUUGAAGUUAUUUGGUUUAAGAUCCCAUGACUACCAUGCACUUAUGCAACAACUAUUGCUAGUGGCAUUACGUUUUGUUUUGCUAAAGCAUGUGAAAUAUACUAUAUCAAGAUUGUGUAUCUUCUUCAAUCAAUUAUGUACAAAAAUGGUUGAUGUGCCAAAAUUGGAUGAAGUACACAAUGAGUUAGUGGUCACGUUGUGCUUACUUGAAAAGUAUUUUUCACCUUCAUUUUUUGAUAUUAUGCUUCAUCUAGUAGUGCAUUUGAUAAGGGAGGUGUGACUAUGUGGUUCAGUUUACUUUAGGUGGAUCUACCCAUUUGGGAGGUAUAUGAAAGUUCUUAAAGAAUUGUUCGCAAUCAUAAUUGGCCUGAAGGAUGCAUUACUAAGUGCUAUUUAGCAGAAAAAGCUAUCGUAUUUUGUACUGAAUAUUUAUUAGGGACUCAUGCAAUUGGAAUUCCAAAAGCAACAAUUAUGACAACAAAUUUGGUAGACCUAUAAUUGGUGGUCGUUCUACCAUCAUUGAUCGUAAAUCGUGGUUACAAGCACAUCAUUAUCUAUUAGAGAAUACAACUAUCGUCCAACCAUACACUGAGUAAGAAAAACAUACCUUUAUCUUUUUAUAAUUUCAUAACAUAAUGAUGAAAUCCUAAGUUUGCAUUCCUUGUCUUUAACGUCAUAGGGAACACAUGAAUUGGUUGAGGUCUCAAUACCCUCGAAAAUCUAAUAGACAAAUUUGGUUGCAAGAAGAACAUAUGAGUUGUUUUACAUAUUGGCUUAAAGAAAAGGUAAUCUCUUAGUUUUUAGAAAAUUUUUCAAUAUGUUGAAAACAUCACAAGUUUCCAAUAUGUUUUGAUUAUACAUAUGUUGAAGAGGCUAUCCAUAAUGGGCAAGAUAUUCCCGACACACUUAGGUGGUUAGCACAUGGCCCUACUCUCCAAGUAGUCAAAUAUCCUGGAUAUAUCGUUAAUAAGUGUCGUUACCAUAUUAAGAAACGCGAUAUGACAUGCAUCACCCAAAAUAGUGGUGUUAGCAUUUUAGCAAGGACUAUGCAAAUUGCCAGUUCUAAGGAUAAGAACCUAGUUUGUGGUGAACUUUGCUUUUAUGGGGUCAUUAAUGAGAUAUGAAAUCUUGAUUACAACAUGUUCACAAUUCUAAUUUUCAAGUGUGAUUAGGUUGACAACAAGAAUAGUAUAAAAGUUGAUGAACUCAGGUUCACAUUAGUUGACUUCUCCAAAAUAGGUCACAAAUUGGAUCCAUUUAUUUUAGCAUCACAAGCCAAGCAAAUCUUCUAUGUUGAAGAUCAACUUGAUCCUAAAUGGUCAAUAGUUCUCUCAAUUCCUCCAAAAGAUUUCAAGAACAUAGAAGGACUAGAUGACUUCACCGAUAAUUGCAUGGAACAUCACCCCUUUAUAAGUUCAAUGCCAGAAUUUGAAUCAUUUGAUGCUAUGGAUGAAUCAUAGGCAAUACACAUGAGAGAAAACUGUGAGGGCAUAUGGAUUGAAAAUAAUUAAAUAACAUAUUGUACCCUUGAAUGAGAUAUAAUAAGGCAUUUCACUUAUUAGUUUUCAUGAGUUGCACAUUAACUUAGCUUCUAUAUAUUGCUCAUGAUAUAUCUAUAUAUAUUAAUCAUCCUAAAUUUCUUUCAUGCAUCAUAAACAUAUGUUAUUCAAAGGUACCACUUCAAUCUUCAUUCAACUAUCUUUUUGUUGUCCAUAGAACUAGAUUUAUAUUAUUUUUUAUUAUCAUGUUUUGAUUUUAUGCUCACAUAACUUGAAACUCUCUUUCGUAAAUUUCUUUUUCAUUAAAACUAUAAAUCAUAAUUGAAACUAUGCACUAAUUUAUUUUAUUAUUAUCCUCACAAAUAAAUUCUUCAUUAUUGAUAAGAAAUCAAAAAACAAGACAAACUUUGAAAGAAAAUUUCAAAAAAUAUAUUUGUGAAUGACCAAUUUAAUUAUAGAAAAUAUAUGCAAGGCUAUACUAAUCUUGCUUUUGAGUCAUUUUACAGGUUUGUUGGUGAAGUACUAGUUUGCACAUUGACUUGAUAUCUUCCACACAAAUAUGGAUCUAGAAGAAGGGGAAAUGCCAAAAAUAAAGCAUAGAGGUAGUGCAUUGAAACCAAAGAUUGCAAAAAAUCGAAGUAAAGGGAUAAAACUCAAGAUUGAAUACAAUAGCCUUGGUAGUCACAUUGAGGAAAAUUCAGUUAAACUAAGUAGUUAUCUUAGUACAAUAACAAAAACCCAUGUGCCAAUAAUUAUUGAGAGUUGGAGGAAAGUCCCUAAAGAGACUAAGGAGAAGUUGUGGGAUUUGAUCACGGUAAGCCUAUCUAUAGCUUUAAUAUAUAAUUAUUGUAUACAUUCAUUAACAUGAGCUAACAUGGGUUGCUAUUUUGUAGACAAGCUUUAAUGUGAAUAAAAAAUCCAAGAGGAAUUGUUUCAUACUAAUGGGCAUCAGGUUUCGAACCUUUAAGUACAAGUUGACAAAGAAAUAUAUAUUGUCUUUCAAGAAUGACCAAAAAAGCUGAAAAAGUCACCUCCUAUUUGCCCAUUCAUACAAGAGGAUCAUUGGAGACAGUUUGUUAAAGAUAGACUUUUUGAACAUUUUAACGUUAAGCAUUAUUUUUAUUACAUCUUCAAUUUUCACAUUUACGUAGUUUCAUUAUGUACUAAUUUUGUGUCUAUAUUUUGUAGGAAUAUCGCAAAGUUCAGAAAUCAAGAAGAGAUAAACACAUUUACAAUCAUUAUCUUGGAAGAAAAUGAUAUGCACGUUUUGAGCAAGAUAUAGUAAGUUAUCAAUAUCCAUAAAAAAAAAUGGAGUAUAUAUUUUGUUUAUAGGAAAAUGAUUCUAGUUUUUAAAUAUCAUUUAUUAACUUGAUCAUGUUGAACUAAUGAGUUUUAUUGUUAAAAUUUUUAUAGCUACAAGCAGAAGGGGCUAUUGGUAGGGUUGAUAGAAGUGUUUAUGAAAGAAAACACGUGAGAAGAAAGGAAAGUUUAAUAAGAUUACAAAGCCAAUGAUUAACUAAGUUAGCAUAUUUAUGCCUUUUAGAGCCUAUAGUGUUAGUAUGUCUAUGUGAUUAUGGUUUGGGAUGAUAUCGUUAGGUGUUAAUAGGGAAGAGGCUUAAUGCUAUCAUUUUUAUGAGUAGUCAUGUUAUAUUAGUGCAAAUAUAGUAGCCUAAUUUGAAAAUUAAUUUUGAAACAAUAUACAUUAAUUUAUCUAUUAUCAUUUUUAUUAAAACAAUUCAUUUUCUAGCUACCUUGAAUUGGUCCUCUUGAAUUGGUUGUCUUUGAUUGAUAUGUUAAUCAUCAUCUUCAUCAAAUUAUUACUAAUAUAUGUUUUGUUGUAGGAUGAAUUACUAGAAAAGGCAAGGAGACUAGACUACCUCCACCUGGUCCAAAUGACAUAUUAUGUUAGGCAUUGGGUAAGCUUGAUCAUCUAGGACGUGUGGUAGGUCAAGACCGCUUGGUUAGGCCGAACUCAUACUUUCAUCAACCAUUUGAUGACAUGAAAAAAAAAAUCAAAGAAGAAAUAUGGGAAAUGGUGUGAAAGGGGAUGCAAGAUGCUGUAACAAGACAAACUAUGUCUCCUCCCACACCCCAUUCUGAUAUAGGUAGUAAUAACAUGAGACAACAACUUGUUUUACAACUAGUUGUAGCAAAAAAACCAAUGUUUAAAAUGAUGGAAGAGCCCCAACCACCAUAACCACCACUGAAACGUAAGGUAUACAUUUACUUACUAAUAAUACAAGAUUAAUAUAAGUGAUAUAUAGCCUAUGUAAAUGAUAUUAUUUGUUGUAUUAAAGGUGAUUAAAUAUAAAUUAGCAGUGGAAUGAAAAUGAAAUGUUGUUGCAACCGGUACAUUAAUAGAAGAAAAUUGAUCAAAUGGGUUGGUCGUAAUAAAUGUUGCACACAAGCUAGAUGCUAGACUCCCAUUUCCAAAUCCAUAUGAGAUUAUCAAUGUUGGGGAUGCUAUUGGCCUUAAGCUUGACUGGCCAACAAGCCUUGUCAUACUUGAAACUAAACAUCCUCGGGUAUGUCAUUUUAUACUUGUAGUAAAUUUGAUUGUAACUUGGUAUUUUAUUGUUAGGAGUAUAUAUUACUAACAUUCCUUCAUUUUUCAUAGGUGUUGGAUAAAGGAAAGAAGUAGAUAGUGAAUGCACCAAUUAUUCGAAAAUCUAAGCCUCAAAAUUAUUCGGUCAUUAAAAAUUUCCAGAAAUUUAUGGAUGGUUGUCUUAGUAAUGAGAAGACAUACCCAAUACAGCUCCCCAUUUCACUAUUUGGUGUCGAAUUCCGAACAUAUAUAUCUAGAGAGGAUUGUGAAUACAUUAUUUCAUCUUCAGAAGUGUCAUCAAAAUGCAUCUCCUUCCAUUUAUGGUGUGCACCUUUUAUUUUCAUUUGUUUUUAUUUUUUUUAAUAUGAGUUGCCCAUGUUGAACAAGAUUGGAUAUGACUAAUGAUAAUUUUCUUUUGGUGUUUUGAUAAUAUAAUAGGUACAUGCAUGAUCAACUACAUAUUGCCAAAAAGGAAUCACAAUUUAUAUUUGUUAAUCCUUUUACAAUAUCAUGAGCAGGCUUUAGUAAUCCUCAAACAGAGAAAAGAACACAAUUGUUGUCAAAACACUUAAUAGAGUGCCAAGAUGUCGGAUAUGUUUUCAUGCCCUACAACCUCGAGUAAGUGACGAAUAUUAUACUUUAAUUUGAGGUUUUAUGAUUGAUUUAUAUUUCUAAUUAGAUGCUACUUUUGUUUUUAAUGUUUUAGCUUUCAUUGGGUCUUGGUAGUGAUUGAGCCAAGGAAAAUGAUAGUCCACUAUCUUGACCCUGUGCAUCACAAACCAUGUGAGGACUUAAAGGAUAUCGUAAACAUGUAAGUUCUUCCUAUUAUUUUUCAUAGUAUUAUUUAAAAAAAAAUUACAUUCACCUCAAACACAUUUUUUAUUGUUAUUUCUAUAUAUUAAAGAGAUAAUUUUUUAUCCUACAAUGAUUGCUUCAAAGGUAUUACUUAUUUAAUGAAUUGUACAUAUUUUUAGGCUUUCAAAUGUUAUGCAUUUUAAUGUUAUUUUCUUAUUUGAUUUCAGUUUGGUGAUAAAAAAACAUAUUCUCAAGUAGAAUUCAAUGAAAUUAGAGGAGAAUUGACUACUUUUGUGCUACAACUAAUCAUGAAUCAUGUUGAUGCAUCAUGAUCACCAUGCAUGGUGAGUUCCUUAGCUACUACAUGAAUUUUUCCAUAGAUAUUGUAUAGUAUUGCUUUUCUUUGAACAAUGUUUUUAUUUGAAAAAAAGAAAAAAAAAAGUUCUUAGAUUUGUUCAUUUAUGAUAACAUCGAUCCAUAUUUAUUUUCUUCAAUGAAAUAUAUAAAACUCAUUAAACUAUGAAAUGCAGGUAUACACUCUUAGGAGGGUGGAAUAGAGAAUAAAAAGAACAAAGAAGGCAACAAGAUUUUAGGUUUUUAAAUACAGCUCGUAUGUCAUACGUUGUAGGACAUAAACAUUACUUUAAUUGGUAGUGAGAAUUUUAGAUUUUUAGAUGCUACUUUUAUGUCAUUUUAUAGUUAGUCGAUUUUAUGCUUAUGAAAUGAAGGUAUACAUGAAUCUUGGGAUGCUUCACAUUUCUAAAUCAUGUUUUGGUAUGUAUUCCCUCUUCUUUUUUAGUUUUGGUGGGUUUGAUAUGUUGGAUGUACUAUCUUUUUGUGAACAUUUGAUAUACAAAUAUUAUUAGAUGAUCAAUGUAUUACGAGUUAUUCCAUAAGCAUUACCGAAAAAUGAGUUAAAUGUAAUAUGAUUGUUAUAUUUAUGGAAAAAAUAUACACAGGUUAAUCCUAUUUGUUAAUUCAUAAGCAUUACAAAAAUCUACAACUAAAAGCAAUCAUAUCUUCCACGAUAAUUUACAAUGAUGUGACACCAUAACUCAAAGGUGAUGCAUUUAAUGUGACAUCAUAACUCAAAGAUCAUGCAUUUAAUGCGAUAUCCUAUCAUCACUAGAAAUAUAUGAUGUCACUUUCGAAUGCGUCACCAUUUAUCUACUUUGGUGUCACUUACAAAUACGUCACCAAUUGGUACCCUCUAUGGUGUCAGUGGAGAAGGUGACACUAUGUUGUAGUGACACCCUAUGUUUAUGGUGACUCGUUAUAAAUGUCACCAUAUAUUUUUUUUCUUGUAGUGCAAAUUACUUAUCUUACUAUGCAUUGGGCUUUGAUAUUAGCCAGAGACAGUAGUGGCUCCUAAUUUUUAUCCUUAACUGAAAUGAAAACGUCAAGCAGGUCCCCAACCUCUUUUUCUCCAUUCUUCCACUAUUAUACUAUUUGGUCCAUGAUUGGAUCAUGGUACUUGUUAAUGGUGUUCAUAGCCUCCCUUAUAGUCUUUUCAUGGCCAUCUAAAUUUAGCACUCUCUGCCAUGGGAAGUAAUCAGAUAAAGAGAAUACAUAUAGAUGAGCAAGUAUAGUAAAGAAGGAUUCAACAUGUUGCUCCACUUCAACUCCAGGGCCUCCAUCUUUCUUUCGUUGGCCAAAGUAUCUUGUGUUGAGGAUCAUCUUUCAGAUGACAUUCCCGUUGUAUUGACGGACUUUAUUUCUGUCACACCCCAAAUACUAGGCAACCCAGAACUUGACUCGUGGCCCUAGGUCAAAGGUUUGACCCUAAGAGUUACUCUUAUCCAUGUUGGCAAUCAAUCAAAACACCCUAGAUUUUUUUUCUUUUCAAUAAAGCGUUUAAUCCUAAAUAAAUUUAUUAAGCUAAGAUUUACUAUAACAUAUCAUUUUAUUUUUCCAAAACUAACCAUCACAUUAUCUCAUGUUCACAAGUAUUAAAAAAAUAAAAUUCCACCAAUCAUUUUCCUACCCAAAAGCUCAAAUAUUUACAAUAAACUCUAAGUCAAAAAGAAUAUUUCCAAAAUUUUUUUACAAACUAAUAAAAUAUAAUUUAACUUAAAAAAGUCCAUAUAACUCAAAUUAGUAGAUGUCAAAAAGGUAAUUAAAAAAAAACAACAACCAUUAUUAUAGUUUUUUUGCUUUUUAGAACACUUCAUGAUCUUCUUAUGGUCCCUUAGAAACUAUAUCUGCAUCUAAAAAUUUUAGAAAAAAAAGGGAUGCACAUUUCCACGUUACUCUUUAGACCUAAAUGGGUUAGAAAUUCUAGGUCAAUAAAACACAACCAUAUGCCAAAAUAUAAUAUUACAUUUACAUUAUACACACUAAAAGAAACCUCAACCAUACAAAUUUAAAUCAAUCAAAAUUAUCAUUCUCCUGAUUUAAUCAUAUGUUUAGCAUAUCAAUAAUUUUAAAUUUACAAAAUAAAUAAGUCACUUUAGUCUUGAAUAAUAUAUUCAAACAUACACUUGAUAAAUAAUACAAAUCAUUUUUCCAAAUGCAACCAUGAUACAAAUGCUUACACACAAUCACGCAAUGCAAUAUCGUUCUCGGGCUUUCACCGAAGGAUAUGCAUUUAUACCCAAAUAGACUCCCCAUUCGGAUUCUUCCUGGGAUAAAAUUUUGAGUCUUUCACCCUAAGGAUCUCACUCCCUUCUUAACUCACCAUCUCUAGGGUCUUUCAAUUUCUUAUUUUUCUUUUCUUUUCAUUUUUGCCAUUUUUUGGGUCUUUUCAUUCUCAUUUCCAUUUCACACAACCAUUUCUUUAAUUUUUCUUUUUCUUCACACAAUCAUGAUGCAUAUGAAAUGCAACUGAAUCAUAUUUUAACAUCCAUAAUUUUCCAAGACAUAAUUUUAUUUACUCCCAUUAUGUUUCAUAAUUUCCAAUAAUCCACACAACGAUUUUUCUUCACUUUAAUUGUCACAAACAUAAAAGAAAAUUCACAAUUAAUUUGUAUAGCAUCAAAACAUAGUUUUAAACAUUGACCACAUAAAUUCUAUUUAUUCCCGACAUGCUUAAUAAUUUCCAAAUCCAAUAUAACCAUUUUUUUUCAAUUAAAUAAUCACACAUAUCCAAGAAAAUUCUCGCUAAUACAAAUAUCAAUGAAAAUGUAAUUUAUGUCAUAAUUUAUUUGUCUCUAAUAAUUUCAAAAAUUUUGACACCCAUAUGAAAAAUUUCCACAAUUAAGCCACCCCAACAUUUGGGAAAAUUUUUCUAAUCAUUCAAAUAUCAACAAAAACCCAAUUUAUAUCAUCAUUUUUAUUUAUUUUUAAAAGCAUUAAUAAUUUUAAUAAUCAAUACAACACUUUUCCACAAUUAAGCCACCACAACAUUCUGGGAAAAUUUUCCAAUAAUUCAAAUAUUAACAAAACACAAUUAUACCUUAAUUUUUCUUAUCUCCAACAACAUCAAUAAUUCUUAGUACUCAAUACAACUAUUUUUAUUUUUUCAUAUUUAAUCUUCUCAAACAUUACCAAAAUUCCAAGAAAAAUCUAUAAAUCACGAAAUAAAAGUAUUCACAAUAAUAAUCACACUUCAAAUACUACAAAUAACAUCUAUUAUAUUUCAACAACACAAUAUAUAAAUUUUUUUGAAAGAAAAUAUUAAAUCAAAGUUUUAGGGUUAAAUCACCCUACCUUAAAUUUGAAAAAUUUAACCAUUAAAACUAAAACGGGACACCGUAGGAGUAUUCCUCGCAUUGAAUAGAAUAUCCUUCCAAAAUUUCAUGCGAAAUGGACGUCAUUUGGUAGGUCCAUCAACAUCCUAAAGCUAGCGACCCAUUUUUCCCACUCUUUGCCGACGACUCCCCUACAUCUCUCACUCGAUUUCCUUUCUUCAUUUUCUUUUCUUCUUCUUCUUUUAAACUCCCACGCCAAUUUCACUUUAUAUAUAUAUAUGUAUAUAUAUAUAUAUAUAUAUAUAUAUAUAUAUAUAUAUAUAUAUAUAUAUAUAUAUAUAUAUAUAUAUAUAUAUAUAUAUAUAUAUGUAUGUAUGUAUUAUUAAAACAAAUCCUAAAAUACCACGCACAUCCAUUUCUCAAUAAAUUAAAACCAUUAUUCUUAAAUUCACCUUCCAUAAUUAUGAAUUAUACCAAACUUAUGAUUUUCCAUUUCACGAAAAAUACCACUGUAUUCGUAAUUUAAUUUACUACAAGUCUACUCUUCAAAAAGUAUAAUUUGAUUAUAAUUACAUGAAACAUUGUUUUUUUACUCUAAAAUUCAUUCAAAACAUGAUAUAAUUAACUAUUAACAAAAUUCAAUUCCAUAAAAUAUGAAAAACAUAAAAUAAUUUUUUGGCAAUCAAGAAGUUGAAAUUUGUAAUAACCCUUAACCUGUUAAUUUUACCUAUAUUUAUUUACCAACAAAAAUUUAAAUAAUAUUCUAAAAUUUAAUUCCAUAAAUUAAUUAGUCAUUAAAUUUAUAAAAAUCAAAUUCUCUACCCUUUGGUAUAACUUUCAUUUAAUUUACUUCAUUUUUCAAAUUAUUCAAUCGCAUCAAAAUUUCAAAAGUUAAAUUCACUAAAUUCACAUUUAAUUAAUUUAUCCUUUUCUAUUUUUUUUUUCUAAAUUCGCAUAUCAUAAUUUAAUCUUAAUUUAAUUUUGAUUCAAUUUUGUUUUAUGUUUUCUAAUUUUAUGAGGUUUAAUUUCAAUUAUAAAAAUUAAAUUAAAUUUCUUUUUAAUUAUCCAUUAUCACAAUUUGAUAUAAUAUAAUUUUUUAUCAAGUUUUUCUUACUACGAUUUUUCUUAUAAUUAUCCAAUAAUAAUUAAAUUAAUUCUCGUAACAUAUUUAAUAUUCAAAUUUUAAAAACUUAAUCUCAAUUAUUGGAUGGUUAAUUUUUUUCUCAAAAUCUAAAUUUAAUUUAUGAAAUUCUCACUUCUUACAUCUGACGUGGCAAAAUUUUCAAACUAUUGACUUUUGACCAACUUUUCCUAAAUUUAUCCUAAUUAAAUACUAACACAUGGAUUUUCACCACUCUUUUUGACCUUUUGACCCACAAAUUUAUGAAAGACUUUAUGCUUGGAGAAUCUACAAAAACCUGGGUAUUACAAUUUCUCAGGUUGAUAACUGUCGUGGUUACGAAGCCACCACUUGAAUACUCAAUUGCCAUUGUAAUGGGCCUGGAUGCAAAUAGUACAUCAUGUUUCUUCAAAAGUUCUCUGCUAAUCUCUGGGAAAGUCGUAGGGACGAGAUGAAAUAUUUCCCAAUUGAAUACAUGCAAUUUCAGUGUUCAUUUCUUUCAUAAAGCCAAUGUAUCCACCAGAAAGUUGGCUUUUUGUUGAGUAAAUGAGGUAGAUAUUGCACUAGUGGCCCUGGAGCUAAUCCUGGAGGAAGUUGUAUCGGUUUGCUUUUGGUACUUGUUUUGGAUUUUAAUUUAGUGAAGAUGAGAAAGAUUAAUGUGAUAAAAAGCAGUAAGAGGAAGUUGAGAUGAGACAACACAUCGUCUGUGGUAGUAGAAGAAAACAAGGUUGAGUUACUGCUAUUACUCCCUGCAACAAAACCAUUUACAUGUCUUUUAUAGCAAAACCAUGUUUGUCCUAUCUUGGGUCUGGAUGCACAUUUUUAAUAUUGGGGAAAUCAUGCAACCAAAUGUCACACACAAAGAGAGAGAAAAAAAUACGUUUUUUAGAACUUGGAAAGGUAAAGUGGGACAAAAAAUAUUAUCCAUUCUUGAACUCUAAAAGUAAAGUUAUAAAAAGCUUAGUUUUUUUUUUUUUUUGUUAUGUAUGAUUGCAUGAUUUCCCCCUUUUAAGAUUUUAUCUCAUAAAAUUUUUUUCUAGAAAGUUCAAAUAAGUUUGAUGAAUAUUGUUUAUUUUAGUAAUUUUAAUUUUAUGGGGUACUUAAAACAUUAGAAGUUCACAAAAAGCAACAUUUAUCAGCUACCUAUCUAAAAAGCUUGGCCUAAUCAUUGAAAUCCAAAAUAUAAAGUGACAACACACUUUUUAAAGCAAUUUUCAAAAUAGUUUUUAAAAACACAUUUAUUUAUGAUAUUUUUAAAAUAAAAAUCUCAAAAAUAACUUGUUUAUAUAGCGUUUUAUUAGACAAAUACUUGAUCUUUAUAAGAUCACCCUAAUUAUAGAUUUAUGAACAUGUAACACAACAAUUAUCUAUAUAUAUACUUAGAAUUAUUAUAUUUUAAGUUUUUAACUACAUAGGACAUCAUGAGUUUUUCCACCAUUUAUCUUAUAAUAAGUUUAUUUAAAUAUGAUAAAGGAUAUAUUAUCUCAUUUCUUAUUAUAUCCGAUGCUAUAUAUAUAUAUAUAUAUGUAUGUAACAAAUCAAAUACAAUUUAAAGAUUUUAAUUAACCAUCUAUUAGCAACAAAGCAAUCUCUUAAUCUCAUUCAUAAUAUUAGGAUAAUUUAGUAUUUCCUUUUAUAAAACACUAGCAUAUAAAUCAACACAAAUCAUAUUAAGGGUGUAUUUGGUGUUGAUUUUAGGAAGCAUUUUUAGUAUUUCUAAUACUUGAAAGAUAAAAAUUUUCAAGUUUUAGAAAGAUCAAAAGCGCUUUUUAGAAUGACUAUCAAAUACAUGCUAAAUAUUACUUUUGGAUACUUAUAUUUUUAAAUAACUCUUAAAACUUUUAAGGCAAGUCUCUACUAUUUAUAUAAAUCCCCUAUUAUUUUUAAUUUUUAGAAACAAAAAAUAAAGAAUAGAAACUCCAUUUAAACAUCACCUUAUUAUUUCCUAUUAUAAAAUAACACAAAUCAAAUGAAUUAUUUAAAAAUAAAUAAAUAAAAAAUCAAAGUUGAAGAGAAAAAACUCUUGUGCAUUAAAAAAACAUCAAAAUAAAUAAAUAAAUAAAACAUCAUCAAAUAAAUGUAAAAAUAAAUUAAUGUUAUGGAAAAAUGAGAAUAGGCAACAAGAAAAUAAGAACACAGAUUUACAUGAAAAAUGCUAGACGGGAAAAACCAUGGAUAGAGGAGAAGAAAAUCCACUAUAUUAAAAAUUUGGUAUAAAAUGUGAGAGAAUCAAGCGAGUAUUGUAUAGGCAUAAUCACUAUGACCCUAAAUCCUAUACAUCAUUGCAUAUGUAUGGUGUAUGCGAUAAUAAAAAUAUUGUCACAUAAAAUAACUAUGGGAUGUAAUAUUUGUAAUAAUAUUUUUUACAAAAAAAUAUUUUUUCUUUGCUUUAUUCACUUUGAUCACAACUUGAAAUAAGACAAUAAAAAUAUUUUCUUAAUUUUUGAAAAUUAAUUGAGGACUUAGAGCUACUUGUUACUGAGUGAAUUUGCUGAAUGGUGAAGAAUGCGUGUAUAGUAGUUUUGCAAUUUUUCAAACUUAUAGACAUAUUUUGUGAAGUCUUUUUCUCUUUGUAAAGCCCCAUUUUCUAUGUGAAGUUAUUUUUUCAAUAUUCUCUUUGGAAGGAAUUUACCAUUAGUUAUAUAGGUAAGAUUAAGGAAUUAAAUUUGGAAUUCUUAACAUUUGAUUGCUUAAUUCAAAGAAUUUGGUUCAAGGGAAAUUUGCCAACAAAAUAAUAUUUAUUUUUAAUUCUAUGAUGACUUUAAUUAUUUGAUAUAAUUUUAUUUUGAAAGACUUGAUGUGGGGGACUCAUCACUUAUUGAGUCCAAAUUUUGUUGCACCCAAAUUUUUAUGAGCUAAGAAACCAUAAUUUUAAAGACCAAUUCAGUGGUAAGUGAAUCUGCUAAAAUCUUCUAUGUACAAAUGACCUCACUUCAAGGUGCAACACAUACAUGUAUUAUUAUGUGUAUGGGAUGAGUCUUGAAGUUAGUCUUCAUUCUUCUUUGAUUUUUUUCUUCAAAUAAAUAAAUAAAACAUCAUCAAAUAAAUGUAAAAAUAAAAUAUGUAUCGGUUAAUUGGAGAGGAGAGCUUUAAGGGCAUUUCUUCUAUGAAAUUCUAUGCUCCACGUACCAUAAAUUUGUACUCAACCAACAAAAUUACAGAAUGGGUCCAUGCACAAACAAAAUAACCCAAAUGUAAAUAUCUAAAAAUGUAUAAAGUUCACAAUAGAUAUUCAAGCCCAAAUUUAAAUUUCAAAUUAGUCCAACAGAUUUCAUCAAUCAAAAUGGGUCCAAAUUAGCAAAUAUAACCCAACAAAAAUAUCUCAUAUGUCAUAGGCCCUAAUUUAAAAUUUUCAAAUUAAUAGCCAAAAUAUAAGUUCAAUUAAUCAAACCCAAAACAUGAUAAAUUAAAAUAAAUCUCAUUAGGCCUAAACUUAAUAUCCUAUAAUUCAAGCCUAAUUUAAUAUAUAAACCUAAAUCCACAAUCAAAAUCAACCCAAUUUAUGCUAAUCCCGAUUUACAAUCAAAAUCAAACAUAAUUUAAUAAGUAAAUAACUAAAUAAAUUAAGCAAACUCAAAACACCCAAACCACUACAACAUAAAUCAAACAAUAAUAAAUAUAAUGACAAUAAUAAUAAUAAAAAAUAAAAUAAAAUAAAAUAAAAUAAAAAUAAAAAAUUUAACUCAUGUCGGAGCCAGUUUGAAUGUCUUGGGAAAGAAAGAAAAUGAGAGAAAAGUGAGAGAUGAUUGACAACUGACAGUGGCUCAUUGGCGGCGACUGGCUAGUGGUCCUACCGAUGGUAGUGAGGAUUGAUUGGUUUUUGGGAAAAAAAAUAAAAUGAAGAAAAGAAAAUGAGGAGUAAUAAAAAAAAUGGAGAAAUGAGAGGAAGGUGGGAGAAGAAUGGAGAGAGAGAACGUAGAAAAUGAGUGAAAAGAAAUGAGGCUAGUUGGAGGAGGAAGUGAUAGUGUGUGAGCUAAAGUGAAGAAGAAUAGAAGAAGAAAAUGGAGAAGAAUGGGGAAAAAAAAAUCCGCCUCCCUAAAUGAAGAGAGGUGGGUAGCCUAAAGAAGAAGAAAAAAUAAAAUAAAAUAAAAUGGGGAGAAAAUGAGAGGGGGUCAGUGGUCUUGCGAAUGAGGUGGUAUGCGUUAGAGAGAGAGAGUGGGUGGGGUUGUUGGGGAAGGUAUGAGAGAGAGAGGAGAGAGAAAAGAAAAAAGAUAAUAUAAAAUAAUAAUAAUAAUAAUAAUAAUAAUAAUAAUAAUAAUAAUAAUAAAAUAAUAUACAAAAUAAUAAAAACUAAUAAUUAAAUAGUGAGUGGGCAAAAAAUAUCAUAUGAAAUCGGGAUUUAAUUUUAAGAGUAAAAUUGGGUUAAAAAUUAAUGUAAAAUAAAAUUGGGACAAAUUUUGGGGUAUACAAUAAUGCGCGCCUCUUCGAUAGAGUCCACGACUAAAGCAAGUGUAUAUGUGAGCAAAACAAAGUGGGCUCUACUGAAAAACAAGAAAGACCACCAAAUUUGUCUUAAUAUGACAUGAACUCUCCCAAAAAAAAAAAAAAAAAAAAAAAUCUAAAACCCUACAAAAAUGGCUAAAACGGAAAUUCCUAAGGUGCCUCUAAAGUUAUACUAUGGAUCUAGACUCCCUUAGAAAAGCCUCCAAAAAUGGCCCAAAAAUCGGUGUCAAAAUCGAGUAGCAAUCAGACCACUAAGGAGCACAUGAACGAAUGCAUACAAAGGGAAAAAAAACCAUACGUGUACCAUACGAUGACAAAAGGCAUAAGGUAUCCAACAAUAUGACUGAUUCACGUGUUACGAGCUCAAAAAACUUUGUCAUGCACCAUGGAGGAAGGGAAACUCUAGAAUAAUGUGAUGAGGAAGUUAUUAGCACAAUGUAACAGAGUGAGGAAAAAAGUGAUGAGUGCAAAGCUGUGAGGACAAGGUGCACAAUGCUAAUGAAUAUGAAAUGAAUAGCACUAGGCUACAAUGCAAUCAAUAGCUCAGGGUUGUACCAUAAUGAACAAGUCAAGGAUGUGUAAAGAUGAGGAACAACUCAAGGUUGUAAUGCAAUGAACAACUUAGGGCUGUGAAUGCAAUGAACAACUCAGCGCAAUGAAUGAAAUGAAUAGCUCAGGGCUGUGAAUGCAAUGAACAACUCGAGGUUGUGGAUGUAAUGAACAACUCAGGGUUGUGGAUGUCAUGAACAACUCAAGAAUAGGGGCACUGUACACCCAAAAUGGGAGAUCACGGCCUACGAUUCCAAGUCAAACCACUAAAGGGUGACCAAAAUGAGGGUGAUCAACUCACUAAAAAAGAUGAUAAAAAUGUCUUAAGGGAGAGGAGAUGCCCCAUAUGAAACUUAAAGGAAAUGAGUAGUGCUAAUGAAACUAAAAAAAGAAAAAAUGUCACAACUGAAAUUGAAAAAAUAGCAAACUUAGAUUAAAGUGCAAUGAACAACUUUGGGCUGUGGAUGCGAUGAAUAGUACCGUGUUGUAAUGAAAUGAAUAACUCUAAGAUAUGGGCAUUGUACGCCUAAAGAGGGAGAUCGUGGUUUACGACUCCAAGUCAAACCACUAAAGGACAACUAAAAUAAGAUGAUCAACUUACUAUAAAUGAGAAUGCAACUAUCUCGAGAAAAAGGGUAUGCCCCAAAUGACACUCAACAGUAAAAGAAUGACACAAAUGAAACUAAAACAAGAGGAUGCCACAAAUGAAAUUGAAAUGAUAACAGACUCAGUACUAAUGUGUAAUGAACAACUUUGGACUAUGGAUGCAAUGAAUAGCACUGGGUUGUAAUGAAAUGAACAACUCUAAGAUGUGGGCACUAUACCCCUAAGAAAUGAGAUCAUAGUUUACGACUCUAAGUCAAACCGCUAAAGGGCGACUAGAAUAGGAUAAUCAACUCACUAAAAAUGAGGAUGCAACUAUCUCGAGAAAGGGGGUAUGCCCUAAAUGACACUCAACAGUAUAAGAAUGACAUAAAUGAAACUAAAAUAAGAGGAUGCCACAAAUAAAACUAAAAUGAUAACAAAUUCAAAACUAAUGUGCAAUGAAUAACUCUAGGUUGUGGAUGUAAUGAACAACACUGGGCUGUAAUGAAAUGAACAACUCUAAGAUGUGGGCACUAUACGCCUAAAGAGGGAAAUCACGGUCAACGACUCCAAGUCAAACCACUAAAGGGCGAUUAGAAUAGGAUGAUCAACUCACUAAAAAUGAGAAUGCAACUAUCUCGAGAAAAGCGGGAUGCCCUAAAUGACACUCAAUAGUUAAAGAAUGACACAAAUGAAACUAAAAUGAAAUGAUACUACAAAUGAAACUGAAAUGAUAACAAACUGAUAACUAAAGUGCAAUGAACAACUCUAGGCCGUGGAUGUAAUGGACAGCUCAAGAAUAGGGGAACUGUUCGCCCAAAAUGGGAGAUCGUGGUCUACGACUCUAAGUCAAACCACUAAAGGGUGGCUAAAAUCAAAAUGAUCAACUCACUAAAAAUAAGGAUCUGAACAUCUCAAGAAAGGGGUUAUGCCCCAAAUGAAACUGACAAUAGAGGGAUGCCCUAAACAGACUGAAGAAAGGAGGAUGCCCUAAACAAACUAACGAAAAAUGGAUGCCCUAAACAAACUGAAGGAAGUGAAAUGCCCUAAAUAAACUGACCAAAGAAGAAUGCACUAAACAAACUCCGAGAAAAAAAAAAAGAAGUAUGCGAUAUAGAAUAAAAAACACCUAAAGCAAAAACAAGAAACAAAGAAUGUGGUUUACAACUAGAAACACCCAAAAGAACCUUAAAGAAGUGACUGGGAUAAUGAACUUAAUGAAAAUAGGGUAUGCCACAAUAAAAGACUCGGAAGUAUCAGCAAAUGGGUCAAAUGACCAUGAAAUCAAUAGGAGAUAUGAUGAACCCAAAAAGGGCGUAUGCCCCAACAAAAGAACACUAAAAGGGGGGUAUGCCCCGAUAUGACGACUCACAAUAAUUAAGAAAUGGAUCGAGUAAUGAGAAAAUCUGCAAAAUAUCUUAUGAACUCAAAGAUGGGGGUAUGCCCCAGUGUAAAAUAGUGACCAACAUAAGACACAGAAUGUCACCAUACAAUACACUCUGGGAUAUGCUCAAUGACAAUGUAAUGAAAACAAUAGCCUCAAUCAACAAAUGUUCAAGCAAGACCAUGCAUCACAUAAACUAAAAUAAUAGGCUAAAGAAAUGCUAACCAAGUUUCUCAAUCUGAAAUGUAAGCAAGUCAAGACAUGACAUGUCAACCAUCGACAUGAAAACAUCAUCACAAAUACAUCAACAAACUAAUAGUCCCUACUAUCAUGGAAAAUGUAGAACCUAACGUCCAAAGGCAUGUGAAAACUCAACCAGAAAGCUCAAGACUAGUUUGCAUCCUCCUCUAAUAAAAAGAAUGAGAUAAGGUCAUGUAGGAUGAUGAAAUAGGCAAGCUCAAUAUUCGUUAGGCUCUACCAAGAUGGAUGUAGGUAUAAUAGUGUCAAAGGUAGGAUGUCUAGAUGUCCAACGAAGGAAACUGGGUAUCCAAGUCAAACCAAGUAUGUUGAGGAAACUGAACCCAUAGGAUAAUAACUUUAUGAUCCAUUGAAAAUAGCAAUCAUGAAUAGAAGGUCGAGUCUCGAUGUCAAAAUCAACAAGGUGGCAUUGCCCCAGUAUGAAUACAUCUUCUCAAAAUGGGUAAACCCUCAGUGCAAGAUAAUCUCUAGAAAGUAUGUGUCUAAUAUAAACUGUCAUCUCACAAAAUCUAUCACUGAUCAGUGGGCUAUACCCCAGUGUAAGCAUUUCCAAAUCAAACAUCGAUGAGAGGAGUACAACCAAUCAUACACAAUAUGAUCAAAACAAAUCUCCACUCCUCAAAGUCAUCAUGGUAAUGUGAAGAGAGUAUCUAACCUCAUUUAAAGAAAGAUCAUGUCCCAAUGUGAAAAAUAUCAAGCAAAGUGGUAUGUCUCAACAAAAAUGCACUCUAACAUGAUCAUGCCUAGAUGUAAGAUGGUAUCUUUAAGAUUAAUCACCAAUGAAAGGGUUAUGCCCCAGUAUAGGGCAAUCUCUUAAACGACUAAAAUCCACUACAAGCUCUCACAAGUGUCUAUGUCAUGAACCAAUCAUCUCAAAAAAUAAAUAAAUAAAUAAAUAAAUCUAUCAACAAUGAUGAGAAGGUUAUGCUCGUAUAAUCACAUCAAGAAAAUCACCCGGUCAUAUCUUGUAUUCCAAUGUGAAAGGAAAAUAUGAUCACCUCCAAAGAAUGGCUAUGCCCCAAAAUACAUCAUCGAUUGAGAAAUAUGCCCCUACGUAAAGUACAUCAACUGAAAUAUGCCAAUCAUGCCUCAUGCUCCAAUGUGAAAAAUGACGUAUAAUCUUCUUUGAGGGAUGGUCAUGACUCAAAAUCCAUCAUCAGUUGAGAGAAGUAUGCCCCGACAUAAUGGUCAUCUAAAAAAUCAAUCCCCGACUAAGAAAUGUGUGCCUUGAUGUGAUGUAUCAAGCAAAAUGGCUGCAUACCCCAUAAAAAACUCUCUAAGGUGGCUAUGCUCCAAUGUUGGAUCAUACCACAACUCCUGGUCGAUCACAAUCAAAAUGCUCUCCAACCAAUCCCAAGUAUCGCCCACAUGAGAGCUAUCAAACACAAUGUGUGAUGUCAUGGCCUCAAGGUGGUCUUAAGAUUCGGGACGUAACGUAGGCUAGGGUAAUAAGGUGAAGAAAUGAAGGAAAACUAGGCUUAAUAAUCCUAAUGAUAAAACCCCAUACCCUUAUGUAUAAAAUGCAAUAUGUGCAAAGAGUCUCAUAAACCAUGGAUCUAAGGACACCCAAUAUGAAUAUAUCAGUGAGGAAGAAAGAAUCUAAGAUGAAUAUAUCAAUGAUAAAAGAGAAGAAAUGAAGAAUAUCAAACUGUUGAUGGGAUGUAUAAGAAUGAUGUGUGGAAAAUAUUGAACAUGGAAUGUAAAUUGAUAUGAACAAAGAACAAUGUAGGCAAGGCAAAUGCGAUAUCAUGAUAAGAACAAAUAAAUCGAAGAAAAAUGAAUGAACACUAAUCCACUCAAAUCAAGUCAUGGAGAAUAGUCAAAUCACCAACGUAUGUAAUGAUGGAGAAGACAAUGAUUCGAAGUCCCUAGGAAAAUGUCACUUGUUUGUCACACAUAAAAUACAUAACAAGAUAGACACAAAAAUAUGAGAGUCUUUUGAAAGUUCACGUACGAACUUUCAUAAGCAACUAACUCAAUAAAGCAACCUCAAUGACCAAUAUAUACACUCAAUAAAGGAUGACACUGUAUACAUGUGUUUAUUACUUUUUCUUUUUCAUUUUUUUCAUUUUUUUUUUCAUUUUUUUUCUUUUACUCACGCAUACUCUGAAUAUCAAUAAAUGAACUUCUCUAAGAAUACAUAAUGAAAUGGAUAUACUCUCAAACAAUGAUGUAAGCGAACUCUCUCUGACAAGAUGACCCUCUAAAUUAAGGAUUUUCGAACUAACGUCCAUGAGAUAGGAGUGGAAGGGGAUAUGACCAUCCUCCUUGCAUCGAAAUGUGAAAAAUCAUCACUCAGGGCACAAAAAAAUGUGAUGAAAAAAAAUAAAAAAUGAAACAAAAGAUAUAAACAAUGGAGUAUGAUGAAGACUGAUGUUGGGAAGACAAAAAAAUAGUGAAGAAGGUGAGCCAAUAAGUCCACAACUCAUGAAACUCUCGAAUAAAAUAUAUAUACACCAAAAGACCCUUAUCCCAGUAUAAAAUGUGAGCAAGGAUAUAAGAAAGAAAAGACUAUGGUGCUCAUGUGAGGUUCAAAGGGCUAGCAACGGUCCAAAUGUCAAUAAAGGUAAUAGGGUGUGAGCUAACCAAAAUGAAGGCCACCUAUGAUGGUCUGAAACAUCAUGCUCUUAAGCUUUCAAUGAUCAAUACUGAAAAUCGAUGUCCAUUUGAUAUAAACACGUCAACCCUUUGGAAUUGUGCGCCAAACCAUACUCCAAAUGCUCCAUAAUAAUCUCAAAGAUAAUCCUCUCAAAGCACAAUAAAUAGCGAUCUCAUAAGGCACAACUACUCAUCACAAGCCAACUCUCAUCAUGCAAGAUCAAUCUCUAUUUUCAUGGAAAAAUAAGUGACAAUCUCAUCAGGCAAUUGACGAAUCCUCACAUCGUAAACCAACCAAAGAUCAUAAGUCAUUCAUUGCCAUGCAAGAUCAAUCCCAAGCUCAAACUCCUCAUACUCUACCUGGUUGGAUUAGAGAAGAAAUGGGCAAAGCUAGAAAAACUGAAGAUGGAAAGGUCAUAUAAUGGUGUCAAGGGUGAUGUUGUGCAAAACUCACAAUGGAUGGAUGUAGGUCAAAGCAAAGUCAAUGUGUGAGAGUGAGUAAGACACCACUCUGAUCAUAAGAAGAUGAGUCACAAUCUCAAACUCCUAAGGUCAAAUCUCCGAUCCUAGGCUAAUAAGCUCAACAUCCUCCAUGAUAGGUCAACCCCCAAGAUCACAAUGUGCAAAUGAAUAGAUGCCUCAAGUCAAAAGUACAACACAUCAUAUGAUAUAUGGUCCUACGAUGACAAUCUAAAACUGGAAAUAUGUUACAAACUCUAAGGUCAUAAAGGUGUCCACUGUGAGAUGACUACAAAUGUGACUAAGGAAUCUUUAUCAAUAAUCCAAAAAAUGAAUGAGGUGUGAAAAACAACACUAUCAUGAGAUCGAUACCCCAUCAAUAACAAAAUAUCUCUAAUUCACUUUCAAUCUAAGCUCUAUAAAGAAAAACGAUAAGGUUAUAAAGGCAAACCUCUCAAAAAUGGUGUGAAUGUGAAAACAUGUCUUCACCUUUCUAUAAUGAAAAUAUCAUGUUGAAAAUAGAAAUAGGCAAAUCGACCAAAGAAUGAAGUACGGAGCCCAUGACAAGUGAAGAAUGUAAAAAGGUGAACAUGAUCAAUGAACAUAUCCCAAAACAUCAAGCAUAAAGUGGCAACAAACCGAAAGAAUGUGUCAACUUAAGAAAAGAAGACUAUCUGAAGCCCUAGGGAGAAAGUGUGCUAGACUCAAGGAGCGACAAGAAGAAACUAAAACCAUAUAGCAAGGGGUGGUCCAACUGAUACUCAAACUCGUACCAAUAUCUAAGCACUCUCGACUGGAGACCAAAAGAUGGAGUAUUGGAUCCAUAUUGUGACUAAAGUGGCCUCGAAGGCUCUAAGAUGCACCCACGUGUAGGAAAGGAAAUCCUAAUAAAAAUAUCUAAGGCUUAACCUACAAGGUCAAGGCGGCUAUAAAAAGAAAAAUUGAGUGGACUUUAAAGGAUCCCUAGCAAAAGCGAUCAUACCCUCCAAUGGUACGCAACCUCCUACACGUCUUGAAAUAUAUGGGAGUAAUUCCAUGCAAGGUGGUCAUCACCUCCACACAUGCACUAGCUCAUAUCCUAGAGGGUUUCCUAAUGAUGAAGACUCUUACAUCUCUCAACACUUAGUGGUAAUCUAAGGUGCACAGUGAACGGUGUGGGUUCAUCCAAAAAUCAUAUCAAGCUAAACAAAGAGAAAACACAUUGGUCACACAAAUAUCCUGAAAUCUAGCUCUAACCUAUACAAGUCUUCAAAGAUUGGACUCCAAUUAGCAUUAAUGUUUCGACCUUCUCCAGAAUGCUCCCAAACAUAGAUAUAGUCCAUCACUAAACCCUACUCCGAAUCACUAGCUCGGUCGAAGAGCAAACAAAGUAAUAAGUCUCAUAUCAAAUACGAGAUCAAGGGGAACACGGUCACCCGAGACUAGGGAAUUGAAGGUAAGGAGAUAGGUGUGUGUCCCACAUAGAAAAUCAACAUGCAUUACACAGAAGAAGAAUAGUCAUGCAAUAGACAACCAAGCAAAGAACAGGUAUAUCAUUCAUAUCUACACACAAGCUAAACAAGAAAUAGGUAUUUAACAAGAAUAAACAAUAUGUUGAGAUAAACAAGAUAAUAUACAAUAAAGAGAAUCAAUCACACCAAUAUGAAUGAGAUAUACAAAAAUGAGAAUAUACAUGUCAAGGAGAGCAAGAUAAUCAUACAACAAGAAGAGUCUUAUGUUAAAGCAAGCAAGAGAAUCAAUCGAUGUAGUCAACAUGUCAAUAUCGCAAAUGAACAUAACAACCAAAUAUGCAUCAUAAAGAAAAAAUGGUAAUCAUGCAGCACGUAGUCAUACAAAACAAAUAUAGACAAACAUAAGCAAAUAAAUGUAAACACACAUGAUAACAAAAAUCAAUGUAUAGUAAGGCACAUGCAAUAUAUACAUAAAAUAAUCAUCAAGUCAACACUCAUAUACCUUAAAACAUGAAAAUAUACAAUAAAGACACAAUGAGAGGGUAUUCACUGAUCGAUUAAUCAAACGCUACAUUUCCUUUAACUCGAGUUCAAGUUUGAUCCUUUAAAUAUCCCUAGUGGAGUCGCUAUUUUGUGGACCCACAUUUUUCAAAUGCGUCCUUACACAACAGCGAGACUCAUUUUUUUUAUUUGGUGAAAAUUUGAUUUUUAGAAAAAAGACUUUGAGUCGUCACUUAUUUUUGUUUUUUUUUAAGGGAAAACAAAACAAGAAAGAAAACCUUGUGUAACUCCUUAUUUGGGAAAGACAUGUAUGCAAAAACCAAAUCUGGUUUCGGGGGUCAAGUUACCUAUUGGGAAUGUACGAUGGUGAGCUGUAGCACCUCUCUAAGCUCAUAUACGUACAGUCUCUACUAAACGAAUUAAGAGAGUUGUAGUAAUUAAUUAAUUAGUCAAGGAUACCAAGAAAAAGAAUCGCACAAAUGAGUACGUACAAAUCAUGAUAAAAAAAAUCAAAUUAUAAGAAUAGACAAAAUAAAUAACAAGAGAAUUGUGCAAAGUGAUUUAUUAAACUAAAUAAAAAAGAAGAUAUUAAAAAAAUUAGUUUUCAAGAAAUUUCAAAGGAUUUUAUUAAAAUGAUUUUGAAUUAAUGAUUUUAAUUUAUUUAUUUACAAAAAAAAAAGUCAAUUUAUUUUCUUCAAGUGAUUUGAUUCAAUUUUUUUUAAAAAAAAAAGUUAUUUACACUCAUGGUUGUUAAAAGAAUUAUUAACAAAAUUUCAAGUUGACAAUAAAAAUGAUUUUUACUUGCUUUUACUCGAAAACAAUGAAUUUUUACAAUUUUAUUAACAAAAGCAUUUCAAUUUAAGAAAAGUGACUUAAACAAAUUAUUAAAAAAAUAUAACUUUAUCUACAAAAGAAUUUUUAAUUAAAAAGAAAAAAUUUAAAUCAUCUAUUUCUAAAAAUGACUUUUAAUCCCAUUUUAAUUAAGGAAAAUUGAGUUAUUUAAAAAAACAUUUUUUGGACAAUUUGAAUAAAAAUUAAUUUUUGGGACAACUUAUUUACAAAACAAUUUUUGGACAAUUAUUAUUAAAAACAAAAUUUCAAAUUCGAUUAAAAACAAUUUUUUGGAUUUUUCCAAACACAUUUUUAUGAAUUUUUAUUAAUAAAAAACUUUUUUUUAUUAAGAAGAAUAUUUUUUGAGCUAUUAUUUUAUUAAAACAUGUUUAUUGAAUUAUUCUUCUUAUUCAAACAAAAUUUUUAAUUUGUUCGAUAUCCAAUUCUGUACACAACAAGUAAAUAUAUACAAACAAAUAUUUAUAGAAAGCAAUAAAAAUAAAACCAAAUAGAAGUGAGAAAUAAAACAUGUACUUAAACAUGCUUACAACAAGCUCAAUGUCUUCUUACGAUUUUUCGAGUCUCACUUUCUUUCAUUAAAUUUUAUGCUCCACGUACCAUAAAUCCGUACUCAACCAAAAAAAUUGCAGAAUUGGCCCAUGCAAAAACAAAAAUAACACAAAUGUAAAUAUCUAAAAAUGUAUAAAGUUCACAAUAGAUAUUCAAGCCCAAAUUCAAAUUUCAAAUUAGUCCAACAAAUUUCGUCAAUCAAAAUAGGUCUAAAUUAGCAAAUAUAGCCCAACAAAAACAUUUCACAUGUCAUAGGCCUUAAUAUAAAAUUUCCAAGUUAAUAACCAAAAUAUAAGUUCAAUUAAUCAGACCCAAAACAUGAUACAUUAAAAUAAAUCUCAUUAGGCAUAAACUUAAUAUCUCAUAAUUCAAGCCUAAUUUAAUAUAUAAACCUAAAUCCACAAUCAAAAUCAACUCACUUUAUGCUAAUCCCAAUUUACAAUCAAAAUCAAACAUAAUUUAAUAAGUAAAUAACUAAAUAAAUUAAGCAAAAUCAAAACUCUCAAACCACUAUUGCACAAUAUCAAACAAUAAUAAAUAUAAUGACAACAACAAUAAUAAUAAAAUAAAAUAAAAAAAUUUAACUCACGUUGGAGCCAGUUUGAGUGUCGUGGGAAAGAAAGAAAAUGAGAGAAAAGUGGGAGAUGAUCGUUAGCUGGUAGUAGCUCGCCCGCGGCGACUGGUCGAUAGUCCUGCUGGCGGUAGUGAGGAUUGAUGAAUUUUUGGGAAAGGAAAAAAAAAGAGGAGUAAUAAAAAAAUGGAGAAAUGAGAGGAAGGUGGGAUAAGAGGGGAGAGAGAGAAUGAAGAAAAUAGGGGAAAAGAAAUGAGGCCGGCCGGAGGAGGAAGUGGUAGUGUGUGUGAGCUAAAGUGAAGAAGAAUGAAAGAAGAAGAAGGAGAAAAAUGGGAAAGAAGGGGAAAAAAAAUUCGAGCCCUCUAAAUGAAGAAAGGUGAGUAGCUUAAAGAAGAAAAUAAAAUAAAAUAAAAAAAGAAAAAAUGAGGAGAAAAUGAGAGGGCCAGUAGUCUUGGGAAUGGGGUGGUAUAGGUGAGAGAGAGUGGGCGAGGUUGUUGGGGAAGGUAUGGGAGAGAGAGGAGAGAUGAAAGAAAGAGAAAAAAAAAACAUAAUAAUAAUAAUAAUAAUAAUAAUCAUAAAUAAUAUAUAAAAUAAUAAAAAUUAAUAUUUAAAUGAUGAGUGUGUCAAAAAUAUUAUAUGUAAUUGGGAUUUAAUUUUAAGAGUAAAAUUGGACUAAAAAUUAAUGUAAAAAUAAAAUUUGAACAAAUUUUAAAAUCUACAAAUACAUUCUUUAAUCUUUCCACAACAUCAAUCUGAUCUAAAUGAAAUGCAAUAAAUUCUAAAAAUGAUACAAUCUUUAAUCAAUCCACAAUAUCAACCCGAUCAAAACUCAAUGCAAUAUUGCUUAAUGGAGAGAAUCGUAAAAUCCUUUUAUGAGAGGAAAACAAAACCCUUAACAGACCUUUAUGAGAGGAAAAUAGGAAAACAUAGAACUAAAAACCCUUAACGUAUUCAUGAGAAUAAAAAAAAUCCUUAACACCUUAAUAAGAGGAAAACAAAGAAUUUGAACAAUCCUUAAUCCAUCAAAAGCUCUUAAUAUGAACGAGGGGAAAACAUAACCUUUAUUUUUCAUAUCGCUGAAUACAGAAUCUAAAGAGAUAGAAUUUUUAGUUAUUAAGGAUUUUUUAUAGAUGUCUAUUGAAAGUUUAAGAACUUUUAUGGAUAAUUGUUAAUUAAGAGACUGAAAGGGUACUUAGGAUUUUCAACUAAAAAAGUUAUAACAAUAUGAAUAGUAAGAACUUAAAAACAUCACCCAUCCAUCAUAGGAAUAUGGAAUGAGAGGUUAUUUUUUUACUUAUACAACAAUAAACUUUUUUGGAAGAGGUUUUUCUAAGUACAAAAAGUUAUGAAUAAAAAACCAUUGUUACGAUGAGUUAACUAAAAUAGAAUUAAUUUAGAAAAUAUCAAUAAAGUUGCAUGAAUUAUUAUCAUGAGUUAACUUAAUAAGAAUAAAUAGUAAUAAAGUUAAUGAAGUGAAUUUGGAUUGGCAGAUAUAUUUGAUGAUAAGAUUUUUUUAAUAAUAAAAAAUUAUUAUGGCAGGAAAAAUAGGACAAAAUUGACCUUAUGAUAAGAUUUUUUUAAUAAUAAAAACAUUAUUAUGGUAUGAAAAAAAGGGACAAAAUUGGCCUUUCCUUAAUUGUACCGGUUAAUGGAAUAAUGGGACAUGCGGUGGUUACAAGCCACCCCAAAAGGUAGGAAGAAUCUCCAACCCCCAUUCUCGGCUCCCUUAUCUUUUCCCUUACAACCAAAAAUCAACAACUAUCUUAGAAUGUCCUUCAGUCCAUCAAAAUUCAACAACAACAAUUAUACAUUACAAUAAUGAAAACAAAAUUGAUUGAUCACCAGCUAACAUUAGGAGAUUAUAAGAUAAGGAUGUAAUUGCAAUUAUUGAAAUCACUUAAAGAGUAAAAAUUAGGAACAUGCUCACAAUAAAUAAAAUCACCUUAGAAUUAAAAAUUAGGGACAUGAUUAUGAUGAUUAAAAUCACUCGAGAACUAAAAUGUUUUAGAGAUACAAUAAUUGAAAUCAACUGAAAAAUAAAUUCGGGAUGUGAUCGCAAUUAAUGUAUAUAUAAACAACCAAAUGUUGAAAGGAAAAACUAAUGAAAUUAAUAUGAUUUUCUUUUAGAUUUCUCUUGACACCAAACAAAUGUAAGGAAGUUUAUAAAGGAAAAUUAGGUUUUGAUUCACUAAAUUAAAAUAAUAUAGAAAAAAGAUCUUCAAAUUUUAUGUAUCAGUUUUAUUUUUAUUUAUUUAAAAAUAUUUUAAAAUACAUAUAUUUUUUCAUAACUCAAAUAGUCAUUCCUCAAAUGCUAGUUUUACUUGUUAUGUUAAUAACACUAGUUAAUAAUUUUGUAUUGUGAGAACGAUUUAAGAUUAAUAAAAUAAGAAAUUUUUAAAACUAAAAAGACAUUUAAAACUUUAAAAUUAAAAAUAUAAAAAUAAAACAAUAAUUUUUCAUUUAGUAAAACACGCAGUAGAAAAUAUAGAUAUAGAGAAAGAGUUGGAAAUAAAAUAAGAGUUAAUAUUUUAUUUUUAAAAUUUUAUGUUUUUUAUUUUAAUUGUAUUUAAUUUUAUGUAUUUUAGUUGUAAUUAUAUUUUUAAUUUUUAAAUUUUUUUAUUUUAUUGUUGAUGUAAAUUUUUGUUCAAUUAUAUAUAUAUAUAUAUAUUUUAAAUUAGUGAGUAAAAACCCACUUUUUCUAAUUUAUAAUAUAUUUAUGGGAUUUUAUAAUAUAAGCAAUUUUUUUUUUUGAGAAAGAGGAAAAAUCAACUUUUCAAUUUCCCUUAAUAAUUAUUAGUAUUAUUAUCCAAUUUGGCUGAUUAUGAGAUUAGUUGGUAUCAUUACUAUAUCCAUUUGUUCUUAACCCUUCAUUAGAAUAGUAUUAGGAGUUGAACGUCAGUUGGAAUACAGGCUUAUGGAAACAAAUCUAUCCGAUUAGUAGGUUCUUAUUAUUUUCAAUAUAGGCCCCAUAAAAUAAAUAGGAGAUGGGCAGCCCGUCCCUUUGUCUGGAGGCCAUCCUCCCAACUUAUUAAAGGUGAUAUGAGAUAAGAUAGUGACAAAAUUAUCGGUUACUUCCCGACACCUGGCUCUCCACAAGCAAACCCAGUGAUCCAGAAAUUAAUUGGUACCUGGACACGUGACUACCAAACGUUCGCUCACCUACCAUACCCAUGGCCUCAUGCCCCAUAUAUUUCCACAAACCUAGCUCAAUUUUCAUAGCCACCUUCACUAUCCUACACUCACUAAGCCAUGGCCAUAGAUACAAGCCUCUUGAUUGAGCUUGCUGCAGCAACUCUACUCUUCUUCAUCACCCGCUUCUUCAUUCGUUCUCUCCUUCCCAAAUCUUCCUGGAAGCUCCCUCCUGGCCCCAAAGGGUGGCCGCUCGUCGGCGCUCUUCCUCUUCUAGGUAACAUGCCUCAUGUUGCAUUAGCAAAGAUGGCCAAAAGAUACGGGCCUGUCAUGUUCUUGAAAAUGGGCACUAACAGCAUGAUGGUGGCCUCAUAUUAAGGAAAUUAUAUGUUAGUUAUUGUAUGAUUAUCUUGACAUAAUUAGCUGAUUGUAUAGGAGCAUAAUUAGCCUUAUAUUACUGAUUCUGUAGCUAUAAUUUAGGAGAAGAUUAGAUCAAACAUGUGUAUAUAUAUACUACAUUCUAUUAAUGAGAAAAGUAUCCAAUUUGAAGCCAAUCUCUUUAUUCUUGUUAUGGUAUCAGAGCAAGAACAAAAAACCACCAUGGCUGGCAGUCAGAAGGCUUCUGGAUCAGAAAACAAGACCAUCGAUCCUUCACAUCCUCUCUAUAUUCAUCAUUCAGAUCAACCAGGCCAUGUUUUGGUGCCCAUCAAAUUAAAUGGGGUCAACUAUCAAUCAUGGAGCAAAGCAGUUAUUCAUGCCCUUACUGCCAAGAAGAAGAUCGGCUUCGUCGACGGGACAGUUGAAGAACCAUCGCAGGAAGAUGAACCCUUUAUGUUUGAACAGUGGAAUCAAUGCAACAGCAUGAUACUUUCUUGGCUAACUCAUGCUGUUGAAUCGGACAUUGCUGAAGGAAUUAUCCAUGCUAAAAUAGCACGCGAAGUGUGGGUUGAUUUGCGCGACCAGUUUUCUCAAAAGAAUGCUCCAGCGGUUUUUCAAAUAUAGAAAUCAAUCGCCACCAUGUCGCAAGGAACGAUGACAGUAGCUGCAUAUUUUACAAAGAUCAAAGCCUUAUGGGACGAGCUUGAGACAUACCGUUCCCCGCUGACCUGCAACCAACGGCAAGCACAUCUCGAGCAAAGGGAGGAAGACCGUCUUAUGCAAUUUCUAAUGGGUUUGAAUGAGUCAUAUAAGGUAGUGAGAUCCAAUAUUUUGAUGAUGUCGCCAUUGCCCAAUGUCUGUCAAGCAUACUCUUUAAUUGUCCAGGAAGAGAUGCAACGACAAGUUUCUUCUGAGCCAACCGAGAAUUUCUCAAUAGCUGCCGCAGUCCCUGGAAAAGGAGGUAAUCCAAGACAAAAAUUGUGUGACCAUUGUAACAGAUCCGGACAUACCAUAGAUGAAUGUCGGACUCUUAAAUUUCACUGUAAGUUCUGUGAUAAAAGAGGUCACACGGAGGAUAGAUGCCGACUGAAAAAUGGGAGCAAUAACAAAACGGGACAAUUCCGAGGACAAUGUCCUUUUGGUCGUGGGAAUCAGCCCUUAGCAAACGCGACAGAAUCCCAGGAAAUGUCUGAUUCGACUUCUUCUAGUACAGUCCAGGGGUUCACUACAGAACAAAUACAACAGUUGGCUCAAGCAAUUUCAUGCAUUAAAUCACAGUAAUUCCGGUAAUAUUGACGCAUAUGCAAAUGCUGCAGGUUUGAUUCCAUCAACUCUUGUGUCUGUUAAUUCUAGUAGUACAAGUUCUUGGAUUUUGGAUACAGGUGCCACGGAUCACAUCGUUUCCCACAUGUCUCUUUUCACUGAUCUCAAACCUUCUAAUGUCACAACUGUUAAUUUACCAAAUGGUGCAGCAUCACCAAUAACACACACUGGCACCGUUAUUUUUGAUUCCCAAUUGACCCUUAAAGAUGUUUUAUGUGUCCCAUCCUUUAACUUGAAUUUAAUUUCGGCUAGCAAACUCGCAAAAGAUCAGAAUUGCUGCAUCAUAUUCUUUCCUGACUAUUGUAUUUUGCAGGACUUGGUUUCGGGGAAGAUGAUUGGCUCGGGUAAACAGCGUGGUGGUCUAUACUACAUGCAUCCAUCAACAAAUAAAUCGGUUGUCUUUCAUGUUUCUCAACCGUCUGACUUAUGGCAUUUACGCCUGGGUCAUCCCUCUUUUUCUCGUUUUAAAUUAUUAUCACAUUUGCUUCCAGAUAUUCAUAAAGAAUUAGGAAAUCAUUGUCCAAUUUGCCCACAGGCUAAGCAGACACGCUUGCCCUUUCCCAAAAGUUCAAUAACUACAAAAUUUCCUUUUUCUCUUUUACAUUNNNNNNNNNNNNNNNNNNNNNNNNNNNNNNNNNNNNNNNNNNNNNNNNNNNNNNNNNNNNNNNNNNNNNNNNNNNNNNNNNNNNNNNNNNNNNNNNNNNNNNNNNNNNNNNNNNNNNNNNNNNNNNNNNNNNNNNNNNNNNNNNNNNNNNNNNNNNNNNNNNNNNNNNNNNNNNNNNNNNNNNNNNNNNNNNNNNNNNNNNNNNNNNNNNNNNNNNNNNNNNNNNNNNNNNNNNNNNNNNNNNNNNNNNNNNNNNNNNNNNNNNNNNNNNNNNNNNNNNNNNNNNNNNNNNNNNNNNNNNNNNNNNNNNNNNNNNNNNNNNNNNNNNNNNNNNNNNNNNNNNNNNNNNNNNNNNNNNNNNNNNNNNNNNNNNNNNNNNNNNNNNNNNNNNNNNNNNNNNNNNNNNNNNNNNNNNNNNNNNNNNNNNNNNNNNNNNNNNNNNNNNNNNNNNNNNNNNNNNNNNNNNNNNNNNNNNNNNNNNNNNNNNNNNNNNNNNNNNNNNNNNNNNNNNNNNNNNNNNNNNNNNNNNNNNNNNNNNNNNNNNNNNNNNNNNNNNNNNNNNNNNNNNNNNNNNNNNNNNNNNNNNNNNNNNNNNNNNNNNNNNNNNNNNNNNNNNNNNNNNNNNNNNNNNNNNNNNNNNNNNNNNNNNNNNNNNNNNNNNNNNNNNNNNNNNNNNNNNNNNNNNNNNNNNNNNNNNNNNNNNNNNNNNNNNNNNNNNNNNNNNNNNNNNNNNNNNNNNNNNNNNNNNNNNNNNNNNNNNNNNNNNNNNNNNNNNNNNNNNNNNNNNNNNNNNNNNNNNNNNNNNNNNNNNNNNNNNNNNNNNNNNNNNNNNNNNNNNNNNNNNNNNNNNNNNNNNNNNNNNNNNNNNNNNNNNNNNNNNNNNNNNNNNNNNNNNNNNNNNNNNNNNNNNNNNNNNNNNNNNNNNNNNNNNNNNNNNNNNNNNNNNNNNNNNNNNNNNNNNNNNNNNNNNNNNNNNNNNNNNNNNNNNNNNNNNNNNNNNNNNNNNNNNNNNNNNNNNNNNNNNNNNNNNNNNNNNNNNNNNNNNNNNNNNNNNNNNNNNNNNNNNNNNNNNNNNNNNNNNNNNNNNNNNNNNNNNNNNNNNNNNNNNNNNNNNNNNNNNNNNNNNNNNNNNNNNNNNNNNNNNNNNNNNNNNNNNNNNNNNNNNNNNNNNNNNNNNNNNNNNNNNNNNNNNNNNNNNNNNNNNNNNNNNNNNNNNNNNNNNNNNNNNNNNNNNNNNNNNNNNNNNNNNNNNNNNNNNNNNNNNNNNNNNNNNNNNNNNNNNNNNNNNNNNNNNNNNNNNNNNNNNNNNNNNNNNNNNNNNNNNNNNNNNNNNNNNNNNNNNNNNNNNNNNNNNNNNNNNNNNNNNNNNNNNNNNNNNNNNNNNNNNNNNNNNNNNNNNNNNNNNNNNNNNNNNNNNNNNNNNNNNNNNNNNNNNNNNNNNNNNNNNNNNNNNNNNNNNNNNNNNNNNNNNNNNNNNNNNNNNNNNNNNNNNNNNNNNNNNNNNNNNNNNNNNNNNNNNNNNNNNNNNNNNNNNNNNNNNNNNNNNNNNNNNNNNNNNNNNNNNNNNNNNNNNNNNNNNNNNNNNNNNNNNNNNNNNNNNNNNNNNNNNNNNNNNNNNNNNNNNNNNNNNNNNNNNNNNNNNNNNNNNNNNNNNNNNNNNNNNNNNNNNNNNNNNNNNNNNNNNNNNNNNNNNNNNNNNNNNNNNNNNNNNNNNNNNNNNNNNNNNNNNNNNNNNNNNNNNNNNNNNNNNNNNNNNNNNNNNNNNNNNNNNNNNNNNNNNNNNNNNNNNNNNNNNNNNNNNNNNNNNNNNNNNNNNNNNNNNNNNNNNNNNNNNNNNNNNNNNNNNNNNNNNNNNNNNNNNNNNNNNNNNNNNNNNNNNNNNNNNNNNNNNNNNNNNNNNNNNNNNNNNNNNNNNNNNNNNNNNNNNNNNNNNNNNNNNNNNNNNNNNNNNNNNNNNNNNNNNNNNNNNNNNNNNNNNNNNNNNNNNNNNNNNNNNNNNNNNNNNNNNNNNNNNNNNNNNNNNNNNNNNNNNNNNNNNNNNNNNNNNNNNNNNNNNNNNNNNNNNNNNNNNNNNNNNNNNNNNNNNNNNNNNNNNNNNNNNNNNNNNNNNNNNNNNNNNNNNNNNNNNNNNNNNNNNNNNNNNNNNNNNNNNNNNNNNNNNNNNNNNNNNNNNNNNNNNNNNNNNNNNNNNNNNNNNNNNNNNNNNNNNNNNNNNNNNNNNNNNNNNNNNNNNNNNNNNNNNNNNNNNNNNNNNNNNNNNNNNNNNNUUUUCGUUUUUCACCCCAUCACCGUGCUUUUUUAGCUCUUUUGACAGCCCAAACCGAACCUUCAUCCUUUGAACAAGCUGACUGUGAUCCACGUUGGCGCCAAGCCAUGUCCACCGAACUUCAGGCUCUAGAACGAAACAACACUUGGGAGAUGGUCCCUCUUCCUCCGGGACACAAACCCAUUGGCUGCCGCUGGGUGUACAAGAUCAAAUACCAUUCUGACGGAACCAUUGAACGCUAUAAAGCCCGUUUGGUUGCCAAGGGCUACACACAGGUCGCCGGUAUCGACUAUCAGGAAACCUUUUCUCCAACUGCCAAACUCACCACUCUUCGCUGUUUGCUGACUGUCGCAGCUUCCAGAAAUUGGUACAUCCAUCAGCUUGAUGUGCACAACGCAUUCCUUCAUGGCAAUUUACAAGAAGAGGUUUAUAUGACUCCACCUCCUGGUCUUCGCCGAUAGGGGGAGAAUCUGGUAAGUCGGCUUCGCAAAUCUAUUUACGGUUUGAAACAGGCAUCACGCAAUUGGUUCUCAACUUUUACAGCUACUGUUAAGUCUGCGGGUUACAUACAGUCCAAAGCAGAUUAUUCACUUUUUACUAAAUCCCAAGGUAACAAGUUCAUUGCUAUUCUCAUUUAUGUUGAUGAUAUCCUGUUGACUGGUAAUGAUUUGCAUGAAAUCAAGAUGCUCAAGACUCAUCUGCUCAAGCAUUUUUUUAUUAAAGACCUCGGUGAAUUGAAAUAUUUUUUGGGUAUAGAAUUCUCUCGCUCUAAAAAGGGAAUCUUUAUGUCUUAAAGAAAAUAUGCAUUAGAUAUUUUGCAAGACACAGGAUUGACAGGAGUGAAGCCCGAAAAAUUUCCGAUGGAGCAAAACUUGAAAUUGACUGAUGAAGAUGGCGAGUUACUUCAUGAUCCAAGUAGGUAUCGGAGACUGGUUGGCAGAUUAAUAUACUUGACUGUAACCAGGCCUGACAUAGUGUAUUCAGUACGUACACUAAGUCAAUUCAUGAACACACCUCGGAAGCCGCACUGGGAAGCAGCAUUACGAGUCCUCCGAUAUAUUAAAGGGUCACCAGGUCAAGGUCUUUUUCUUCCAUCUGAAAAUAAUUUAACACUCAGCGCAUUUUGCGAUUCAGAUUGGGGAGGAUGUCGUAUGUCAAGACGUUCCGUUUCUGGUUAUUGUGUUUUCCUCGGAUCAUCACUCAUCUCUUGGAAAUAAAAAAAACAAACGAAUGUUUCACGUUCGUCAGCAGAAGCAGAGUACAGAGCAAUGGCGAAUACUUGCCUGGAAUUGACUUGGUUGAGGUACAUACUUAAAGAUUUGAAGGUUGAAUUGGACAAACCAGCACCAUUGUUUUGUGAUAAUCAAGCAGCUGUAUAUAUUGCAGCUAACCCAGUUUUUCACGAAUGUACUAAACACAUUGAGAUUGAUUGUCAUAUAGUUCGAGAAAAACUUCAAGCUGGGGUAAUUCGUCCGUGUUAUGUUUCUACAAAGAUGCAGUUGGCGGACGUUUUUACAAAGGCACUUGGCAGGGAGCAGUUCGAAUUUUUGUGCACCAAGUUGGGAGUUCUUGAUUUGCACUCUCCAACUUGAGGGGGAGUAUUAAGGAAAUUAUAUGUUAGUUAUUGUAUGAUUAUCUUGACAUAAUUAGCUGAUUGUAUAGGAGCAUAAUUAGCCUUAUAUUACUGAUUCUGUAGCUAUAAUUUAGGAGAAGAUUAGAUCAAACAUGUGUAUAUAUAUACUACAUUCUGUUAAUGAGAAAAGUAUCCAAUUUGAAGCCAAUCUCUUUAUUCUUGUUACCUCAACUCCCGGGGCGGCUCGGGCUUUCCUUAAAACGCUAGACAUUAAUUUCUCUAACCGCCCGCCUAAUGCCGGUGCCUCACUCUUGGCCUAUCAUGCCCAAGACAUGGUUUUUGCGGAUUAUGGGGCAAGGUGGAAGCUACUGAGAAAGCUAAGCAACUUACACAUGCUUGGUGGGAAGGCUCUUGAGGACUGGUCUCAGGUCCGAGCUGUUGAGCUAGGCCACAUGCUUCGAGCCAUGCUUGAGUUGAGCCAGCGAGCGGAGCCGGUGGUGGUGCCGGAGAUGUUAACUUUUUCCAUGGCCAACAUGAUAGGUCAAGUGAUUCUAAGCCGCCGGGUGUUUGAAACAAAAGGGUCGGAGUCAAAUGAGUUCAAGGACAUGGUGGUGGAGCUCAUGACCACUGCUGGGUACUUCAAUAUUGGCGAUUUUAUUCCGUCCAUCGCAUGGCUGGACAUCCAAGGGAUCCAGCACGGGAUGAAGCAUUUACAUAGGAAGUUCGAUCGGUUAUUAACAAAGAUGAUGGAGGAGCACACGGCGUCAGCCCAUGAGCGGAAGGGAAACCCAGAUUUUCUGGACGUGAUCAUGGCAAACCAAGAAAAUUCUACAGGGGAGAAGCUCACUAUUACCAACAUUAAAGCACUCCUCCUGGUAUGCAUAGUUAAAGCUCGUCUUUAAUUUUGUUUUCCGAUAUUUUCUUUCCUGAAACAGCACUUUUAUUGCUUUUAGAUAUGUACGUUUUUAUCAGGUAGCCAUUUUAGGGGCACAUCACUGUUCUUUAUUUGGAUUUUUUUUGUCUUUUUCCACUUGCAUGGUUGUUUUCAUAUGCUCAGCUGCAUGGCACAGGAAAAUUGUGAAAAAUGAUUGGUUCUCUGAUCAGACCUUCUGCACCAAAACAUAAUUCUCUCUAUUUUAUAAAAUCAAGAACAUUUAUGGUUUACAUGAUUUUUCGAACUUGAACUUUUGCUAGUGCUAAUGCAUGGAUCUCAAUUUUUCAAUUGCGUUUGAUUAUAUAAAUUUCAAGUAUGUGAACAUAUUUUUGUUUCCUUGGCUAGAAUUUAUUUACUGCAGGAACAGACACUUCAUCGAGCGUAAUCGAGUGGUCUCUGGCUGAGAUGUUGAAAAACCCGAGCAUCCUCAAGCGUGCUCACGAAGAAAUGGAUCAAGUGAUUGGAAGGAGCCGGCGGCUCGUGGAGUCUGACUUGCCAAAACUUCCAUACCUACAAGCCAUAUGCAAGGAAAGCUUCCGGAAGCACCCAUCCACCCCAUUGAACCUUCCUCGUGUCUCAACCCAAGCAUGCGAAGUGAACGGCUACUACAUCCCAGAGAACACUAGACUUAGCGUGAACAUAUGGGCAAUUGGGCGAGACCCUGAUGUCUGGGAAAGCCCGGAAGAAUUCAGGCCAGAAAGGUUUUUAAGUGGAAGAAAUGAAAAAAUUGAUCCUCGUGGAAAUGAUUUUGAGUUGAUCCCGUUUGGGGCUGGACGAAGGAUUUGCGCUGGCACUAGAAUGGGAAUAGUGCUGGUUGAGUACAUUUUAGGGACGUUGGUACAUUCAUUUGACUGGAAAAUGCCGGAUGGAGUUGAGAUCAACAUGGACGAAGCUUUCGGGCUUGCACUGCAGAAGGCAGUUUCUCUUUCGGCCAUGGUGACACCAAGGCUUCACCAGAGUGCGUAUGCAGUCUGAGCUCAAACCGCUCAGACCAAAACCCAGGCCUCGCUGCUAUAUGGCAUGGAUGCAGUUAAGUAGAAAAUAUUUUGGGAUGCCUGUGGCUUAGUAUAAGAUGUAUUAGCUCAAAGAUGGUCGUUUCAUUCUACCACCAAGCCAUAUGCAUCUAUGCAUAAUCUAUUGAUUUAGGCUCGAUUUGGUUAUAGUUUUUGUUUUUUUGUCUUCCAAAUCAGUAAAUAGUAGGGGUAUUUUUGUCCUAUGUAGUGAUUCUUUUUGUUUGAUUGAUUAUAUUUGGAUCCUUCAAAUAUUCCUACACAACUAUUAACCUCCUUCAAAAAUAUAUAGUUAAGGGCCUUGGUCAGAGCCAUCUCCAUCUUUUCACUUCUUGUGCUGCAGUAUGGGAUUGGCUUAGAUGAUCGUUAGUCUAAUGUUUCCUUUUCAACAUCAUAAUUCAGCGCAAACUAAGUUGAAUAUUCAACAACAAAUAAGUACAGAAAAUAAUGGAAGAAAAAUUCCCACUUUAUCUCCGUAAAGUAAUGCCAUAUUUUUCUUCAUACUUACCUUCUAGAUUUUUGUUGGAGCUCUGAGCCCGUGAUCCAUUAGAUGAUUGCGUGUGUGCAUAUGCAUGUGGGUGAUUGCGUGUAAUACGUACGUACGUUCCAUGAUUCAUGUUCGAAGUACCCUCUCUUAUUUAUCGUUGAAGAGGCUAUCGUCACAAACUCUAUUGAUUAAUUAGUCUAGGCAAAUUAAGGCGCGAUAACGACCGAUGUAUAUCUUAAAAGUAACGAUUAAGAGAAUAUUAUAUGUACAAGGGAAAAAUCUACAUAUAAUUAUUGAUGCAACUUGCAAGUGGGAUAAAAUUUGGGAUGGGGAUUAUUAUAAAUUAAUCUCAAUCCAUAAUUGUGAUUGUGGAGUAUAAAUUAAAUGAUUCAUAAUCCAUCUACAUGAAGAUUAAAACCCAUAUUGAAAAUAGCUUUAAAAAACUAAUUUAUAAGAAUAAUUUUUGCAUCAUAUUUUGUGUGCUUGAACUCGUUUCCUAUAUUUUUAAAUAUAUAUUAAAUAUAAUUUUCUUUUAUUUAUAGUGUUUUAUUUUUAAUUAUUCUUCAUAUUUAUAUAAUUAUUUUUUAAAACAAUCAUGAUAAAAAGCAAAAAGAAGUGAAAAUAGCUUAAUAUAAUUAAAGACAAAUAUCUUAUUUUUUGUUAUCUGUUGUUAUUGUUUUUUCUUUUUGUUAACCCCCUUCAAAUCUAAUUAUUCAUACUCAAUUUUGACACGAAAGAGCCAUUGUCAUGAAAGGGGGAGGUCCAUCAUUUUGGUACGAUGCCAACUCUACCACAUAACCACCAUUUAGAUAUCUAUCCUUUUAUUUUUGGCAUGUGAACUUAUAGUGGGUGGCUGACCUUGAAUCCACUAGUUAUCAUGUUGAAAUUAACCACCAUUUAGAUAUCUAUCCUUUUAUUUUUGGCAUGUGAACUUACAGUAAGUCCGAUUUAUGUCCAAGGGUCAAAUUUAAAUCUCUCUUCAAUCUAAUGGCUAAGAACUUCCCAACUUUAUUUAAUACUUAAUGUAUCCAAUAAUUGUAAUCGAGUAAUCCAAUGACAAGUACCUUCAAUGACUAUUUUGGCAAAAGAAAAAAGAAAAAAAGAAAUAAUAUAAGUUUGUUAUUUUAUGAUAUAAUAAAUUUAUUAAUACUUUCCUUUUUCAAAAUAUGUAAUUAGUUGUAAUUUCAUUAUAUAAUAUAUAAAUUAAGUUAUUUGCAAUUUUAAAAUAUGUUCAUUUUGUUUUUUUUUAAGUGUUAAUUAAAAAUUAUACAAUUUUGUUUUAUAAAAAGUAUUUAGUACUUUUAAUUUUAUAAAUUACAAACAUUAAUUAUACUAUUUUCUUAAAAUAUUUAGUUUAGUAUGCAUAUUAUUAGUUGUUUUCUCAUAUCUCAAGUUUCAAUCAAAAAAAUAUUUAUGAUUUGUUUUUGUUAAUUUGUGUCUUGUUUUCAAUUUAAUUAAUGAAAAGUUAUUUGAUCAAAAGGUUCAUUACAAACCAAUUUUAAAAAUUUAAUCCUUUAUUAUAUUUUGAUAUUGUUUUGAUAAAAAUGUCUUUAUUAUUUUUUAAAUAUAUUGUAAAUAUUUAAAAUAAUUAAAAAUAUUUAGAUCAAAAAUCGAUUAUUUUUCAAACAAAAAUAUGAAAGUGAUAAAUUUGCAAAUGUGGGGAAUAUUUAAUCCUUUUAAUCGAUUAUUUCAUUAAUGAAGUGGGUAUAAUGAUGAACGCAGACUUGGUUUUACUAGGGCAUGCAGAGGUUUUGCAAGAGAGAGAGAUCAUUUCUCGACUCUGAGAAAUCAAUCUCCUUUUGGCCCGGUGGCGGACUCCAAGUAAAGCCUUGAAGGAGCCUUGCUAACAUCCCUGCACACCCACGCCUUCCAGUACUGAAGGAAAUGAAGCGAAGGUUUGGCUCGUUCAACUCCACUGCUUGAACUGUACUAGCAUUCAGAUGCCGCUCUGGAUUGAAAUUUAGCGGUUCUUCCCAGAUUCUAGGGUUCCGGCCCAGCCCCAGACGGCUCAGAAGGACAUGACUGCCUUUGGGGAUAGAGUACCCAGCAACACUAGUCGGAUUCCUGAACUCGUCUAUCCUUUCCAACCACUCCAUCAAUUUCUUCACUGCUUUGCUCAAAAUCCCUGGUUGCUUGAUCAUUGCCUACUCAAUUGCAUUUGAUGGACUAUCGAAGCCUGCAAGCAUCAACUCCUGCAAAUUAUGGAAGGAUCAUAAUCUCAUGAUUGAUCAAGUUAUUUGCUGGCUAGGAAAUGAUCAUCAUGCAAUGUAGAUCAAAAGGUAAGCACAACACUACUACAAAAAUAAUUUAUGGUGUCAUUUUUAAAAUAAUGACACCAUAGGGUUUAUAAUUAAUAAAGGUGAUACAUCAUAUGAAAAUUCUUCAAUUGAGGUAGUUAGAUUAUGUUAGUUUUAUAUUUAUAGUGUCAUUUUUUGGGAAGUAACAUCAUAUAAAAUAAUUUUUUUUUAAGUAUUAUAACUUAAUGAGCCCACUUUUAUAAUUAAUAAUGAGGGAUAAUGUAUAAAAAGCCCAUUGUUUCCACAUGCCACCCACAAUCCAAAAAAUCUCAGUAUACAAACCUUAUAUAUAAAACCAUAAUCUUCUUCUACCUUUUCUCUUACCUAUAGUCAACACACUUAUAACCGACAUUUUCCACUUUGUGGACUCCCAAGUUAUCCAAAUUCUCUUAGAUCUAUCCUAUUUUUUUUCUUUUAUUAAUAUCAUUAUAUUGAUUGUUUCAGCAUCUUUGUAUUAUGGUUUUUGUGAACUGCAUUUUCUUGAGUUGUAGGGAAGAAAAACUUAGGUUUAAACUUCUAGCAUAGACAAAGAAACUUGUAGAUUAAUUGAUUUUUUAAUAUGAACCAAACACAUGACCGACUUUUUCUGUGUGUAAUAAGGACAGCUAGUAUUCAUGCAUAAAAUCAGCAUCAGAAUUCGUAACUGCAUUUGAUCAGCUAGUUUAGUAAAUCUGUACAACUCAUUCUUUCCUUUAUUUUCACAUAUGUUGUUAUACGUUAGCACAAGUUUAGGAGUAAUUUUAGUUUCUCAAAUCUGUAUUUAUACCUCUUCUUCUAAUAAGAAUUGUGUGAAUCAUUUUGUCUAAACCUCUUUAUGGUAUCAGAGCACACCUCAAAACUCCAACAAGUAUUUCCUGUCUUUCUCGCUUCUGCUAUGGCCACUUCUUCCUCUGAUAGUUUUCCAAUAGCCAUCAAUGCCACCCAGCAAAUUACUGCACGUCUUACACCAACCAACUUCCCUUCAUGGCAUGCUCAAUUUGAGUCUCUCCUCCUCGGCUAUAACCUCUUUGGCUAUGUCGAUGGCACUCAUACCUGCCCACCCCUACCGAUGUCAACUAAUGCAGCUGCCACUACAGCUCAUCACCUUUGGUUCCAUCAGGACAAACUUAUUCUAAGUGCAAUUUUGACUUCAGUGUCCCUAGCUGUGAUACCACUCAUAGCAACCUCCCAAACGUCAUAUCAAACCUGGACAAAACUGACAAAACUGUAUGCUAGUCGAUCCAGGACUCGUGUCAUGCAGCUCAAAGAGGAUCUCACCCUCAUGCAAUGUGGCAAUCGCAGCAUUACAAAGUACCUACACUCUGUAAAAACCAUUGUCGAUGAGCUUGCUCUCAUCGAUGCCCCAUUAUCUCAAGAUGACAUCACCCUAUAUGUUCUUCAUGGCUUAGGAUCAAAUUUUCGUGACAUUGUUGCCCCGAUUCGAGCCCGAGAGUCUUCACUCUCAUUGUUGCAAAAUACUGUCCGAAAUUGAAACCCUCUGAAGCCACUGUGAACUGCACAACUACUACUUCCAGUCCCGACAAACGUUGGCUCAUUGAUUCUAUGGCUUCCCAUAAUAUCACUUCUCAGGUUUCAAAUUUACAAUUUCACUCUGAAUAUGAUGGUACUGAUGAAGUUAUUAUUGGAGAUGGAUCAGGUUUGCCCAUUACUCAUUCUGGUUCUCUUACUCUUUCAUUUCCAAACAGAAAAUUUCAAGUUGAAGAUACUCUAUGUGUUCCUACCAUUAACAAAAACUUGAUAUCUGUUCACCACUACACAAAGCAAAACAAUGUUAUCCUGGAAUUUCACCCAACUUAUUUUCUUGCGAAGGAUUGGAGAACGGGGGAGAUUCUUCUUCAAGGACCGUGUGAAAAUGGAGUCUACCCUCUGGCCUCAUCGCCUGCUGCUACUCCAAUUGCUUUUGUCCAUGAACGCACAUCAGCAGCUGGUUGGCAUCAUCGCCUUGGUCAUCGAUCAUUCAAAGUUGUCACUCGCCUCAUUAGUUCUUUCUCCCUUCCCACCACUUCAUGUCUUUCUGGUUCUAAUAAUUGUCAUUCGUGUUCUAUCAAUAAAGCUCAUCAGUUACCCUUUCAUAAACACGGUCUAACUAGCACAACACCAUUUGAUUUACUUUACACUGAUGUAUGGGGACCUUCUCCCACUCCUAGUCUCAAUGGCCACAGAUAUUAUGUUAUUUUUGUUGAUCACUUUACCAAAUAUGGUUGGUUCUUUCCAUUGCAUCAAAAAUCAGAUGUUAAAACCAUAUUUCCUCAUUUCUACAAAAUGAUUGAAACUCGUUUUAACAUAAAAAUUAAAGGAGUUUAUUCCGAUAAUGGGGGCGAGUUCACUGUUCUUCGACCCUUUUUCACAACCCAUGGCAUUAGUCAUUAUACGACAGCCCCUUAUACACCCCAACAAAAUGGAGUGUCUGAGCGUCGUCAUCUCCAUAUUGUGGAGACAGGUCAAACCCUUCUAAGUCAUGCCUCUCUUCCAUCAGAAUAUUAGGCUUAUGCUUUUGCAACAGCCACAUAUCUAAUCAAUCGACUUCCAUCACCUGUUCUUCAUCAUAUAUCACCUCUUCAAGCAACAACCUCGGUAUGAAAAAUUACGUUCCUUUGGAUGUCUUUGCUUUCCCUUGAUGAAGCCGUAUAACACAAACAAAUUUCAAAAGAAAUCCGUUCCUUGUAUCUUUGUUGGCUACUCUACUAGCCAAAGUGCAUAUCUAUGUCUUCAUCUACAAAGUCAGCGCAUAUACACCUCCAAACACGUAACCUUUGAUGAAUCUGUUUACCCCUUCAAACAGGUUUCCAUGCAAUCACCCACUGACUCAUCCCCAUCAGAAACCUCUUCUUUUUCAGGACCAAUUUUGCAGCUUGCUUCCAGGGAGCUUCCAACAAUCACACGGGCUCAAGGAGAUAUCCCCUCUGCUUCUUCGACUCCAAGUGAAGAUCCAGCUCUUGUGCAACCUCAAGAGGCACCACUUUCCACUUUAGAUCAGGUAACUCUUAGACCUUCUACUUCUGUUUCUCAACCAGAAAAUUCAAUGCCAUCCUCUCCACCACCAUGUCCACGAACCAUCAUCACUCGCUCCAUGAACAAUAUCUUUCGGCCAAAACAACUCCACACCACCACCAAGCACCCCUUACCUGAACCACCCGAACCAAGUUGUGUAAGUCAAGCUCUUAAAGACCCUCACUGGUGCAAGGCUAUGUCAGAAGAAGUGACAACCCUCCUUUAACAUGGGACGUGAGAACUGGUUCCUCCCACUCCUGGCCAGAAUCUUGUUGGGUGUAAAUUUGUGUUUCGGAAGAAACGAAAUCCAGAUGGAACAAUCAGUCGAUAUAAAGCUCGACUUGUCGCUAAAGGAUUUCAUCAACGGCCAGGUAUUGACUACUCUCAAACCUUCAGCCCUGUCGUAAAGCCAGUAACAAUUAGGCUUCUUUUAACCAUUGCUGUCAUGCAUGGCUAGCCCCUUCGUCAGUUAGACAUCAAUAAUGCAUUCUUGCAUGGUAAUCUUGAAGAAACAGUCUUCAUGCAUCAACCUACAGGAUUUGAAGAUCCAUCUCAACCUCAGUAUGUUUGCAAGCUAAAAUAGAGUAUCUAUGGUCUUAAACAAGCCCCAUGACAGUGGUACAAGGCCCUUCGGGAUGCACUUCUCAGCUUUGGUUUUAUUCACUCGGCCACUGACAACUCUUUGUUUAUCUAUAAGUCUCAUGAUAUCUUGUGCUACUGCCUUGUUUAUGUUGAUGACAUAAUUGUCACAAGCAACACACUCAGCUUUGUGAAUAACAUUAUAAACAAGCUUGGCUCUACAUUCUUAGUCAAAGAUAUGGGCUCCUUGCAUUAUUUCUUGGGAAUAGAAGUGAUUCCAAUGCCACAGGGGCUCUUUCUAUCUCAACAUCAGUAUAUAUGGGAUCUCCUUUCACGAACCUCCAUGGAAAAUGCUAAAGAAACACUCACUCCAAUGUCCACUACAGCCAAGCUUACGGUUCAAGAUAAUUUUGAAUGUGUUGACAGCACUGAGUAUCGCAAGAUCAUUGGAGCACUUCAGUAUUUGGGACUCACUCGUCCCGAUAUUGCCUUUGCAGUCAACAGAUUAUCUCAGUUCAUGUAGAAGCCGACAACAAACCAUUGGGCCGCAGCAAAAAGACUACUCAGCUAUCUUAAACAGACCAUGUUUCAUGGUAUCCUUCUCCAAAAUCAUGAUCAAUUCCAACUCAAGACCUAUAGUGAUGUGAAGUGGGCAUUAAAUACGGACACUCGUGUUUCAACCACUACUUUCAUCACAUUCAUUGGUCCUAAUCCAAUCUCAUGGUCUGCACGCAAGCAAAUGGCAGUCUCAAGAUCAUCUAUAGAAGCAGAGUUUCGGGCACUAGCUACUGCCACACAGAAACAGUUUGGCUUCAUUCUCUUAUCAAGGAACUUGGUCUCACUCUCAGAGAAGCACCUCAAAUGUUUUGUGAUAAUAUUGGUGCCAACCAUUUCAGUUUAAAUCCAGUCCAGCACAGACGGAUGAAACACAUUGAAAUUGAUCUCCUCUUUGUACGAGAUCUUGUCAAAAAGGGAACUAUUCGUGUUCAGCACAUCCAUACCAUUGAUCAACUAGCUAAUCUCCUUACAAAAUCACUCUCACAUCAACGCUUUCAACUAUUAAGAUCCAAGAUUGGUGUUGCAGAUGGCACCUCCAUCUUGAGGGGGCAUAUAAGGACAGCUAGUAUUCAUGCAGAAAAUCAGCAUCAGAAUUCGUAACUGCAUUUGAUCAGCUAGUUUAGGAAAUCUGUACAACUCAUUCUUUCCUUUAUUUUCACAUAUGUUGUUAUACGUUAGCACAAGUUUAGGAGUAAUUUUAGUUUCUCAAAUCUGUAUUUAUACCUCUUCUUCUAAUAAGAAUUGCGUGAAUCAUUUUGUCUAAACCUCUUUAUAUUUAUGUGAGAAUGACAGGUACAAAAUUUUGUUGAGAUAUACUGCCCCAUAAUCUUCAUCCUUUCCCUAAAAUGAGAGAGGGAAAAAAAAAAAGGAAUGAUUUUUUUUGUGUGUAUCUAAGUGGGAACAAGAGAUAUAGAAUUUCGUUGAGAUGCAGUGCUGCCACAUGAUCUUUAUCCUCCAUUAAACCCAACAUAUUAAAUCCACUAACUCUCUCCCCAAAAAUGAGUAAAAAAAAAAAAAAGGAAAAAAGUAUGAGUUAAAAAACAAAAACGGAAAAUAUGAUUUUUUUAAUGUGUUUCUAAGGAGAAUGAGAGAUACAUAUUUUUGUUAAGAUGCAUUGCCACGUGUUCUUCAUCCUCUCCAUUAAGCCUAAUAUAUUAAACCUAAUAGCUCUCUCUUUUAAGCUUUCCAAUGAAGUGCCUAUAGUAUCCAACUCAAAAUAAGACAACUUAAGCCCCAUUAGCCAACAACCCAUAUUUUGUGUACAUCUUGAUGAGAUUAUUUUGUGAGAAAAUGUCAUGAAACAAUCCCAAUUUGAUAAUCUAGGCAUGUAUUUGAGUUAAAAAUAAAUUUCUAUUCUAUAGAUCAAAGAAUAAAAUCAUGUUUGAAAAUUAUUUUUAAAAACUUAUUUAGAGCAAAAAUAGUUUUCUAACAUAAAAAUAAUUUUUUAACUGAGAAAAUAUAUUUGAAAUUAUUUGAUAGAAAAUUGGGCAUGUAUUUGACUUAAAAACAAAUUUCUAUUCUAUAGCUCCAAUAAUAAAAUCAUGUUUGAAAAUUAUUCUUAAAAACUUAUUUAGAGCAAAAAUGGUUUUCUAACAUUAAAAUAAUUUUUUAAUUUAGAAAAUAUAUUUGGAAACAGUUGAUAGAAAACUGGGCAUGUAUUUGACUUAAAAAUAAAUUAUUAUUCUAUAGAUCAAAGGAUAAAAUCAUGUUUGAAAAAUAUUCUUAAAAACUUAUUUAGAGUAAAAACAGUUUUCUAACAUAAAAAUAAAUUUUUAACUUAGAAAAUAUAUUUGAAAACAUUUGAUAGAAAACUUUUUUUUUUAAUGUCAAUAAGUUGUCUUUUUGUUAAUUUAAUUGUAAUCAAUUUUCUUAUACGCAUUUAAAAGUAUAUAUUAUCAUAUUUAGUAAUAUUUUGAUUAUUAGGCAAAUUAUCAUUUUUGAGAGGAAUUUUUGUAGCUCUCAUAAUUAUAAUUGUAUUUUAAUAACCACUUCCAAUAAAUAAAAAAAAGAAAAAAAAAGUUAGACAAUUAUCAAAAUCUGAUUUUUAGGAUUUUAAAAAAAUCUACAAGCCAAAACUAUUUAUAAUUUUGAUCAUGUGAGAACACUUCUUUUUUAAUACUUUGAGUUAUUUUGUUUUUUUUUUUUCUUAGUAUCUGAAAGUAUAAAAGAAUUUCUCAUAUAUGUGCAUGUGUGUUCUCAUGGUUGUUUAUGUCAUGUCUUAUUAAAGAAUGAAGUGAAGUUUCCUUUGAGUGGAAGGUUUUAGUCCACGCUAGUCAGUGGACACGGUAUGAAUAGUUUGGGUGGGUUGUAUCUAUGGUAAAAAAAUAAUAAAAGACAACUUUUGCAAGUCUCCAAGUUGGUUGAGAUACAUGAUGUCAUGUUGACUAGACCUUGACUUUUGCAAGUCUCCUAGUUUCCAACUUUUUUUUCUUUUUUUUUUUUAAUAUUAAGGUGUGGGGCCAUGAACUCCUUUCUUUCCUUUUUAAAUAACAAAAAGGAAGAUAAUUUUAUUGUGAGAAGGCUAUUGCUACCAAUUGUGUUCACGUCGAGAAUUUUUUAAUUUACGGAGGCCAUAUAUAUAUAUAUUUAUGUCUAAUUUAGGAGGGUAAUUUGGGUUUGUCUAAUCUAUUCCAUUUAAUCAUACUAUACAAUCAUUUUUUUUUAUUUGGAUUAUUCUUGUAUUAAAUUUCUUCAACCCAAAUUUUGUUGAAAAGUUACAAUGUAUUAUUGAAAAUAUGACUUGGUAGUUGAUUAUGGAUAUGUGUCAUUUUUAGUAUAAAAAAAAAAUAAAUCUAUAACAUUUUAUAUUGAUAAUAUAUUAUUCUUGUAACAGGUUUGAAUAAUAAGCAAGUCAUUGUCAAAGAAGUUAUUGAAAGUGUAAGUGUACAUUUAUUUAUUGCAUGCUCUUAUAUUGUAUCAAUUGUAAGGAAGAUAAAAUUACCUUGUAAAGGUAAUUAAAUCUUUCUAUAUUUUAAAAACUUUUUUCCUAUAUACUAUGCUUUUGAAGCUUGUUUAAUUAAACAUAUUAGUUAUUUGACAAACUUUUCACAAAUGUUUUGUAUACUUAUGUGUUCUAUUUUGUUCCAUAGUUUUAUUGCAUAAUACUAAUGUAUAUUUUUUCACAAACUUUUUACAACUAUUUUGUGUACUAAUGCAUAUUAAGUUUUGUUCUUGCCUAUAUAAGCUACAUUUAGUUAUUUAAAUAUAUCUAAUAUUAUGUUGAAGAAAGAUGUACUUACUUAACUUUUUUUAUUCUAAAUAUUAACAAGUUUUUCAGUUCUCUUGUCUCGAGAUUGAAUGUCAAAAGAUAGAAGGUCAGUUGAGUAUGAUGAAAGAGUUGAAAACUUUAUCAAUUUUGCAUUAGCACAUUCAAUCAACCAUUCCCCUAUAAAAUGCCCAUGCUUACGUUGUGCAAAUCUGUUAUGUCAAACUCUUCAAGUCAUUACAGAACAUUUGUUCUUUAAUGGAAUCGAUCUUAGUUAUCGAGUAUGGUAUUGGCAUGGAGAAAAUGGACCCAGUGGAGGAUUUUCAAAUGUCUCACAACAACAUUAUGACAAAUGCAAGUAUAAUGAUGUUGUUGACACAAUAGAUAUGGUUAAUGCUGCACAAGUUAAUUGUAUGAAUGAUCCCUAAGUGUUUGGAAGGUUACUUGAAGACGCAGAAAAACCUUUAUAUCUUGGAUGCAUGAAAUACACAAAGUUGUCAGCAUUGGUAAAACUUUACGACUUGAAAGCAUGUUAUGGUUGGUUUGACAAAGGAUUCUCAAAAUUGCUUCAGUUGCUUGGAGAUAUGUUGCCAUUGAAUAAUGAGAUGUCAUUGUCCAUGUAAGAAGCUAAAAAUACUUUUAGUGCACUUGGGAUGAAUAUAACAAAAUUCAUGCAUGUUCUAAUGAUUGUAUUUGGUAUAGAAACCAGUAUAAGGAUGCUAUUGCAUGCCUAACUUGUGGAAAGUCAAGGUGGAAGAUAAACAAUGAGGGGAAAAAGAUUAAGAAGGGGCUUCCUUCAAAGGUUUUAUGGUAUUUCCCACCAAUCCCUAGAUUCAAAAGGAUGUUCCAAUCCUCAAAAACCGCUAAACAUCUUAUGUGGCAUGCCAAGGAUAAAGAAUAUGACGGUAAACUAUGCCACCCAUCAGACUCCUUAGCGUGGAAACUAGUUGACCAUAUGUGGCUUGAUUUUGCUUCUGAACCGAGGACCUUAGACUAGCACUCUCAACAGAUGGUACAAAUCUUCAUAAGUCUAUAAGCAAUAGACAUAGUUGUUGGCCUGUUAUACUGAUCAUAUACAACCUUCCUCCUUGGUUGUGCAUGAAAAAGAAGUUUAUGAUGCUAUCAUUAUUGAUCUCAGGACCACGACAACCUGGUAAAAAUAUAGAUGUUUACUUGAGUCCAUUGGUAGAUGACCUUAAAACUUUGUGGGAAAAAAAAGUUAAGACUUAUGAUGCACACUUGCUUGAGGUUUUUACUUUAAAGGUCAUCAUUUUAUGGACAAUCAGUUAUUUCCCUACAUAUGAAAACUUGGCCAAUUGCACCGUGAAAGGAUAUUAUGCAUGUCCAAUAUGUGGAGAAGGAACAUAUUCCCAAAGAUUAAAGUAUGGUAGGAAGAACUUGUAUAUGGGUCACCGACGAUUUCUUCCACGUAACCAUCCCUAUUGGAGACAAAAGAAGGCACUCAAUGGUGAACAAGAUUUUAGAAUUCCUCCUAAAAUUUUGAGUGGAGAAGAAAUACUUGAAAAAGUUGAUCUCAUUCCUAUUUCUUGGGGAAAAAUGAAGAUAAAAUCUCUUGAACUGAUGUGAACACAAAUUGUUGGAAAAAAAAGUCCAUAUUUUUUUAGUUAGAAUAUUGGAAAUAUCUUCAUAUCUUUCACAACUUGGAUGUUAUGCACAUCGAAAAGAAUGUCUGUGAGAGUAUUAUUGGUCCUUUGUUUAACAUCCUAGGAAAAAAAAAAUGGACUUAAUGCUCAACUUGACCUAGUUGAAAUGGGUUUAAAGUCUGAACUUUUCCCAAGAGUUGACUUGAAGCGGACCUAUCUUCCCCCUGCAUGUUAUUCACUAUCCAAACAUAUAUGACAAAAAAUUAGUUUGUCAAACAUUGUCUAAUUUGAAGGUCCCUGAGGGGUAUUGCUCAAAUUUGAGAAAUCUUGUCUCCUUAGAGGAAUUGAAGUUAUUUGGUUUAAGAUCCCAUGACUACCAUGCACUUAUGCAACAACUAUUGCUAGUGGCAUUACGUUUUGUUUUGCUAAAGCAUGUGAGAUAUACUAUAUCAAGAUUGUGUAUCUUCUUCAAUCAAUUAUGUACAAAAAUGGUUGAUGUGCCAAAAUUGGAUGAAGUACACAAUGAGUUAGUGGUCACGCUGUGCUUACUUGAAAAGUAUUUUUCACCUUCAUUUUUUGAUAUUAUGCUUCAUCUAGUAGUGCAUUUGAUAAGGGAGGUGUGACUAUGUGGUUCAGCUUACUUUAGGUCGAUCUACCCAUUUGGGAGGUAUAUGAAAGUUCUUAAAGAAUUGUUCGCAAUCAUAAUUGGCCUGAAGGAUGCAUUACUAAGUGCUAUUUAGUAGAAAAAGCUAUCGAAUUUUGUACUGAAUAUUUAUUAGGGACUUAUGCAAUUGGAAUUCCAAAAGCAACAAUUAUGACAACAAAUUUCGUAGACCUAUUGAUUACUACUCAAAAAGUGCUAUUUGAUAGCUUGUAAUUAAUCCUUUUAAACACUUUUGAGUAGUAGUUAUUGCCUUUUAACCCAAUUAACAUGUUAAGGACCCUUGCAAUCAUUUCUUAUCAAAUUGUGUAAGUUUUGGUGUUUUUGUUAGUAAUUUGAUCACCAAAACAAUCCAAGAUUGAGGAGAGUUAUUUGGAAUCCAUGGCAAAGCAAUGAAGAGCUCAAAUUCAUGAAGAACCAAGCUUUGGAGCUCCAUAGCCCUUUGCCAAAGUCGUUCAAAGUAUGCAAGGAAAGAGCACUGGAGAGAGGAAAAACAGAGUGAAGAAAACAGAGGAAAGCUAGAUGUAGUCUUCUUUCACACUUUUGGAGCAAUUUCCGAAGUCCAUUUUCUACAUUCGAUAUACCAUUUCAAAGCUCAGGAAGUCAAGAAUCCAAUGCUUCAAACGGUGCAUGAUUCGGAGUUGAAACGAAGGAGUUACAGCCAUUGCAAGCAGAUCACUCCAAAGUGUUGCGAAAUCAGCCUUUUGUUGCGAGAAUUUCGCAGCCUUUUUGUACAGUGCUAUGGAAUUCCUCCUAAAGUUGCCCGAUAUAUGCCGCAAGCUGGAAGCUGAGAACAUCAAGGUGGAAGCCAACUUCGCAGCCCUACGAGAAUAACUUGUUGAUGCGAAAAUAUUUCGCAGCCCUCUUGAGUGUCUGCGAAAUCUCGCAGACACCAUUUUCACCUGCGAAAUGUUCCUGGAGCUUCCCGAUAUUUUUGCACCGACUCUUUUGGAUAUUUUUCUUCAGAUAUUUUUGUAUAAAUUUCCAUUCUUCUCCUUGUAAGCCACGAACCAUAAGAUUUCUUAGUUAGGAAGGUUGGAAAAACAUCUCUAUAUAUAUUCCUUUGCAUCCACUGUAAUCAUAUAUCAUAUAUAGAAUAUACAGAGCCUUGCUCUGUUUUUCCUUCUCUUUCAUUUUUCAUUUAUUUUUAUUUCUAGCCAACCAAACUUUGAGGAUUUUUCCACAGAGGAUGAGAGGCUAAGCUUUUUGUCUCUUGGAGUGAGGAAAGCCGGGUAAGUUUCCACAUGCAUAAUUUGGAAGUUUUGUUGUUUUAGUUUUUAAUGAAGAGAAAGUGUGACCCGUUAGUGAUUUCUAUGUUUUUAGUUAACUUAAAACGCCUUUAAAUCACCUGGGCCAACACUUGGUAAGGCAAGUGAUUUCCAACCAUGGAAAUGCACUAGUUUACCCCUUGCGAGCCUUUGGGAGGUGACUUGAAGGUAGGAUUUUCUAGAAUAGCCAACACUUGGUAAGCUUUUGGACUCCAAGGAGACAUCCAUUAGUUAUCUCUUGCGAGCUUUUGACGGGUAAUCCAAGGUUAAAGAUCACCUUGAAUGGCAAGUGCUAGGUGAGAGGUAUGAGUCAUUGUAAGAUGCAUCAGUGAGAGGGAUUUAGUGAUUGAACCCAUUAAUGGGAAGCAUCUGUACAACACCGGUUAGAGAAUUAACUAUAUGUUAAUUCUCUAAUGCGAGGAAAAUAAACAAGUGACCGGAACUCUCCAUUUUGUAUGAGGAACAAGCCUAGUGAUCUGAACUCCAAGAAACACUUUUCUUUGUAGUUAAAACCAGUUACUAUUUUUUGUUAGCUUAAAACCAAACCUUUUUCAUUUAAACAUCUUUAUGUUUCUUUUAAAGCUAACCUUGAAAUGAAAAGGCACCAAUUCAGCUUUGAAUUGAUAUCAUUUGUGAAGUGAAAACCCAUCCCAGUGAACGAUCCUAGAGCCACUAUGCUAUAGUAGCUUUGUCUUUGCUACCCUAGUUCAUGGUGUAAUAGGUUAUAAAUUUUGUUGAUUACUCCCUCAAUCAAGGAGCACCAGCUGGACACGAAUCAGCUGAGACACCAAGUGGGCNNNNNNNGUUCAUGGUGUAUUAGGUUAUAAAUUUAGUUGUUUACUCCCUCAAUCAAGGAGCACCAGCUUGACACGAAUCAGCUGAGACACCAAGUGGGCACGAAUCAAAUGGCGCCAUUUGCUUCGUCCGUAGCAGUGGCAGUGGCAAUGGCACCAUUUGAUUCGAGGUUCAAUCCCAGGCAACGGCGCCAUUUGAUUCGUCCCUAGCAGUGGCAGUGGCAAUGGCACCAUUUGAUUCGAGGUUCAAUCCCCGGCAGCGGCGCCAUUUGAUUCGUGUCCACUUGGUGUCUCAGCUGAUUCGUGUCCAGCUGGUGCUCCUUGAUUGAGGGAGUAAUCAACAAAAUUUAUAACCUAUUACACCAUGAACUAGGGUAGCAAAGACAAAGCUACUAUAGCAUAGUGGCUCUAGGAUCGUUCACUGGGAUGGGUUUUCACUUCACAAAUGAUAUCAAUUCAAAGCUGAAUUGGUGCCUUUUCAUUUCAAGGUUAGCUUUAAAAGAAAACAUAAAGAUGUUUAAAUGAAAAAGGUUUGGUUUUAAGCUAACAAAAAAUAGUAACUAAUUUUAACUACAAAGAAAAGUGUUUCUUGGAGUUCAGAUCACUAGGCUCGUUCCUCAUACAAAAUGGAGAGUUCCGGUCACUUGUUUAUUUUCCUCGCAUUAGAGAAUUAACAUAUAGUUAAUUCUCUAACCGGUGUUGUACAGAUGCUUCCCAUUAAUGGGUUCAAUCACUAAAUCCCUCUCACUGAUGCAUCUUACAAUGACUCAUACCUCUCACCUAGCACUUGCCAUUCAAGGUGAUCUUUAACCUUGGAUUACCCGUCAAAAGCUUGCAAGAGAUAACUAAUGGAUGUCUCCUUGGAGUCCAAAAGCUUACCAAGUGUUGGCUAUUCUAGAAAAUCCUACCUUCAAGUCACCUCCCAAAGGCUCGCAAGGGGUAAACUAGUGCAUUUCCAUGGUUGGAAAUCACUUGCCUUACCAAGUGUUGGCCCAGGUGAUUUAAAGGCGUUUUAAGUUAACUAAAAACAUAGAAAUCACUAACGGGUCACACUUUCUCUUCAUUAAAAACUAAAACAACAAAACUUCCAAAUUAUGCAUGUGGAAACUUACCCGGCUUUCCUCACUCCAAGAGACAAAAAGCUUAGCCUCUCAUCCUCUGUGGAAAAAUCCUCAAAGUUUGGUUGGCUAGAAAUAAAAAUAAAUGAAAAAUGAAAGAGAAGGAAAAACAGAGCAAGGCUCUGUAUAUUCUAUAUAUGAUAUAUGAUUACAGUGGAUGCAAAGGAAUAUAUAUAGAGAUGUUUUUCCAACCUUCCUAACUAAGAAAUCUUAUGGUUCGUGGCUUACAAGGAGAAGAAUGGAAAUUUAUACAAAAAUAUCUGAAGAAAAAUAUCCAAAAGAGUCGGUGCAAAAAUAUCGGGAAGCUCCAGGAACAUUUCGCAGGUGAAAAUGGUGUCUGCGAGAUUUCGCAGACACUCAAGAGGGCUGCGAAAUAUUUUUGCAUCAACAAGUUAUUCUCGUAGGGCUGCGAAGUUGGCUUCCACCUUGAUGUUCUCAGCUUCCAGCUUGUGGCAUAUAUCGGGCAACUUCAGGAGGAAUUCCAUAGCACUGUACAAAAAGGCUGCGAAAUUCUCGCAACAAAAGGCUGAUUUCGCAACACUUUGGAGUGAUCUGCUUGCAAUGGCUGUAACUCCUUCGUUUCAACUCCGAAUCAUGCACCGUUUGAAGCAUUGGAUUCUUGACUUCCUGAGCUUUGAAAUGGUAUAUCGAAUGUAGAAAAUGGACUUCGGGAAGUGCUCCAAAAGUGUGAAAGAAGACUGCAGCUAGCUUUCCUCUGUUUUCUUCACUCUGUUUUUCCUCUCUCCAGUGCUCUUUCCUUGCAUACUUUGAACGACUUUGGCAAAGGGCUAUGGAGCUCCAAAGCUUGGUUCUUCAUGAAUUUGAGCUCUUCAUUGCUUUGCCAUGGAUUCCAAAUAACUCUCCUCAAUCUUGGAUUGUUUUGGUGAUCAAAUUACUAACAAAAACACCAAAACUUACACAAUUUGAUAAGAAAUGAUUGCAAGGGUCCUUAACAUGUUAAUUGGGUUAAAAGGCAAUAACUACUACUCAAAAGUGUUUAAAAGGAUUAAUUACAAGCUAUCAAAUAGCACUUUUUGAGUAGUAAUCACUCCCCCCAACCGACAUAUUGCUAGUCCCUUAGCAAUGAAGGAGAGAAAAAUAAAAAUAAACAAUACUAUAAUUUACAACAUCAUGCUGAUCAAAAAACAAUUUUCAAGUGGCAUGAUGAUCUAACUCUCACAUGGAACAUUAAAGAAAUAAAACUCAAACUUCAACAAGAGUUAUCAAAUAACUUGUCUAAUCACAAUUCUUAAAGAGAAGGCAUUAUGCAAAUUUAAGCUUUAAAAUCAUUUCCACUUCCAAAGGAUCAAACCUUACUCUUCCACAAAAAUCUAAGUGUUAUUUAUUAGCUUCCGAAUAUAGUAUGUUGAACUAAUCUCUCCCCCUCAACCUAGUUCUUUUUCAAAGCUUAGCAAACUAAUCAACCUCCAAUAGGCUAAGAACGCACCUCUUUUUUCAUAAUUUUUUUCAUUGUAGGAGUACAAGGCUUAAAGGUAUUCUUUUCUAAAUUGUCCAUGUAACGGGGGUCCAUCGAUGACUCCCAACCAAUUAAGGUUUAGGGCAUCAAGCUUUAAGGAUCUUUCAACCACUAACUCCUCGGAUUUUACCCCGGACUUUUGAGAAUGAAUUUUUAAUACCCAAGCACCUACAGUAUGUUAAACUCCACCUAUUCACCCUUGUAACGAGCAUUGAGGUCGGUGACUCCCAACCAAUGAAGGCUUAGGGCACCAGGUUUUAAAGAUUUUCACCAUAUACCCCUCAGACCUUGCUCGGGUUUCAAGGCAAGCAAACAUUUUUUUUUUUUUUUUUUCAAAGACUCAUUGGCCUUUUAUAAGGUGUCCCAACACUAUUAAAUGAGGUCAAAGGUACCAAGUCUAAAAUUUUCCUAAGUCAAGAGGGAAAUAGUUUUUCAUCUUAUACUCGGAACCUAUUGUGCACAGUGUGUGGAUAGCUUAAAGUGGAAGAACUAAGGUUGACUUCAAUAGAAGUUUCAACAAUUCAUCAACUUUAAUAAGCAUAAUACAAAAUCUAAGUCAAGUAAAAAGACAAAAAUUCAAUUUCUCCAAUUUUAGUUUGAAAAUUUUUCCUUAAUAACCAUGGAGAGUAGAAUAAAAACUUUAAAAUUUUUUUAAAUUAAGCAAAAAACAACUAAAUUACCAAAAUAACUUAGCAUUAUUAACAAUACUUACUUCCUCAACUCUCCCCCCAACCAAGCUGAACAUUGUCCUCAAUGUGACAAAAGCGAUUGAAAAAUAGGGAGGAAGUGGUACCUCUUGAGUGACAUGGAGUCUGAGUUGUAUAGGAGAAACCACAUGUUUCAAAGAAAACAUAAGAGUUAGUGAGUAGAAGAAAUAGAAAAAUGCCAAGUUUAAACAAAAAUGAUGUCUAUGUAUGAUGUAUCAUCAGUAACACAUCCAAUUCCAAAAUAUAAGACAUCAAAACAUGGAAUUAUCUAUACUAAUAUAAUAUGUAAAGACAAAAAUAAAGAGAUGAUCAAGCAAUGGUAAGGUCCUGUGGAGCUGAUGCAUCUAUGGUGGCCUCUUGAGUGGGUUGGAUAAGGACUUUGACCUCUGUUCUGGUAGUCUCCUUAGGUGGCAUAGUCUCCUCAACUGGAGCUCUCAGUUGGUAGCUAUGGGAUUUGAUGGUUUAAGGAGGUAAGAAAUGGAGUGAGAGGCUUGGUGUGUGUGAUCCCAGGGUAUGCAGGGCUCUCCUUUUCAGAUGCAUGUUUGCAGGGCUCUAUUGGCAUUUUAGUAACUUCCCUUGGCUUUGCAAAGUGUUUUUGCAAAUCACCCUCCAUUUCACAAGUCAAUUUUGCAAUUUAAAGUCCAUUUUGAAGCUUGGAGGUGAUUUCACAGCCCUUUCGAAGCUUGGAGAUCAUUUCGCAGAAAAGUGGCAUGUUCACUGACCAUUUUUGAAGCUUGGAGCAUUUUCGCAGCCAUUCUGAAGCUUGGAGAUCAUUUUGCAGAAAAGUGGCAUUUUCGCAGACCAUUUUUGAAGCUUGGAGCAUUUUCGCAGCCAUUUCGAAGUUUGGAGAUCAUUUCACAGGCAAUGGGCAAUUCCGCAGCCCAUUUCUGAAGCUUGGAGCAUUUUCGCAGCGGGGGGUGGAUUUCACAGAGGAGGGGAAUUCUCGCAGCCCAUUUCGUAGCUUAAAAGUAAUUUCAUAGCUCAAAGGUGAUUUCGCAGCCAUAUCGCAGCUUCAAAAUGAGGGGAACUGUGCUGCAAAUGGCACUCGUGUGCCAAAAAGUGGUUUCGUAGCUGCGAAACACCCUUCCAAAUGGCGUCUCGGCUGCGAAAUUCCCGUUCAGCUUUGCGCGCUUGUCUUCAAAUGACCAUAACUUCUUUAUUUCAAAUCCAAAUCGAGUACCGUUUGAAGCUAUGGACUCCUGACUUCCCAAGAUUUGAAACGAGAUAUCAUAUGCAUAAUUUGAGCUCCAGGAAGUGCUUCAAAAAUGUGUCCAACAGUAGCAAAAUUGAGGUGCGACAUUUCCGCUCAUGGUUUGCACAGUCAUCUUCAAACAGCCAUAACUUUUCUGUUUCAAAUCCAAAUCGAGCACCAUUUGAAGAUAUGGACUCCUGACUUCCCAAGCUUUCCAACGAGAUAUUGCAUGCAUAAUUUGAACUUCGGGAAGUGAUCGAGAUGUGCCCAACAAUUGCCAAAAUGAGGGUGCGGCUGUGAAAUUGGGAUUUUUCAAUUUUGGGUUUCGCAGCCAUUUUCGCAGCUGCGAAAUGGCACUCGUGUGCCAAAACCAGCUUCGCAAUUGCGAAAUACCCUGCGGAAUGGGGCUUUGGCUGCCAAAAAAAAUGAAUUUUUUUUUUUUUUUUUUUUUUGGUUUCGCAGCCAUUUUCGCAGCUGCGAAAUGAGGGUUACUGUGCUGCGAAAUGGCACUCGUGUGCCAAAAGUUGGCUUCGCAGCUGCCAAACACCCUUCCAAAUGGAGCUUUCCCUACGAAAUGGAGGAUUUCAUGCUUUGGUGGUUCGCAGCCGCUUUCGCAGCUGCGAAAUGGGGGCUCCUGUGCUGCGAAGUGGCACUCAUAUGCCAAAAUUGGUUUUGCAGCUGCCAAAAUUUUCGCAAAGAGGGCUAUUGGGUUGCGAACUGGUUUCGCAGCAAAAUUUCGAUUUCGUAGAGGCUGCGAUAUCUCGCAGACCCCUGUUUUUCCCCUAUUUCUCCCCUGUUUUCGCUCCGUUUGACUCCGAUUUUGCUCCGAUUUUUUUCCUUCAAUUUCUUUGCAAUUCCUCUUGAUUUUGAUCAUCCAAAAACCUAUAUUACAUCAAAACAAACUAGAAUUAAAACAUUUAAAUCAAAAUUAAAGCAUUGAAAUCAAAAUUAAAACAAGUAAAAAAAAAACAAAACAAAAAGAUAUGGACUAGCUAGUCUUUAAAAAGACUAAGUCCAUCAAAAAAUUUGCUCCUGAUUUAGCUUGCCCGGAUCCCAUAUGAAGCUUGCAUCUCUCACUUGGGGCUUUCUCUGUAUGAUUUUCUCAUACAAAGCUUGGAGAAAAGUUAGAGGCACGUGUUUCAUCAUCAAUUCUUCCUUGAUGACUAUCCUCUGUGGUUCUUCAUCUAUAUAGUCAUCUUUCUCUGUACUUUUCCCCUUUUUCUUUCCUUUGAUUUCCUCCCUCUUUUCUUUCUCUGUUUCACUAUCUACCUUAUGCUCUAGCUUGCAUGUGGGCAGAUCAACCUCUUUACCACUCCUCAGAGUGAUCACUUCUUCAAUUUCCUUCACCAUUGAAGAUUCUCCCUCUUUAGUCUCCAUUUCAUGGAUACUCAUGGAAUUUUGAUAAGGUUGAGAAGGAGAGUUUUCUUUCUCUUGCAUUGUUUUGAGGUUGGCAAACCUUGAGAUUGAAUCUUGGAGAAUAUCUAACUUCUGAGCCAUAUCAUUUUGCAUUACAUCCAUCCUUUAUUCAAAGUACUCUCCAUUCUGUCAAUUCUUUGAUUGAUUUGAGCAUUGAUGGCUUCUUGCUUUCCAAUAAAAUCUCCCACGACCUUGCAAAGAUUCACCAUAGCUUGUUCAAGGAUUGAGGCUUGCUGUGGUGCUUGAGCAGGUUGCUGAUACUGAGGUGGCUGUGGUUUCCAAGAGAAAUUUGGAUGGUCCCUCCAAUUGGAAUUGUGGGUGUUGCAAUCACCAAACAUUUCCCUCUCGGAUGGAAUGGUAGGACACUCAUCCACCAAGUGCUCAUAUGAUCGACAAAUGGCACAAGGCAUAGCUUGCAAUGGUGUUUAAAAGAUGGUUUGCACUUCUUGCAUCUGGUUCAUUUCUAGCUCAUCCAAUCUCCUUUCCAUAGCUGCAAUCUCUGCCUUCAUGUCCAUGCCGUCAUUCAAAAUAUACAUCUCACCCUUAGCUUUAGGUUGAGACGUCAUUCUUCCCAUAUCUCUAGCAUUUGGUUCAUCCCAUCCUCUUGAAAAUUCAGCCACAUAACUCAUGAAGUUCAUGGCUUCCUCUGCUAUGUGGUUCAAUAUGGCAUGCACAACUAGCAAUUUGUGAUUUAAAAACAGAGAACACAAAAGAAAACAAAAGAAAAACAAUUCAAAGAAAGAAAAUUAAGGUAAACUAAAGACUAAAUAAAAGGUAUACUAAAAUAUGAACAACAAAGAAAUAAAAAGGGUUAGUGAAAGGAAAAGAAAAGUCACCAAACUUGUGAUGAAGAUCACAAGUACUCUAGAAAGGUGCAUUGUAAAGUGGCACCAUCCCCGGCAACAGCGCCAUUUGAUUCGUGCCCACUUGGUGUCUCAGCUGAUUCGUGUCCAGCUGGUGCUCCUUGAUUGAGGGAGUAAUCAACAAAAUUUAUAACCUAUUACACCAUGAACUAGGGUAGCAAAGACAAAGCUACUAUAGCAUAGUGGCUCUAGGAUCGUUCACUGGGAUGGGUUUUCACUUCACAAAUGAUAUCAAUUCAAAGCUGAAUUGGUGCCUUUUCAUUUCAAGGUUAGCUUUAAAAGAAAACAUAAAGAUGUUUAAAUGAAAAAGGUUUGGUUUUAAGCUAACAAAAAAUAGUAACUAAUUUUAACUACAAAGAAAAGUGUUUCUUGGAGUUCAGAUCACUAGGCUCGUUCCUCAUACAAAAUGGAGAGUUCCGGUCACUUGUUUAUUUUCCUCGCAUUAGAGAAUUAACAUAUAGUUAAUUCUCUAACCGGUGUUGUACAGAUGCUUCCCAUUAAUGGGUUCAAUCACUAAAUCCCUCUCACUGAUGCAUCUUACAAUGACUCAUACCUCUCACCUAGCACUUGCCAUUCAAGGUGAUCUUUAACCUUGGAUUACCCGUCAAAAGCUUGCAAGAGAUAACUAAUGGAUGUCUCCUUGGAGUCCAAAAGCUUACCAAGUGUUGGCUAUUCUAGAAAAUCCUACCUUCAAGUCACCUCCCAAAGGCUCGCAAGGGGUAAACUAGUGCAUUUCCAUGGUUGGAAAUCACUUGCCUUACCAAGUGUUGGCCCAGGUGAUUUAAAGGCGUUUUAAGUUAACUAAAAACAUAGAAAUCACUAACGGGUCACACUUUCUCUUCAUUAAAAACUAAAACAACAAAACUUCCAAAUUAUGCAUGUGGAAACUUACCCGGCUUUCCUCACUCCAAGAGACAAAAAGCUUAGCCUCUCAUCCUCUGUGGAAAAAUCCUCAAAGUUUGGUUGGCUAGAAAUAAAAAUAAAUGAAAAAUGAAAGAGAAGGAAAAACAGAGCAAGACUCUGUAUAUUCUAUAUAUGAUAUAUGAUUACAGUGGAUGCAAAGGAAUUUAUAUAGAGAUGUUUUUCCAACCUUCCUAACUAAGAAAUCUUAUGGUUCGUGGCUUACAAGGAGAAGAAUGGAAAUUUAUACAAAAAUAUCUGAAGAAAAAUAUCCAAAAGAGUCGGUGCAAAAAUAUCGGGAAGCUCCAGGAACAUUUCGCAGGUGAAAAUGGUGUCUGCGAGAUUUCGCAGACACUCAAGAGGGCUGCGAAAUAUUUUCGCAUCAACAAGUUAUUCUCGUAGGGCUGUGAAGUUGGCUUCCACCUUGAUGUUCUCAGCUUCCAGCUUGCGGCAUAUAUCGGGCAACUUCAGGAGGAAUUCCAUAGCACUGUACAAAAAGGCUGUGAAAUUCUCGCAACAAAAGGCUGAUUUCGCAACACUUUGGAGUGAUCUGCUUGCAAUGGCUGUAACUCCUUCGUUUCAACUCCGAAUCACGCACCGUUUGAAGCAUUGGAUUCUUGACUUCCUGAUCUUUGAAAUGGUAUAUAGAAUGUAGAAAAUGGACUUCGGUAAGUUCUCCAAAAGUGUGAAAGAAGACUGCAGCUAGCUUUCCUCUGUUUUCUUCACUCUGUUUUUCCUCUCUCCAGUGCUCUUUCCUUGCAUACUUUGAACGACUUUGGCAAAGGGCUAUGGAGCUCCAAAGCUUGGUUCUUCAUGAAUUUGAGCUCUUCAUUGCUUUGCCAUGGAUUCCAAAUAACUCUCCUCAAUCUUGGAUUGUUUUGGUGAUCAAAUUACUAACAAAAACACCAAAACUUACACAAUUUGAUUAGAAAUGAUUGCAAGGGUCCUUAACAAGUUAAUUGGGUUAAAAGGCAAUAACUACUACUCAAAAGUGUUUAAAAGGAUUAAUUACAAGCUAUCAAAUAGCACUUUUUGAGUAGUAAUCACCUAUAAUUAGUGGUCGUUCUACCAUCAUUGUUCAUAAAUCGUGGUUACAAGCACAUCAUUAUCUAUUAGAGAAUACAACUAUCGUCCAACCAUACACUGAGUAAGAAAAACAUACCUUUAUCUUUUUAUAAUUUCAUAACAUAAUGAUGAAAUCCUAAGUUUGCAUUCCUUGUCUUUAACGUCAUAGGGAACACAUGAAUUGGUUGAGGUCUCAAUACCCUCGACAAUCUAAUAGACAAAUUUGGUUGCAAGAAGAACAUAUGAGUUGUUUUACAUAUUGGCUUAAAGAAACGGUAAUCUCUUAGUUUUUAGAAAAAUUUUCAAUAUGUUGAAAACAUCACAAGUUUUCAAUAUGUUUUGAUUAUACAUAGGUUGAAGAGGCUAUCCAUAAUGGGCAAGAUAUUCCCGACACACUUAGGUGGUUAGCACAUGGCCCUACUCUCCAGGUAGUCAAAUAUCCUAGAUAUAUCGUUAAUGAGUGUCGUUACCAUAUUAAGAAACGCGAUAUGACAUGCAUCACCCAAAAUAGUGGUGUUAGCAUUUUAGCAAGGACUAUGCAAAUUGCCAAUUCUAAGGAUAAGAACCUAGUUUGUGGUGAACUUUGCUUUUAUGGGGUCAUUAAUGAGAUAUGAAAUCUUGAUUACAACAUGUUCACAAUUCUAAUUUUCAAGUGUGAUUAGGUUGACAACAAGAAUGGUAUAAAAGUUGAUGAACUUAGGUUCACAUUAGUUGACUUCUCCAAAAUAGGUCACAAAUUGGAUCCAUUUAUUUUAGCAUCACAAGCCAAGCAAAUCUUCUAUGUUGAAGAUCAACUUGAUCCUAAAUGGUCAAUAGUUCUCUCAAUUCCUCCAAAAGAUUUCAAGAACAUAGAAGGACUAGAUGACUUCACCAAUAAUUGCAUGGAACAUCACCCCUUUAUAAGUUCAAUGCCAGAAUUUGAAUCAUUUGAUGCUAUGGAUGAAUCAUAGGCAAUACACAUGAGAGAAAACUGUGAGGGCAUAUGGAUUGAAAAUAAUUAAAUAACAUAUUGUACCCUUGAAUGAGAUAUAAUAAGGCAUUUCACUUAUUAGUUUUCAUGAGUUGCACAUUAACUUAGCUUCUAUAUAUUGCUCAUGAUAUAUCUAUAUAUAUUAAUCAUCCUAAAUUUCUUUCAUGCAUCAUAAACAUAUGUUAUUCAAAGGUACCACUUCAAUCUUCAUUCAACUAUCUUUUUGUUGUCCAUAGAACUAGAUUUAUAUUAUUUUUUAUUAUCAUGUUUUGAUUUUAUGCUCACAUAACUUGAAACUCUCAUUCCUAAAUUUCUUUUUCAUUAAAACUAUAAAUCAUAAUUGAAACUAUGCACUAAUUUAUUUUAUUAUUAUCCUCACAAAUAAAUUCUUCAUUAUUGAUAAGAAAUCAAAAAACAAGACAAACUUUGAAAGAAAAUUUCAAAAAAUAUAUUUGUGAAUGACCAAUUUAAUUAUAGAAAAUAUAUGCAAGGCUAUACUAAUCUUGCUUUUGAGUCAUUUUACAGGUUUGUUGGUGAAGUACUAGUUUGCACAUUUACUUGAUAUCUUCCACACAAAUAUGGAUCUAGAAGAAGGGGAAAUGCCAAAAAUAAAGCAUAGAGGUAGUGCAUUGAAACCAAAGAUUGCAAAAAAUCGAAGUAAAGGGAUAAAGCUCAAGAUUGAAUACAAUAGCCUUGGUAGUCACAUUGAGGAAAAUUCAGUUAAACUAAGUAGUUAUCUUAGUACAAUAACUAGUACCCAUGUGCCAAUAAUUAUUGAGAGUUGGAGGAAAGUCCCUAAAGAGACUAAGGAGAAGUUGUGGGAUUUGAUCACGGUAAGCCUAUCUAUAGCUUUAAUAUAUAAUUAUUGUAUACAUUCAUUAACAUGAGCUAACAUGGGUUGCUAUUUUGUAGACAAGCUUUAAUGUGAAUAAAAAAUCCAAGAGGAAUUGUUUCAUACUAAUGGGCAUCAGGUUUCGAACCUUUAAGUAUAAGUUGACAAAGAAAUAUAUAUUGUCUUUCAAGAAUGACCAAAAAAGCUGAAAAAGUCACCUCCUAUUUGCCCAUUCAUACAAGAGGAUCAUUGGAGACAGUUUGUUAAAGAUAGACUUUUUGAACAUUUUAACGUUAAGCAUUAUUUUUAUUACAUCUUCAAUUUUCACAUUUACAUAGUUUCAUUAUGUACUAAUUUUGUGUCUAUAUUUUGUAGGAAUAUCGCAAAGUUCAAAAAUCAAGAAGAGAUAAACACAUUUACAAUCAUUAUCUUGGAAGAAAAUGAUAUGCACGUUUUGAGCAAGAUAUAGUAAGUUAUCAAUAUCCAUAAAAAAAAUGGAGUAUAUAUUUUGUUUAUAGGAAAAUGAUUCUAGUUUUUAAAUAUCAUUUAUUAACUUGAUCAUGUUGAACUAAUGAGUUUUAUUGUUAAAAAUUUUAUAGCUACAAGCAGAAGGGGCUAUUGGUAGGGUUGAUAGAAGUGUUUAUGAAAGAAAACACGUGAGAAGAAAGGAAAGUUUAAUAAGAUUACAAAGCUAAUGAUUAACUAAGUUAGCAUAUUUAUCUCUUUUAGAGCCUAUAAUGUUAGUAUGUCUAUGUGAUUAUGGUUUAGGAUGAUAUCGUUAGGUGUUAAUAGGGAAGAGGCUUAAUGCUAUCAUUUUUAUGAGUAGUCAUGUUCUAUUAGUGCAAAUAUAGUAGCCUAAUUUGAAAAUUAAUUUUGAAACAAUAUACAUUAAUUUAUCUAUUAUCAUUUUUAUUAAAACAAUUCAUUUUCUAGCUACCUUGAAUUGGUCCUCUUGAAUUGGUUGUCUUUGAUUGAUAUGUUAAUCAUCUUCAUCAAAUUAUUACUAAUAUAUGUUUUGUUGUAGGAUGAAUUACUAGAAAAGGCAAGGAGACUGGACUACCUCCACCUGGUCCAAAUGACAUAUUAUGUCAGGCAUUGGGUAAGCUUGAUCAUCUAGGACGUGUGGUAGGUCAAGACCACUUGGUUAGGCCGAACUCAUACUUUCAUCAACCAUUUGAUGACAUGAAAAAAAAUAAUCAAAGAAGAAAUAUGGGAAAUGGUGUGAAAGGGGAUGCAAAAUGCUGUAACAAGACAAACUAUGUCUCCUCCCACACCCCAUUCUGAUAUAGGUAGUAAUAACAUGAGACAACAACUUGUUUUACAACUAGUUGUAGCAAAAAAACCAAUGUUUAAAAUGAUGGAAGAGCCCUAACCACCAGAACCACCACUGAAACGUAAGGUAUACAUUUACUUACUAAUAAUACAAGAUUAAUAUAAGUGAUAUAUAGCCUAUGUAAAUGAUAUUAUUUGUUGUAUUAAAGGUGAUUAAAUAUAAAUUAGCAGUGGAAUGAAAAUGAAAUGUUGUUGCAACCAGUACAUUAAUAGAAGAAAAUUGAUCAAAUGGGUUGGUCGUAAUAAAUGUUGCACACAAGCUAGAUGCUAGACUCCCAUUUCCAAAUCCAUAUGAGAUUAUCAAUGUUGGGGAUUCUAUUGGCCUUAAGCUUGACUGGCCAACAAGCCUUGUCAUACUUGAAACUAAACAUCCUCGGGUAUGUCAUUUUAUACUUGUAGUAAAUUUGAUUGUAACUUGGUAUUUUAUUGUUUAGGAGUAUAUAUUACUAACAUUCCUUCAUUUUUCAUAAGUGUUGGAUAAAGGAAAGAAGUAGAUAGUGAAUGCACCAAUUAUUCGAAAAUCUAAGCCUCAAAAUUAUUCGGUCAUUAAAAAUUUUCAGAAAUUUAUGGAUGGUUGUCUUAGUAAUGAGAAGACAUACCCAAUACAACUCCCCAUUUCACUAUUUGGUGUCGAAUUCCGAACAUAUAUAUCUAGAGAGGAUUGUGAAUACAUUAUUUCAUCUUCAGAGGUGUCAUCAAAAUGCAUCUCCUUCCACUUAUGGUGUGCACCUUUUAUUUUCAUUUGUUUUUAUUUUUUUAAUAUGAGUUGCCCAUGUUGAACAAGAUUGGAUAUGACUAAUGAUAAUUUUCUUUUGGUGUUUUGAUAAUAUAAUAGGUACAUGCAUGAUCAACUACAUAUUGCCAAAAAGGAAUCACAAUUUAUAUUUGUUAAUCCUUUUACAAUAUCAUGAGCAGGCUUUAGUAAUCCUCAAACAGAGAAAAGAACACAAUUGUUGUCAAAACACUUAAUAGAGUGCCAAGAUGUCGGAUAUGUUUUCAUGCCCUACAACCCCGAGUAAGUGACGAAUAUUAUACUUUAAUUUGAGGUUUUAUGAUUGAUUUAUAUUUAUAAUUAGAUGCUACUUUUGUUUUUAAUGUUUUAGCUUUCAUUGGGUCUUGGUAGUGAUUGAGCCAAGGAAAAUGAUAGUCCACUAUCUUGACCCUAUGCAUCACAAACCAUGUGAGGACUUAAAGGAUAUCGUAAACAUGUAAGUUCUUCCUAUUAUUUUUCAUAGUAUUAUUUUAAAAAAAAUUACAUUCACCUCAAACACAUUUUUUAUUGUUAUUUCUAUAUAUUAAAACAUAUAAUAUUUACCUAUUUUAAAAUUGUACCCAUUGAACUUAUUUACAUAGGGCUCUUUAAAUAUAUGCAAAGAAAAUAUCUAAGAGAGAGCCAUCUUGGCAACUAGUGCAAGUAACAUCCAAAAAUUUUCUUUACACAUUUAGCUUAUGCAUUUGCACCAUUUAUAUAUAUGAGUACUAAUGUUAUUUUAUAACUGAUCGAUUAGUGUCCAAGACAAGAAGGAGGGUUCAAAUGUGACUACUUUGUUAUGAGAUUCAUUAAAGAGAUAAUUUUUUAUCCUACAAUGAUUGCUUCAAAGGUAUUACUUAUUUAAUGACUUGUACAUAUUUUUAGGCUUCCAAAUGUUAUGCAUUUUAAUGUUAUUUUCUUAUUUGAUUUCAGUUUGGUGAUAAAAAAAACAUAUUAUCAAGUAGAAUUCAAUGAAAUUAGAGGAGAAUUGACUACUUUUGUGCUACAACUAAUCAUGAAUCAUGUUGAUGCAUCAUGAUCACCAUGCAUGGUGAGUCCCUUAGCUACUACAUGAAUUUUUCCAUAGAUUAUAGUAUUGCUUUUCUUUGAACAAUGUUUUUAUUUGAAAAAAAGAAAAAAAAAAGUUCUUAGAUUUGUUCAUUUAUGAUAACAUCGAUCCAUAUUUAUUUUCUUCAAUNNNNNNNNNNNNNNNNNNNNNNNNNNNNNNNNNNNNNNNNNNNNNNNNNNNNNNNNNNNNNNNNNNNNNNNNNNNNNNNNNNNNNNNNNNNNNNNNNNNNGGUAUACACUCUUAGGAGGGUGGAAUAGAGAAUAAAAAGAACAAAGAAGGCAACAAGAUUUUGGGUUUUUAAAUGCAGCUCGUAUGUCAUACAUUGUAGGACAUAAACGUUACUUUAAUUGGUAGUGAGAAUUUUAGAUUUUUAGAUGCUACUUUUAUGUCAUUUUAUAGUUAGUCGGUUUUAUGCUUAUGAAAUGAAGGUAUACAUGAAUCUUGGGAUGCUUAACAUUACUAGAUCAUGUUUUGGUAUGUAUUCACUCUUCUUUUUUAGUUUUGGUGGGUUUGAUAUAUUGGAUGUACUAUCUUUUUGUGAACAUUUGAUAUACAAAUAUUAUUAGAUGAUCAAUGUAUUACGAGUUAUUCCAUAAACAUUACUGAAAAAUGAGUUAAAUGUAAUAUGAUUGUUAUAUUUAUGGACAAAAUAUACACAGGUUAAUCCUAUUUGUUAAUUCAUAAGCAUUACAAAAAUCUACAACUAAAAGCAAUCAUAUCUUCCAUGAUAAUUUACAAUGAUGUGACACCAUAACUCAAAGGUGAUGCAUUUAAUGUGACAUCAUAACUCAAAGAUCAUGCAUUUAAUGCGACAUCCUAUCAUCACUAGAAAUAUAUGAUGUCACUUUCGAAUGCGUUACCAUUUAUCUACUUUGGUGUCACUUACAAAUACGUCACCAAUUGGUACCCUCUAUGGUGUCAGUGGAGAAGGUGACACUAUGUUGUAGUGACACCCUAUGUUUAUGGUGACUCGUUAUAAAUGUCACCAUAUAUCUUUUUUCUUGUAGUGCAAAUUACUUAUCUUACUAUGCAUUGGGCUUUGAUAUUAGCCAGAGACAGUAGUGGCUCCUAAUUUUUAUCCUUAACUGAAAUGAAAACGUUAAGCAGGUCCCCAGCCUCUUUUUCGCCAUUCUUCCACUAUUCUACUAUUUGGUCCAUGAUUGGAUCAUGGUACUUGUUAAUGGUGUUCAUAGCCUCCCAUAUAGUCUUUUCAUGGCCAUCUAAAUUCAGCACUCUCUGCCAUGGGAAGUAAUCAGAUAAAGAGAAUACAUAUAGAUGAGCAAGUAUAGUAAAGAAGGAUUCAACAUGUUGCUCCACUUCAACUCUAGGGCCUCCAUCUUUCUUUCGUUCGCCAAAGUAUCUUGUGUUGAGGAUCAUCUUUCAGAUGACAUUCCCGUUGUAUUGACGGACUUUAUUUCUGUCACACCCCAAAUACUAGGCAACCCAGAACUUGACUCGUGGCCCUAGGUCAAAGGUUUGACCCUAAGAGUUACUCUUAUCCAUGUUGGCAAUCAAUCAAAACACCCUAGAUUUUUUUUCUUUUCAAUAAAGCGUUUAAUCCUAAAUAAAUUUAUUAAGCUAAGAUUUACUAUAACAUAUCAUUUUAUUUUUCCAAAACUAACCAUCACAUUAUCUCCUGUUCACAAGUAUUAAAAAAAUAAAAUUCCACCAAUCAUCUUCCUACCCAAAAGCUCAAAUAUUUACAAUAAUCUCUAAGUCAAAAAGAAUAUUUCCAAAAAUGUUUUACAAACUAAUAAAAUAUAAUUUAACUUAAAAAGGUCCAUAUAACUCAAAUUAGUAGAUGUCAAAAAGGUAAUUAAAAAAAAACAACAACCAUUAUUAUGGUUUUUUUGCUUUUUAGAACACUUCAUGAUCUUCUUAUGGUCCCUUAGAAACUAUAUCUGCAUCUAAAAAUUUUAGAAAAUAAAGGGAUGCACAUUUCCACGUUACUCUUUAGACCUAGACGAGUUAGAAAUUCUAGGUCAAUAAAACACAACCAUAUGCCAAAAUAUAAUAUUACAUUUACAUUAUACACACUAAAAGAAACCUCAACCAUACAAAUUUAAAUCAAUCAAAAUUAUCAUUUUCCUUAUUUAAUCAUAUGUUUAGCAUAUCAAUAAUUUUAAAUUUACAAAAUAAAUAAGUCACUUUAGUCUUGAAUAAUAUAUUCAAACAUACACUUGAUAAAUAAUACAAAUCAUUUUUCCAAAUGCAACCAUGAUACAAAUGCUUACACACAAUCGCGCAAUGCAAUAUCGUUCUCGGGCUUUCACCGAAGGAUAUGCAUUUAUACCCAAAUACACUCCCCAUUCGGAGUCUUCCUGGGAUAAACUUUUGAGUAUUUCACCCUAAGGAUCUCACUCCCUUCUUAACUCACCAUCUCUAGGGUCAUUCAAUUUCUUAUUUUUCUUUUCUUUUCAUUUUUGCCAUUUUUGGGGUCUUUUCAUUCUCAUUUCCAUUUCACACAACCAUUUCUUUAAUUUUUCUUUUUCUUCACACAAUCAUGAUGCAUAUGAAAUGCAAUUGAAUCAUAUUUUAACAUACAUAAUUUUCCAAGACAUAAUUUUAUUUACUCCCAUUAUGUUUCAUAAUUUCCAAUAAUCCACACAACGAUUUUUCUUCACUUUAAUCGUCACAAACAUAAAAGAAAAUUCACAAUUAAUUUGUAUAGCAUCAAAACAUAGUUUUAAACAUUGACCACAUAAAUUCUAUUUAUUCCCGACAUGCUUAAUAAUUUCCAAAUCCAAUAUAACCAUUUUUUUUCAAUUAAAUAAUCACACAUAUCCAAGAAAAUUCUCGCUAAUACAAAUAUCAACGAAAAUGUAAUUUAUGUCAUAAUUUAUUUGUCUCCAAUAAUUUCAAAAAUUUUGACACCCAUAUGACAAAUUUCCACAAUUAAGCCACCCCAACAUUUGGGAAAAAUUUUCCAAUAAUUCAAAUAUCAACAAAAACCCAAUUUAUAUCAUCAUUUUAUUUAUUUUUAAAAGCAUUAAUAAUUUUAAUAAUCAAUACAACACUUUUCCACAAUUAAGCCACCACAACAUUCUGGGAAAAUUUUCCAAUAAUUCAAAUAUUAACAAAACACAAUUAUACCUUAGUUUUUCUUAUCUCCAACAACAUCAAUAAUUCUUAGUACUCAAUACAACUAUUUUUAUUUUUUCAUAUUUAAUCUUCUCAAACAUUACCAAAAUUCCAAGAAAAAUCUAUAAAUCACGAAAUAAAAUUAUUCACAAUAAUAAUCACACUUCAAAUACUACAAAUAACAUCUAUUAUAUUUCAACAACACAAUAUAUAAAUUUUUUUGAAAGAAAAUAUUAAAUCAAAGUUUUAGGGUUAAAUCACCCUACCUUAAAUUUGAAAAUUUUAACCAUUAAAACUAAAACGGGACACCGUAGGAGUGUUCCUUGCAUUGAAUAGAAUAUCCUUCCAAAAUUUCAUGCGAAAUGGACGUCAUUUGGUAGGUCCACCAGCAUCCUAAAGCUGGCGACCCAUUUUUCCCACUCUUUGCUGAUGACUCCCCUACAUCUCUCACUCGAUUUCCUUUCUUCAUUUUCUUUUCUUCUUCUUCUUUUAAACUCCCACGCCAAUUUCACUUUAUAUAUAUAUAUAUAUAUAUAUAUAUAUUAUUAAAACAAAUCCUAAAAUACCACGCACAUCCAUUUCUCAAUAAAUUAAAACCAUUAUUCUUAAAUUCAUCUUCCGUAAUUAUGAAUUAUACCAAACUUAUGAUUUUCCAUUUCACGAAAAAUACCACCGUAUUCGUAAUUUAAUUUACUACAAGUCUACUCUUCAAAAAGUAUAAUUUGAUUAUAAUUACAUGAAACAUUGUUUUUUUACUCUAAAAUUCAUUUAAAACAUGAUAUAAUUAACUAUUAAAAAAAUUUAAUUCCAUAAAAUAUUAAAAACAUAAAAUAAUUUUUUGGCAAUCAAGAAGUUGAAAUUUGUAAUAACCUUUAACCUGUUAAUUUUACCUAUAUUUAUUUACCAACAAAAAUUUAAAUAAUAUUCUAAAAUUUAAUUCCAUAAAUUAAUUAGUCAUUCAAUUUAUAAAAAUCAAAUUCUCUACCCUUUGGUAUAACUUUUAUUUAAUUUACUUCAUUUUUCAAAUUAUUCAAUCGCAUCAAAAUUUCAAAAGUUAAAUUCACUAAAUUCACAUUUAAUUAAUUUAUCCUUUUGUAUUUUUUUUUUCUAAAUUCGCAUAUCAUAAUUUAAUCUUAAUUUAAUUUUGAUUCAAUUUUGUUUUAUGUUUUCUAAUUUUAUGAGGUUUAAUUUCAAUUAUAAAAAUUAAAUUCAAUUUCUUUUUAAUUAUCCAUUAUCACAAUUUGAUAUAAUAUAAUUUUUUAUCAAGUUUUUCUUACUACGAUUUUUCUUAUAAUUAUCCAAUGAUAAUUAAAUUAAUUCUCAUAACAUAUUUAAUAUUCAAAUUUUAAAAACUUAAUCUCAAUUAUUUGAUGGUUAAUUUUUUUCUCAAAAUCUAAAUUUAAUUUAUGAAAUUCUCACUUCUUACAUCUGACGUGGCAAAAUUUUCAAACUAUUGACUUUUGACCAACUUUUCCUAAAUUUAUCCUAAUUAAAUACUAACACAUGGAUUUUCACCACUCUUUUUGACCUUUUGACCCACAAAUUUAUGAAAGACUUUAUGCUUGGAGAAUCUACAAAAACCUGGGUAUUACAAUUUCUCAGGUUGAUAACUGUCGUGGUUACGAAGCCACCACUUGAAUCCUCAGUCGCCAUUGUAAUGGGCCUGGAUGCAAAUAGUACAUCAUGUUUCUUCAAAAGUUCUCUGCUAAUCUCUGGGAAAGUCGUAGGGACGAAAUGAAAUAUUUCCCAAUUGAAUACAUGCAAUUUUAGUGUUCAUUUCUUUCAUAAAGCCAAUGUAUCCACCAGAAAGUUGGCUUUUUGUUGAGUAAAUGAGGUAGAUAUUGCACUAGUGGCCAUGGAGCUAAUCCUGGAGGAAGUUGUAUCGGCUUGCUUUUGGUACUUGUUUUGGAAUUUAAUUUAGUGAAGAUGAGAAAGAUUGAUGUGAUGAAAAGCAAUAAGAGGAAGUUGAGAUGAGACAACACAUCGUCUGUGGUAGUAGAAGAAAACAAGGUUGAGUUACUGCUACUACUCUCUGCAACAAAACCAUUUACACGUCUUUUAUAGCAAAACCAUGUUUGUCCUAUCUUGGGUCUGGAUGCACAUUUUUAAUAUUGGGGAUCAUGCAACCAAAUGUCACACACAAAGAGAGAGAAAAAAAUACGUUUUUUAGAACUUGAAAAGGUAAAAUGGGACAAAAAAUAUUAUCCAUUCUUGAACUCUAAAAGUAAAGUUAUAAAAAGCUUAGGUGGUGUUUGUUUUUUUACUUAAUUCUAAAUAGAACCUUAAUGCUUAAUAGUGUUAAAUAUUAGGUUGUUUGUUUUUGUAGUAUUUUAUUUCUAUUAAGUAUUAAAAAGUAAAAAAACCAAUAUGUUAUUUUUUCUAUUAAGAAAAAGUUACAUAUUUUGACUUUUUCUAUUUAGUAAAAAGUUUAUAAUAAGUCAUGAAAAAGUAGAAAAACAAACAACUUAAAUUUUAAAACUAAAUUGCUUUCAGCAAAAAGCCAAAAAAACAAACACCACCUUAGUUUUUUUUUUUUUUUUUUUUUGUUAUGUAUGAUUACAUGAUUUCCCCCUUUUAAGAUUUUAUCUCAUAAAAUUUUUUUUCUAGAAGGUUCAAAUAAGUUUGAUGAAUAUUGUUUAUUUUAGUAAUUUUAAUUUUGUGGGGUACUUAAAACAUUAGAAGUUCACAAAAAGCAACAUUUAUCAGCUACCUAUCUAAAAAGCUUGGCCUAAUCAUUGAAAUCCAAAAUAUAAAGUGACAACACACUUUUUAAAGCAAUUUUCAAAAUAGUUUUCAAAAACACAUUUAUUUAUGAUAUUUUUAAAAUAAAAAUCUCAAAAAUAACUUGUUUAUAUAGCGUUUUAUUAGACAAAUACUUGAUCUUUAUAAGAUCACCCUAAUUAUAGAUUUAUGAACAUGUAACACAACAAUUAUCUAUAUAUAUACUUAGAAUUAUUAUAUUUUAAGUUUUUAACUACAUAGGACAUCGUGAGUUUUUCCACCAUUUAUCUUAUAAAAAGUUUAUUUAAAUAUGAUAAAGGAUAUAUUAUCUCAUUUCUUAUUAUAUCUGAUGCUAUAUAUAUAUAUAUAUAUGUAACAGAUCAAAUACAAUUUAAAGAUUUUAAUUAACCAUCUAUUAGCAACAAAGCAAUCUCUUAAUCUCAUUCAUAAUAUUAGGAUAAUUUAGUAUUUCCUUUUAUAAAACACUAGCAUAUAAAUCAACACAAAUCAUAUUAAGGGUGUAUUUGGUGUUGAUUUUAGGAAGCGUUUUUAGUAUUUCUAAUACUUGAAAGAUAAAAAUUUUCAAGUUUUAGAAAGAUCAAAAGCGCUUUUUAGAAUGACUAUCAAAUACAUGCUAAAUAUUACUUUUGGAUACUUAUAUUUUUAAAUAACUCUUAAAACUUUUAAGGCAAGUCUCUACUAUUUAUAUAAAUCCCCUAUUAUUUUUAAUUUUUAGAAACAAAAAAUAAAGAAUAGAAACUCCAUUUAAACAUCACCUUAUUAUUUCCUAUUAUAAAAUAACACAAAUCAAAUGAAUUAUUUAAAAAUAAAUAAAUAUAAAAUCAAAGUUGAAGAGAAAAAACUCUUGUGCAUUAAAAAAACAUCAAAAUAAAUAAAUAAAUAAAACAUCAUCAAAUAAAUGUAAAAAUAAAUUAAUGUUAUGGAAAAAUGAGAAUAGGCAACAAGAAAAUAAGAACACAGAUUUACAUGAAAAAUGCUAGACGGGAAAAACCAUGGAUAGAGGAGAAGAAAAUCCACUAUAUUAAAAAUUUGGUAUAAAAUGUGAGAGAAUCAAGCGACUAUUGUAUAGGCAUAAUCACUAUGACCCUAAAUCCUAUACAUCAUCGCAUAUGUAUGGUGUAUGCGAUAAUAUUUGUGAUAAUAAAAAUAUUGUCACAUAAAAUAACUAUGGGAUGUAAUAUUUGUAAUAAUAUUCUUUACAAAAAAAUAUUUUUUCUUUGCUUUAUUCACUUUGAUCACAACUUGAAAUAAGACAAUAAAAAUAUUUUCUUAAUUUUUGAAAAUUAAUUGAGGACUUAGAGCUACUUGUUACUGAGUGAAUUUGCUGAAUGGUGAAGAAUGCGUGUAUAGUAGUUUUGCAAUUUUUCAAACUUGUAGACAUAUUUUGUGAAGUCUUUUUCUCUUUGUAAAGCCCCAUUUUCUAUGUGAAGUUAUUUUUUCAAUAUUCUCUUUGGAAGGAAUUUACCAUUAGUUAUAUAGGUAAGAUUAAGGAAUUAAAUUUGGAAUUCUUAAGAUUUGAUUACUUAAUUCAAAGAAUUUGGUUCAAGGGAAAUUUGCCAACAAAAUAAUAUUUAAUUUUAAUUCUAUGAUGACUUUAAUUAUUUGAUAUAAUUUUAUUUUGAAAGACUUGAUGUGGGGGACUCAUCACUUAUUGAGUCCAAAUUUUGUUGCACCCAAAUUUUUAUGAGCUAAGAAACCAUAAUUUUAAAGACCAAUUCAGUGGUAAGUAAAUCUGCUAAAAUCUUCUAUGUACAAAUGACCUCACUUCAAGGUGCAACACAUACAUGUAUUAUUAUGUGUAUGGGAUGAGUCUUGAAGUUAGUCUUCAUUCUUCUUUGAUUUUUUUUUCUUCAAAUAAAUAAAUAAAACAUCAUCAAAUAAAUGUAAAAAUAAAAUAUGUAUCAGUUAAUUGGAGAGGAGAGCUUUAAGGGCAUUUCUUCUAUGAAAUUCUAUGCUCCACGUACCAUAAAUUUGUACUCAACCAACAAAAUUACAGAAUGGGUCCAUGCACAAACAAAAAUAACCCAAAUGUGAAUAUCUAAAAAUGUAUGAAGUUCACAAUAGAUAUUCAAGCCCAAAUUUAAAUUUCAAAUUAGUCCAACAGAUUUCAUUAAUCAAAAUGGGUCCAAAUUAGCAAAUAUAACCCAACAAAAAUAUCUCAUAUGUCAUAGGCCCUAAUUUAAAAUUUUCAAAUUAAUAGCCAAAAUAUAAGUUCAAUUAAUCAAACCCAAAACAUGAUAAAUUAAAAUAAAUCUCAUUAGGCCUAAACUUAAUAUCCCAUAAUUCAAGCCUAAUUUAAUAUAUAAACCUAAAUCCACAAUCAAAAUCAACCCAAUUUAUGCUAAUCCCGAUUUACAAUCAAAAUCAAACAUAAUUUAAUAAGUAAAUAACUAAAUAAAUUAAGCAAACUCAAAACACCCAAACCACUACAACAUAAAUCAAACAAUAAUAAAUAUAAUGACAACAAUAAUAAUAAUAAAUAAAAUAAAAUAAAAUAAAAUAAAAAUAAAAAAUUUAACUCACGUCGGAGCCAGUUUGAAUGUCUUAGGAAAGAAAGAAAAUGAGAGAAAAGUGAGAGAUGAUUGACAACUGACAGUGGCUCACUAGCGGCAACUGGUUAGUGGUCCUACCGAUGGUAGUGAGGAUUGAUUGGUUUUUGGGAAAAAAAAUAAAAUGAAGAAAAGAAAAUGAGAAGUAAUAAAAAAAAUGGAGAAAUGAGAGGAAGGUGGGAGAAGAAUGGAGAGAGAGAACGUAGAAAAUGAGUGAAAAGAAAUGAGGCUAGUUGGAGGAGAAAGUGGUAGUGUGUGAGCUAAAGUGAAGAAUAAUAGAAGAAGAAAAUGGAGAAGAAUGGGGAAAAAAAAAUCCGUCUCCCUAAAUGAAGAAAGGUGGGUAGCCUAAAGAAGAAGAAAAAAUAAAAUAAAAUAAAAUGGGGAGAAAAUGAGAGGGGGUCGGUGGUCUUGCGAAUGAGGUGGUAUGCGUUAGAGAGAGAGAGAGUGGGUGGGGUUGUUGGGGUUGUUGGGGAAGGUAUGAGAGAGAGAGGAGAGAGAAAAGAAAAAAAAGAAAGAAAAGAAAAAAGAUAAUAUAAAAUAAUAAUAAUAAUAAUAAAAUAAAAUAAUAUACAAAAUAAUAAAAACUAAUAAUUAAAUAGUGAGUGGGCAAAAAAUAUCAUAUGUAAUCAAGAUUUAAUUUUAAGAGUAAAAUUGGGUUAAAAAUUAAUGUAAAAUAAAAUUGGGAUAAAUUUUGGGGUAUACAAAUAUGCACCUCUUCAAUAGAGUCCACGAGUAAAGCAAGUGUAUAUGUGAGCAAAACAAAGUGGGCUCUACUGAAAAAUAAGAAAGACCACCAAAUUUGUCUUAAUAUGACAUGAACUCUCCCAAAUAAAAAAAAUAAAAAAUCUAAAACCCUACAAAAAUGGCCAAAAUGGAAACUCCUAAGGUGCCUCUAAAGUUAUACUAUGGAUCUAGACUCCCUUAGAAAAGCCUCCAAAAAUGGCCCAAAAAUCGGUGCCAAAAUCGAGUAGCAAUCAGACCACUAAGGAGCACAUGAACGAAUGCAUACAAAGGGAAAAAAACCAUACGUGUACCAUACGAUGACAAAAGGCAUAAGGUAUCCAACAAUAUGACUGAUUCACGUGUUACGAGCUUAAAGAACUUUGUCAUGCACCAUGGAGGAAGGGAAACUCUAGAAUAAUGUGAUGAGGAAGUUAUUAGCACAAUGUAACAGAGUGAGGAAAAAAGUGAUGAGUGCAAAGCUGUGAGGACAAAGUGCACAAUGCUAAUGAAUAUGAAAUGAAUAGCACUAGGCUAUAAUGCAAUGAAUAGCUCAGGGUUGUACCAUAAUGAACAAGUCAAGGAUGUGUAAAGAUGAGGAACAACUCAAGGUUGUAAUGCAAUGAACAACUUAGGGCUAUGAAUGCAAUGAACAGCUCAGCUCAAUGAAUGAAAUGAAUAGCUCAGGGCUGUGAAUGCAAUGAACAACUCGACGUUGUGGAUGUAAUGAACAACUCAUGGUCAUGGAUGCAAUGAACAGCUCAGGGCUAUAGAUGAACAACUCGGGGUUGUGGAUGUCAUGAACAACUCAAGAAUAGGGGCACUAUACACCCAAAAUGGGAGAUCACGGUCUACGAUUCCAAGUCAAACCACUAAAGGGUGACCAAAAUGAGGGUGAUCAACUCACUAAAAAAGAUGAUCAAAAUGUCUUAAGGGAGAGGAGAUGCCCCAGAUGAAACUUAAAGGAAAUGAGUAGUGCUAAUGAAACUAAAAAAAGAAAAAAUGUCACAACUGAAAUUGAAAAAAUAGCAAACUUAGAUUAAAGUGCAAUGAACAACUUUGGGCUGUUGCGAUGAGUAGUACCGUGUUGUAAUGAAAUGAAUAACUUUAAGAUAUGGGCAUUGUACGCCUAAAGAGGGAGAUAGUGGUUUACGACUCCAAGUCAAACCACUAAAGGACGACUAAAAUAAGAUGAUCAACUUACUAUAAAUGAUAAUGCAACUAUCUCGAGAAAAAGGGUAUGCCCCAAAUGACACUCAACAGUAAAAGAAUGACACAAAUGAAACUAAAACAAGAGGAUGCCACAAAUGAAACUGAAAUGAUAACAGACUCAGUACUAAUGUGUAAUGAACAACUUUGGACUAUGGAUGCAAUGACUAGCACUGGGUUGUAAUGAAAUGAACAACUCUAAGAUGUGGGCACUAUACCCCUAAGAAAUGAGAUCAUAGUUUACGACUCUAAGUCAAACCGCUAAAGGGCGACUAGAAUAGGAUAAUCAACUCACUAAAAAUGAGGAUGCAACUAUCUCGAGAAAGGGGGUAUGCCCUAAAUGACACUCAAUAGUAUAAGAAUGACAUAAAUGAAACUAAAAUAAGAGGAUGCCACAAAUAAAACUAAAAUGAUAACAAACUCAAAACUAAUGUGCAAUGAAUAACUCUAGGUUGUGGAUGCAAUGAACAACAUUGGGCUGUAAUGAAAUGAACAACUCUAAGAUGUGGGCACUAUACGCCUAAAGAGGGAAAUCACGGUCUACGACUCCAAGUCAAACCACUAAAGGGCGACUAGAAUAGGAUGAUCAACUCACUAAGAAUGAGAAUGCAACUAUCUUGAGAAAAGCGGGAUGCCCUAAAUGACACUCAAUAGUUAAAGGAUGACACAAAUGAAACUAAAACGAAAUGAUACUACAAAUGAAACUGAAAUGAUAAUAAAUUGAUAACUAAAGUGCAAUGAACAACUCUAGGCCGUGGAUGCAAUGGACAGCUCAAGAAUAGGGGAACUGUUCGCCCAAAAUGGGAGAUCGUGGUAUGCGACUCUAAGUCAAACCACUAAAGGGUGGCUAAAAUCAAAAUGAUCAACUCACUAAAAAUGAGGAUCUGAACAUCUCAAGAAAGGGGUUAUGCCCCAAAUGAAACUGACAAUAGAGGGAUGCCUUAAACAGACUGAAGAAAGAAGGAUGCCCUAAACAAAUUAACGAAAAAUGGAUGCCCUAAACAAACUGACGGAAGUGAAAUGCCCUAAAUAAACUGACCAAAGAAGAAUGCACUAAACAAACUCUGAGAAAAAAAAAAAAAGAAGUAUGCAAUAUAGAAUCAAAAACACCUAAAGCAAAAACAAGAAACAAAGAAUGUGGUUUACAACUAGAAACACCCAAAAGAACCUUAAAGAAGUAACUGGGAUAAUGAACUUAAUGAAAAUGGGGUAUGCCACAGUAAAAGACUCGGAAGUAUCAGCAAAUGGGUCAAACGACCAUGAAAUCAAUAGGAGAUAUGAUGAACCCAAAAAGGGCAUAUGCCCCAACAAAAGAACACUAAAAGGGGGGUAUGCCCCGAUAUGACGACUCACAAUAAUUAAGAAAUGGAUCGAGUAAUGAGAAAAUCUGCAAAAUAUCCUAUGAACUCAAAGAUGGGGGUAUGCCCCAGUGUAAAAUAGUGACCAACAUAAGACACAGAAUGUCACCAUACAAUACACUCUGGGAUAUGCUCAAUGUCAAUGUAAUGAAAACAAUAGCCUCAAUCAACAAAUGUUCAAGCAAGACCAUGCAUCACAUAAACUAAAAUAAUAGGCUAAACAAAUGCUAACCAAGUCUCUCAAUCUGAAAUGUAAGCAAGUCAAGACAUGACAUGCCAACCAUCGACAUGAAAACAUCAUCACAAAUACAUCAACAAACUAAUAGUCCCUACUAUCAUGGAAGAUGUAGAACCUAACGUCCAAAGGCAUGUGAAAACUCAACCAGAAAGCUCAAGACUAGUUUGCAUCCUCCUCUAAUAAAAAGAAUGAGAUAAGGUCAUGUAGGAUGAUGAAAUAGGCAAGCUCAAUAUUCGUUAGGCUCUACCAAGAUGGAUGUAGGUAUAAUAGUGUCAAAGGUAGGAUGUCUAGAUUUCCAACGAAGGAAACUGGGUAUCCAAGUCAAACCAAGUAUGUUGAGGAAACUGAACCCAUAGGACAAUAACUUUAUGAUCCAUUGAAAAUAGCAAUCAUGAAUAGAAGGUCGAGUCUCGAUGUCAAAAUCAACAAGGUGGCAUUGCCCCAGUAUGAAUACAUCUUCUCAAAAUGGGUAAACCUUUAGUGCAAGAUAAUCUCUAGAAAGUGUGUGUCUAGUAUAAACUGUCAUCUCACAAAAUUUAUCACUGAUGAGUGGGCUAUACCCCAGUGUAAGCAUUUCCAAAUCAAACAUCGAUGAGAGGAGUACAACCAAUCAUACAUAAUAUGAUCAAAACAAAUCUCCACUCCUCAAAGUCAUCAUGGUAACGUGAAAAGAGUAUCUAACCUCAUUUAAAGAAAGAUCAUGUCCCAAUGUGAAAAAUAUCAAGCAAAGUGGUAUGUCUCAACAAAAAUGCACUCUAACAUGAUCAUGCCUAGAUGUAAGCUGGUAUCUUUAAGAUCAAUCACCAAUGAAAGGGUUAUGCCCCAGUAUAGGGCAAUCUCUUAAAUGACUAAAAUCCGCUACAAGCUCUCACAAGUGUCUAUGUCAUGAACCAAUCAUCUCAAAAAAUAAAUAAAUAAAUAAAUCUAUCAACAAUGAUGAGAAGGUUAUGCUCCUAUAAUCACACCAAGAAAAUCACCCGGUCAUAUCUUGUACUCCAAUGUGAAAGGAAAAUAUGAUCACCUCCAAAGAAUGGCUAUGCCCCAAAAUACAUCAUCGAUUGAGAAAUAUGCCCCUACGUAAAGUACAUCAACUGAAAUAUGCCAAUCAUGCCUCAUGCUCCAAUGUGAAAAAUGACGUAUAAUCUUCUUUGAGGGAUGGUCAUGACUCAAAUCCAUCAUCAGUUGAGAGAAGUAUGCCCCGACAUAAUGGUCAUCUAAAAAAUCAAUCCCCGACUAAGAAAUAUGUGCCUUGAUGUGAUGUAUCAAGCAAAAUGGCUGCAUACCCCAUAAAAAACUCUCUAAGGUGGCUAUGCUCCAAUGUUGGAUCAUACCACAACUCCUGGUCUAUCACAAUCAAAAUGCUGUCCAACCAAUCCCAAGUAUCGCCCACAUGAGAGCUAUCAAACACAAUGUGUGAUGUCAUGGCCUCAAGGUGGUCUUAAGAUUCGGAACGUAACGUAGGCUAGGGUAAUAAGGUAAAGAAAUGAAGGAAAACUAGGCUUAAUAAUCCUAAUGAUAAAACCCCAUACCUUAUGUAUAAAAUGCAAUAUGUGCAAAGAGUCUCAUAAACCAUGGAUCUAAGGACACCCAAUAUGAAUAUAUCAGUGAGGAAGAAAGAAUCUAAGAUGAAUAUAUCAAUGAUAACAGAGAAGAAAUGAAGAAUAUUAAACUGUUGAUGGGAUGUAUAAGAAUGAUGUAUGGAAAAUAUUGAACAUGGAAUGUAAAUUGAUAUGAACAAAGAACAAUGUAGGCAAGGCAAAUGUGAUAUCAUGAUAAGAACAAAUAAAUCGAAGAAAAAUGAAUGAACACUAAUCCACUCAAAUCAAGUCAUGGAGAAUAGUCAAAUCACCAACGUAUGUAAUGAUGGAGAAGACAAUGAUUCAAAGUCCCUAGGAAAAUGUCACUUGUUUGUCACACAUAAAAUACAUAACGAGAUAGACACAAAAAUAUGAGAGUCUUUUGAAAGUUCACAUACGAACUUUCAUAAGCAACUAACUCAAUAAAGCAACCUCAAUGACCAAUAUAUACACUCAAUAAAGGAUGACACUGUAUACAUGUGUUUAUUACUUUUUCUUUUCAUUUUGUUUUUCAUUUUUUUCAUUUUUGUUUUCAUUUUUUUUCUUUUACUCGCGCAUACUCUGAAUAUCAAUAAAUGAACUUCUCUGAGAAUACAUAAUGAAAUGGAUAUACUCUCAAACAAUGAUGUCAGCGAACUCUCUCUGACAAGAUGACCCUCUAAAUUAAGGAUUUUCGAACUAACGUCCAUGAGAUAGGAGUGGAAGGGGAUAUGACCAUCCUUCCUGCACCGAAAUGUGAAAAAUCAUCACUCAGGGCACAAAAAAAUGUGAUGAAAAAAAAUAAAAAAAUGAAACAAAAGAUAUAAACAAUGAAGUAUGAUGAAGACUGAUGUUGGGAAGACAAAAAAAAUUGUGAAGAAGGUGAGCCAAUAAGUCCUCAACUCAUGAAACUCUCGAAUAAAAUAUAUAUACACCAAAAAACCCUUAUCCCGGUGUAAAAUGUGAGCAAGGAUAUAAGAAAGAAAAAACUAUGGUGCUCAUGUGAGGUUCAAAGGGCUAGCAACGGUCCAAAUGUCAAUAAAGGUAAUAGGGUGUGAGCUAACCAAAAUGAAGGCCACCUAUGAUGGUCUGAAACAUCAUGCUCUUAAGCUUUCAAUGAUCAAUACUGAAAAUCGAUGUCAACCCUUUGGAAUUGUGCGCCAAACCAUACUCCAAAUGCUCCAUAAUAAUCUCAAAGAUAAUCCUCUCAAAGCAAAGUAAAUAGCGAUCUCAUAAGGCACAACUACUCAUCACAAGCCAACUCUCAUCAUGCAAGAUCAAUCUCUAUUUUCAUGGAAAAAUAAGUGACAAUCUCAUCAGGCAAUCGACGAAUCCUCACAUCGUAAACCAACCAAAGAUCAUAAGUCAUUCAUUGCCAUGCAAGAUCAAUCCCAGGCUCAAACUCCUCAUACUCUACCUGGUUGGAUUAGAGAAGAAAUGGGCAAAGCUAGAAAAACUGAAGAUGGAAAGGUCAUAUAAUGGUGUCAAGGGUGAUGUUGUGCAAAACUCACAAUGAAUGGAUGUAGGUCAAAGAAAAGUCAAUGUGUGAGAGUGAGUAAGGCACUACUCUGAUCAUAAGAAGAUGGGUCACAAUCUCAAACUCCUAAGGUCAAAUCUUCGAUCCUAGGCUAAUAAGCUCAACAUCCUCCAUGAUAGGUCAACCCCCAAGAUCACAAUGUGCAAAUGAAUAGAUGCCUCAAGUCAAAAGUACAACACAUCAUAUGAUAUAUGGUCCUACGAUGACAAUCUAAAACUGGAAAUAUGUUAGAAACUCUAAGGUCAUAAAGGUGUCCACUGUGAGAUGACUACAAAUGUGACUAAGGAAUCUUUAUCAAUAAUCCAAAAAAUGAAUGAGGUGUGAAAAACAACACUAUCAUGAGAUCGAUACCCCAUCAAUAACAAAAUAUCUCUAAUUCACUUUCAAUCUAAGCUCUAUAAAGAAAAACGAUAAGGUUAUAAAGGCAAACCUCUCAAAAAUGGUGUGAAUGUGAAAACAUGUCUUCACCUUUCUAUAAUGAAAAUAUCAUGUUGAAAAUAGAAAUAGGCAAAUCAACCAAAGAAUGAAGCACGGAGCCCAUGACAAGUGAAGAAUGUAAAAAGGUGAACAUGAUCAAUGAACAUAUCCCAAAACAUUAAGCAUAAAGUGACAACAAACCGAAAGAAUGUGUCAAUUUAAGAAAAGAAGACUAUCUGAAGCCCUAGGGAGAAAGUGUGCUAGACUCAACGAGCGACAAGAAGAAACUAAAACCAUAUAGCAAGGGGUGGUCCAACUGAUACUCAAACUCGUACCAAUAUCUAAGCACUCUCGACUGGAGACCAAAAGAUGGAGUAUUGGAUCCAUAUUGUGACUAAAGUGGCCUCGAAGGCUCUCAGAUGCACCCACGUGUAGGAAAGGAAAUCCUAAUGAAAAUAUCUAAGGCUUAACCUACAAGGUCAAGGCGGCUCUCAAAAGAAAAUUUGAGUAGACUUUAAAGGAUCCCUAGCAAAAGCGAUCAUACCCUCCGAUGGUACACAACCUCCUACACGUCUUGAAAUAUACGGGAGUGAUUCCAUGCAAGGUGGUCAUCACCUCCACACAUGCACUAUCUCGUAUCCUAGAGGGUUUCCUAAUGAUGAAGACUCUUACAUCUCUCAACACUUAGUGGUAAUCUAAGGUGCACAGUGAACGGUGUGGGUUCAUCCAAAAAUCCUAUCAAGCUAAGCAAAGAGAAAAAACAUUGGUCACACAAAUAUCCUGAAAUCUAGCUCUAACCUAUACAAGUCUUCAAAGAUUAGACUCCAAUUAGCAUUAAUGUUUCGACCUUCUCUAGAAUGCUCCCAAACAUAGAUAUAGUCCAUCACUAAACCCUACUCCGAAUCACUAGCUCGGUCAAAGAGCAAACAAAGUAAUAAGUCUCAUAUCAAAUACGAGAUCAAGGGGAACAUGGUCACCCGAGACUAGGGAAUUGAAGGUAAGGGGAUAGAUGUGUGUCCCGCAUAGAAAAGCAACAUGCAUCACACAGAAGAAGAAUAGUCAUGCAAUAGACAACCAAGCAAAGAACAGGUAUAUCAUUCAUAUCUACACACAAGCUAAACAAGAAAUAGGUAUUUAACAAGAAUAAACAAUAUGUUGAGAUAAACAAGAUAAUAUACGAUAAAGAGAAUCAAUCACACCAAUAUGAAUGAGAUAUACAAAAAUGAGAAUAUACAUGUCAAGGAGAGCAAGAUAAUCAUACAACAAGAAGAGUCUUAUGUUAAAGCAAGCAAGAGAAUCAAUCGAUGUAGUCAACAUGUCAAUAUCUCAAAUGAACAUAACAACCAAAUAUGCAUCAUAAAGAAAAAAUGGUAAUCAUGCAGCACACAGUCAUACAAAACAAAUACAGACAAACAUAAGCAAAUAAAUGUAAACACACAUGAUAACAAAAAUCAAUGUAUAGUAAGGCACAUGCAAUAUAUACAUAAAAUAAUCAUCAAGUCAACACUCAUAUACCUUAAAACAUGAAAAUAUACAAUAAAGACACAACGAGAGGGUAUUCACUGAUCGAUUAAUCAAACGCUACAUUUCCCUUAACUCGAGUUCAAGUUUGAUCCUUUAAAUAUCCCUAGUGAAGUCGCUAUUUUGUGGACCCACAUUUUUCAAAUACGUCCUUACACAACAGCGAGACUCAUUUUUUUUAUUUGGUGAAAAUUUGAUUUUUAGAAAAAAGACUUUGAGUCGUCACUUAUUUUUGUUUUUUUUUAAGGGAAAACAAAACAAGAAAGAAAACCUUGUGUGACUCCUUAUUUGGGAAAGACAUGUAUGCAAAAACCAAAUCUGGAUUCGGGGGUUAAGUUCCCUAUUGAGAAUGUACGAUGGUGAGCUGUAGCACCUCUCUAAGCUCAUAUACGUAUGGUCUCUACUAAACGAAUUAAGAGAAUUGUAGUAAUUAAUUAAUUAGUCAAGGAUACCAAGAAAAAGAAUCGCACAAAUGAGUACGUACAAAUCAUGAUAAAAAAAAUCAAAUUAUAAGAAUAGACAAAAUAAAUAACAAGAGAAUUGUGCAAAGUGAUUUAUUAAACUAAAUAAAAAAGAAGAUAUUAAAAAAAUUAGUUUUCAAGAAAUUUCAACGGAUUUUAUUAAAAUGAUUUUGAAUUAAUGAUUUUUAUUUAUUUAUUUACAAAAAAAGUGUCAAUUUAUUUUCUUCAAGUGAUUUGAUUCAAUUUCAUUUGUAUUCAAUUUUUUUUUUUUAAAAGUUAUUUACACUCAUGGUUGUUAAAAGAAUUAUUCACAAAAUUUCAAGUUGACAAUAAAAAUGAUUUUUACUUGCUUUUACUCAAAAACAAUGAAUUUUUACAAUUUUAUUAACAAAAGCAUUUCAAUUUAAGAAAAGUGACUUAAACAAAUUAUUAAAAAAAAUAUAACUUUAUCUGCAAAAGAAUUUUUAAUUAAAAAGAAAAAAUUUAAGUCAUCUAUUUCUAAAAAUGACUUUUAAUCCCAUUUUAAUUAAGGAAAAUUGAGUUAUCUAAAAAAACAUUUUUUGGACAAUUUGAAUAAAAAUUAAUUUUUGGGACAACUUUAUUUACAAAACAAUUUUUGGACAAUUAUUAUUAAAAACAAAAUUUCAAAUUCGAUUAAAAACAAUUUUUUGGAUUUUUCCAAACACAUUUUUAUGAAUUUUUAUUAAUAAAAAACUUUUUUUUAUUAAGAAGAAUAUUUUUUGAGCUAUUAUUUUAUUAAAACAUGUUUAUUGAAUUAUUCUUCUUCUUCAAACAAAAUUUUUAAUUUGUUCGAUAUCCAAUUCUGUACACAACAAGUAAAUAUAUACAAACAAAUAUUUAUAGAAACCAAUAAAAAUAAAACCAAAUAGAAGUGAGAAAUAAAACAUGUACUUAAACAAGCUUACAACAAGCUCAAUGUCUUCUUACGACUUUUCGAGUUUCACUUUCUUUCAUUAAAUUUUAUGCUCCACGUACCAUAAAUCCGUACUCAACCAAAAAAAUUGCAGAAUUGGCCCAUGCAAAAACAAAAAUAACACAAAUGUAUAAAGUUCACAAUAGAUAUUCAAACCCAAAUUCAAAUUUCAAAUUAGUCCAACAAAUUUCGUCAAUCAAAAUAGGUCUAAAUUAGCAAAUAUAGCCCAACAAAAAUAUCUCACAUGUCAUAGGCCUUAAUAUAAAAUUUCCAAAUUGAUAACCAAAAUAUAAGUUCAAUUAAUCAAACCCAAAACAUGAUACAUUAAAAUAAAUCUCAUUAGGCCUAAACUUAAUAUCUCAUAAUUCAAGCCUAAUUUAAAUAUAAACCUAAAUCCACAAUCAAAAUCAACUCACUUUAUGCUAAUCCCAAUUUACAAUCAAAAUCAAACAUAAUUUAAUAAGUAAAUAACUAAAUAAAUUAAGCAAACUCAAAACUCUCAAACCACUAUUGCAUAAUAUCAAACAAUAAUAAAUAUAAUGACAACAAUAUUAAUAAUAAAAUAAAAUAAAAAAAUUUAACUCACGUUGGAGCCAGUUUGAGUGUCGUGGGAAAGAAAGAAAAUGAGAGAAAAGUGGGAGAUGAUCGUUAGCUGGUAGUGGCUCGCCGACAGCGACUGGUCGAUAGUCCUACUGGCGGUAGUGAGGAUUGAUGAGUUUUUGGGAAAGGAAAAAAAAAAAAAAGAGGAGUAAUAAAAAAAAAAUGGAAAAAUGAGAGGAAGGUGGGAUAAGAGGGGAGAGAGAGAAUGAAGAAAAUAGGGGAAAAGAAAUGAGGCCGGCUGGAGGAGGAAGUGGUAGUGUGUGUGAGCUAAAGUGAAGAAGAAUGAAAGAAGAAGAAGGAGAAAAAUGGGAAAGAAGGGGAAAAAAAUUCGAGCCCUCUAAAUGAAGAAAGGUGAGUAGCUUAAAGAAGAAAAAAAAAUAAAAUAAAAAAAGAAAAAAUGAGGAGAAAAUGAGAGGGCCAGUAGUCUUGGGAAUGGGGUGGUAUAAGUGAGAGAGAGUGGGCGAGGUUGUUGGGGAAGGUAUGGGAGAGAGAGGAGAGAUAAAAGAAAGAGAAAAAAAAACAUAAUAAUAAUAAUAAUAAUCAUAAAUAAUAUAUAAAUUAAUAAAAAUUAAUAUUUAAAUGAUGAGUGUGUCAAAAAUAUUAUAUGUAAUUGGGAUUUAAUUUUAAGAGUAAAAUUGGACUAAAACUUAAUGUAAAAAUAAAAUUUGAACAAAUUUUAGAAUCUACAAAUACAUUCUUUAAUCUUUCCACAACAUCAAUCUGAUCUAAAUGAAAUGCAAUAAAUUCUAAAAAUGAUACAAUCUUUAAUCAAUCCACAACAUCAACCCGAUCAAAACUCAAUGCAAUAUUGCUUAAUGGAGAGAAUCGUAAAAUCCUUUUAUGAGAGGAAAACAAAACCCUUAACAGACCUUUAUGAGAGGAAAAUAGGAAAACAUAGAACUAAAAACCCUUAACGUAUUCAUGAGAAUAAAAAAAUCCUUAACACCUUAAUAAGAGGAAAACAAAGAAUUUGAACAAUCCUUAAUCCAUCAAAAGCUCUUAAUAUGAACGAGGGGAAAACAUAACCUUUAUUUUUCAUAUCGUUGAAUACAGAAUCUAAAGAGAUAGAAUUUUUAGUUAUUAAGGAUUUUUUAUAGAUGUCUAUUGAAAGUUCAAGAACUUUUAUGGAUAAGUGUUAAUUAAGAGACUGAAAGGGUACUUAGGAUUUUCAACUAAAAAAGUUAUAACAAUAUGAAUCGUAAGAACUUAAAAACAUCACCCAUCCAUAAGAGGAAUAUGGAAUGAGAGGUUAUAUUUUUACUUAUACAACAAUAAACUUUUUUGGAAGAGGUUUUUCUAAGUACAAAAAGUUAUGAAUAAAAAACCAUUGUUACGAUGAGUUAACUAAAAUAGAAUUAAUUUAGAAAAUAUCAAUAAAGUUGCAUGAAUUAUUAUCAUGAGUUAACUUAAUAAGAAUAAAUAGUAAUAAAGUUAAUGAGGUGAAUUUGGAUUGGCAGAUAUAUUUGAUGAUAAGAUUUUUUUAAUAAUAAAAAAUUAUUAUGGCAGGAAAAAUAGGACAAAAUUGACCUUAUGAUAAGAUUUUUUUAAUAAUAAAAACAUUAUUAUGGUAUGAAAAAAAGGGACAAAAUUGGCCUUNNNNNNNNNNNNNNNNNNNNNNNNNNNNNNNNNNNNNNNNNNNNNNNNNNNNNNNNNNNNNNNNNNNNNNNNNNNNNNNNNNNNNNNNNNNNNNNNNNNNUUUUCUAAGUACAAAAAGAGUUAUGAAAUAAAAACCCCAUUUGUUACGAUGAGUAACUAAAAAUAGAAUUAAUUUAGAAAAAUAUCAUAAAGUUGCAUGAAUUAUUAUCAUGAGUAACUUAAUAAGAAUAAAUAGUAAUAAAGUUAAUGAGGUGAAUUUGGAUUGGCAGAUAUAUUUGAUGAUAAGAUUUUUUUAAUAAUAAAAAAUUAUUAUGGCAGGAAAAAUAGGACAAAAUUGACCUUAUGAUAAGAUUUUUUUAAUAAUAAAAACAUUAUUAUGGUAUGAAAAAAAGGGACAAAAUUGGCCUUUCCUUAAUUGUACCGGUUAAUGGAAUAAUGGGACAUGCGGUGGUUACAAGCCACCCCAAAAGGUAGGAAGAAUCUCCAACCCCCAUUCUCGGCUCCCUUAUCUUUUCCCUUACAACCAAAAAUCAACAACUAUCUUAGAAUGUCCUUCAGUCCAUCAAAAUUCAACAACAACAAUUAUACAUUACAAUAAUGAAAACAAAAUUGAUUGAUCACCAGCUAACAUUAGGAGAUUAUAAGAUAAGGAUGUAAUUGCAAUUAUUGAAAUCACUUAAAGAGUAAAAGUUAGGAACAUGCUCACAAUAAAUAAAAUCACCUUAGAAUUAAAAAUUAGGGACAUGAUUAUGAUGAUUAAAAUCACUCGAGAACUAAAAUGUUUUAGAGAUACAAUAAUUGAAAUCAACUGAAAAAUAAAUUCGGGAUGUGAUCGCAAUUAAUGUAUAUAUAAACAACCAAAUGUUGAAAGGAAAAACUAAUGAAAUUAAUAUGAUUUUCUUUUAGAUUUCUCUUGACACCAAACAAAUGUAAGGAAGUUUAUAAAGGAAAAUUAGGUUUUGAUUCACUAAAUUAAAAUAAUAUAGAAAAAAGAUCUUCAAAUUUUAUAUACCAGUUUUAUUUUUAUUUAUUUAAAAAUAUUUUAAAAUACAUAUAUUUUUUCAUAACUCAAAUAGUCAUUCCUCAAAUGCUAGUUUUACUUGUUAUGUUAAUAACACUAGUUAAUAAUUUUUUAUUGUGAGAACGAUUUAAGAUUAAUAAAAUAAGAAAUUUUUAAAACUAAAAAGACAUUUAAAACUUUAAAAUUAAAAAUAUAAAAAUAAAACAAUAAUUUUUCAUUUAGUAAAACACGCCAGUAGAAAAUAUAGAUAUAGAGAAAGAGUUGGAAAUAAAAUAAGAGUUAAUAUUUUAUUUUUAAAAUUUUAUGUUUUUUAUUUUAAUUGUAUUUAAUUUUAUGUAUUUUAGUUGUAAUUAUAUUUUUAAUUUUUAAUUUUUUUUUAUUUUAUUGUUGAUGUAAACUAAUAAAUUUUUUGUUCAAUUAUAUAUAUAUAUAUAUAUAUAUAUAUAUAUAUAUAUAUAUAUAUAUAUUUUAAAAUUAGUGAGUAAAAACCCACUUUUUCUAAUUUAUAAUAUAUUUAUGGGAUUUUAUAAUAUAAGCAAUUUUUUUUUUUUUGAGAAAGAGGAAAAAUCAACUUUUCAAUUUCCCUUAAUAAUUAUUAUUAUUAUUAUCCAAUUUGGCUGAUUAUGAGAUUAGUUCGUAUCAUUACUAUAUCCAUUUGUUCUUAACCCUUCAUUAGAAUAGUAUUAGGAGUUGAACGUCAGUUGGAAUACAGGCUUAUGGAAACAAAUCUAUCCGAUUAGUAGGUUCUUAUUAUUUUCAAUAUAGCCCCAUAAAAUAAAUAGGAGAUGGGCAGCCCGUCCCUUUUGUCUGGAGGCCAUCCUCCCAACUUAUUAAAGGUGAUAUGAGAUAAGACAGUGACAAAAUUGUCGGUUACUUCCCGACACCUGGCUCUCCACAAGCAAACCCAGUGAUCCAGAAAUUAAUUGGUACCUGGACACGUGACUAACAAACCUUCGCUCAUCUACCAAACCCAUGGCCUCAUGCCUUAUAUAUUUCCACAAACCUAGCUCAAUUUUCAUAGCCACCUUCACUAUCCUAUACUCACUAAGCCAUGGCCAUAGAUACAAGCCUCUUGCUUGAGUUUGCUGCAGCAACUCUACUCUUCUUCAUCACCCGCUUCUUCAUUCGUUCUCUCCUUCCCAAACCUUCCCGGAAGCUCCCCCCUGGCCCCAGAGGGUGGCCGCUCCUCGGCGCUCUUCCUCUUCUAGGUAACAUGCCUCAUGUUGCAUUAGCAAAGAUGGCCAAAAGAUACGGGCCUGUCAUGUUCUUGAAAAUGGGCACUAACAGCAUGGUGGUGGCCUCAACUCCCGAGGCGGCUCGGGCUUUCCUUAAAACGCUAGACAUUAAUUUCUCUAACCGCCCGCCUAAUGCCGGUGCCACACUCUUGGCCUAUCAUGCCCAAGACAUGGUUUUUGCGGAUUAUGGGGCAAGGUGGAAGCUACUGAGAAAGCUAAGCAACUUACACAUGCUUGGUGGGAAAGCUCUUGAGGACUGGUCUCAGGUCCGAGCUGUUGAGCUAGGCCACAUGCUUCGAGCCAUGCUUGAGUUAAGCCAGCGAGCGGAGCCGGUGGUGGUGCCGGAGAUGUUAACUUUUUCCAUGGCCAACAUGAUAGGUCAAGUGAUUCUAAGCCGCCGGGUGUUUGAAACAAAAGGGUCGGAGUCAAAUGAGUUCAAGGACAUGGUGGUGGAGCUCAUGACCACUGCUGGGUACUUCAAUAUUGGCGACUUUAUUCCGUCCAUCGCAUGGCUGGACAUCCAAGGGAUCCAGCGCGGGAUGAAGCAUUUACAUAGGAAGUUCGACCGGUUAUUAACAAAGAUGAUGGAGGAGCACACGGCGUCAGCCCAUGAGCGAAAGGGAAACCCAGAUUUUCUGGACGUAAUCAUGGCAAACCAAGAAAAUUCUACAGGGGAGAAGCUCACUAUUACCAACAUUAAAGCACUCCUCCUGGUAUGCAUAGUUAAAGCUCGUCUUCAAUUUUGUUUUCCGAUAUUUUCUUUCCGGAAACAGCACUUUUAUUGCUUUUAGAUAUGUACGUUUUUAUCAGGUAGCCAUUUUAGGGGCACAUCACUAUUCUUUAUUUUUGGACUAUUUUUUUCUUUUUCCACUUGCAUGGUUGUUUUCAUAUGCUCAGCUGCAUGGCACAAGAAAAUUGUGAAAAAUGAUUGGUUCUCUGAUCAGACCUUCAGCACCAAAACACGCUUUUCUCUAUGUUAUAAAAUCGGUUUACAUGAUUUUUCAACCAGCUUCCUUGAACUUGAACUUUUGCUAGGGCUAAUGCAAAAAAUGAUUGAUCUCAAUUUUCAAUAGCGUUUGAUUACAUAAAUUUCAAGUAUGUGAACAUAUUUUUGUUUCCUUGGCUAGAAUUUAUUUACUGCAGGAACAGACACUUCAUCGAGCGUAAUCGAGUGGUCUCUGGCUGAGAUGUUGAAAAACCCGAGCAUCCUCAAGCGUGCUCACGAAGAAAUGGAUCAAGUGAUUGGAAGGAGCCGGCGGCUCGUGGAGUCUGACUUGCCAAAACUUCCAUACCUACAAGCCAUAUGCAAGGAAAGCUUCCGGAAGCACCCAUCCACACCACUGAACCUUCCUCGUGUCUCAACCCAGGCAUGUGAAGUGAACGGCUACUACAUCCCAAAGAACACUAGACUUAGUGUGAACAUAUGGGCAAUCGGGCGAGACCCUGAUGUCUGGGAAAGCCCGGAAGAAUUCAGGCCAGAAAGGUUUUUAAGUGGAAGAAAUGAAAAAAUUGAUCCUCGUGGAAAUGAUUUUGAGUUGAUCCCGUUUGGGGCUGGACGAAGGAUUUGCGCUGGCACUAGAAUGGGAAUAGUGCUGGUUGAGUACAUUUUAGGGACGUUGGUACAUUCAUUUGACUGGAAAAUGCCGGAUGGAGUUGAGAUCAACAUGGACGAAGCUUUCGGGCUUGCGCUGCAGAAGGCAGUUUCUCUUUCGGCCAUGGUGACACCAAGGCUUCACCAGAGUGCGUAUGCAGUCUGAGCUCAAACCGCUCAGACCAAAACCCAGGCCUCGCUGCUAUAUGGCAUGGAUGCAGUUAAGUAGAAAAUAUUUUGGGAUUUUUGCCUGUGGCUUAGUAUAAGAUGUAUUAGCUCAAAGAUGGUCGUUUCAUUCUACCACCAAGCCAUAUGCAUCUAUGCAUAAUCUAUUGAUUUAGGCUCGAUUUGGUUAUAGUUUUUGUUUUUUUGUCUUCCAAAUCAGUAAAUAGUAGGGGUAUUUUUGUCCUAUGUAGUGAUUCUUUUUGUUUGAUUGAUUAUAUUUGGAUCCUUCAAAAAUAUACGGUCAGAGCCAUCUCCAUCUUUUCACUUCUUGUGCUGCAGAAUGGGAUUGGCUUAGAUCGUUAGUCUAAUGUUAACCCCCUUCAAAUCUAAUUAUUCAUACUCAAUUUUGACACGAAAGAGCCAUUGUCAUGAAAGGGGGACCAGGGACCUCAGCACCCUUGGUUCAUCAUUUUGGUACGAUGCCAACUCUACCACAUAACCACCAUUUAGAUAUCUAUCCUUUUAUUUUUGGCAUGUGAACUUAUAGUGGGUGGCUGACCUUGAAUCCAAUAGUUAUCAUGAUAUAUAUGGCUGAAAUUAACCAUCAUUUAGAUAUCUAUCCUUUUAUUUUUGGCAUGCGAACUUAUAGUAAGUCCGAUUUAUGUCCAAGGGUCAAAUUUAAAUCUCUCUUCAAUCUAAUGGCUAAGAACUUCCCAACUUUAUUUAAUACUUAAUGUAUCCAAUAAUUGUAAUCGAGUAAUCCAAUGACAAGUACCUUCAAUGAUUAUUUUGGCAAAAGAAAUAAUAUAAGUUUGUUAUUUUAUGAUAUAAUAAAUUUAUUAAUACUUUCCUUUUUCAAAAUAUGUAAUUAGUUGUAAUUUCAUUAUAUAAUAUAUAAAUUAAGUUAUUUGCAAUUUUAAAAUAUGCUCAUUUUGUAUUUUUUUAAGUGUUAAUUAAAAAUUAUACAAUUUUGUUUUAUAAAAAGUAUUUAGUACUUUUAAUUUUAUAAAUUACAAGCAUUAAUUUAUACUAUUUUCUUAAAAUAUUUAGUUUAGUAUGCAUAUUAUUAGUUGUUUUCUUACAUCACUACUACAAAAAUAAUAUAUGAUGUCACUAUUUAUAGUGUCGCAUUUAAAAUAAUGACACCAUUGAACUUAAAAUUUAUAAAGGUGACACAUCAUUUAAAAAAUCUUCAAUUAGGAUAGUUAGAUUAUGCUAAUUUCAGAUUUACGGUGUCAUUUUUUGGAAGUGACACCAUAUGAAAUAAAAAGUUUUAAAUUUUAUAACUCAAUGGGCCUUUUUUAAAAAUAGUGAGUAGGAACAAUUUAUGAAAAGUCUAUUGUUUCCAUAUAUACAUUAACUAAUAUAAAAGAUCUUGUUGCUUGACCCUAACCAUCGUUUUCUUCUCCUUCUUCUCACACCCAUGGUCAGCACACCCAUAAUUGAUAUUCUUUGCUUCGUAAAAUCUCGGGUAAGUCAAAAUCUCUUAUCUAUCAUCUUUAUUUUUUUUAUUAAUGCAAAAAACUUUGUUAGUAUAAUUGUUUUAUAUCUCUUGAUUUAGUAUAUCUAUGAUGUGGGUUUUGUAAAUGGUGUUUUUUAUCGAGUUCUAAGGAAGUAAAAACUAAGUUUAACAUUCUAACAUAUUUUUUGUUUCAUUGCUAAUAAGCCCCAAAACAAAUGAAAACAAGAAAAAUGAAUUAUUUUUAAAAAAUUUGUCUAAUUGAGAAUGAGAGAUACACUAGUUUGUAGUAAUUUUUCGCAUGAAAUAGUAUUUUAUUGAAGACUUGACUAUAUUUGAUACUUUUUUCCACCGUGCUAGGAGCUUUUUGGUGAAGUCUAACAAUAGAGAUUGAUAUCUGCUACAAGAUGAUACUCAAUUAAACCAAAAGCACUUAAGUUAUUUAGGGUUUUCUUCGGUUAACCUAAGAAAACAUUCCCACUUUCUUUGUAUUGAGUCAUCUAAAUAGAAUAGAAUAUUGGGUAUCAGAGUCGUAAAUGGUAUUAUAAAUAUGACUUUUUUUUUAGAGUCACCUACAUGGAAUGAAUUAUUGGUAGGUGAACAAAAUAUUGGGGUGAUUGUAAUAGUUGAAUUAGUAAAUGGAAGAUAAGUGUAUGUUGCUUUGUUUAUUCUAUAAAAACAAUAAUUUUAGUAGUUGAAAUUUACAUGCUUUGUUGUUUUAUAAAAACAAUAAUUUUAGUAUUUGAAAUUUUAAAAUGUGAAUGAAAUGCCUGAAAAUAUAUUUUGAAAAAUAGGAUAGUAAUAAAUGGAAAAUAACUCAUUUCCUAAAAAUAUUUUGAUAAAUUAAAAUAAUAUGUGGUUAAAAUAUAUUUUUGUGAAAGUAUUUAAAAAUGAAUCAAAAUAUAAAUAAUUGUUAUUUUUUUUUAAAAUAAUUUAGGAAUAUAAAAUAAUAUUGGGGAUAAUUUUUGAGUUUAAAUUGUGUUAUAAAUGGUUAAUUUUUUUAGGACUGUCCUUUUUGAAAAUAAUCCAAUGAUAAUUUUUUUAAAUAAGAAUGUUGAAACUAAUUUUAAAAAUAAAAUUUUGUUGGCAAUGAUUUUUCUAAAAGUAUUUUAGGCAUAAAUGGAAAUUUCUUGUAUGAAAAUAAGAGAAUUUAUAUAUAUAUAAUAGACAUAAAAAUAGAUUUCUUUGAUAUUUAAUAAACAAGUGAAUUUUUCUCUAAAAAAAGAAUAAAAUAAGAAUUUCUCUAUAUAAUAAAAUAAUUUAUAUAUGAGAUAGUUUUCAAUAAGAAAGUUUUGAAAAUAAAUUUGGGAUAAAAUAUUUUUUAGUAAGUUUUGUUUAGAUAAUUCAAGAAUAAAGUGGUUUAUUAACUUUUCUUAAAAAAUAACAUUCUUCUUUCUUUUUUGAAUUGAUCAAUAGUUUGGAAAUAAAAUUGUUAGAUUCUAUUUUUUGUAAAUGUUUAAGAUAUUCUAAAAAAUUCUUUAAAAAUGAAAUGACCUUUCUACCACAUUCCUUUAAUAAAUAAUUGUAUUUUUAUACAUAUUGUAAAGUAAAAAAAAAAGUCUUUAUUUAGUUAACCUAAGAAGACAUUCCUACUUUUCUUUGUGUUGAGAGUCACCUAAAUGGAAUAAAAUAUUCAAUAUCAUAGGAGAGUAAAAAGUAUUGUAGAAAUGAUUUUGUUGAGAGAGUUAUCUAAAUGGAAUGAGAUAUUGGUAGGUGAAUAAAAUAUUAUGGUGAUUGUAAUAGUUGACUUAGUGAGUGGAGGAGAAGUGUAUGCUUCUUUGUUUAUUCUAUAAAAACAAUAAUUUUAGUAGUUGAAAACGUGUAUGAAAUGACUGAAAAUAUUUUUUGAAAAAUAAGAAAAUAAUAAAUGGAUAAUAGCUCAUUUCCUAAAAAUCUUUUGAUAAAUUAAAAUAACUUGUAGUUAAAAUAUAUUCUUAUGAAAGUAUUUAAAAAUAAACCAAUAUAUUAAUAAUUGUUAUUUUGUUUAAAAAUAAUUUAAUAGUAAAAAAAUAAUACUGAGUUCAAAUAUGACUACUUUGUUAUGAGAUUCAUUAAAGAAAUAAUUGUUGAUUUUACAGUUAUUGCAUCAAAGGUUUUACUCGUUUAAUGAAUUGUACAUAAUUUCAUACUUUCAAUUAUUAUGAUAUUAAUGUUAUUCUCAUUUGAUUUCAGUUUGAUUACAAAUAAAACAUAUUCUCAAGUAGAAUUUGAUGAAAUUAGAGAAAAAUAGAUUACUUUUGUGUUAUAACUAAUCAUGAAUCAUAUUGAUGUAUCGUGAUCAUUCAUGGUAAGUCCCUUAGUUGUUAUAUGAUUGAAUUUUCCAUUGAUAUUGUAUAACAUUACUUAUUCUUUACGAACUAUUUUUAUACCAAAAUGAGAAAAAGGAAAAAGAAAAAGAAAACAUUAGUACUUAGAUUUGUUUAUUGUUUAUAACAUCACAUUUUUAUUUUCAAUAAGAACUCUAAAACUCAUUAAUCUAUGAAAUGCAGGUAUACACUCUUGGGAGGACAAUAUGAAGAAUAAAAAGAAAGGAGAAAGAGACAACAAGAUUUAGGUUGUUAGAUAUGACUCUUAUGUCAUACAUUAUAGGACAUAAAUGUUACUUUAUUUGGAAUUGAGAAUUUUGGGUUUUUGGAUGCAACUCUUGUGUCAUUUUAUGGUUAGCCGGUUUUAUACAUAUGAAAUGCAAGUAUACAUGAAUGUUGGGAAACUUAACAUUUCUAAAUCAUGUUUUAAUGUGUAUUCACUUUUCUUUUUUAGUUUUGGUGGGUUUGAUGUGUUUGAUGUACUAUCAUUUUGUGAACAUUUGAUAUACAAAUAUUAUUGGAUGAUGUAAUAUGUUACAAAUUAAUUCAUAAGCAUUAUGAAAAUAUAAGUUAAAUGUAAUAUGAUUAUUAUAUUUAUGGACAAUUUACACAGGUUAGUCUUAUUUAUUAAUAAGCAUUACAAAAAUCUACAAACUAAUCAACAAAAAACAACCAUAUCUUCCAUAAUCAUUUACAAUGAUGUGACACCAUAAAUUAAAGGUGAUACAUUUAACGUGACACCAUAACUCAAAGAUGAUGCAUUUAAUAUGACACCUUAUAUAUCUCAUACAACUCUAUAUCAAAUUAAGCAUCACUAAAAAUAUAUGGUGUCUCUUCUGAAUGUGUCACCAUUUAUCUGCUUUGGUGUCGCUUCCAAAUACGUCACCAAUUGAUACCCUCUAUGGUGUCAGUGGAUAAGGUGACGCUAUGUUGUAGUGACACCCUAUGUUUAUAGUGACUUAUUAUAAAUGUCACCAUAUAUCUUUUUCCUUGUAGUGCAUCUCAAGUUUCAAUCAAAAAAAUAUUUAUGAUUUGUUUUUAUUAAUUUGUGUCUUGUUUUCAAUUUAAUUAAUGAAAAUUUAUUUGAUCAAAAAGUUCAUUACAAACCAAUUUUAAAAAUCUAAUCCUUUAUUAUAUUUUGAUAUCGUUUUGAUAAAAAUGUCUUUAUUAUUAUUAUUAUUUUUUUUUUUAUAAAAAUAAAUUUUUUUAUAAAUAUAUUGUAAAUAUUUAAAAUAAUUAAAAAUAUUUAGAUCAAAAAUCGAUUAUUUUUCAAACAAAUAUAUGAAAGUGAUAAAUUUGCAAAUAUGGGGAAUAUUUAAUCCUUUUAAUCGAUUAUUUCAUUAAUGAAGUGGGUAUAAUGAUGAACGCAUACUUGGUUUUACUAGGGCAUGCAGAGGUUUUGCAAGAGAGAGAGAUCAUUUCUCGACUCUGAGAAAUCAAUCUCCUUUUGGCCCGGUGGCGGACUCCAAGUAAAGCCUUGAAGGAGCCUUGCUAACAUCCCUGCACACCCACGCCUUCCAGUACUGAAGGAAAUGAAGCGAAGGUUUGGCUCGUUCAACUCCACUGCUUGAACUGUACUAGCAUUCAGAUGCCGCUCUGGAUUGAAAUUUAGCGGUUCUUCCCAGAUUCUAGGGUUCCGGCCCAGCCCCAGACGGCUCAGAAGGACAUGACUGCCUUUGGGGAUAGAGUACCCAGCAACACUAGUCGGAUUCCUGAACUCGUCUAUCCUUUCCAACCACUCCAUCAAUUUCUUCACUGCUUUGCUCAAAAUCCCUGGUUGCUUGAUCAUUGCCUACUCAAUUGCAUUUGAUGGACUAUCGACGCCUGCAAGCAUCAACUCCUGCAAAUUAUGGAAGGAUCAUAAUCUGAUGAUUGAUCAAGUUAUUUGCUGGCUAGGAAAUGAUCAUCAUGCAAUGUAGAUCAAAAGGUAAGCACAACACUACUACAAAAAUAAUUUAUGGUGUCAUUUUUAAAAUAAUGACACCAUAGGGUUUAUAAUUAAUAAAGGUGAUACAUCAUAUGAAAAUUCUUCAAUUAAGGUAGUUAGAUUAUGUUAGUUUUAUAUUUAUAGUGUUAUUUUUUGGGAAGUAACAUCAUAUAAAAUAAAUUUUUUUUUAAGUAUUAUAACUUAAUGAGCCCACUUUUAUAAUUAAUAAUGAGGGAUAAUGUAUAAAAAGCCCAUUGUUUCCACAUGCCACCCAUAAUCCAAAAAAUCUCAGUAUACAAACCUUAUAUAUAAAACCAUAAUCUUCUUCUACCUUUUCUCUUACCUAUAGUCAAUACACUUACAACCGACAUUUUCUACUUUGUGGACUCCUGGGUAAUCCAAAUUCUCUUAGAUCUAUCAUAUUUUUUUUUCUUUUAUUAAUAUAAUUAUAUUGAUUGUUUCACCAUCUUUGUAUUAUGGUUUUUGUAAACUGCGUUUUCUUGAGUUGUAGGGAAGAAAAACUUAGGUUUAAACUUCUAGCAUAGACGAAGAAACUUGUAGAUUAAUUGAUUUUUUAAUAUGAACCAAACACAUGACUGACUUCUUAAAAACAAGAAAAAAUGAAUGAUUUUUAAUAUGUAUUUAUGUGAGAAUGACAGGUACAAAAUUUUGUUGAGAUAUACUGUCACAUAAUCUUCAUCCCUUCCCUAAAACAAGAGAGAGAGAGAGAAAAAAAAAAAGGAAUGAUUUUUUUUGUGUGUAUCUAAGUGGGAAUGAGAUAUAUAGAAUUUUGUUGAGAUGCCACAUGAUCUUUAUCCUCCAUUAAACCCAACAUAUUAAAUCCACUAACUCUCCCCAAAAACGAGUAAAAAAAAAGGGAAAAAAGUAUGAGUUAAAAAACAAAAACGGAAAAUAUGAUUUAUUUUUUUUUAAUGUGUUUCUAAGGAAAAUGAGAGACACAAAUUUUUGUUAAGAUGCAUUGCCACGUGUUCUUCAUCCUCUCCAUUAAGCCUAAUAUAUUAAACCUAAUAGCUCUCUCUUUUAACUUUCCAGUGAAGUGCCUACAGUAUCCAACUCAAAAUAAGACAACUUAAGCCCCAUUAGCCAACAACCCAUAUUUUGUGUACAUCUUGAUGAGAUUAUUUUGUGAGAAAAUGUCAUGAAACAAUCCCAAUUUGAUAAUCUAGGCAUGUAUUUGAGUUAAAAAUAAAUUUCUAUUCUAUAGAUCAAAUAAUAAAAUCAUGUUUGAAAAUUAUUUUUAAAAACUUAUUUAGAGCAAAAAUAGUUUUCUAACAUAAAAAUAAUUUUUUAACUGAGAAAAUAUAUUUGAAAUUAUUUGAUAGAAAAUUGGGCAUGUAUUUGACUUAAAAACAAAUUUCUAUUCUAUAGCUCAAAUAAUAAAAUCAUGUUUGAAAAUUAUUCUUAAAAGCUUAUUUAGAGCAAAAAUGGUUUUCUAACAUUAAAAUAAUUUUUUAAUUUAGAAAAUAUAUUUGGAAACAUUUGAUAGAAAACUAGGCAUGUAUUUGACUUAAAAAUAAAUUAUUAUUCUAUAGAUCAAAGGAUAAAAUCAUGUUUGAAAAAUAUUCUUAAAAACUUAUUUAGAGUAAAAACAGUUUUCUAACAUAAAAAUAAAUUUUUAACUUAGAAAAUAUAUUUGAAAACAUUUGAUAGAAAACUUUUUUUUUAAUGUCAAUAAGUUGUCUUUUUGUUAAUUUAAUUGUAAUCAAUUUGCUUAUACGCAUUUAAAAGUAUAUAUUAUCAUAUUUAGUAAUAUUUUGAUUGUUAGGCAAAUUAUCAUUUUUGAGAGGAAUUUUUGUAGCUCUCAUAAUUAUAAUUGUAUUUUAAUAACCAUUUCCAAUAAAAAAGAAAAAGAAAAAAGAAGUUAGACAAUUAUCAAAAUCUGAUUUUUAGGAUUUUAAAAAAAUCUACAAGCCAAAACUAUCUAUAAUUUUGAUCAUGUGAGAACACUUCUUUUUUAAUACUUUGAAUUAUUUUGUUUUUUUUUUUCUUAGUAUCUGAAAGUAUAAAAGAAUUUCUCUUAUUAUAUUAUUAUAUUAUAUAUGUGCAUGUGUGUUCUCAUGGUUUCUUUAUGUCAUGUCUUAUUAAAGAAUAAAGUGAUGAAAUUUCCUUUGAGUAGAAGGUUUUAGUCCACGCUAGUGAGUGGACACGGUAUGAAUAGUUUGGGUGGGUUGUAUCUAUGGUAAAAAAUAAUAAAAGAUACCUUUUGCAAGUCUCCAAGUUGGUUGAGAUACAUGGCAUCAUGUUGACUAAACCUUGACUUUUGCAAGUCUCCUAGUUUCCAACUUUUUUUUUUCUUUUUUUUUUAAUAUUAAGGUGUGGGGCCAUGAACUCCUUUCUUUCCUUUUUAAAUAACAAAAAGGAAGAUAAUUUUAUUGUGAGAAGGCUAUUUCUAUCAAUUGUGUUCACGUCGAGAAUUUUUUAAUUUAUGGAGGCCAAAUAUAUAUUUAUGUCUAAUUUAGGAGGGUAAUUUGGGUUUGUUUAAUCUAUUCCAUUUAAUCAUACUAUACAAUCAUUUUUUUAUUUGGAUUAUUUUUGUAUUAAAUUUCUUCAACCCAAAUUUUGUUGAAAAAUUACAAUGUAUUAUUAAAAAUAUGACUUGAUAGUUGAUUAUGGACAUGUGUCAUUUUUAGUAAAAAAAAAAAUCUAUAACAUUUUAUAUUGAUAAUAUAUUAUUCUUGUAACAGGUUCGAAUAGUAAGCAAGUCAUUAUCAAAGAAGUUAUUGAAAGUAUAAGUGUACGUUUAUUUAUUGCAUGCUCUUAUAUUGUAUCAAUUGUAAGGAAGAUAAAAUUACCUUGUAAAGGUAAUUAAAUCUUUCUAUAUUUUAAAAACUUUUUUCCUAUAUACUAUGCUUUUGAAGCUUGUUUAAUUAAACAUAUUAGUUAUUUGACAAACUUUUCACAAAUGUUUUGUAUACUUAUGUGUUCUAUUUUGUUCCAUAGUUUUAUCGCAUAAUACUAAUGUAUAUUUUUUCACAAACUUUUUACAACUAUUUUGUGUACUAAUGCAUAUUAAGUUUUGUUCUUGCCUAUAUAAGCUACAUUUAGUUAUUUAAAUAUAUCCAAUAUUAUGUUGAAGAAAGAUGUACUUAACUUUUUUUAUUCUAAAUAUUAACAAGUUUUAUAGUUCUCUUGUCUUGAGAUUGAAUGUCAAAAGAUAGAAGGUCAGUUGAGUAUGAUGAAAGAGUUGAAAACUUUAUCAAUUUUGCAUUAGCACAUUCAAUCAACCAUUCCCCUAUAAAAUGCCCAUGCUUACGUUGUGCAAAUCUAUUAUGUCAAACUCUUCAAGUCAUUACAGAGCAUUUGUUCUUUAAUGGAAUAGAUCUCAGUUAUCGAGUAUGGUAUUGGCAUGGAGAAAAUGGACCCAGUGGAGGAUUUUCAAAUGUCUCACAACAACAUUAUGACAAAUGCAAGUAUAAUGAUGUUGUUGACACAAUAGAUAUGGUUAAUGCUGCACAAGUUAAUUGUGUGAAUGAUCCCUAAGUGUUUGGAAGGUUACUUGAAGACGCAAAAAAACCUUUAUAUCUUGGAUGCAUGAAAUACACAAAGUUGUCAGCAUUGGUAAAACUUUACGACUUAAAAGCACGUUAUGGUUGGUCUGACAAAGGAUUCUCAAAAUUGCGUCAGUUGCUUGGAGAUAUGUUGCCAUUGAAUAAUGAGAUGUCAUUGUCCAUGUAUGAAGCUAAAAAGACUUUCAGUGCACUUGGGAUGAAUAUCAAAAAAUUCAUGCAUGUUCUAAUGAUUGUAUUUGGUAUAGAAACCAGUAUAAGGAUGCUAUUGCAUGCCUAACUUGUGGAAAGUCAAGGUGGAAGAUAAACAAUGAGGGGAAAAAGAUUAAGAAGGGGCUUCCUUCAAAGGUUUUGUGGUAUUUCCCACCAAUCCCUAGAUUCAAAAGGAUGUUCCAAUCCUCAAAAAUCGUUAAACAUCUUAUGUGGCAUGCCAAGGAUAAAGAAUAUGACGGUAAACUAUGCCACCCAUCAGACUCCUCAGCGUGGAAACUAGUUGACCAUAUGUGGCUUGAUUUUGCUUCUGAACCGAGAACCUUAGACUAGCACUCUCAACAGAUGGUACAAAUCUUCAUAAGUCUAUAAGCAAUAGACAUAGUUGUUGGCCUGUUAUACUGAUCAUAUACAACCUUCCUCCUUGGUUGUGCAUGAAAAAGAAGUUUAUGAUGCUAUCAUUAUUGAUCUCAGGACCACGACAACCUGGUAAAAAUAUAGAUGUUUACUUGAGUCCAUUGGUAGAUGACCUUAAAACUUUGUGGGAAAAAAAAGUUGAGACUUAUGAUGCACACUUGCUUGAGGUUUUUACUUUAAAGGUCAUCAUUUUAUGGACAAUCAAUUAUUUCCCUACAUAUGGAAACUUGGCCAAUUGCACCGUGAAAGGAUAUUAUGCAUGUCCAAUAUGUGGAGAAGGAACAUAUUCCCAAAGAUUAAAGUAUGGUAGGAAGAACUUGUAUAUGGGUCACCGACGAUUUCUUCCACGUAACCAUCCCUAUUGGAGACAAAAGAAGGCAUUCAAUGGUGAACAAGAUUUUAGAAUUCCUCCUAAAAUUUUGAGUGGAGAAGAAAUACUUGAAAAAGUUGAUCUCAUUCCUAUUUCUUGGGGAAAAAUGAAGAUAAAAUCUCUUGAACUGAUGUGAACACAAAUUAUUGGAAAAAAAAGUCCAUAUUUUUUGAGUUAGAAUAUUGGAAAUAUCUUCAUAUCCUUCACAACUUAGAUGUCAUGCACAUCGAAAAGAAUGUCUGUGAGAGUAUUAUUGGUACUUUGUUUAACAUCCCAGGAAAACAAAAAGAUGGACUUAAUGCUCAACUUGACCUAGUUGAAAUGGGUUUAAGGUCUGAACUUUUCCCAAGAGUUGACUUGAAGCGGACCUAUCUUCCCCCUGCAUGUUAUUCACUAUCCAAACAUAUAUGACAAAAAAUUAGUUUGUCAAACAUUGUCUAAUUUGAAGGUCCCUGAGGGGUAUUGCUCAAAUUUUAGAAAUCUUGUCUCCUUAAAGGAAUUGAAGUUAUUUGGUUUAAGAUCCCAUGACUACCAUGCACUUAUGCAACAACUAUUGCUAGUGGCAUUACGUUUUGUUUUGCUAAAGCAUGUGAGAUAUACUAUAUCAAGAUUGUGUAUCUUCUUCAAUCAAUUAUGUACAAAAAUGGUUGAUGUGCCAAAAUUGGAUGAAGUACACAAUGAGUUAGUGGUCACGCUGUGCUUACUUGAAAAGUAUUUUUCACCUUCAUUUUUUGAUAUUAUGCUUCAUCUAGUAGUGCAUUUGAUAAGGGAGGUGUGACUAUGUGGUUCAGUUUACUUUAGGUGGAUCUACCCAUUUGGGAGGUAUAUGAAAGUUCUUAAAGAAUUGUUCGCAAUCAUAAUUGGCUUGAAGGAUGCAUUACUAAGUGCUAUUUAACAGAAAAAGCUAUUGAAUUUUGUACUGAAUAUUUAUUAGGGACUCAUGCAAUUGGAAUUCCAAAAGCAACAAUUAUGACAACAAAUUUGGUAGACCUAUAAUUGGUGGUCGUUCUACCAUCAUUGAUCAUAAAUUGUGGUUACAAGCACAUCAUUAUCUAUUAGAGAAUACAACUAUCGUCCAACCAUACACUGAGUAAGAAAAACAUACCUUUAUCUUUUUAUAAUUUCAUAACAUAAUGAUGAAAUCCUAAGUUUGCAUUCCUUGUCUUUAACGUCAUAAGGAACACAUGAAUUGGUUGAGGUCUCAAUACCCUCGACAAUCUAAUAGACAAAUUUGGUUGCAAGAAGAACAUAUGAGUUGUUUUACAUAUUGGCUUAAAGAAAAGGUAAUCUCUUAGUUUUUAGAAAAUUUUUCAAUAUGUUGAAAACAUCACAAGUUUCCAAUAUGUUUUGAUUAUACAUAGGUUGAAGAGGCUAUCCAUAAUGGGCAAGAUAUUCCCGACACACUUAGGUGGUUAGCACAUGGCCCUACUCUCCAGGUAGUCAAAUAUCCUGGAUAUAUCAUUAAUGAGUGUUGUUACCAUAUUAAGAAACGCGAUAUGACAUGCAUCACCCAAAAUAGUGGUGUUUUUAGCAAGACUAUGCAAAUUGCUAGUUCUAAGGAUAAGAACCUAGUUUGUGGUGAACUUUGCUUUUAUGGGGUCAUUAAUGAGAUAUGAAAUCUUGAUUACAACAUGUUCACAAUUCUAAUUUGCAAGUGUGAUUAGGUUGACAACAAGAAUGGUAUAAAAGUUGAUGAACUCAGGUUCACAUUAGUUGACUUCUCCAAAAUAGGUCACAAAUUGGAUCCAUUUAUUUUAGCAUCACAAGCCAAGCAAAUCUUCUAUGUUGAAGAUCAACUUGAUCCUAAAUGGUCAAUAGUUCUCUCAAUUCCUCCAAAAGAUUUCAAGAACAUAGAAGGACUAGAUGACUUCACCGAUAAUUGCAUGGAACAUCACCCCUUUAUAAGUUCAAUGCCAGAAUUUGAAUCAUUUGAUGCUAUGGAUGAAUCAUAGGCAAUACACAUGAGAGAAAACUGUGAGGGCAUAUGGAUUGAAAAGAAUUAAAUAACAUAUUGUACCCUUGAAUGAGAUAUAAUAAGGCAUUUCACUUAUUAGUUUUCAUGAGUUGCACAUUAACUUAGCUUCUAUAUAUUGCUCAUGAUAUAUCUAUAUAUAUUAAUCAUCCUAAAUUUCUUUCAUGCAUCAUAAACAUAUGUUAUUCAAAGGUACCACUUCAAUCUUCAUUCAACUAUCUUUUUGUUGUCCAUAGAACUAGAUUUAUAUUAUUUUUUAUUAUCAUGUUUUGAUUUUAUGCUCACAUAACUUGAAACUCUCAUUCCUAAAUUUCUUUUUCAUUAAAACUAUAAAUCAUAAUUGAAACUAUGCACUAAUUUAUUUUAUUAUUAUCCUCACAAAUAAAUUCUUCAUUAUUGAUAAGAAAUCAAAAAACAAGACAAACUUUGAAAGAAAAUUUCAAAAAAUAUAUUUGUGAAUGACCAAUUUAAUUAUAGAAAAUAUAUGCAAGGCUAUACUAAUCUUGCUUUUGAGUCAUUUUACAGGUUUGUUGGUGAAGUACUAGUUUGCACAUUUACUUGAUAUCUUCCACACAAAUAUGGAUCUAGAAGAAGGGGAAAUGCCAAAAAUAAAGCAUAGAUGUAGUGCAUUGAAACCAAAGAUUGCAAAAAAUCAAAGUAAAGGGAUAAAACUCAAGAUUGAAUACAAUAGCCUUGGUAGUCCCAUUAAGGAAAAUUCAGUUAAACUAAGUAGUUAUCUUAGUACAAUAACUAGAACCCAUGUGCUAAUAAUUAUUGAGAGUUGGAGGAAAGUCCCUAAAGAGACUAAGGAGAAGUUGUGGGAUUUGAUCACAGUAAGCCUAUCUAUAGCUUUAAUAUAUAAUUAUUGUAUACAUUCAUUAACAUGAGCUAAUAUGGGUUGUUAUUUUGUAGACAAGCUUUAAUGUGAAUAAAAAAUCCAAGAGGAAUUGUUUCAUACUAAUGGGCAUCAGGUUUCGAACCUUUAAGUACAAGUUGACAAAGAAAUAUAUAUUGUCUUUCAAGAAUGACCAAAAAAGCUGAAAAAGUCACCUCCUAUUUACCCAUUCAUACAAGAGGAUCAUUGGAGACAGUUUGUUAAAGAUAGACUUUUUGAACAUUUUAAUGUUAAGCAUUAUUUUUAUUACAUCUUCAAUUUUCACAUUUACGUAGUUUCAUUAUGUACUAAUUUUGUGUCUAUAUUUUGUAGGAAUAUCGCAAAGUUUAGAAAUCAAGAAGAGAUAAACACAUUUACAAUCAUUAUCUUGGAAGAAAAUGAUAUGCACGUUUUGAGCAAGAUAUAGUAAGUUAUCAAUAUCCAUAAAAAAAAUGGAGUAUAUAUUUUGUUUAUAGGAAAAUGAUUCUAGUUUUUAAAUAUCAUUUAUUAACUUGAUCAUGUUGAACUAAUGAGUUUUAUUGUUAAAAUUUUUAUAGCUACAAGCAGAAGGGGCUAUUGGUAGGGUUGAUAGAAGUGUUUAUGAAAGAAAACACGUGAGAAGAAAGGAAAGUUUAAUAAGAUUACAAAGCUAAUGAUUAACUAAGUUAGCAUAUUUAUGCCUUUUAGAGCCUAUAGUGUUAGUAUGUCUAUGUGAUUAUGGUUUGGGAUGAUAUCGUUAGGUGUUAAUAGGGAAGAGGCUUAAUGCUAUCAUUUUUAUGAGUAGUCAUGUUAUAUUAGUGCAAAUAUAGUAGCCUAAUUUGAAAAUUAAUUUUGAAACAAUAUACAUUAAUUUAUCUAUUAUCAUUUUUAUUAAAACAAUUCAUUUUCUAGCUACCUUGAAUUGGUCCUCUUGAAUUGGUUGUCUUUGAUUGAUAUGUUAAUCAUCUUCAUCAAAUUAUUACUAAUAUAUGUUUUGUUGUAGGAUGAAUUACUAGAAAAGGCAAGGAGACUGGACUACCUCCACUUGGUCCAAAUGACAUAUUAUGUCAGGCAUUGGGUAAGCUUGAUCAUCUAGGACGUGUGGUAGGUCAAGACCGCUUGGUUAGGUCGAACUCAUACUUUCAUCAACCAUUUGAUGACAUGAAAAAAAAAAUCAAAGAAGAAAUAUGGGAAAUGGUGUGAAAGGGGAUGCAAGAUGCUGUAACAAGACAAACUAUGUCUCCUCCCACACCCCAUUCUGAUAUAGGUAGUAAUAACAUGAGACAACAACUUGUUUUACAACUAGUUGUAGCAAAAAAACCAAUGUUUAAAAUGAUGGAAGAGCCCCAACCACCAGAACCACCACUGAAACGUAAGGUAUACAUUUACUUACUAAUAAUACAAGAUUAAUAUAAGUGAUAUAUAGCCUAUGUAAAUGAUAUUAUUUGUUGUAUUAAAGGUGAUUAAAUAUAAAUUAGCAGUGGAAUGAAAAUGAAAUGUUGUUGCAACUGGUACAUUAAUAGAAGAAAAUUGAUCAAAUGGGUUGGUCGUAAUAAAUGUUGCACACAAGCUAGAUGCUAGACUUCCAUUUCCAAAUCCAUAUGAGAUUAUCAAUGUUGGGGAUGCUAUUGGCUUUAAGCUUGACUGGCCAACAAGCCUUGUCAUACUUGAAACUAAACAUCCUCGGGUAUGUCAUUUUAUACUUGUAGUAAAUUUGAUUGUAACUUGGUAUUUUAUUGUUUAGGAGUAUAUAUUACUAACAUUCCUUCAUUUUUCAUAGGUGUUGGAUAAAGGAAAGAAGUAGAUAGUGAAUGCACCAAUUAUUCGAAAAUCUAAGCCUCAAAAUUAUUCGGUCAUUAAAAAUUUUCAGAAAUUUAUGGAUGGUUGUCUUAGUAAUGAGAAGACAUACCCAAUACAGCUCCCCAUUUCACUAUUUGGUGUCGAAUUCCGAACAUAUAUAUCUAGAGAGGAUUGUGAAUACAUUAUUUCAUCUUCAGAGGUGUUAUCAAAAUGCAUCUCCUUCCAUUUAUGGUGUGCACCUUUUAUUUUCAUUUGUUUUUAUUUUUUUAAUAUGAGUUGCCCCUGUUGAACAAGAUUGGAUAUGACUAAUGAUAAUUUUCUUUUGGUGUUUUGAUAAUAUAAUAGGUACAUGCAUGAUCAACUACAUAUUGCCAAAAAGGAAUCACAAUUUAUAUUUGUUAAUCCUUUUACAAUAUCAUGAGCAGGCUUUAGUAAUCCUCAAAUAGAGAAAAGAACACAAUUGUUGUCAAAACACUUAAUAGAGUGCCAAGAUGUCAGAUAUGUUUUCAUGCCCUACAACCCCGAGUAAGUGACGAAUAUUAUACUUUAAUUUGAGGUUUUAUGAUUGAUUUAUAUUUCUAAUUAGAUGCUACUUUUGUUUUUAAUGUUUUAGCUUUCAUUGGGUCUUGGUAGUGAUUGAGCCAAGGAAAAUGAUAGUCCACUAUCUUGACCCUGUGCAUCACAAACCAUGUGAGGACUUAAAGGAUAUCGUAAACAUGUAAGUUCUUCCUAUUAUUUUUCAUAGUAUUAUUUAAAAAAAAAAAUUACAUUCACCUCAAACACAUUUUUUAUUGUUAUUUCUAUAUAUUAAAACAUAUAACAUUUACCUAUUUUAAAAUUGUACCCAUUGAACUUAUUUACAUAGGGCUCUUUAAAUAUUUGCAAAGAAAACAUCUAAGAGAGAGCCAUCUUGGCAACUAGUGCAAGUGACAUCCAAAAAUUUUCUUUAAACAUUUAGCUUAUGCAUUUGCACCAUUUAUAUAUAUGAGUACUAAUGUUAUUUAUAACUGAUCCAUUAGUGUCCAAGACAAGAAGGAGGGUUCGAAUGUGGCUACUUUGUUAUAAAAUUCAUUAAAGAGAUAAUUUUUUAUCCUACAAUGAUUGCUUCAAAGGUAUUACUUAUUUAAUGAAUUGUACAUAUUUUUAGGCUUCCAAAUGUUAUGCAUUUUAAUGUUAUUUUCUUAUUUGAUUUUAGUUUGGUGAUAAAAAAACAUAUUCUCAAGUAGAAUUCAAUGAAAUUAAAGGAGAAUUGACUACUUUUGUGCUACAACUAAUCAUGAAUCAUGUUGAUGCAUCAUGAUCACCAUGCAUGGUGAGUCCCUUAGCUACUACAUGAAUUUUUCCAUAGAUAUUGUAUAGUAUUGCUUUUCUUUGAACAAUGUUUUUAUUUGAAAAAAAGAAAAAAAAAGUUCUUAGAUUUGUUCAUUUAUGAUAACAUCGAUCCAUAUUUAUUUUCUUCAAUGAAAUCUAUAAAACUCAUUAAACUAUGAAAUGCAGGUAUACACUCUUAGGAGGGUGGAAUAGAGAAUAAAAAGAACAAAGAAGGCAACAAGAUUUUGGGUUUUUAAAUACAGCUUGUAUGUCAUACGUUGAAGGACAUAAACGUUACUUUAAUUGGUAGUGAGAAUUUUAGAUUUUUAGAUGCUACUUUUAUGUCAUUUUCUUGUAGUGCAAAUUACUUAUCUUACUAUGCAUUGGGCUUUGAUAUUAGCCAAAGAUAGUAGUGGCUCCUAAUUUUUAUCCUUAACUGAAAUGAAAACAUCAAGCAGGUCCCCAGCCUCUUUUUCGCCAUUCUUCCACUAUUCUACUAUUUGGUCCAUGAUUGGAUCAUGGUACUUGUUAAUGGUGUUCAUAGCCUCCCUUAUAGUUUUUUCAUGGCCAUCUAAAUUCAGCACUCUCUGCCAUGGGAAGUAAUCAGAUAAAGAGAAUACAUAUAGAUGAGCAAGUAUAGUAAAGAAGGAUUCAACAUGUUGCUCCACUUCAACUCCAGGGCCUCCAUCUUUCUUUCGUUGGCCAAAGUAUCUUGUGUUGAGGAUCAUCUUUCAGAUGACAUUCCCGUUGUAUUGACGGACUUUAUUUCUGUCACACCCCAAAUACUAGGCAACCCAGAACUUGACUCGUGACCCUAGGUCAAAUGUUUGACCCUAAGAGUUACUCUUAUCCAUGUUGGCAAUCAAUCAAAACACCCUGGAUUUUUUUUCUUUUCAAUAAAGCGUUUAAUCCUAAAUAAAUUUAUUAAGCUAAGAUUUACUAUAACAUAUCAUUUUAUUUUUCCAAAACUAACCAUCACAUUAUCUCCUGUUCACAAGUAUUAAAAAAAAAAAAAAUUCCACCAAUCAUCUUCUUACCCAAAAUCUCAAAUAUUUACUAUAAUCUCUAAGUCAAAAAGAAUAUUUCCAAAAAUGUUUUACAAACUAAUAAAAUAUAAUUUAACUUAAAAAAGUCCAUAUAACUCAAAUUAGUAGAUGUCAAAAAGGUAAUUAAAAAAAAACAACCAUUAUUAUGGUUUUUUUGCUUUUUAGAACACUUCAUGAUCUUCUUAUGGUCCCUUAGAAACUAUAUCUGCAUCUAAAAAUUUUAGAAAAUAAAGGGAUGCACAUUUCCACGUUACUCUUUAGACCUAAAUGGGUUAGAAAUUCUAAGUCAAUAAAACACAACCAUAUGCCAAAAUAUAAUAUUACAUUUACAUUAUACACACUAAAAGAAACCUCAACCAUACAAAUUUAAAUCAAUCAAAAUUAUCAUUUUCCUUAUUUAAUCAUAUGUUUAGCAUAUCAAUAAUUUUAAAUUUACAAAAUAAAUAAGUCACUUUAGUCUUGAAUAAUAUAUUCAAACAUAUACUUGAUAAAUAAUACAAAUCAUUUUUCCAAAUGCAACCAUGAUACAAAUGCUUACACACAAUCACGCAAUGCAAUAUCGUUCUCGAGCUUUCACCGAAGGAUAUGCAUUUAUACCCAAAUACACUCCCCAUUCGGAGUCUUCCUGGGAUAAAAUUUUGAGUCUUUCACCCUAAGGAUCUCACUCCCUUCUUAACUCACCAUCUCUAGGGUCAUUCAAUUUCUUAUUUUUCUUUUCUUUUCAUUUUUGCCAUUUUUGGGGUCUUUUCAUUCUCAUUUCCAUUUCACACAACCAUUUCUUCAAUUUUUAUUUUUCUUCACACAAUCAUGAUGCAUAUGAAAUGCAACUGAAUCAUAUUUUAACAUCCAUAAUUUUCCAAGACAUAAUUUUAUUUACUCCCAUUAUGUUUCAUAAUUUCCAAUAAUCCACACAACGAUUUUUCUUCACUUUAAUCGUCACAAACAUAAAAGAAAAUUCACAAUUAAUUUGUAUAGCAUCAAAACAUAGUUUUAAACAUUGACCACAUAAAUUCUAUUUAUUCCCGACAUGCUUAAUAAUUUCCAAAUCCAAUAUAACCAUUUUUUUUUCAAUUAAAUAAUCACACAUAUCCAAGAAAAUUCUCGCUAAUACAAAUAUCAACAAAAAUGUAAUUUAUGUCAUAAUUUAUUUGUCUCCAAUAAUUUCAAAAAUUUUGACACCCAUAUGACAAAUUUCCACAAUUAAGCCACCCCAAUAUUUGGGAAAAAUUUUCCAAUAAUUCAAAUAUCAACAAAAACCCAAUUUAUAUCAUCAUUUUAUUUAUUUUUAAAAGCAUUAAUAAUUUUAAUAAUCAAUACAACACUUUUCCACAAUUAAGCCACCACAAAAUUUUGGGAAAAUUUUCCAAUAAUUCAAAUAUUAACAAAACACAAUUAUACCUUAAUUUUUCUUAUCUCUGACAACAUCAAUAAUUCUUAGUACUCAAUACAACUAUUUUUAUUUUUUCAUAUUUAAUCUUCUCAAACAUUACCAAAAUUCCAAGAAAAAUUUAUAAAUCACGAAAUAAAAUUAUUCACAAUAAUAAUCACACUUCAAAUACUACAAAUAACAUCUAUUAUAUUUCAACAACACAAUAUAUAAUUUUUUUUGAAAGAAAAUAUUAAAUCAAAGUUUUAGGGUUAAAUCACCCUACCUUAAAUUUGAAAAAUUUAACCAUUAAAACUAAAACGGGACACCGUAGGAGUGUUCCUCGCAUUGAAUAGAAUAUCCUUCCAAAAUUUUAUGUGAAAUGGACGUCAUUUGGUAGGUCCACCAGCAUCCUAAAGCUGGCGACCCAUUUUUCCCACUCUUUGCCGACGACUUCCCUACAUCUCUUACUCGAUUUCCUUUCUUCAUUUUCUUUUCUUCUUCUUCUUUUCUUCUUCUUCUUUUAAACUCCCACGCCAAUUUCACUUUAUAUAUAUAUAUAUAUAUAUAUAUAUAUAUAUAUAUGUAUGUAUGUAUGUAUUAUUAAAACAAAUCCUAAAAUACCACGCACAUCCAUUUCUCAAUAAAUUAAAACCAUUAUUCUUAAAUUCACCUUCCGUAAUUAUGAAUUAUACCAAACUUAUGAUUUUCCAUUUCACGAAAAAUACCACCGUAUUCGUAAUUUAAUUUACUACAAGUCUACUCUUCAAAAAGUAUAAUUUGAUUAUAAUUACAUGAAACAUUGUUUUUUUACUCUAAAAUUCAUUUAAAACAUGAUAUAAUUAACUAUUAACAAAAUUCAAUUCCAUAAAAUAUUAAAAACAUAAAAUAAUUUUUUGGCAAUCAAGAAGUUGAAAUUUGUAAUAACCCUAAACCCGUUAAUUUUACCUAUAUUUAUUUACCAAAAAAAAUUUAAAUAAUAUUCUAAAAUUUAAUUCCAUAAAUUAAUUAGUCAUUCAAUUUAUAAAAAUCAAAUUCUCUACCCUUUGGUAUAACUUUUAUUUAAUUUACUUCAUUUUUCAAAUUAUUCAAUCGCAUCAAAAUUUCAAAAGUUAAAUUCACUAAAUUCACAUUUAAUUAAUUUAUCAUUUUGUAUUUUUUUUUUUUCUAAAUUCGCAUAUCAUAAUUUAAUCUUAAUUUAAUUUUGAUUCAAUUUUGUUUUAGGUUUUCUAAUUUUAUGAGGUUUAAUUUCAAUUAUAAAAAUUAAAUUCAAUUUCUUUUUAAUUAUCCAUUAUCACAAUUUGAUAUAAUAUAAUUUUUUAUCAAGUUUUUCUUACUACGAUUUUUCUUAUAAUUAUCCAAUAAUAAUUAAAUUAAUUCUCGUAACAUAUUUAAUAUUCAAAUUUUAAAAACUUAAUCUCAAUUAUUUGAUGGUUAUUUUUUUUUUCUCAAAAUCUAAAUUUAAUUUAUGAAAUUCUCACUUCUUACAUCUGACGUGGCAAAAUUUUCAAACUAUUGACUUUUGACCAACUUUUCCUAAAUUUAUCCUAAUUAAAUACUAACACAUGGAUUUUCACCACUCUUUUUGAUCUUUUGACCCACAAAUUUAUGAAAGACUUUAUACUUGGAGAAUCUACAAAAACCUGGGUAUUACAAUUUCUCAGGUUGAUAACUGUCGUGGUUACGAAGCCACCACUUGAAUACUCAAUCGCCAUUGUAAUGGGCCUAGAUGCAAAUAGUACAUCAUGUUUCUUCAAAAGUUCUCUGCUAAUCUCUGGGAAAGUCGUAGGGACAAGAUGAAAUAUUUCCCAAUUGAAUACAUGCAAUUUCAGUGUUCAUUUCUUUCAUAAAGCCAAUGUAUCCACCAGAAAGUUGGCUUUUUGUUGAGUAAAUGAGGUAGAUAUUGCACUAGUGGCCAUGGAGCUAAUCCUGGAGGAAGUUGUAUCGGCUUGCUUUUGGUACUUGUUUUGGAUUUUAAUUUAGUGAAGAUGAGAAAGAUUGAUGUGAUGAAAAGCAGUAAGAGGAAGUUGAAAUGAGACAACACAUCGUCUGUGGUAGUAGAAGAAAACAAGGUUGAGUUACUGCUACUACUCUCUGCAACAAAGCCAUUUACACGUCUUUUAUGGCAAAACCAUGUUUGUCCUAUCUUGGGUCUGGAUGCACAUUUUUAAUAUUGGGGAAAUCAUGCAACCAAAUGUCACACACAAAGAGAGAGAAAAAAAUACGUUUUUUAGAACUUGAAAAGGUAAAGUGGGACAAAAAAUAUUAUCCAUUCUUGAACUCUAAAAGUAAAGUUAUAAAAAGCUUAGUUUUUUUUUUUUUGUUAUGUAUGAUUGCAUGAUUUCCCCCUUUUAAGAUUUUAUCUCAUAAAAUUUUUUUCUAGAAGGUUCAAAUAAGUUUGAUGAAUAUUGUUUAUUUUAGUAAUUUUAAUUUUAUGGGGUACUUAAAACAUUAGAAGUUCACAAAAAGCAACAUUUAUCAGCUACCUAUCUAAAAAGCUUGGCCUAAUCAUUGAAAUCCAAAAUAUAAAGUGACAACACACUUUUUAAAGCAAUUUUCAAAAUAGUUUUUAAAAACACAUUUAUUUAUGAUAUUUUUAAAAUAAAAAUCUCAAAAAUAACUUGUUUAUAUUACUUUUUAUUAGACAAAUACUUGAUCUUUAUAAGAUCACCCUAAUUAUAGAUUUAUGAACAUGUAACACAGCAAUUAUCUAUAUAUAUACUUAGAAUUAUUAUAUUUUAAGUUUUUAACUACAUAGGACAUCAUGAGUUUUUCCACCAUUUAUCUUAUAAUAAGUUUAUUUAAAUAUGAUAAAGGAUAUAUUAUCUCAUUUCUUAUUAUAUCUGAUGCUAUAUAUAUAUAUAUAUAUAUAUAUAUAUGUAACAAAUCAAAUACAAUUUAAAGAUUUUAAUUAACCAUCUAUUAGCAACAAAGCAAUCUCUUAAUCUCAUUCAUAAUAUUAGGAUAAUUUAGUAUUUCCUUUUAUAAAACACUAGCAUAUAAAUCAGCACAAAUCAUAUUAAGGGUGUAUUUGGUGUUGAUUUUAGAAAGCGUUUUUAGUAUUUCUAAUACUUGAAAGAUAAAAAUUUUCAAGUUUUAGAAAGAUCAAAAGCGCUUUUUAGAAUGACUAUCAAAUACAUGCUAAAUAUUACUUUUGGAUACUUAUAUUUUUAAAUAACUCUUAAAACUUUUAAGGCAAGUCUCUACUAUUCAUAUAAACCCCCUAUUAUUUUUAAUUCUUAGAAACAAAAAAUAAAGAAUAAAAACUCCAUUUAAACAUCACCUUAUUAUUUCCUAUUAUAAAAUAACACAAAUCAAAUGAAUUAUUUAAAAAUAAAUAAAUAUAAAAUCAAAGUUGAAGAGAAAAAACUCUUGUGCAUUAAAAAAACAUCAAAAUAAAUAAAUAAAUAAAUAAAUAAAACAUCAUCAAAUAAAUGUAAAAAUAAAUUAAUGUUAUGGAAAAAUGAGAAUAGGCAACAAGAAAAUAAGAACACAGAUUUACAUGAAAAAUGCUAGAUGGGAAAAACCAUGGAUAGAGGAGAAGAAAAUCCACUAUAUUAAAAAUUUGGUAUAAAAUGUGACAGAAUCAAGUGAGUAUUGUAUAGGCAUAAUCACUAUGACCCUAAAUCCUAUACAUCAUCGCAUAUGUAUGGUGUAUGCGAUAAUAUUUGUGAUAAUAAAAAUAUUGUCGCAUAAAAUAACUAUGGGAUGUAAUAUUUGUAAUAAUAUUCUUUACAAAAAAAAUAUUUUUUCUUUGCUUUAUUCACUUUGAUCACAACUUGAAAUAAGACAAUAAAAAUAUUUUCUUAAUUUUUGAAAAUUAAUUGAGGACUUAGAGCUACUUGUUACUGAGUGAAUUUGCUGAAUGGUGAAGAAUGUGUGUAUAGUAGUUUUGCAAUUUUUCAAACUUGUAGACAUAUUUUGUGAAGUCUUUUUCUCUUUGUAAAGCCCCAUUUUCUUUGUGUAGUUAUUUUUUCAAUAUUCUCUUUGGAAGGAAUUUACCAUUAGUUAUAUAGGUAAGAUUAAGGAAUUAAAUUUGGAAUUCUUAAGAUUUGAUUGCUUAAUUCAAAGAAUUUGGUUCAAGGGAAAUUUGCCAACAAAAUAAUAUUUAUUUUUAAUUCUAUGAUGACUUUAAUUAUUUGAUAUAAUUUUAUUUUGAAAGACUUGAUGUGGGGGACUCAUCACUUAUUGAGUCCAAAUUUUGUUGCACCCAAAUUUUUAUGAGCUAAGAAACCAUAAUUUUAAAGACCAAUUCAGUGGUAAGUGAAUCUGCUAAAAUCUUCUAUGUACAAAUGACCUCACUUCAAGGUGCAACACAUACAUGUAUUAUUAUGUGUAUGGGAUGAGUCUUGAAGUUAGUCUUCAUUCUUCUUUGAUUUUUUUUUCUUCAAAUAAAUAAAUAAAACAUCAUCAAAUAAAUGUAAAAAUAAAAUAUGUAUCGGUUAAUUGGAGAGGAGAGCUUUAAGGGCAUUUCUUCUAUGAAAUUCUAUGCUCCACGUACCAUAAAUUUGUACUCAACCAACAAAAUUACAGAAUGGGUCCAUGCACAAACAAAAAUAACUCAAAUGUAAAUAUCUAAAAAUGUAUAAAGUUCACAAUAGAUAUUCAAGCCCAAAUUUAAAUUUCAAAUUAGUCCAAUAGAUUUCAUCAAUCAAAAUGGGUCCAAAUUAGCAAAUAUAACCCAACAAAAAUAUCUCAUAUGUCAUAGGCCCUAAUUUAAAAUUUUCAAAUUAAUAGCCAAAAUAUAAGUUCAAUUAAUCAAACCCAAAACAUGAUAAAUUAAAAUAAAUCUCAUUAGGCCUAUACUUAAUAUCCCAUAAUUCAAGCCUAAUUUAAUAUAUAAACCUAAAUCCACAAUCAAAAUCAACCCAAUUUAUGCUAAUCCCGAUUUACAAUCAAAAUCAAACAUAAUUUAAUAAGUAAAUAACUAAAUAAAUUAAGCAAACUCAAAACACCCAAACCACUACAACAUAAAUCAAACAAUAAUAAAUAUAAUGACAAUAAUAAUAAUAAUAAUAAUAAUAAUAAUAAUAAUAAAAUAAAAUAAAAUAAAAUAAAAAAAUUUAACUCAUGUCGGAGCCAGUUUGAAUGUCUUGGGAAAGAAAGAAAAUGAGAGAAAAGUGAGAGAUGAUUGACAACUGACAGUGGCUCACUGGCGACGACUGGCUAGUGGUCCUACCGAUGGUAGUGAGGAUUGAUUGGUUUUUGGGAAAAAAAAUAAAAUGAAGAAAAGAAAAUGAGGUGUAAUAAAAAAAUGGAGAAUUGAGAGGAAGGUGGGAGAAGAAUGGAGAGAGAGAACAUAGAAAAUGAGUGAAAAGAAAUGAGGCUAGUUGGAGGAGGAAGUGGUAGUGUGUGAGCUAAAGUGAAGAAGAAUAGAAGAAGAAAAUGGAGAAGAAUGGGGAAAAAAAAUCCGCCUCCUUAAAUGAAGAGAGGUGGGUAGCCUAAAGAAGAAGAAAAAAUAAAAUAAAAUAAAAUGGGGAGAAAAUGAGAGGGGGUCGGUGGUCUUGUGAAUGAGGUGGUAUGCGUUAGAGAGAGAGAGUGGGUGGGGUUGUUGGGGAAGGUAUGAGAGAGAGAGGAGAGAGAAAAGAAAAAAAAGAAAGAAAAGAAAAAAGAUAAUAUAAAAUAAUAAUAAUAAUAAAAUAAAAUAAUAUACAAAAUAAUAAAAACUAAUAAUUAAAUAGUGAGUGGGCAAAAAAUAUCAUAUGUAAUCGGGAUUUAAUUUUAAGAGUAAAAUUGGGUUAAAAAUUAAUGUAAAAUAAAAUUAGGACAAAUUUUGGGGUAUACAAAUAUGCGCCUCUUCGGUAGAGUCCACGAGUAAAGCAAGUGUAUAUGUGAGCAAAACAAAGUGGGCUCUACUGAAAAACAAGACAAACCACCAAAUUUGUCUUAAUAUGACAUGAACUCUCCCAAAAAAAAAAAAAAAAAAAAAAUCUAAAACCCUACAAAAAUGGCCAAAACGGAAACUCCUAAGGUGCCUUUAAAGUUAUACUAUGGAUCUAGACUCCCUUAGAAAAGCCUCCAAAAAUGGCCCAAAAAUCGGUGUCAAAAUCGAGUAGCAAUCAGACCACUAAGGAGCACAUGAACGAAUGCAUACAAAGGGAAAAAAACCAUACGUGUACCAUACGAUGACAAAAGGCAUAAGGUAUCCAACAAUAUGACUGAUUCACGUGUUACGAGCUCAAAGAACUUUGUCAUGCACCAUGGAGGAAGGGAAACUCUAGAAUAAUGUGAUGAGGAAGUUAUUAGCACAAUGUAAUAGAGUGAGGAAAAAAGUGAUGAGUGCAAAGCUGUGAGGACAAGGUGCACAAUGCUAAUGAAUAUGAAAUGAAUAGCACUAGGCUAUAAUGCAAUGAAUAGCUCAGGGUUGUACCAUAAUGAACAAGUCAAGGAUGUGUAAAGAUGAGGAACAACUCAAGGUUGUAAUGCAAUGAACAACUUAGGGUUGUGAAUGCAAUGAACAGCUCAGCGCAAUGAAUGAAAUGAAUAGCUCAGGGCUGUGAAUGCAAUGAACAACUCGAGGUUGUGGAUGUAAUGAACAACUCAUGGUCAUGGAUGCAAUGAACAGCUCAGGGCUGUAGAUGAACAACUCAGGGUUGUGGAUGUCAUGAACAACUCAAGAAUAGGGGCACUGUACACCCAAAAUGGGAGAUCACGGUCUACGAUUCCAAGUCAAACCACUAAAGGGUGACCAAAAUGAGGGUGAUCAACUCACUAAAAAAGAUGAUCAAAAUGUCUUAAGGGAGAGGAGAUGCCCCAGAUGAAACUUAAAGGAAGUGAGUAGUGCUAAUGAAACUAAAAAAAGAAAAAAUGUCACAACUGAAAUUGAAAAAAUAGCAAACUUAGAUUAAAGUGCAAUGAACAACUUUGGGUUGUGGAUGCGAUGAACAGUACCUUGUUGUAAUGAAAUGAAUAACUCUAAGAUAUGGGCAUUGUACGCCUAAAGAGGGAGAUCGUGGUUUACGACUCCAAGUCAAACCACUAAAGGACGACUAAAAUAAGAUGAUCAACUUACGAUAAAUGAGAAUGCAACUAUCUCGAGAAAAAGGGUAUGCCCCAAAUGACACUCAAUAGUAAAAGAAUGACACAAAUGAAACUAAAACAAGAGGAUGCCACAAAUGAAACUGAAAUGAUAACAGACUCAGUACUAAUGUGUAAUGAACAACUUUGGACUAUGGAUGCAAUGAAUAGCACUGGGUUGUAAUGAAAUGAACAACUCUAAGAUGUGGGCACUAUACGCCUAAGAAAUGAGAUCAUAGUUUACGACUCUAAGUCAAACCGCUAAAGGGCGACUAGAAUAGGAUAAUCAACUCACUAAAAAUGAGGAUGCAACUAUCUCGAGAAAGGGGGUAUGCCCUAAAUGACACUCAACAGUAUAAGAAUGACAUAAAUGAAACUAAAAUAAGAGGAUGCCACAAAUAAAACUAAAAUGAUAACAAACUCAAAACUAAUGUGCAAUGAAUAACUCUAGGUUGUGGAUGCAAUGAACAACACUGGGCUGUAAUGAAAUGAACAACUCUAAGAUGUGGGCACUAUACGCCUAAAGAGGGAAAUCACGGUCUACGACUCCAAGUCAAACCACUAAAGGGCGACUAGAAUAGGAUGAUCAACUCACUAAAAAUGAGAAUGCAACUAUCUCGAGAAAAGAGGGAUGCCCUAAAUGACACUCAAUAGUUAAAGGAUGACACAAAUGAAACUAAAACGAAAUGAUACUACAAAUGAAACUGAAAUGAUAACAAACUGAUAACUAAAGUGCAAUGAACAACUCUAGGCCGUGGAUGCAAUGGACAGCUCAAGAAUAGGGGAACUAUUCGCCCAAAAUGGGAGAUCGUGGUCUGCGACUCUAAGUCAAACCACUAAAGGGUGGCUAAAAUCAAAAUGAUCAAUUCACUAAAAAUGAGGAUCUGAACAUCUCAAGAAAGGGGUUAUGCCCCAAAUGAAACUGACAAUAGAGGGAUGCCCUAAACAGACUGAAAAAAGGAGGAUGCCUUAAACAAACUAACGAAAAAUGGAUGCCCUAAACAAAUUGACGGAAGUGAAAUGCCCUAAAUAAACUGACCAAAGAAGAAUGCACUAAACAAACUCCAAGAAAAAAAAAGAAGAAGUAUGCGAUAUAGAAUCAAAAACACCUAAAACAAAAACAAGAAACAAAGAAUGUGGUUUACAACUAGAAACACCCAAAAGAACCUUAAAGAAGUGACUGGGAUAAUGAACUUAAUGAAAAUGGGGUAUGCCACAGUAAAAGACUCGGAAGUAUCAGCAAAUGGAUCAAACGACCAUGAAAUCAAUAGGAGAUAUGAUGAACCCAAAAAGGGCGUAUGCCCCAACAAAAGAACACUAAAAGGGGGGUAUGCCUUGAUAUGACGACUCACAAUAAUUAAGAAAUGGAUCGAGUAAUGAGAAAAUCUGCAAAAUAUCUUAUGAACUCAAAGAUGGGGGUAUGCCCCAGUGUAAAAUAGUGACCAACAUAAGACACAGAAUGUCACCAUACAAUACACUCUGGGAUAUGCUCAAUGACAAUGUAAUGAAAACAAUAGCCUCAAUCAACAAAUGUUCAAGCAAGACCAUGCAUCACAUAAACUAAAAUAAUAGGCUAAACAAAUGCUAACCAAGUCUCUCAAUCUGAAAUGUAAGCAAGUCAAGACAUGACAUGUCAACCAUCGACAUGAAAACAUCAUCACAAAUACAUCAACAAACUAAUAGUCCCUACUAUCAUGGAAGAUGUAGAACCUAACGUCCAAAGGCAUGUGAAAACUCAACCAAAAAGCUCAAGACUAGUUUGCAUCCUCCUCUAAUAAAAAGAAUGAGAUAAGGUCAUGUAGGAUGAUGAAAUAGGCAAGCUCAAUAUUCGUUAGGCUCUACCAAGAUGGAUGUAGGUAUAAUAGUGUCAAAGGUAGGAUGUCUAGAUGUCCAACGAAGGAAACUGGGUAUCCAAGUCAAACCAAGUAUGUUGAGGAAACUGAAGCCAUAGGACAAUAACUUUAUGAUCCAUUGAAAAUAGCAAUCAUGAAUAGAAGGUCGAGUCUCGAUGUCAAAAUCAACAAGGUGGCAUUGCCCCAGUAUGAAUACAUCUUCUCAAAAUGGGUAAACCCUCAGUGCAAGAUAAUCUCUAGAUAGUAUGUGUCUAGUAUAAACUGUCAUCUCACAAAAUCUAUCACUGAUGAGUGGGCUAUACCCCAGUGUAAGCAUUUCCAAAUCAAACAUCGAUGAGAGGAGUACAACCAAUCAUACAUAAUAUGAUCAAAACAAAUCUCCACUCCUCAAAGUCAUCAUGGUAACGUGAAGAGAGUAUCUAACCUCAUUUAAAGAAAGAUCAUGUCCCAAUGUGAAAAAUAUCAAGCAAAGUGGUAUGUCUCAACAAAAAUGCACUCUAACAUGAUCAUGCCUAGAUGUAAGCUGGUAUCUUUAAGAUCAAUCACCAAUGAAAGGGUUAUGCCCCAGUAUAGGGCAAUCUCUGAAAUGACUAAAAUCCGCUACAAGCUCUCACAAGUGUCUAUGUCAUGAACCAAUCAUCUCAAAAAAUAAAUAAAUAAAUAAAUAAAUCUAUCAACAAUGAUGAGAAGGUUAUGCUAUAAUCACAUCAAGAAAAUCACUCGGUCAUAUCUUGUACUCCAAUGUGAAAGGAAAAUAUGAUCACCUCUAAAGAAUGGCUAUGCCCCAAAAUACAUCAUCGAUUGAGAAAUAUGCCCCUACGUAAAGUACAUCAACUGAAAUAUGCCAAUCAUGCCUCAUGUUCCAAUGUGAAAAAUGACAUAUAAUAUUCUUUGAGGGAUGGUCAUGACUCAAAAUCCAUCAUCAGUUGAGAGAAGUAUGCCCCGACAUAAUGGUCAUCUAAAAAAUCAAUCUCCGACUAAGAAAUGUGUGCCUUGAUGUGAUGUAUCAAGCAAACUGGCUGCAUACCCCAUAAAAAACUCUCUAAGGUGGCUAUGCUCCAAUGUUGGAUCAUACCACAACUCCUGGUCUAUCACAAUCAAAAUGCUCUCCAACCAAUCCCAAGUAUCGCCCACAUGAGAGCUAUCAAACACAAUGUGUGAUGUCAUGGCCUCAAGGUGGUCUUAAGAUUCAGGACGUAACGUAGGCUAGGGUAAUAAGGUGAAGAAAUGAAGGAAAACUAGGCUUAAUAAUCCUAAUGAUAAAACCCCAUACCCUUAUGUAUAAAAUGCAAUAUGUGCAAAGAGUCUUAUAAACCAUGGAUCUAAGGACACCCAAUAUGAAUAUAUCAGUGAGGAAGAAAGAAUCUAAGAUGAAUAUAUCAAUGAUAAAAGAGAAGAAAUGAAGAAUAUCAAACUGCUGAUGGGAUGUAUAAGAAUGAUGUGUGGAAAAUAUUGAACAUGGAAUGUAAAUUGAUAUGAACAAAGAACAAUGUAGGCAAGGCAAAUGCGAUAUCAUGAUAAGAACAAAUAAAUCGAAGAAAAAUGAAUGAACACUAAUCCACUCAAAUCAAGUCAUGGAGAAUAGUCAAAUCACCAACGUAUGUAAUGAUGGAGAAGACAAUGAUUCGAAGUCCCUAGGAAAAUGUCACUUGUUUGUCACACAUAAAAUACAUAACGAGAUAGACACAAAAAUAUGAGAGUUUUUUGAAAGUUCACAUACGAACUUUCAUAAGCAACUAACUCAAUAAAGCAACCUCAAUGACCAAUAUAUACACUCAAUAAAGGAUGACACUGUAUACAUGUGUUUAUUACUUUUUCUUUUUCAUUUUUUUCAUUUUUGUUUUUAUUUUUUUUCUUUUGCUCGCGCAUACUCUGAAUAUCAAUAAAUGAACUUCUCUGAGAAUACAUAAUGAAAUGGAUAUACUCUCAAACAAUGAUGUAAGCGAACUCUCUCUGACAAGAUGACCCUCUAAAUUAAGGAUUUUCAAACUAACGUCCAUGAGAUAGGAGUGGAAGGGGAUAUGACCAUCCUCCCUGCACCGAAAUGUGAAAAAUCAUCACUCAGGGCACAAAAAAAUGUGAUGAAAAAAAAUAAAAAAUGAAACAAAAGAUAUAAACAAUGAAGUAUGAUGAAGACUGAUGUUGGGAAGACAAAAAAAUAGUGAAGAAUGUGAGCCAAUAAGUCCACAACUCAUGAAACUCUCGAAUAAAAUAUAUAUAUACACCAAAAGACCCUUAUCCCGGUGUAAAAUGUGAGCAAGGAUAUAAGAAAGAAAAGACUAUGGUGCUCAUGUGAGGUUCAAAGGGCUAGCAACGGUCCAAAUGUCAAUAAAGGUAAUAGGGUGUGAGCUAACCAAAAUGAAGGCCACCUAUGAUGGUCUGAAACAUCAUGCUCUUAAGCUUUCAAUGAUCAAUACUGAAAAUCGAUGUCCAUUUGAUAUAAACACGUCAACCCUUUGGAAUUGUGCGCCAAACCAUACUCCAAAUGCUCCAUAAUAAUCUCAAAGAUAAUCCUCUCAAAGCAAAGUAAAUAGCGAUCUCAUAAGGCACAACUACUCAUCACAAGCCAACUCUCAUCAUGCAAGAUCAAUCUCUAUUUUCAUGGAAAAAUAAGUGACAAUCUCAUCAGGUAAUCGACGAAUCCUCACAUCAUAAACCAACCAAAGAUCAUAAGUCAUUCAUUGCCAUGCAAGAUCAAUCCCAGACUCAAACUCCUCAUACUCUACCUGGUUGGAUUAGAGAAGAAAUGGGCAAAACUAGAAAAACUGAAGAUGGAAAGGUCAUAUAAUGGUGUCAAGGGUGAUGUUGUGCAAAACUCACAAUGGAUGGAUGUAGGUCAAAGCAAAGUCAAUGUGUGAGAGUGAGUAAGGCACUACUCUGAUCAUAAGAAGAUGGGUCACAAUCUCAAACUCCUAAGGUCAAAUCUCCGAUCCUAGGCUAAUAAGCUCAACAUCCUCCAUGAUAGGUCAACCCCCAAGAUCACAAUGUGCAAAUGAAUAGAUGCCUCAAGUCAAAAGUACAACACAUCAUAUGAUAUAUGGUCCUACGAUGACAAUCUAAAACUGGAAAUAUGUUAGAAACUCUAAGGUCAUAAACGUGUCCACUGUGAGAUGACUAUAAAUGUGACUAAGGAAUCUUUAUCAAUAAUCCAAAAAAUGAAUGAAGUGUGAAAAACAACACUAUCAUGAGAUCGAUACCCCAUCAAUAACAAAAUAUCUCUAAUUCACUUUCAAUCUAAACUCUAUAAAGAAAAACGAUAAGGUUAUAAAGGCAAACCUCUCAAAAAUGGUGUGAAUGUGAAAACAUGUCUUCACCUUUCUAUAAUGAAAAUAUCAUGUUGAAAAUAGAAAUAGGCAAAUCGACCAAAGAAUGAAGUACGGAGCCCAUGACAAGUGAAGAAUGUAAAAAGGUGAACAUGAUCAAUGAACAUAUCCCAAAACAUCAAGCAUAAAGUGACAACAAACCAAAAGAAUGUGUCAACUUAAGAAAAGAAGACUAUCUGAAGCCCCAGGGAAAAAGUGUGCUAGACUCAACGAGCGACAAGAAGAAACUAAAACCAUAUAGCAAGAGGUGGUCCAACUGAUACUCAAACUCGUACCAAUAUCUAAGCACUCUCGACUGGAGACCAAAAGAUGGAGUAUUGGAUCCAUAUUGUGACUAAAGUGGCCUCGAAGGCUCUCAGAUGCACCCACGUGUAGGAAAGGAAAUCCUAGUAAAAAUAUCUAAGGCUUAACCUACAAGGUCAAGGCGGCUCUAAAAAGAAAAAUUGAGUGGACUUUAAAGGAUUCCUAGCAAAAGCGAUCAUACCCUCCGAUGGUACGCAACCUCCUACACGUCUUGAAAUAUAUGGGAGUGAUUCCAUGCAAGGUGGUCAUCACCUCCACACAUGCACUAUCUCAUAUCCUAGAGGGUUUCCUAAUGAUGAAGACUCUUACAUCUCUCAACACUUAGUGGUAAUCUAAGGUGCACAGUGAAUGGUGUGGGUUCAUCCAAAAAUCCUAUCAAGCUAAGCAAAGAGAAAACACAUUGGUCACACAAAUAUCUUGAAAUAUAGCUCUAACCUAUACAAGUCUUCAAAGAUUGGACUCCAAUUAGCAUUAAUGUUUCGACCUUCUCCAGAAUGCUCCCAAACAUAGAUAUAGUCCAUCACUAAAUCCUACUCCGAAUCACUAGCUCGGUCGAAGAGCAAACAAAGUAAUAAGUCUCAUAUCAAAUAUGAGAUCAAGGGGAACAUGGUCACCCAAGACUAGGGAAUUGAAGUAAGGGGAUAGAUGUGUGUCCCACAUAGAAAAGCAACAUGCAUCACACAGAAGAAGAAUAGUCAUGCAAUAGACAACCAAGCAAAGAACAGGUAUAUCAUUCAUAUCUACACACAAGCUAAACAAGAAAUAGGUAUUUAACAAGAAUAAACAAUAUGUUGAGAUAAACAAGAUAAUAUACAAUAAAGAGAAUCAAUCACACCAAUAUGAAUGAGAUAUACAAAAAUGAGAAUAUACAUGUCAAGGAGAACAAGAUAAUCAUACAACAAGAAGAGUCUUAUGUUAAAGCAAGCAAGAGAAUCAAUCGAUGUAGUCAACAUGUCAAUAUCGCAAAUGAACAUAACAACCAAAUAUGCAUCAUAAAGAAAAAAUGGUAAUCAUGCAGCACACAGUCAUACAAAACAAAUACAAACAAACAUAAGCAAAUAAAUGUAAACACACAUGAUAACAAAAAUCAAUGUAUAGUAAGGCACAUGCAAUAUAUACAUAAAAUAAUCAUCAAGUCAACACUCAUAUACCUUAAAACAUGAAAAUAUACAAUAAAGACACAACGAGAGGGUAUUCACUGAUCGAUUAAUCAAACACUACAUUUCCCUUAACUCAAGUUCAAGUUUGAUCCUUUAAAUAUCCCUAGUGGAGUCGCUAUUUUGUGGACCCACAUUUUUCAAAUGCGUCCUUACACAACAGCGAGACUCAUUUUUUUUAUUUGGUGAAAAUUUGAUUUUGAGAAAAAAGACUUUGAGUUGUCACUUAUUUUUGUUUUUUUUUAAGGGAAAACAAAACAAGAAAGAAAACCUUGUGUGACUCCUUAUUUGGGAAAGACAUGUAUGCAAAAACCAAAUCUGGAUUCGGGGGUCAAGUUACCUAUUGGGAAUGUACGAUGGUGAGCUGUAGCACCUCUCUAAGCUCAUAUACGUACGGUCUCUACUAAACGAAUUAAGAGAAUUGUAGUAAUUAAUUAAUUAGUCAAGGAUACCAAGAAAAAGAAUCGCACAAAUGAGUACAUACAAAUCAUGAUAAAAAAAAUCAAAUUAUAAGAAUAGACAAAAUAAAUAACAAGAGAAUUGUGCAAAGUGAUUUAUUAAACUAAAUAAAAAAGAAGAUAUUAAAAAAAUUAGUUUUCAAGAAAUUUCAAAGGAUUUUAUUAAAAUGAUUUUGAAUUAAUGAUUUUAAUUUAUUUAUUUACAAAAAAAAGUCAAUUUAUUUUCUUCAAUUGAUUUGAUUCAAUUUCAUUUGUAUUCAAUUUUUUUUUUAAAAAAAAAAAGUUAUUUACACUCAUGGUUGUUAAAAGAAUUAUUAACAAAAUUUCAAGUUGACAAUAAAAAUGAUUUUUACUUGCUUUUACUCGAAAACAAUGAAUUUUUACAAUUUUAUUAACAAAAGCAUUUCAAUUUAAGAAAAGUGACUUAAACAAAUUAUUAAAAAAAUAUAACUUUAUCUGCAAAAGAAUUUUUAAUUAAAAAGAAAAAAUUUAAAUCAUCUAUUUCUAAAAAUGACUUUUAAUCCCAUUUUAAUUAAGAAAAUUUGAGUUAUUUAAAAAAACAUUUUUUGGACAAUUUGAAUAAAAAUUAAUUUUUGGGACAACUUUAUUUACAAAAAAAAUUUUGGACAAUUAUUAUUAAAAACAAAAUUUCAAAUUCUAUUAAAAACAAUUUUUUGGAUUUUUCCAAACACAUUUUUAUGAAUUUUUAUUAAUAAAAAACUUUUUUUUAUUAAGAAGAAUAUUUUUUGAGCUAUUAUUUUAUUAAAACAUGUUUAUUGAAUUAUUCUUCUUAUUCAAACAAAAUUUUUAAUUUGUUCAAUAUCUAAUUCUGUACACAACAAGUAAAUAUAUACAAACAAAUAUUUAUAAAAACCAAUAAAAAUAAAACCAAAUAGAAGUGAGAAAUAAAACAUGUUCUUAAACAAGCUUACAACAAGCUCAAUGUCUUCUUACGACUUUUCGAGUCUCACUUUCUUUCAUUAAAUUUUAUGCUCCACGUACCAUAAAUCCGUACUCAACCAAAAAAAUUGCAGAAUUGGCCCAUGCAAAAACAAAAAUAACACAAAUGUAAAUAUCUAAAAAUGAAUAAAGUUCACAAUAGAUAUUCAAGUCCAAAUUCAAAUUUCAAAUUAGUCCAACAAAUUUCGUCAAUCAAAAUAAGUCUAAAUUAGCAAAUAUAGCCCAACAAAAAUAUCUCACAUGUCAUAGGCCUUAAUAUAAAAUUUCCAAAUUAAUAACCAAAAUAUAAGUUCAAUUAAUCAAACCCAAAACAUGAUACAUUAAAAUAAAUCUCAUUAGGCCUAAACUUAAUAUCUCAUAAUUCAAGCCUAAUUUAAUAUAUAAACCUAAAUCCACAAUCAAAAUCAACUCACUUUAUGCUAAUCCCAAUUUAUAAUCAAAAUCAAACAUAAUUUAAUAAGUAAAUAACUAAAUAAAUUAAGCAAACUCAAAACUCUCAAACCACUAUUGCAUAAUAUCAAACAAUAAUAAAUAUAAUGACAACAAUAAUAAUAAUAAAAUAAAAUAAAAAAAUUUAACUCACGUUGGAGCCAGUUUGAGUGUCGUGGGAAAGAAAAAAAAUGAGAGAAAAGUGGGAGAUGAUCGUUAGCUGGUAGUGGCUUGCCGGCGGCGACUGGUCGAUAGUCCUACUGGCGGUAGUGAGGAUUGAUGAGUUUUUGGGAAAGGAAAAAAAAAGAGGAGUAAUAAAAAAAAAAAAAGAGAAAUGAGAGGAAGGUGGGAUAAGAGGGGAGAGAGAGAAUGAAGAAAAUAGGGGAAAAUAAAUGAGGCCGGCCGGAGGAGGAAGUGGUAGUGUGUGUGAGCUAAAGUGAAGAAGAAUGAAAGAAGAAGAAGGAGAAAAAUGGGAAAAAAAUUCGAGCCCUCUAAAUGAAGAAAGGUGAGUAGCUUAAAGAAGAAAAAUAAAAAUAAAAAAAGAAAAAAUGAGGAGAAAAUGAGAGGGCCAGUAGUCUUGGGAAUGGGGUGGUAUAGGUGAGAGAGAGUGGGCGAGGUUGUUGGGGAAGGUAUGGGAGAGAGAGGAGAGAUAAAAGAAAGAGAAAAAAAAACAUAAUAAUAAUAAUAAUCAUAAAUAAUAUAUAAAAUAAUAAAAAUUAAUAUUUAAAUGAUGAGUGUGUCAAAAAUAUUAUAUGUAAUUGGGAUUUAAUUUUAAGAGUAAAAUUGAACUAAAAAUUAAUGUAAAAAUAAAAUUUGAACAAAUUUUAGAAUCUACAAAUACAUUCUUUAAUCUUUCCACAACAUCAAUCUGAUCUAAAUGAAAUGCAAUAAAUUCUAAAAAUGAUACAAUCUUUAAUCAAUCCACAACAUCAACCCGAUCAAAACUCAAUGCAAUAUUGCUUAAUGGAGAGAAUCGUAAAAUCCUUUUAUGAGAGGAAAAAAAAACCCUUAACAGACCUUUAUGAGAGGAAAAUAGGAAAACAUAGAACUAAAAACCCUUAACGUAUUCAUGAGAAUAAAAAAAUCCUUAACACCUUAAUAAGAGGAAAACAAAGAAUUUGAACAAUCCUUAAUCCAUCAAAAGCUCUUAAUAUGAACGAGGGGAAAACAUAACCUUUAUUUUUCAUAUCAUUGAAUACAGAAUCUAAAGAGAUAGAAUUUUUAGUUAUUAAGGAUUUUUUUAUAAAUGUCUAUUGAAAGUUUAAGAACUUUUAUGGAUAAGUGUUAAUUAAGAGACUGAAAGGGUACUUAGGAUUUUCAACUAAAAAAGUUAUAACAAUAUGAAUCGUAAGAACUUAAAAACAUCACCCAUCCAUAAGAGGAAUAUGGAAUGAGAGGUUAUUUUUUUACUUAUACAACAAUAAACUUUUUUGGAAGAGGUUUUUCUAAGUACAAAAAGUUAUGAAUAAAAAACCAUUGUUACGAUGAGUUAACUAAAAUAGAAUUAAUUUAGAAAAUAUCAAUAAAGUUGCAUGAAUUAUUAUCAUGAGUUAACUUAAUAAGAAUAAAUAGUAAUAAAGUUAAUGAAGUGAAUUUGGAUUGGCAGAUAUAUUUGAUGAUAAGAUUUUUUUAAUAAUAAAAAAUUAUUAUGGCAGGAAAAAUAGGACAAAAUUGACCUUAUGAUAAGAUUUUUUUAAUAAUAAAAACAUUAUUAUGGUAUGAAAAAAAGGGACAAAAUUGGCCUUUCCUUAAUUGUACCGGUUAAUGGAAUAAUGGGACAUGCGGUGGUUACAAGCCACCCCAAAAGGUAGGAAGAAUCUCCAACCCCCAUUCUCGGCUCCCUUAUCUUUUCCCUUACAACCAAAAAUCAACAACUAUCUUAGAAUGUCCUUCAGUCCACCAAAAUUCAACAACAACAUUACAAUAAUGAAAACAAAAUUGAUUGAUCACCAGCUAACAUUAGGAGAUUAUAAGAUAAGGAUGUAAUUGCAAUUAUUGAAAUCACUUAAAGAGUAAAAGUUAGGAACAUGCUCACAAUAAAUAAAAUCACCUUAGAAUUAAAAAUUAGGGACAUGAUUAUGAUGAUUAAAAUCACUCGAGAACUAAAAUGUUUUAGAGAUACAAUAAUUGAAAUCAACUGAAAAAUAAAUUCGGGAUGUGAUCGCAAUUAAUGUAUAUAUAAACAACCAAAUGUUGAAAGGAAAAACUAAUGAAAUUAAUAUGAUUUUCUUUUAGAUUUCUCUUGACACCAAACAAAUGUAAGGAAGUUUAUAAAGGAAAAUUAGGUUUUGAUUCACUAAAUUAAAAUAAUAUAGAAAAAAGAUCUUCAAAUUUUAUAUAUCAGUUUUAUUUUUAUUUAUUUAAAAAUAUUUUAAAAUACAUAUAUUUUUUCAUAACUCAAAUAGUCAUUCCUCAAAUGCUAGUUUUACUUGUUAUGUUAAUAACACUAGUUAAUAAUUUUUUAUUGUGAGAACGAUUUAAGAUUAAUAAAAUAAGAAAAUUUUAAAACUAAAAAGACAUUUAAAACUUUAAAAUUAAAAAUAUAAAAAUAAAACAAUAAUUUUUCAUUUAGUAAAACACGCCAGUAGAAAAUAUAGAUAUAGAGAAAGAGUUGGAAAUAAAAUAAGAGUUAAUAUUUUAUUUUUAAAAUUUUAUGUUUUUUAUUUUAAUUGUAUUUAAUUUUAUGUAUUUUAGUUGUAAUUAUAUUUUUAAUUUUUAAAUUUUUUUUUAUUUUAUUGUUGAUGUAAACUAAUAAAUUUUUUGUUCAAUUAUAUAUAUAUAUAUAUAUAUAUAUAUAUAUAUAUAUUUAAAUUAGUGAGUAAAAACCCACUUUUUCUAAUUUAUAAUAUAUUUAUGGGAUUUUAUAAUAUAAGAAAUUUUUUUUUAGAAAGAGGAAAAAUCAACAUUUCAAUUUCCCUUCAUUAUUAUUAUUAUUAUCCAAUUUGGUUGAUUAUGAGAUUAGUUGGUAUCAUUACUAUAUCCAUUUGUCCUUAACCCUUCAUUAGAAUAGUAUUAGGAGUUGAACGUCAGUUGGAAUACAGGCUAUGGAAACAAAUCUAUCCGAUUAGUAGGUUCUUGUUAUUUUCAAUAUAGACCCCAUAAAAUAAAUAGGAGAUAUGAGAUAAGACUGUGACAAAAUUGGCGGUUACUUCCCGACACCUGGCUCUCCACAAACAAACCCAGUGAUCCAGAAAUUAAUUGGUACCUGGACACGUGACUACCAAACGUUCGCUCACCCACCAUACCCAUGGCCUCAUGCCCCAUAUAUUUCCACAAACCUAGCUCAAUUUUCAUAGCCACCUUCACUGUCCUACACUCACUAAGCCAUGGCCAUAGAUACAAGCCUCUUGCUUGAGUUUGCUGCAGCAACUCUACUCUUCUUCAUCACCCGCUUCUUCAUUCGUUCUAUCCUUCCCAAACCUUCCCGGAAGCUCCCCCCUGGCCCCAAAGGGUGGCCGCUCCUCGGCGCUCUUCCUCUCGUAGGUAACAUGCCUCAUGUUGCAUUAGCAAAGAUGGCCAAAAGAUACGGGCCUGUCAUGUUCUUGAAAAUGGGCACUAACAGCAUGGUGGUGGCCUCAACUCCCGAGGCGGCUCGGGCUUUCCUUAAAACGCUAGACAUUAAUUUCUCUAGCCGCCCGCCUAAUGCCGGUGCCACACUCUUGGCCUAUCAUGCCCAAGACAUGGUUUUUGCGGAUUAUGGGGCAAGGUGGAAGCUACUGAGAAAGCUAAGCAACUUACACAUGCUUGGUGGAAGGCUCUUGAGGACUGGUCUCAGGUCCGAGCUGUUGAGCUAGGCCACAUGCUUCGAGCCAUGCUUGAGUUGAGCCAGCGAGCGGAGCCGGUGGUGGUGCCGGAGAUGUUAACUUUUUCCAUGGCCAACAUGAUAGGGCAAGUGAUACUAAGCCGCCGGGUGUUUGAAACAAAAGGGUCGGAGUCAAAUGAGUUCAAGGACAUGGUGGUGGAGCUCAUGACCACUGCUGGGUACUUCAAUAUUGGCGAUUUUAUUCCGUCCAUCGCAUGGCUGGACAUCCAAGGGAUCGAGCGCGGGAUGAAGCAUUUACAUAAGAAGUUCGACAAGUUAUUGACAAGGAUGAUAGAGGAGCACACGGCAUCAGCCCAUGAGCGCAAGGGAAACCCAGAUUUUCUGGACGUAGUCAUGGGCCAUCAAGGAAAUUCUACAGGGGAGAAGCUCACCCUUACCAACAUUAAGGCGCUCCUCCUGGUAUGCAUAGUUAAAGCUUGUCUUUAAUUUUGUUUUCCGAUAUUUUCUUUCCGGAAACAGCACUUUUAUUGCUUUUAUAUCAGGUAGCCAUUUUAGGGGCACAUCACUGUUCUUUAUUUGCAUUUUUUUUUGUCUUUUUUCACUUGCAUGGUUGUUUUCAUAUGCUCAGCUGCAUGGCACAGGAAAAUUGGGAAAAAUGAUUGGUUCUCUGAUCAGACCUUCUGCACCAAAACACACUUCUCUCUAUUUUAUAAAAUCAAGAACAUUUAUGGUUUACAUGAAUUUUCGAACUUGAACUUUUGCUAGGGCUAAUGCAUGGAUCUCAAUUUUCAAUUGCGUUUGAUUACAUAAAUUUCAAGUAUGUCACCACAUUUUUGUUUCCUUGGCUAGAAUUUAUUUACUGCAGGAACAGACACUUCAUCAAGCGUAAUCGAGUGGUCUCUGGCUGAGAUGUUGAAAAACCCGAGCAUCCUCAAGCGUGCUCACGAAGAAAUGGAUCAAGUGAUUGGAAGGAGCCGGCGGCUCGUGGAGUCUGACUUACCAAAACUUCCAUACCUACAAGCCAUAUGCAAGGAAAGCUUCCGGAAGCACCCAUCCACCCCAUUGAACCUUCCUCGUGUCUCAACCCAGGCAUGUGAAGUGAACGGCUACUACAUCCCAAAGAACACUAGACUUAGCGUGAACAUAUGGGCAAUCGGGCGAGACCCUGAUGUCUGGGAAAGCCCGGAAGAAUUCAGGCCAGAAAGGUUUUUAAGUGGAAGAAAUGCAAAAAUUGAUCCUCGUGGAAAUGAUUUUGAGUUGAUCCCGUUUGGGGCUGGACGAAGGAUUUGUGCUGGCACUAGAAUGGGAAUAGUGCUAGUUGAGUACAUUUUGGGGACGUUGGUACACUCAUUUGACUGGAAAAUGCCGGAUGGAGUUGAGAUCAACAUGGACGAAGCUUUCGGGCUUGCUCUGCAGAAGGCAGUUUCUCUUUCGGCUAUGGUGACACCAAGGCUUCACCAGAGUGCGUAUGCAGUCUGAGCUCAAGCUGUUCAGACCAAAACCCAGGCCUAGCUACUAUAUGGCAUGGAUUUGUUUCAGUUUCCUUUGGGUUAGUAUAACGGUAUAAGAUGUAUUAGCUCAAAGAUUGGGAGUUUCAUUCUACCACCAUGCCAUAUGCCUAUCCGUGAUCUAUAAAUUUAGCUUCAGUUUGGUUAUAGUUUCUAUUUUUCUUUUGUCUUCGUAAUCAGUAAAUAAUAGUAACCUUUAUAUAAAAUAUAGUAACUCUUGCAGCUAUUAUACCAUGUACAAUAAAAGUACAGUGGUUUUGGAAAAUACAAUGAAACAGUGAGUUUGAUUUUUUAUUUUUUAUUUUUUAAUAAAAUAAAAUGUUGGAAAAGAGAAGUAAAUAAAGGAAGAUAUAUUAAGAGUCUAUUUGACAUUACUUAUAAUGAAAGUGUUUUUAUUAUAAGUGUUUUCUUUAUUAUAAGUGUUUAAAAAUCACUUUGAUGAGAAUUUAAAAAAAUGAUUCUAAUAGUGUUUUUAAUAAUAUAUUAUAUAAGUAAAAACCACUUUUAAUAAUAAUAAAUUACUAUAAAAAAAAAGACAUUUAUUAUAAAAAGAAAAUAUUAUAAUAAACCAAAAACUUUUAUUAAAAAAAAUAUAUACAAAUAUUUAAUUGUUAAAAAAACUCAAAAAUUAUUUUUAUGAAAAUGAAGUGAAAGAGGAAGAGGAGAGUAAGAAGAAAAAAGAGAGUUAAAAGGAAAUGGAGGAUAGCGAGAAAUUUUAUUUUAGGAAUAUAUAAAAAAAAUUUGAAAUAUUUUUUUAAAGAAACACCUCUCAAGUGCUUUUCUAAAAAAACACUUCAAGUGCUUUUCUAAAAAAACACUUCAAGUGUUUUUUAAAAUUUUCAUAAGUGUUGUUCAAAAUAUUGUCAAACACAUAUUUUUUUUAUCUUAAAAAAGCAUUUAAGUGUUUUUAGGGCUAAAAGCACUUCUAAAAAGCAUUGCCAAACGAGCUCUAAAUAAUUCAUAUUUCCUUGAAUUUAUAUUUUUAUUUUCUCUCUAUGAAUUUUCCUUUAUUUCAAAUACAAAAUAUAUUUUAAAAGGUUAAUUUUAUUUACUUGUCUUAAGGUUUUUGUUAGAUACACUUAAUUAUCAUUUAUUUGAAAUUUCAUUAAUUAUCUUUCUUAUCCUUUCCGUUUCUUAAUUUGUCAUGUACUUGAGAAAGUCAAUUUCAUUAUCAUCUUUACUUCUUGAACCUUGACUUAAAACUCCAACUUCACACAGGAUAUGAUAUAAAUUAAGAAAAGACUUAUUAAAAGUAGUAACGUUCUACUUUAGUUUAAAAAUGUUAACAAAAAUUAGAGGAGAAUUAACUAAAAUAUACUGAAUUUUAAAUCAAGCUAACAUAUUAUAAACCAUUGGAAAACCCACGUGAUUAAAUAGCUUUCUUGUAGUCUGACAAAGGAAAGAAAUUACCUGAAAAGAAUGGCAAAAAUGGAACUGCAUCUUAUGACCUAUAAUCACAUGAUUUCCACACUUAGAGCAUCCAUUGCCAAGAAAGACGUCGAUCAUAUCACCUUAAUUUUGUAAUAAUUCAAUGCCUCUUUUUGUAAAGCCAUAUCAUAAAUAUAAUGAAAUUAAAAGACAAAUUAAUCAAUCAAAUAAUAAAAUUUUGAAAUUUACAUGGUAGUAGGUGAGGGAAUUGUUCAGUUAAGAAUGAAGAGAGACCACACUCGAGGAAAUAUUAUUGAGGGCAUAGAUGUUGACUUUCCAUAUUCACACCUAAUUAAAAAGGUGAUUAAGAAAAUAAACAAAAACAACCCAAAAAGAGUGAAAGAUAUAUUGUUAGGAAAGAUUGUUCAAAAUGAUCCCGAGUUAUAAAAAUGAACUCUUUCAUUAAGAUGACCUUUUUGAAUACUUUUAUCCUUCUUUUUUUUUUUUCUUGCCUUCAAAAUUAUAAAUCUUUCCUUUAUUUAUGUUAUUUUAUUUACUUUAUUAUUUUUCUAAUUUUUCAUUUAUUUCUUCUACUUACUUUUUCUCUUCUAUGAAGUCUUUCAUCUUUAGUUUAGUCAUGUCUUAUGAAGCUAAUUGUAUUUCCCUCCUUAGCUUACUCUCUAAGUUGUUAGUAAUCCUUGAUCUCAUCUCAUAAUGCACUAUCCCACGAUUCUUUCUUGCAGUCCAUUUUUAUUUUCAUUCAAGGUGUUCAUUAAAAGUACACAAGGGCUAAAUUUAAAUUAUAAGAGUUAAUUUCAAUUACAUUCCCUCAAGUUUUGGCUUAGAUACGCCUUACUUCAACUUAUUUGAAAUUUCAUCAAUUAUCUCUUUUAUUUUAAGUGAAAGGGGAGGUGAGUAUAAUUAAUAAAUGAAAAGGUAGGGGAUAUAUUUGAAGAAAUUUCAAAUUAAUGGGCGAAGGUGUAUUUAGCUUAAAUAUCAGGGAAAGCGAAUUAAAUUAAUCUUAUAAAAAACUUAAUUGAGAUUAAAUUCUCGUUAAGUAUCGUUACUUAAUCUAUCAUGAGAUUAAGUUCAAAAUCAUAAUAUAUAGUGAUGAGAUCUCAAACUUCAUAUCUUAACACAGUCAAUUGAACUUAUCUUGAUGAGUUUGAAGUCUCAAAAUUGUUUUGAGAUCCCUAACUAAAAAUAAUUGCUAAGGCCCUUAAUUUUUUUAUUAAAAUGUCUGUGAGCUUGAUUGAGAUCAAUUUGGAUUACUUUUAGAGAUUCUAGAGGAAUUUAGAAGAAUAUAUAAAGGAAAAAACUUAGGGAAGAUGAAAAGUGCUAGUUAGAGCAGCCUUCUAUUGCACCAGAAGAAGUGGGCGCACCCUUCUACUAUGUCAAAAGGACUUGACGCAUCUGUAUAAGUACGCUAGGAAGGAAAAUAAAGCAACAAGCCGGCCUUUGACUUGAGAAUUGGAGAACCCUCUCCCAGACUUAAGUGGCACACCUUUUAAGUGCGCCAAGGAAAAGAAAGAGUUGUGGCUCAACCCCAUCAAGGAUUGAUAGGCAUACUCCGUCCACUAAAGAUUAAAUGUGUUAGCACAUCUCUUAUCUCUCUCCAUGAACAAAUGGUGCAUUUAAUUAUACAUACACUGUAAGCAUUGGGCUGCCUAUCCGAUGGUGCAAUUCAAAAGCUGUGGCAUGUUUGGUCAACGUAUGAGAAGCAUCCUCUUGCAUCCAACAAUCUUGCAUGGGUGGGGCACACCCAACCUAAGUGUUCUCGAAGUUUGGAUGGUGUUGGAGCUGUUCUUUCCAAACUUCCAGCUUCUUCUUGUCUCACGUUCACCUGCAAUGCAAGGUUUACCCGGUGAAGCCCCGGGCAGACCCCUCCGAUGGUUAAGUCUGUUGGAGUGUGAGAAGCCAACUUCUUUUUAAUUUUUCUUCUUAGCUGUGUUCUUAUACAUCUCUUCACUUACCGCCGGGACCGGAGAUAAUGGGGGCAUUUUCACCACAUCACUGCCCACUUCGCCACCUUCUCAUGGCAGCAAGCUUUUUGGGCUAACCGCUCCCACCAUUUUUGGCGGCUAGCCCCUUCAACACCUUUCACAUUACUUACCAUAUUUCUUUCUGGGCCAGAGACUCUGUCUAGUCCUCCAAAUUCACCUCUUAAUUUUAAAUGCUUGGGCCCAGGCCCAUUGGUCCAAAUUCGGCUCUUAAUUUUUAUCCCUUGGAGGAGUGUUUUUAGUUUUUCUUCUUGAAAUACUUUGCAGGUACAAAACUGUAUGAGCUUUUUGUUCAUGGAGUUCUAUGGGAUUCUUCGAAAAUGAAUGAAAUUCAAUUUUAAAAGAAGUCUUUUGUUUCUUUGCUUGAGUAAUUUUUUACCUUAAGUUUAAUUUCCCUCGCAUGUUCUAUCCAUGAAGCACUAAUUCACUUUACUGUUGUGGGUUGAAAGGGGUUGUAUCCCUUGCAACUCAAUUUAGUCCUCAAUGGUUUCAAAGGGUAGCGGAUAGGGAGGUGAAGUUCAUGAUUGCAGCAAAUGCAUGCAUGUUGUAGCAUUCUGAGAGCCCUAAGCUAAGCAACUCCAUGAGCAUGUUUGUACCUUAUAUAUUUAGCUUUCACUUCCCUUUGAGGUUGAAAAUACUAGGUGUUACACGGAAAAACGAAAAUAGGCAAUAAGAAAAUAUGAAUAAUUUAUGUGAAAAAUCCUAAACAAAAAAACUAAGGAUAAAGAAAAUCCACUAAAUUAAAAAUUGGUACAAAAACAGAAAGAAUCCAACGACUAUUGUAUAAUCCUAAAUCCUAUACACUAUCGCAUAUAUAUAUGAGAAAAAAUAAAUAAAGCAGGUCCAUAUCGUAGGGGCAAUCCUCUGCACCCACAACAAAAUCAAUAAUGGGUUAAAGUAUAAUUUUUCUUCACCAUAUAUAUCAUACCACAAAUUUUUCAAGUCAAACCAAAAAACAAUUCAUAUCAUCAAGCUCUAACAUUAAAAAAAGAUGAAAACAAAUCUUUGUAUUAUGGUUAUGGGAGUAACUUUAAACCUUAAAAUUCUCAUUCAAGCUUUUCCAAAUGAAAUAUAUUAAUAUUAAGUUUUAUUUAAAUAAUCUAUUUUUCCGCAGAUAUAACGAUGAGUUGAAAUUUAGACUUAUUUAAUUUGUUUAUGUCAAACAUUCAAAUCUAAAAUACAUAUAACAAAAGAUCAUGGGAAUUUAUAAUAUAAACAAUUUUUAUGCAAAGGGCCAAUUGUAAAUAAUAGAAUACUAUUUUCAAAAGAGAUCCAAAUCAAGUCGUUGUUUUUAAUAAAUAAAUAAAUAAAAUUUUUGUUUCAUUUGGAAGAUGGUGUUAAAGAGCGACUGAAUCAAAUAACUUGCUCAACCGGCAAAGCUGAGCUGGUCAACUUGACUCGCUUAUAUAUAUACGUAAUUGGGGAAAAAAUGUCAGAUGAGGGGGCGGAUUAGGUCACUUGGGGGGUGCCGGGUGUAGAUGGAAGAAAGAAGUACGUAUAUAAUAAUAAUAAUUGGAGGGUUGACGUUGUCUUGAGAGCAACCGAUGAUGAUAACCCAUGCAGUAUUUUUGUCAUGGGAGAAUUAGGGUGGGGGUGGCCGUAAAAAAUAAUGACUAUGAAGCUCACUAUUUUAAAGGAAAGUUUUACUUUUAAAUAUAUUCUUUAUAUUAUUUAUAAAUAAAUUAAGAUUGUCAAUGAUGUGGGUCCAUAUAUGAUGAUAAGUACAAGUUGAUAAAUUAUGUGGGGCUCAUAUAUGAUAAUAAGUACAGGUUGAUAAACAAUCAACGGUACAUUUCUCAGCUUGAAAAAAUUGUUGUCACUUUUGAACAAUUGACGGUUUAAAAAUUUACUAUUUUUUUUUCAAAAAAAAUUAAGAUUUUUUAAAGAACCUUGCAAAAAAAAUAAUUUUUAAUAUCUCAUAAAUAAAAAUCAUAUCCUAAAGUUAUUAUGUCGUUUUAUAUAUAAAACAUACAAUUAAAAACUUUGUUAUCAUAAUAUAAUGAAUAAUUAUUUUUUAAGAGCACUCAUCAAUUGAAUAACAUAUAAAUAUUCAAUUGACUAAUACACACCUAUUAAAUGAAAUAACUCACAAUUAUUCAUGGGGUAAUAUAGCACGUGAAAAAAUUAAAUAAAAAUAAAUUAAAUUAUGUUGUAAUAUAUUGUAAUGAUAGUGUAUUUAUAUUGUAAGUAUAAUGCAUUUAUAUCGUACCUAUAUUUAAUUAAAAAAGUAAUAAUUCUAAAAAUGUUUAUUCAUACCCUAUUGGUAUUAACACAUCGUAUUAAUAUAUUAACAACAUUUAUUUAGUGUCUUGAAAUUAUUUAAUAAUUUUUUUAUAUAUAUAAACUACGUGAAUUCAAAUUAGUAUUUCAUUUGAUUUCAAAAAUUAUUUAUGAUAUAGGUAUGUUGUGAAAUAUGGUAUAAUCAUAUAAAAUUACAAUUUUAAUAAAAAAUUUCAUAAAUUUUUUAAUUAGGUUUUAUUGUAAUGUAAGUGUAUUUAUAUUGUAAUUAUAACAUAUUUUUGUUGUACUUGUAUUUUAUAAUAAAAGUAAUAAUCUUGAGGAUCAUCUUUUAUACCUUAUUAAUAUUCAACAUAUCAAAUAUAUUAACAUUAUUCACUCGAUGCAUUGAGAAAAACAAAUUUAUAUGAAAUUUAUAAAAAAAAAACACUAUGCAAAGGAAAAAAAAUCAUAUAAAUUUUUUAAAAUUAUUUUAUUAUAAAAAUAAAAAAUGAUUAAACAUUCUCUACCAUUUUCUUAUUCUUUUUAGAGAAUUUGAAUGAAAAAUUAAACAUUUUAUCUUCCUUAAAUUUAAUACAAAAAUAUAAUUUAUCAAUUUAAAAUUAUAAUAUAUAUAUAUAUAUAUAUAUAUAUAUAUAUAUAUAUAUAUAUAUAUAUAUAUAUAUAUAUAUAUAUAUAUAUAUAUGAAAAAAUCAUCAUUUUUAUUAUAUAAUUAUAAAACUUAUUUUAAAAAUUAGAAUAAACAUAAAAAAAAAGGUAAAAAAACAAUAAAUGAUAUUUUGAAAAUAAUUUUUAAAAGUAUUUUUGUUUUAAAUAGUAAAUUUAAAUAACAAAUUAUAUAUAAUUGUAAGAGUUAAACCCAAAAUUUUGAUUUAAAAUUUAAAUAUUAUUAAUUACAAUAAAUAUAGGACCCAUAUACCAUAAAUGUAUUGACAAAUCAAGUGAAGUGCUUUAAAUGCUUUGAAUUUUAAAAGUUUUAGCUAAAGGACAAUUUUGGUAUAUUAAGCCUAUUAAAAUCCUUCUCAAGAAUUAUUAAAAUAUAUCACCCUUUCUAAUAAUUGUUCUGCCUAACCUAUUUUUAGGUAAUUCUCCCUUUUUUUCAUUCUCAUCCAUCUUCACGGGACUUCGUCUACCAAAUAUGACAAAUAUUAUAUUGUUAUAUUGAAUAUAUGUACUAAAAAAUAGAAAUGGGAUGAUGCACAUGGCCUGACGUGUACGUUAUUAAUUUGUUUUUGUCUACGUUUGUUUGUUUGUUUUCGUUUUUCUGUUUAUAUACGUAAAGUCAUUUUUUUCCUCUUCAUGGAAUUCUUUUUGAUGAAAAAAUUAGAGGAAAAAACACAGAUUUAACGAUAAAUUAUCCAUGUUCAUGACAAUAAGAAAAAAGAGUUUCACUAUAUAUAAAAUUAGGAUUACAUUAAAAGGUAUUUAUAUUAAUUAAAAAUAUGAUAUUAAUCAUAAUAUUUAUAAUAGACAUAUCAUAUCAAAUAAAUUAUCCAAUUUUUUAUUAUAUUAAUAGAUAAAUUGAAGUUUUUAUGGUAAAUUUAGAUUAUUUGAUAUCACAAAUAUUAUAACGUUUAAAAAUUAAUUUUAAUAACUAAGUUGUGUUUGGUUUAAAAACCAAUUUUUAGUUUUCAUUUUCCAUUUUCAUUUAUGUUUUUUCUUUUCUUAAAAAUAUCUUUGAUUAAGAAAAGUAAAAGUAGUAUUUUAAAAAAGUAAACUUAUAAAAUCUUGUUUGAUUUUAAGCUUUCGUGAAUGUAAAAACUUGUGAAAAAGUAAGCAUUGUUGUUAGUACUCUUAAAUAUUAAUUAAAUAUGACUAAGUGGAUGAUGUCUAUAUCACUUCUCCUGCCAUCGUCACCCAGUGCUCCAGAAAGAAACUGGAAUCUGGACGCGUGAUUAACAACUUCGCUGAUCGCCUACCAUUCCCAUGGCCUCAUGCCUUAUAUAUUUCCACAAACCUAGCUCAAUUUUCAUAUCCACCUUCACUGUCCUAUACUCACAAGCCAUGGCCAUAGAUACAAGCCUCUUGCCUGAGCUUGCUGCAGCAACUCUUCUCUUCUUCAUCACCCGCUUCUUCAUUCGUUCUCUCUUUCCCAAACCUUCCCGGAAGCUCCCUCCUGGCCCCAGAGGGUGGCCGCUCCUCGGCGCUCUUCCUCUUCUAGGUAACAUGCCUCAUGUUGCACUAGCAAAGAUGGCCAAAAGAUACGGACCUGUCAUGUUCUUGAAAAUGGGCACUAACAGCAUGGUGGUGGCCUCAACUCCGGAGGCAGCUCGGGCUUUCCUUAAAACCCUAGACAUUAAUUUCUCGAACCGCCCGCCUAAUGCCGGUGCAACACACUUGGCCUAUGAUGCCCAAGACAUGGUUUUUGCGGAUUAUGGGGCAAGGUGGAAGCUCCUGAGAAAGCUAAGCAACUUACACAUGCUUGGUGGGAAGGCUCUUGAGGACUGGUCUCAGGUUCGAACUGUUGAGCUAGGUCACAUGCUUCGAGCCAUGCUUGAGUUGAGCCAGCGAGAGGAGCCGGUGGUGGUGCCGGAGAUGUUAUCUUUUUCCGUGGCCAACAUGAUAGGGCAAGUGAUACUAAGCCGCCGGGUGUUUGAAACAAAAGGGUCGGAGUCAAAUGAGUUCAAGGACAUGGUGGUGGAGCUCAUGACCACUGCUGGGUACUUCAAUAUUGGCGAUUUUAUUCCGUCCAUCGCAUGGCUGGACAUCCAAGGGAUCGAGCGCGGGAUGAAGCAUUUACAUAAGAAGUUCGACAAGUUAUUGACAAGGAUGAUAGAGGAGCACACGGCAUCAGCCCAUGAGCGCAAGGGAAACCCAGAUUUUCUGGACGUAGUCAUGGGCCAUCAAGGAAAUUCUACAGGGGAGAAGCUCACCCUUACCAACAUUAAGGCGCUCCUCCUGGUAUGCAUAGUUAAAGCUCGUCUUUAAUUUUGUUUUUCGAUAUUUCCUUUCCGGAAACAGCACUUUUAUUGUUUUCCGGAAACAGCCAUUUUAGGGGCACAUCACUGUUCUUUAUUUGGAUUUUUUUUUUGUCUUUUUCCACUUGCAUGGUUGUUUUCAUAUGCUCAGCUGCAUGGCACAGGAAAAUUGGGAAAAAUGAUUGGUUCUCUGAUCAGACCUUCUGCACCAAAACACACUUCUCUCUAUUUUAUAAAAUCAAGAACAUUUAUGGUUUACAUGAUUUUUCGAACUUGAACUUUUGCUAGGGCUAAUGCAUGGAUCUCAAUUUUCAAUUGCGUUUGAUUACAUAAAUUUCAAGUAUGUCACCAUAUUUUUGUUUCCUUGGCUAGAAUUUAUUUACUGCAGGAACAGACACUUCAUCAAGCGUAAUCGAGUGGUCUCUGGCUGAGAUGUUGAAAAACCCGAGCAUCCUCAAGCGUGCUCACGAAGAAAUGGAUCAAGUGAUUGGAAGGAGCCGGCGGCUCGUGGAGUCUGACUUACAAAAACUUCCAUACCUACAAGCCAUAUGCAAGGAAAGCUUCCGGAAGCACCCAUCCACCCCAUUGAACCUUCCUCGUGUCUCAAACGAGGCAUGUGAAGUGAACGGCUACUACAUCCCAAAGAACACUAGACUUAGCGUGAACAUAUGGGCAAUCGGGCGAGACCCUGAUGUCUGGGAAAGCCCGGAAGAAUUCAGUCCAGAAAGGUUUCUAAGUGGAAGAAAUGCAAAAAUUGAUCCUCGUGGAAAUGAUUUUGAGUUGAUCCCGUUUGGGGCUGGACGAAGGAUUUGUGCUGGCACUAGAAUGGGAAUAGUGCUAGUUGAGUACAUUUUGGGGACGUUGGUACACUCAUUUGACUGGAAAAUGCCGGAUGGAGUUGAGAUCAACAUGGACGAAGCUUUCGGGCUUGCUUUGCAGAAGGCAGUUUCUCUUUCGGCUAUGGUGACACCUAGGCUUCACCAGAGUGCGUAUGCAGUCUGAGCUCAAGCUGUUCAGAUCAAAACCCAGGGCUAGUAACUCUUCAAAAAUUUUGCAUUGAAAAAAAUAGUAGUUUUAAAAUCUGUCUAAAAAAAUUAAGGAUGUGGAAAGUUCUCACGAAUUUCAGUAACUUGGGAAGGGAUUUUCUAGACCAUACCCAUUCCUAUCCACCUCGUCUUGUGACCUUCCGUUUUCUUCUGGUUUUUUAAUUUUCAAAAAUAAUUUUAAAAAACAAUAUUAAAAAAUAAUUUUUAGAAAUAAAAUUCUAUUUUAUAAUUCAAAUUUUAAAAACAAUUUUCAUUUUUUAUAAAGUUAAUUUGUAGUCUAGCAUAACAUUCUUGUUCUUAGAAUAUUGUAAAAAAAAAACCAAUAAAAUAUCUUUAAAUUCUUAUAAAAAAUAUAUUUUAAAUUUUUCUGGAAAAUCUUUCCAGGAUUUUAAUAAUAUUUUUAUAUUUCACUAUUAUUUUAUUUAUCUUAGAAAUACUCAGCUCUAUUCGUUUCUAUUAUACUAAAAUUUACUAUAAUACUUGUCAAAAUAUUUGAAUAUGAUGAUCAUGUCGAAAACAUGAGUCGAUACAUUUCCAAAGUGGAGGACAAAGUGUAUGAGAUGGCAAAUUGUGAUUGGGUGGCAGGUAGUGACGUGGGGUUAAUUUUUAAGUUAAUUAUGCUUAAAGUCUUUACUAAAUAAGAAGAGUAAAUUUUGGUAUUUAAUUAAAUUUAAAAAAUAUAUAAUAAUAUAUUAUAUUGUAUAUAUGUUAAAAAACCAUUAGAGAUGACAACUAGGUAGGGUUGAGAUGAGAUGGGUCACUCCCAUCCUGUCCCCAUCCUGUUUACACAAUUUAAUUUUCAUGUCUUAAUAAAAAAAAUUAAACGGAAGGGGUGUGAGAAUUUUCCAUAUCCACUUGGUCCCAUCCUUUUUAAUUUCUUUUAAAAUUUUAAUUUAAAAAAAUAUUUAAUUACAUUAAAAAUAAAUAUAUUUUAUAAAUAAAGAAAAUAUUAUAAUAUUUUAUAACUUCUUUUAUUAAAAAUAAAUUUUAAAUCAAAGAAAGGGGUAUUUUUAUCCAAUGAGGGUCAUUUUUUUUUUGUCGAGGCACUAUAAGAAAAAGGGCCAACAGUAACACUUCUGCGUUAUUUUCCAACUUGUCAUAAUAUUUGGAUGUGUUCCAUUAUUGAAGCCGAAUGUCUAGGUAAGCAUCUUCUUCACCACCUUGAAGAGCCAGACAUAUCAUCCAAAUGCCCCCAGAAACAAAUGGACUCAACCUUUUAUAUAUUUAUACACUACUCUUAUCCAACAUACUUCCAAAUUGAAUAGCUGGUGAAAUCAAGUAAACCCAACAAUGUCCAUCCAUUCCCAUGUCUCCACACUAUUUCUCCUCAUAGUCUUAAUAUUAUCCGGAUCCAUUGCCAUUAAAGAACAACUGUCUAUGACUUCCAAGGUCAGCUUGGUCAGGUAAGUUAUGAUCCAAAGCUCAAUUUUUCUAACAAUAGUUAGCUUAUAUUUUGGUUCUCAUCCCCUCAAUAAAGACAUGAACAGAUAUACCCAAUUAUUUUCAAUCAAAUUCUUAGAAGGGGAAAAUCUUUUCUCUAGGUGAAGAGCUUGUGUCUUGGAAAUUUCUAUUACUUAUCCUAAGAAGUUUGUGUGUGGUUGUCAGGAAAAGAGAAGUUACUGUUUCAUCUCUAUAGCAUAUUAAAAUGUAGAAAAUUGAAUUCAUUAAUUUUCAAUUUUUUCUCAUUCUACUCAGGGUAAGUGUCCUUGGGAACUUGAAAAUGCAGAAAAGAUUAAAAAAUAAAAAAUAACAGAAUUAGAAUAUGAACAUGUACGUGAAUAUGCACUAUGAUACUACACGCCAAAAAAGACAAAAAGCUUAGACAUGUUUGCUAAAGGACAAGGUGACUAGAGAGUGAAAAAUGUGUAGAGCAUCUAGUCAGGGUCAUCAUUACAAAAAUAAGAAAGGGAAACUUGUGUUUUGAUGGGGCCAUUUGGGAAAUAUAUGGUUUUCGGAAUCCAAUUUUAUGAAAUCUAAAAACCAUCUUUUAAUAUGGAAAGUUAUAUAUUUUUCAUGCACUCUGAGCCGGGUGCAUAUUUUGUGCCGAGAUUGCCCAUUCGGGUAUCCAGGUCAACAACAUCCUAAGGCCAUGUUAGCACGGGCCAAAACAGAACCGCUGAAAAACUCCAAAAUCAAAAUUUGAUCUUCCCAAAAAAACACUCUAGCCGAUGGUUCUUUUUUCCCUUUCUCUCAUUCGAUACCCAUUUCUCUCAUAUUUCUUCACUUUGUCACUGAGGCAAAGCAAAGAACCGUGUAUAGUUUUAAAAAAUUUCUCUCAUUUUAGUUUAGAAGCCCUUAAUCCCAAACUCCAAUCUACACUUUUCUUUCUUCAGCCCCUUCUCCUCUCAAAGUCCUGACCAGUCGUAUCCGAUCGUCCUAAUUUCCUCAUCCCAAACUCCAAUCACCUGUACAUUUUGAUUGAAAUUCUGGUUUAGGCUAGAGAACCAGAAUGGAAAUGACAACUAUGAUAUAUUGGCUUCAUGAAGAAAAAAAUCUCCUCUUCGUGUCAUUAGGUGGAAUUUUGCCCUAACUCCCACAGAAAAUUUUAAGGUAAUUAAUUUUUAUUUAGGGUUGUUUUGAUUUUAUUUUUUUUCAAAUGUAGCACAAGAGCAAUUGUGGAGUGGUAGUUGUAGUUCGAAUUUUGUGUGCUUUGGUGAGGCCAUAGCUUGAGGCGCAUGUGGAUUUUGGACGGCAUGAUCGGAUGGUCAAUCUCUGUCUUUUUGUGGAUUUGAGGCUCAUGAAAUGUAAAAUGAAAGUGGUAAUUUAUUUUUGAUUGUCAAAAGAAUGUUGUGGAGAUAUGUAGAAAUUGGGUAGAAGACCUUUGUUUUUUUUUUACAUUUUUAGACUGAUGGUAAUUAACGAUGACAACAAUUAGGCAAGAUCAUCUUUUGGCAAAAAAAUUCAUAAUUAAAUCAUAUUUGUUGAGACUAAAAAUAAUAAUAACAAUAAUAAUUCAAAUGCAUAAAUUAUGUGCUAGUUAGUAUAAAUUGUUGGUAGUGCUUGUGAAUUUGUAAUGUUUGUUGGAUUGUGAGGGUACAUCUUUUGCAAAUCGUGUGUGGUUUGAUCAAUUGUUUUUCUUUAUUGGGAAUGGUUUCAUUGUUGUAGUCUUUCAGAUUUUCUUUGUAGAAAGACUGAAUUUUAGUGAUGAUAUGAAAUAAAACCAUUAUAAUCUUCUUUGAGCAAUAUUUAAAAUAUUUCAUUAUGAAAUUUUGUAAGCUUGGCUUUCAUUAAUUAUAUCAGAUUAAUCCAUCCAACCAUUAUUAUUUCUCCUUUUUGCGAUAGUAAAAACAUUUUAUCUACAAAGGAAGUGUUUGCAAAUUGAUUUGAUGUUGGAAACAUUUUAUCUUAAUGAACCUUAUGUACUACCCUAAUGCACCUUAGGUACUACCUUAAUGAACCUUAGGUACGACCUUAAUGUACCUCAGGUACUACCUUAAUGCACAUUCGAAAAAUUGUGCUCUUAGGUCACUAAAGACACAAUUCUUUCAUUGCAUUACAUAUUGGAGCAUGACUUUGUUAUGUUGUUAUUGGUAACUCAAUGGUGAGCUUAUGUAAUUAUACCAGGAUCAAGGUACUACCCUACUGCACUUUAGGUACUAUCUUAAUGAACCUGAGGUACUACCUUAAUGUACCUUAGGUACUACUUUAAUGUACCUUAGGUACUACCUUAAUGCACCUUCGAGAAAUGUUGCUCUUCUGUGACUGAAGACACAAUUAUUUCAUUGCAUUAUAGAUUGGAGCAUGGCAUUGUUAUGUUCUUAUUUGUUACUUAAUCGGUAGCUUAUGUAAUCAUAACAAAUUUAAGGUACUACCUUAAUGCACCUUAGGUACGAUCUUAAUGAACCUGAGGUACUAUCUUAAUGCACCUUCGAGAAAUGUUGCUCUUCUAUGGCUAAAGAGACAAUUAUUUCAUUGCAUUACAGAUUAGAGCAUGGCAUUGUUAUGUUCUUAUUGGUUACUCAAUCGAUAGCUUAUGUAAUCAUAACAAAUUUAAGGUACUACCUUAAUGCGCCUUAGGUACGACCUUAAUGAACCUGAGGUACUACCUUAAUGUACCUCAGGUACUACCUUAAUGCACCUUCAAGAAAUGUUGCUCUUUUGUGACUAAAGACACAAUUAUUUCAUUGCAGUACAGAUUGGAGCAUGGCAUUGUUAUGUUCUUAUUGGUUACUCAAUUGGUAGUUUAUGCAAUCAUAACAAAUUUAAGGUACUACCUUAAUGCAUCUUAGGUACGACCAUAAUGAACCUGAGGUACUACCUUAAUGUACCUCGGGUACUACCUUAAUGCACCUUCGAGAAAUGUUGCUUUUCUGUGAUUGAAGACACAAUUAUUUCAUUGUAGUACAGAUUGGAGCAUGGCAUUGUUAUUUUCUUAUUGUUACUCAAUCGACAGCUUAUAUAAUCAUAAAAAAUUUAAGGUACUACCUUAAUGCACCUUAGGUACGACUUUAAUGAACAUGAGGUACUACCUUAAUGCACAUUCUAGAAAUGUUACUUUUCUGUGAUUGAAGACACAAUUAUUUCAUUGCAUUACAGAUUAGAGCAUGACAUUGUUAUGUUCUUAACCUCUUGGAUGAAUAUUUUCAGAUUUAUGCACAAUCUUCUAAGCAUAAGUCAUUUGUUAUUGUAUGGUGUCUCAUAUUAAUUUUUCAAUUGUCACCUUGUAAUUUAAUUGUUAGUGUAUGGUUUAAAAUUUAUGAUCACAUAUUCAGAUUUUUAAAUCUACAACCGUGUGCUAUCAUCUCUAUUUUGAAACUGCAUUUGAUAGACUCAUUCUUGCUAUUGAAAUAUGCAAGUUCUGAUAUAUGCUUUGCAUUCUUCAUCUCUUAUCCGAAUUAAGGAUGACAUGUGAGUGGACCUUCACCAGAUGGUGCAUACACCUCGAUGGUGUCUUACUUUUAGACAUCUCCUUGGCAAUGUAGUGAAUUAGUGUUACUGUGAUGUGUUGCUUAUGAUAUUCUGGAUGGUGUCUUAUGAUAGUCCACCAUGCUUGUGUUUGGAAAAAUAUAAACUUAUGGUCUUAUCUACCUUAUCAAGUUGUACACGGUAUUUAUAGUUGGUUUAUUUCUAAAUUUAUACGGUGCAUCAUAUAAUGUCCCUGAUUUUUGUGUGCAGGACUUCGAAGUUGAUGAACUCUCACAAAUAUUUCUUUUUGUAUCAGAAUUUCUAGAUUGUAUGAAGUAAAGGAUGACCGACCUACAGAUGCAUUUUGGAACCCUCUUUACCCCUUGCAAUGGAGGAUGUUGUUCCUUUAAGAGAGCGAGUGGCAGCCCUUGAAGAUUAACAUCAGGAUUCUCAUAUCCCAAAUGAUGUUAAGUUAGGGCUUGGGUGAUUAGGAGAGAUUUCCAUCAUUAGUAAGAGCUCAACCAAAUAUGAAGAAGAUGAGGAAAUACCACAUAAAAAAGAAGAGGAAUCUAGUCACUAAGGCUGAAGCCUAAUAGAUCAGGAUUUUAAGGCCGUAGAAGAGGAAUAGGGAGAGGAAGCGGAAGGAGUGGCAUUUUGGCUCAAUCUAGAAUUUCAUUUGGGCUGAAUCCAGUCAUUUUGGUUGCACAUUCAUGUCCACCGUCUUUGGCAUCAGAAGAGGAGCUCAUGAUGAAGACAACAAAAUUAUGGAUGGUUCAGAUUUGGCCUAUUUUAGUAGUUAUGUUCAAUUAUUUUAAAAAGUCUCUAUUAUUAGUGUCUUGAGUUCACAACUAAUGGGACUUCGGAUUCUCUUUGUUGGAAGAUUACUUGAUGACCGAUUCUUAAAAUAAAUCCAAUUCAUAACAAGCAAUUCAAAUAUAUAACAUUGCUUAUUAUUAAUCUAAUUAUUAUUAUUAUUAUUAUUAUUAUUAUUAUUAUUAUUAUUAUUAGUAUUAUUACUACCUUUGUUGAUAAUCAAAUGUAGUUUUUUAAAAACCCCACAAAAUGAUGCGCAAAAUGAAUAGUUGACAAUUUGUGGGAAGUGCAUUCUCAUCAUAUCCAGGCAAGGUUGCCACAUUAAUAUGCCAUCACACAACCCUGUUGAACCCAAUAUCUGAUAUCAAACCUAAAGAUUUCUCUUUCUUUUCCUAAGAUGAUUUAAUAAGAUUCUUAUUAAAUAAAAGAAAAAAAACUCGUGAUAGGAAGAAAUUCAUCCACAUGCUUAAGGUCAUCUCAGCACCUUAUAAUCUCAUAAAAUCACCAGUGCCACUACUCUUGAAUGUUUCCUUACGAAUACCAACCAAUGUCUUCACCAUCACCCAUGAGACCUGAAUUUGUCACCAUGGUUUAGAGCAUUCAGUUUCAAAACCAUGGUCCUUUUAUUUUAACUACAGUUGUAGAGGCCACUAGCAUGGAAUAGAACAUUCAAAUAUGGAAAACAUAUUUAAGAAAUGCAUGAUCUUCAUUUAGAUUUCCUCACUAAAAUGAAACACAAACAUAGUCCAUGGAAUUUGUACCUCAACAUAAUUAUUAUACCAUAGUCAACAAACCAAAGAAACCUCCAAACUACCAAAAACCUUGAUAGAAAUUGCUAUAUAAAACCUUACACACCAACUAAUUAUGAAAGGAAUACCCAUAAACAAGGUACUACACUGACCAUAGAAGGAUAAACUGAAAGAUGAUCAAGUUAGAAACAGAAAUUUCUAGUCUUUGUGUCUCAUUUUCCUAUUAAAUUAUUAUUUUUUCCGAUAAAAAUGUUGUCACUUUGGAUCACAAUUGAAAAACUAAUAUGUUGUCGAAUCAGUCACUAAUGCACCACGGACGCGCACCUUUCAUCAACAUAACAAAUUAUCACCUAUUUACUUUUCUCCAUGUUCUUCCUUCCUUUCCAACACAUUAUUUCACAUUAAUCAACAACCCUAUUACAAUCAUGAAUAUCCUCACUUGAAGAGGAUUGAAUAAUUGAUUUAUCAGUGUACUAAUUUUGAUCAUAUGGAAAGAUGAGUUUGCUUGAUACAAUGUGAAGAAGGAAGAUAACAUAUGACCCAGUCUGAGAUUUCUCCCUCUCGUAGGCUAUAGCACCAACAUCACCAGGAAGUCUUUGUUUUCCUUAUGCAUUGUCCAUUGAUGUACAUAAACUCCUGACAAUCACUAUGACCAAAAUCCCAUUGUUACAAUGAUUAGUGACAAACAGAUAUAGAACACAAAUAAUGGUUUUACAAUGGGAAGAAAACCACAUUAGCACACAAGAUAACUAUUCAGUCAUUUUUGGACAAACUACAAUCAAGCAUUGCUUUAUAGAGUUAGUAGCAUCAAUUAGGAAAAUACUUAUCAUCAACCAUCAGUCCCAAUUGAUAGGAGUCUAUAAUUUUAUCUCUGACGUUGUUCCGUUCAUUGAGCAGUAACUUCACAACUAGCUGGAGUCGGUACAUGUGCAUCUUGUCCUACAGAAAUCAGAACAACUGAUUUCAUGUUAUUGGAUAAAAUAAAAAGAUAAAUAGUACAAAUUAGGGUGUAAACCAGCUGUAACCUCUACCAAUGAAGUACUUAAGGUUGCCUAAUUCCAAAAUUUCAUGAACUUAAGAGCGAUUAUACCAUAUUCGUACCUAUAACACAUCACACUUAGGCUUGUCAUGUAGAUGAUUGAAACAUGAGAAAUAUAAUUAAAUGCAAAUGACUUUAUUGGUUAGAAUAUAUGAAUCUUUUACCCAUUAAGUUGUUGGACAAGAUGUGGUUGCACAUACACAAAUUUUGAGACAUCCAGGUCCAUGUGAAUUCCAUGUGCAUGCAGUGCUUUAUGGAUAGCCACUGAUAAUCCCUUGGUUGAUGCACUAAUGUUGUUUCCCCGCUGCAAUGGCAAAAAUGAAAGGAUCUCAACUCGUCCAACUAAAAGUUAACCACGUGUUUGUACCAGUGAUUGUUUUCACAUACAAGGAUAAACAAUUACAUGUUCAUUAUAGAGUUAUUAGGUUUUACGUUAUUAGAUAAUAGUCAUGGCAAAUGUCAUUGCAUAUAUUAUUAAGGAAAGUAACUUUAACAAGCAUUAUUUACCAUAUCACAUGUCCCCAGAUCAUGGCCCAAUAUGUCAGCAUCUACAUACAUGCGACAUCUAUCCAUGAUGACCUGGCUGGUUGCAUUUGCUUUCAGAUUGUUGAGAACAACUUAUUCAAGGAUGAGAUUAAUCAAUAAAAACAUUGACUCAUGCCCAAUUGGUGUCUCAGCUGAUUUGUGUUCAGCUGGUGCUCCUUGAUUGAGGAAGUGAUCAACAAAAUUUAUACCUAUAACACCAUACACUAGGGUAGCAAAUACAAAGCUACUAUAGUAUAGUGGCUCUAAGGAUCGUUCACUGGGAAUGAAUAAAUUAACAAGCAGUCAAGGAUACCAAUUCCAAGUGAAUUGGUUUUGUUUCAUUUCACGGUUAGCUUAAGGAAUAAAACACAAACUUUGAUUUGUAAAGGUUGAGAUUUAAACUAACUAACUUAACAGAAGUUUGGAAUAAUUUAGGAAGAAAAGCAUUCCUUGGAGAUUUAGGUUCACUGGGGUGGUUCCUCAUGCAAAAGACAAAGCUCCGGUCAGAUGGUUCAUUUCCUCGCAUUAGAGAUUCAACUUAUAGUCAAUUCUCUAACCGGUGAUGUACAGAGACUCCUUCAAUUAGAUUUCACUUUAAUUCUCUCACUGAUGCAACUUGCAAUGGUUCAUGCCUCUCACGAGCACUUACCAUUCAAGGUGAUCUUUAACCUUGGAUUCCCCUUCACAAACUCGCAAGAGAUAACUAAUGGAUGUCUCCUAGAGUCCAAAAGGUUACCAAGUGUUGGUAAUUCCAGAAAAUCCUACCUUGAAGUCACCUACCAGAGGCUCGCAGGGGUAAACUAGUGCAUNNNNNNNNNNNNNNNNNNNNNNNNNNNNNNNNNNNNNNNNNNNNGCUCCAAAAGUGGCUGCUACGACUGUCAUCAAGAAUAGGCUUCAUGACAGAUUCUCUUUGCUUUUUCUCCUUGCAAUCCGGAUUCACUCUUGGCAAUUGAAUUCUCAACUUUGCCCAUGAUUCCUCAUAGCUCUCCUCAAUCUUGACUUGCUUUGGUGAUCAAAAUACUAACAAAAACACCAAAACUUACACAAAGUGAUCAAAAUUGCUUUAAAGGAUCCUUAACAUGUCAAUUGAGUUAAAAGGCCUAAACUACUACUCAAAAGUGUUAAAAAGGAUUAAUUAAAGGCUAUCAAAUAGCACUUUUUGAGUAGUAAUCACUCCCCCCAACCGACAUAUUGCUAGUCCCUUAGCAAUAUAGGAGAGAAAAUAAAAAAUAAAUAGCUAAUUAUACUAAAAUUUACAACAUCAUGCUAAAAGGAAAUAAUUCUCAAGUGGCAUGAUGAUCUAAUUCUCUCAUGAAUCAUUAAAGAAAUACAAACCCAAAUCUCAACAAGAGUCAUAACAAACUAUGCUAGGCACUGUUAAUCAAGGGAGUGCAUUAUGCAAACUGAAGUUUUAAAAUCAUUUCCCCUUUUAAGAACUAAACUUCAAUCUUCCACAAAAAUCUAUGUGUAUUGGUUCCUUAGCUUCCGAGAAUAAUAUGCUACUAAUCUCACCCCCCAACCUAUCUCUUUUCAACACUUUAGCAAACUGACCAAAAUCAAUAAGAAAAGAACACACUUUCAUCUUCUUUUUUCUUCUUUUUUUUUUUUUUUUUUUUUUUUUUUUUUUUUUUUUUCAAGGUAGCUUUAUGGGGUACUCUUUCUGACUUGUCCAUGUAAUGGGGGUCCAUCGAUGACUCCCAACCAAUUAAGGUUUAGGGCACCAAGUUUUAAGGAUCUUUCAACCACUAACUCCUCGGAUUUUUCCCCGGACUUUUAAGAAUGAAUUUCUAAUACCCAAACAUCUACCAUAUGCUAACUCUACCUAUUCACCCUUGUAACGAGCAUUGAGGUCGGUGACUCCCAACCAAUUAAGGCUUAGGGCACCAGGCUUUAAAAGCUUUCACCAUAUACCCCUCAGACCUUGCUCGGGUUUCAAGGCAAGCAAAACAACUUUCUUUAUUUCAAAGGCUCAUUGGCCUUUUGCAGGGNNNNNNNNNNNNNNNNNNNNNNNNNNNNNNNNNNNNNNNNNNNNNNNNNNNNNNNNNNNNNNNNNNNNNNNNNNNNNNNNNNNNNNNNNNNNNNNNNNNNUUCCCCGGACUUUUAAGAAUGAAUUUCUAAUACCCAAACAUCUACCAUAUGCUAACUCUACCUAUUCACCCUUGUAACGAGCAUUGAGGUCGGUGACUCCCAACCAAUUAAGGCUUAGGGCACCAGGCUUUAAAAGCUUUCACCAUAUACCCCUCAGACCUUGCUCGGGUUUCAAGGCAAGCAAACAACUUUCUUUAUUUCAAAGGCUCAUUGGCCUUUUGCAGGGUGUUUCAAUUUUUAUCAACUGAGGUCAAAUAUACCAAGUCCCAAAAUUAUCCUAAGUCAAGAGGGAAAUAGCUUUUCAUCUUAUAAUCGGAAACUAAUGUGCACAGUGUGUGGAUAGCUUAAAGUAGAAGAACUCAAUUCAAUUUCAGUAGAAGUUUCAACAAUUGGACCACUUUAGUAAGCAUAAUCCAUACUCUAAGUCAAGUGAAAAACAACAGUUCAAUUUCUCUUGGUUUAAUUUGAAAAUUUUUCCUCAAAAUUCAUGGAGAAUAGAGUAACACUAGUAAAAAGUAAAAUCUACAACUAAUUAACCAAUAUAAUUGCAAUACCAAAAAGGUUUAGAAUACUUCCUUCCUCAUACCCCCCAACCGAACUGAGCAUUGUCCUCAAUGUGAUUUGAGUGACUGUAAUAAAAGGGAGGAAGUGGUACCUCCAUGCUGAUAUCAAAUUCGAAUAUUGAUUGGGGAAAACCACAUGUUUCAAAAAGAAUAGAAUAUGUGAGAAAAGGAAAUAAGGAAACUUUAAUGCUAACUUUUAACAAGAAAUAGUCAACUUGUAUUACUUUGAGUUCAUUUGAUUACAAUGCUAAAGACAAGUAAUACAAGGAAUCCCAUAUAUAGUACCAAAAUACUGGGAUUUCUUUUCAACUAAAACAAAACAAACAUGCAUAAAAACAUAAACAGCAAAUAUAUAUAUAAUGUCUGAUGAGUGGGGUGAUGGUGCUAGGCAGAAGGAUCUGCCUCCUCAGUAGGUGGAUCAGCUGGGGCUUCGGGCUCUGGAGGAUGAGACUCUGAAGGCUGAGAGUGUGGCUCUGGUGGAGUCUCAGUGGAGGGCUCUACAGCUUGUGGCAGAUCGAAAUGGACUUGAAGCUGCCUUAGGAUGGCAGCUUGUUGAGCCUGAGAGGCUAACAUCUGCUCCUGGCAUGCUUUGAUGGCUGCCAACUCCUGAGCAAGAUUGCUCUGGGAAGCUGUAAGAGUCUCCAAUGCACGGCAAAGCUCUCGAUAUUCGGAUAUAGGGAUGGCCAUCCUCGGCUCAGCUGAUGUGGAUGGCUGUGAUGGAGCAGGUGCAGCUGGUGGAGCUCGAGGGAUGGCAGGAGUAGCAAGUGUAAUACCUUCAGGUGGAUGUCUUGGGGAGGCUCUCCUUGCUGCUGAAUGAGGCUGCCCAGGCUGAUCAAUUUUGUAGGCCGUCAUAUUAUUCCAUUUAUCAAGGGUAAAUGGCUCACGGCAUAUUCUCUUUCUUUCCUGCUGAGGCUCAGAGGGGUAUCCGAGAUGCUCCAAAACUUGGCAUAGCAGCCUUGGGAAGAGGAGUGGAAUGCAAUCUGCUCUUUGAAGCUUCUUCUUGUGAACCUUCUCCUCAAAGUAUAGAAGGGCUGCCAUGAUCAGAUGAUGAGGCCCAAAGAAGAAUCCUUCAGACAUCUUGUAUAGAGCUUCCAAGAGAACUCCCCUUCUUUGGGUCCAAUGCUGCAGGGGAUAGAUAUUAUGCCUCAAAAAGGCAUCAAUCAAAAACAUAACUGGAGGUAGCUCCCCCCUCAACAAAUGCGAUCGAUUUGCAGCUCCUCUGGUUAGUGUGCGAACCAUCUCUAACUCAGUAGGAUUUACCCAAGCCUUAAAAUUGUCGAAUUGGGUUGGCUCAAAAGGAAUUUGCAAAGCUUCAGCAAUAUGUCUUGCUCCCAAAAUACCAUGCCUUCCAUCAAUUAUAAAAUGAAUCAGAGUUGGAUUUCUUACUUCUUUGGUUGUCAUGGUCUGGUAGAAGUCCGUGACUACCCGAGGAUAGAAAAAAUCCCUUGGAGCUAGCAGAUGCUCCAUAUGAUAUCUCCUCAGCAGCUGGAAGGAUUGGGCAAGCUCUGGCCUCACUCUGAAUGCUGCUAAGUCGAAGCAAAGCUCAGAGUGGAAUGCCCGAGUUCGACAAUCCAAGUUUCCUUCGAUUGGGGGCUGGGGCAGCAUUGGCCUUCGGAUCACUUCUUCCAGAGGUGCUUCAGCUGCAAUUUGGGGCUCUGGAAUUGGCGCUUGAGGCUCCUGAGGUUUUUCUUGGGGCGCCGGAGAUGGUACCGGCGAUGGAAUUGGAGUUGCUUCAGGUGAGGGAAUUAGCGAGGGAACCGGUGACGGCACUGGAAUUUGUACCGGUGAAGGAUUUGGUGAUUUCUCAGGGGAUUGCUCAGUCAAAUCAAUUGGUUCAGAGCUCUCAACCCUGGUUUUCUUCUUCAAUGGCUGACCACCUGACCUGGUUAAAUAUCGCCUUACCGGCGGCUUUGGUGGCGCCGGCUUCACUGGAAGAGGGUUUGGUCUUGACGGCGAAGGCUGUGGAGCAGGUUCUGGAAUAGAGCCUGGACUUGGCUCCUUUCGCAGACUCCUUUUGCGGUUCGAAGGAGAUGAAGAUUUUGCUCCUCGCGUUCGUGCCAUUUUUGGGCUAUCGAUCUUUGGCCGGCGUUGCUAAGCGGAGAAGACGACCGGAGAAACGGACGGCGUGGCUUGGCGAAGAAGAUGAAGGGGCUGCGAGAAUGGUGCUCUGAUUUUUGAAACCCUUUUCGCAGCACUUUUGACCGGUAUAAAUAGGAAAAACGGAAGCCCAGGGGUCAGAUUACGUUUCGCAACAAAACGCCAAUUUCGCAGCAACUUGCCAUUUUCGCAGCAACUUCGCAGUGAGUUUCGCAGCUGCGAAAUUGAUGUCACUGUGCUGCGGAGUGGCACUCGUGUGCCAAAUCCACUUUCGCAAUUGCGAAAUGCCCUGCGGAAUGGGACUUUUGGUGCGAAAUCAUGCUUUUCCAUUUCGCAAUGAGUUUCGCAGCUGCCAAAUUGAUGCCACUGUUCUGCGAAGUGGCACUCGUGUGCCAAAUCCACUUUCGCAAUUGCGAAAUACACUCGCAGAGGCUUCUACAGUGCUGCGGAAUGGUUUGGCAGCAAAAUGCUCUUUUCGCAGAGGUUUCCUUCACUCUGCGAAAUUUCGCAGAGCUCUGUUUUUUCCCUGUUUUUGCUCUGUUUCGGCUCCAAUUUCGACCCGAUUUUUUUUCUUUCAAUCCCCUUGAAAUUUCUUCCACCUGGGAUCAUAUAACAUGAUUAAAACACACCUAAAAACAUGAUUUAAGAUCAAAAACUAAGAUCAAAAGCAUGGAAAAAAACUUGAAAAUUUACAAAAUUUACAAAAAUUUUGGACUGUGGUAAAACCACGCCCAGCAAACCCAUUUUCACUUAAGCUUUUUGAGGCUCAAGGAGGUUGAUUGCCUCCUUUUCUGAUUUGAAUGACUCCAUGAAUGGCUUAAGACGAUAUCCAUUGACUCUAAAGCUAUCCUUGCCAUUGGAAUUCAAUAAGUCCACCACUCCAUUGGAAUAUACUCGGUGAAUAACAAAUGGACCAAUCCACCUUGACUUGAGCUUCCCAGGAAAGAUAUGGAGUCUUGUGUCAUACAUCAGAACUUUUUGCCCUUCCUGAUUCAGUUUGCCCGGAUCCCAUUUGAAGCUUGCAUCCUUCACUUGAGACUUGGUUUGAGAUGAAGAUAUUACGACAGGACAUUGAUUAUUUUCUUCAAGGUAUGUGUAUUUCAGCUCCACAGGUAAAUGCUUCAGAUUGAGUUUUGGAAUUUCUUUUUCAACAGCUGCCUCCUCUUCUUCAUUGAACAGAGGUAGAAUUCCUUCUAUCUUUCUCCAACUGUGUAGAGUAGCAAGCCCAAUAGGAGAUUCAGAAAAACCUUCCUCAAUAUCCUCAAGACUUUCACUCAACUUGUCUUGCAUAUGCUGAUUGCAGUGCUCCUCCACCAAAGUAUCAAUAAUACAUAGCUCUUCUGGACCCUCUUCUUCUUCUGGAGUGAUUUGCUUUUUAGACAUAUAGAAAAUAUUUAGAUCCAGUGUCAUGUUACCAAAAGUGAGUUGCAUAAGCCCAUUUCUACAGUUGAUGAUUGCAUUUGAAGUUGCAAGAAAUGGCCUUCCAAGGAUGAUAGGAACUAAAUUAGCUUCCUUUACAGUAGGAUCUGUAUCAAGAACAACAAAAUCUACAGGAUAGUAGAAAUUAUCUACUUGAACCAAUACAUCCUCAAUUACUCCUCUUGGAAUUUUCACUGAUCUAUCUGCCAGAGAUAAAGUGAUUGCUGUUGGCUUCAACUCUCCAAGUCCCAAUUGCUUGUAGACAGAAUAUGGAAGCAAAUUCACACUUGCUCCCAAGUCUAACAAGGCUUUUUCCACUACCUUUCCUCCAAUCAUGACUGAAAUGGUAGGACUUCCAGGGUCUUUAUACUUCAAAGGAGACUUACACUGUAAGAUUGCACUUACUUGCUCAGUCAAGAAGGCUUUCUUGUUUACAGUCAACCCUCUUUUGAUAGUACACAAGUCCUUUAGGAAUUUUGCAUACGUUGGAACUUGUUUGAUCAUAUCCAGCAAUGGAAUAUUAACUUUCACUUGCCUCAAUACUUCUAGGAUUUCAGCUGCAUUUCUAACCCUCUUUUUCCCCUGUAAUGCUUGAGGAAAAGGUGGAAAAGUUGAUUUCUUCAGCAUUUCUUCCUUCAGAAGCUCCUUCUCUGGAAUUACUUUCAUUGUUGCAUCAGAGUCCUUCUUUUCUUCACUGAUCUCACUGCCUUUAUCUUCCAUUUCCUUCCCUUUCUUCAUCUCUUCUUCUUUCUCAACAUGUGGCUUGGGUGUUGGCUGCUCAAUUUUCUUACCACUCCUUAGAGUGAUCAAAGCUUUCACAUCUUUCACCUGUGAUGAUUCUCCCUCAUGGCUUUCCACUUCAUGGACACCUUUGGGAUUUUGGUUAGGUUGAGAAGGAAAUCUUCCCUUUUCUUGCAGUGUAUUCAAAUUUGUAAGCCUGGAGAUUGAAUAUUGGAUGUUAUCAAAUUUUUUAUUCAUGUCAUUUUGCAUUCCAUCCAUUCUUUUGUUCAACAUACUCUCCAUUCUGUCCAUUCUUUGAUCCACUCUGUCCAUUCUUUGAUCCACUCGAGCAUUGGUGGCUUCUUGCUUUCCCACAAAAUCUCCCACUACCUUGCUGAGAUUAGCUAUUAUUUGUUCAAUACUUGAAGAUUGCUGAGAUGGUGGAUCCGGCUGUUGGUAUUGAGUUGCUCUGGCCUUCCAUGAGAAAUUUGGAUGAUUCCUCCAACUUGAAUUGUAGGUAUUUCCAUAAGGAGCAUUGUUAUUGGGCCUGAAUUGUCCAACAACAUUUGCUUGAUCUCUAUACAUUUCCCUUUCAACUGAAAUUGCAGGGCAUUCCUCUACCAAAUGUUCAAACGAUUGACAAUUGGGACACAACUUCACUUGCACUGGUGCUUCAGCAACAGCUUGCACUUCAUGUAUUCUUUUCAGCUCCAGCUCCUCCAAUCUUCUUGUCAUCGCUGCCAACUUUGCUUUCAUGUCAUCAUCUUCCCUCAAAUUAUACAUCCCAGCCUUUGCAUUGUAAGCAUUCAACUGAGACUUCAUCUUUCCCACUUCUCCUUUGGUUGGUUCAUCCCAUCCCCUUGAAACAUCAGCUACAUAGCUCAAGAAAUCCAUAGCUUCCUCUGGAUUUUUGCUCAUGAAAUCUCCUCCACACAUUGUCUCGAGGAGUUGCUUCAUUGAGGAGGACAUACCAUCAUAAAAAUAGCUCACCAAUAGCCAAGUAUCAAAGCCAUGGUGAGGACAAGCAUUUAUAGCUUCCAUGUAUCUUUCCCAACACUCAUAGAAUUUCUCAUUCUCUUUAGCUGAGAAGUUUGAAAUUUGCCUUUUCAAGCCAUUUGUUCUAUGAGUAGGAAAAAAUUUCUUAAGGAACUCAGCUUGUAAAUCAGUCCAAGAGCGGAUACUCCUUGGCCUUAAAGAAUUAAGCCAAAUUUUGGCCUUAUCCUUUAAAGUAAAAGGAAAUAACUUAAGCCUCAUCAAGUCAAUUGAAGCUCCUCCCUCUUGGAAUGUAUUACAAACAUCUUCAAAUUCCUUGAUGUGUGCAUACGGAUUCUCACUUUCCAUCCCAUGGAAAGUUGGUAGAAGUGGAACAAGAUAUGGUCUGAUCACUAGCUGCUCUGUAGGGGGCACUAUACAUGAUGGUGCACUCAUACGAGGUGGAUGCAUACGGUCCCUCAUUGAUCUGAAUUCAUUGAGAUUGUCUUGACGACCUUGGUGACUAUGCUGAUCUUCAGGUGCAGCCUCCAUGAUAUUCAAGAUUACUUCAAAUUCUCCUCUCUGAGGUGUAUCACACUUAAUAAGCCUGCCUCCAAUGUCUCGUAUCCACUUUGGCAUACACAACUAGUAUUCAGCUGCAACUUAAAUAAAAACAGAGGACAACAAGAAAAACAGGGCUACAACAGCAAAAUUAAACUAGACUAAAUUUAAAAAAGAUAAACUUAGAUUGUAAAUAAACAAAGAGAGAAUGAAAAUUAGUAAAGUGAAAGAAACUUUACCAACUUGUGAUGAAAAUCACAAGUGCUCAAAAAUGGUAUCACAAUGAUCUUGACACUCAUUCCCCGGCAACGGCGCCAUUUGACUCAUGCCCAAUUGGUGUCUCAGCUGAUUUGUGUUCAGCUGGUGCUCCUUGAUUGAGGAAGUGAUCAACAAAAUUUAUACCUAUAACACCAUACACUAGGGUAGCAAAUACAAAGCUACUAUAGUAUAGUGGCUCUAAGGAUCGUUCACUGGGAAUGAAUAAAUUAACAAGCAGUCAAGGAUACCAAUUCCAAGUGAAUUGGUUUUGUUUCAUUUCACGGUUAGCUUAAGGAAUAAAACACAAACUUUGAUUUGUAAAGGUUGAGAUUUAAACUAACUAACUUAACAGAAGUUUGGAAUAAUUUAGGAAGAAAAGCAUUCCUUGGAGAUUUAGGUUCACUGGGGUGGUUCCUCAUGCAAAAGACAAAGCUCCGGUCAGAUGGUUCAUUUCCUCGCAUUAGAGAUUCAACUUAUAGUCAAUUCUCUAACCGGUGAUGUACAGAGACUCCUUCAAUUAGAUUUCACUUUAAUUCUCUCACUGAUGCAACUUGCAAUGGUUCAUGCCUCUCACGAGCACUUACCAUUCAAGGUGAUCUUUAACCUUGGAUUCCCCUUCACAAACUCGCAAGAGAUAACUAAUGGAUGUCUCCUAGGAGUCCAAAAGGUUACCAAGUGUUGGUAAUUCCAGAAAAUCCUACCUUGAAGUCACCUACCAGAGGCUCGCAAGGGGUAAACUAGUGCAUUCCCACGGUUGGAAAUCACUUGCCUUACCAAGUGUUGGCCCAGGUGACUCCAAGAUGUUUUAAGUUAACUAAAAACAUUGAAAUCACUAAAGGAUUUCACUUCCUCUUCAUUAAAAACUAAAACCACAAAGCUUUGCAUUCUUGCACUUGGAACCUUCCCCGGCACCCUUAGCUCCAAGGAAUUGGAGGUUUAGUUACUCAUUCUCUGGGGAAAACUCCUCAGAGAAUUCAUAACUUAGAAAUAAAAUGAAAAUACAAAGUGAGAAGGAAAGGCAGUAGAAAGAAAAGACCUUUACUUGCUUCCAAAAUGGUUAUAGAAGGAACUCCUCCCUGAGAACAGGCUCCCGAGAGGUAUUUAUAGCAAACUAAUAUAAAACUAAUUCUUACAAAGAUAUUUGGUCUUUUUACUAACUUAAAAACUAAGGAAUCAUGUAAUUGGUGGUUUACAAGGAGUAUUUUGGGAUUUAGACAACAAAAAUCUAAUGGAAAAUAUCUCCCAAUGUCGGUAGCAAGCUUCGGGAGGCUUCCGGAGCCAUUUCGCAGGAGAAAAGUGAGGUCUGCGAAAUUUCGCAGACACCCAAGAGGGCUGCGAAAUUAUUUCGCAAGACCAAGAUAUCUUCACCAGGCUGCAAAGUUGGCUUCCAUCUUGAAGUUUCCAGCUCCCUUCUCGCGGCAUGGUUCGUGCAUCGUUAGAAGGAGAAACACCUUACUGUACAAAAGUGUUGCGAAAUUCUCGCAACAAAAGGCUGAUUCCGCAACACUUCAGAGUGACUGGCUUGUAAUGGCUGCAACUUCUUCGUUUCAACUCCAAAUUGCACACCGUUUGAAGCAUUGGAUUGUUGACUUCCUGAGCUUUGAAAUGGUAUAUAGCUUGCAUCAUUUGGACUUCAGAAAGUGCUCCAAAAGUGGCUGCUACGACUGUCAUCAAGAAUAGGCUUCAUGACAGAUUCUCUUUGCUUUUUCUCCUUGCAAUCCGGAUUCACUCUUGGCAAUUGAAUUCUCAACUUUGCCCAUGAUUCCUCAUAGCUCUCCUCAAUCUUGACUUGCUUUGGUGAUCAAAAUACUAACAAAAACACCAAAACUUACACAAAGUGAUCAAAAUUGCUUUAAAGGAUCCUUAACAUGUCAAUUGAGUUAAAAGGCCUAAACUACUACUCAAAAGUGUUAAAAAGGAUUAAUUAAAGGCUAUCAAAUAGCACUUUUUGAGUAGUAAUCAAACAUCAACAAAUACUAUUCUAUUUUGACACCAUCUAAAUUUAGGAUAUUAGAGGGUCCACCGAGAACGAAGGAUCAAAAUAGUGUGCUCACGCUGGUGGUGCUUGCCGUCCAUUCAAUAUGCGGGACAUAAUCACCAUAAUCUGAAAAAGUUGUGGAAAUGCACAUAUUUUACAACCUCAAUCUACACUUUAUGCAUUCAUAUUACCUAUUAAUUGGGAAUUCAAUUCAGCUAAAGGAUAAGUAACUUACCACAGAAUUAACCCACCACCUUACAUUUAGACAAGACAUUUCUUCCCGGGUAAUGUACAUUCCAUACAUCUUGCACAAACUCUCACUACAAUGAUUGAAAAGGAUUUUUGUCAUGUGGAUGUCAAGUUAUUCACAUAUUAUAUCACUGUAACAAUCAUUGGUACAAAAAAUAAAUGUACUUAGGAUCACCAUUUUAUGCCAAUGCGCAAUCCGCUAUUACCCCAUCAACAUGAGGGAUUUUAGGGAAUUGUUUAACGCAUUGCAUGACAAACGGGCUUUUGCAAGUGGGAGAAUGCUUGACAAUCCUCUUAGCAGUCCGCUUAAAUCUCCUCAUAGAUGAAGGUCUAACUAAUUGGCUGCCACUUCCACCUACCCCAUCAUUUUCCAGCACUUUUUCUAUUCUCAAUUCUAAUGGAAGCGAUGACUCUGCAUGAAACUGUGGGGGCAGUGAUUGGGAAUUAGUGGCUGCUGGUGAUGCUUCCAUUCCAAUUGGUGAGUGGGGAGUUGGUGUGAGGCUAUCUUGUGGUAUCAUUUCUUCAGCUGAAGGCUGCUUGUCCGAUGUCUCAUGCCUUGGUUGAUAUUCAGCUGGCUGCACUGUCUAUGGGCAAGGGAUUGAAGAAGUCCUGUCUGAUCCACAUCGUCGGGAACGUAAUGCAACAACAUCCCGCGCCAAAGAGGAAGCUAAUUCUCAACAUAGUCUCUAAUGUCUCGAUGAGACAAGCUUCAAGUACCUAUUACAUAGUGGAAAAUUUUAUAUACUUGUAUUCAUUGUAUGGAAGAACUGGUAUACGUGGUGAGUGAGCAUGUACUAUCUCGGUAGCAUUGUCAGAAGUUGAGGAUGUCAAAGCUACUGAUGGUACAUUCAAGUGGGGUGUGCUUUUCUGGUUGCUUUUGUGCCUACAUGUUGCAUCAACAGUUCAAUGAGAUUAUAAACAAAUUGGUUAUUAGUUGAAUAAGCUAAUAUUGUUUAUAAAAUGUAAGGAAAUAUUUGUUAAGUUAGCGCAUACAUGCACAUGUCCAUAAGCACCGAAUGUUGAUAUUUUAGCUGCUAAUCGACAUUUGAUUACUUCAUCACUCUAAGCGACAGCUAGCGGGCUGGUAACUUCAACCUUUAUUGAUGGCAUGUAGAAGUAUGCCAUGUAGAACAACUGUGCAAGGGUAGUAUAUGAGACGAGGAACAUUAAAAAAGAAAAUUGCAGUAAGCAUGACAUUCAAAUUAAAAUGUAAACUAAGUUCAUCCUAAUUACAUAAUGUACUAGAGCCUUUAUUGUACCUGUAGGAACAUGAGACAGCCUUGGAUGUAAGUAGGAUGAUUUUUGCAAUAAUCCCUGAUUCCAUCCUCUAAGUAUUGGAACACAAACUUGGCCCAAUUCCUUUGGACACCAACAUCACCAUCCCAAAUGGUGUCCUAAAGGUCAUAGAUCCCUCCAAGCUUUGAGUUUAGUGCUAGCAUAGUGGCACAUGAAAAAAAUUAAAAAUGAUUUUUAAGAAUUCAUCACAAACUAGCAGAUUCUCAAGGUUUUGCUCCAGUACACUGAGGUUGUAUGUGUGAUUGAUCGGGACUGUUUUUUUAAGGACAACCAUGUCUACCCCGGUACUAGGGAUGGCCAUGACCCUACUGACAUGUUCUUCAUUGAUAGGAACAGCAUUGUCAGUUGCCAUAUUUAGUUUAUGUAAAGUGGUAUUGUGAAAUGAGCCACCCACAUAGCUCAUACCUUAGUUCGCGACAUGCAAAGCUCAAUAGUCCCCCAAAGCCCAUCUCCUUAAUGGCUUGCUGUUUUUCAUCGAAUAGAUGUGCAAUGACACCGAUAAAUUUCUUCCUUGAACAGCGGGACUUAGGAAACUUUUCCUACAGUAAAAAUGUAAUAUUUGUCAGUGACAAAAAAAUGCAAGAUAUGGAAAUUUGCAAUAAGGUUGAAAAUGAAGAUUCAAUCCAUUUUGGAAUGAAAACUCUUUUGUCAAUCUAUGUACAUGUUGGUGGAACAUGCCCUUUCAUUUUUCUGCGUUCUGUGGCCAUGCGUAUAGUGAGAUAACCUUAUGUUCGGAAGGUGAAACUGAAAGCUCAAGUUUUGACACCCUACAAAUUAAAGACUGUUAGUGUAAAGUGUCGUAUGGUAAUGCAUAAGGCAUGAAAAAGUUCAUUUACAAAUAAAUUAUAAGAGUCUAGGAAAAAUAAACGUAGAUUUGGAAAAAAAUUGAACAAUACACUAAUAAAUGGAAGCUACCAAUAAGAAAAUUAACCAGUUUUCUUCUUAACCAACCAAAUAGUUGAAUAUUAAGGACAACAACAGUAACUAUUAGUUGCACAAUUAGUAUAAUAAAGUGAAACAAAUUUUUUGUUUAACUAUUAGAUGCAAUUUUCUAGGGAAUCAAUGGCCUUAUACAUAGUCAAGAGUAUGGAUAUGAUAGUUGUAAAAGGGAAUAAAAUUGAGACAGCUAUGGCUUUCAAAAAAUUGAAAUUGAUUUAUGUGAGUGUGAUUGGUUUAACACAAGAUCAACACUUGUGAAACAUCAAGAAGAUAUGCAAGUUUUUGAAGGGCAUAGAGAAAAAUUCUGAACAUGAUCUUGCUGCUUGCCAAAACAGUCAAGUGUAGGGAUUUACUUCUGCUAAUGAAAUAUGCAAACAUUUGUAUUUGCAAGUUUAAUAUGAAAAAAAAGGGAUCCAACAAGUAAAUACGGUUCUAUGAUAAUCCAUUUGACACAAGGAUCCCAUUAUACCUAGUUUAAAAGGACCACAUAUAAUAAACAAGUCAUUGGCAAUAUCUAUGAUAGUUAUUCCCCAUCUUAAAACUUUGAAAAGUUAUAAGGUCGAGUUUUUUCCCAAUUUACACCAGGCUCAUGUUUAACUAGUUUAAAGUCAGCAAGCCAUAAUUUUCAAAACUAUGACAAGACUCACAAACAAGUCAACAAGCAAUAUCAGAACUUUAGUGCCCAUCUUAGAAUUUUAGCAAGUUACUAAAGAUAAAUAGAGUCAUCUUGGCAAGCAAAGCUCAUAUUUUAAGAUUGAACACUCCUAGCAAUUGAAAGUUACAUAUCUACAUAAGAAAAAAAUUUAAAUAUUUCCAAAACAUAAAUUUUAUAGAUGCAAUGUAAGUCAAAUUUGUUUUUGUCCAAAACAACAAGAACUUUACAUUCAAUAGUGCCCUAGCAAGCACCUAUAUGUUGCAAGAAUUCUUAUACAACGUUAAAAAAUGGGAUAAUAACCACCAUGUAUGUAGUUAGACAAGAUAAGUGGUGGUGACGGGAGAAAGGGGGAAUGGUGGAAAACAAAGUAUAACAAAAUAUACGGAUUGAACGGUAUACAUGGAUAUAUAUAAUGUAGUUUGCUUAAGCUAGUUUAAGCAAGGUGAUGGCAGCAAAGACAUGUGGUUGGUGUCAAUACAAAUAAAACAAGAUGUGUUGCAGCCAAAAUUCAGCCAUGGUGAAAGAAAUUAAUAUUCAGAGGAAUAUAUAUAUAUAUAUAUUCCUUUUCAUUUACAUAUCUUUACCAAAAUGUAUACUCAAAUGGUAGAUAUGAUGCAAGUUACAUUAACGUACAAAGACAUGGAAAAGGGCACUAAGGUCACCAAGUAAAAACAUAAAAAUAAAUGAACAAUAGGAUUCAUGUCCAAGACUACCAUUAUAAGAUGAAAGGACAAGCUUGAUAAAUGUCGGGACCUAUUCCUACAUUUUGAUUUAUAAAAAGCCAAAUGCAAAGAAAUAAAUAGAAAUGAUAGCAAUCAUCAUCUUUAUGUUGGAGAUGAUUUUCCAAUCCCCAGAAGGGAAAAAUGUAAAUAAUAAUAUUAAUAACAAUAAUAAUAAUAAUUAUAAUAAUGUGUAGAAAAAAAAAAUUUGAUAUCAAUAGUACAUCAAUAAUUAAGGGAUAUGAUAGCAAAAAAAGUUGGCCCCGUCAAGGAGUACAACCUAUAUAAUAACAUACUUCAGUUUGAUAAUGAAUUCUAAUAGAAUGAAACCUAUAUCUAAUGGAAGGGAGUGAUGUGUUUUUGAAACUGCAUAUGUUAUGAAAGAAAAUUUGGAUUCUUUGCCAUUCAUCCUGGUUUACAAGUACUGGACAUGUACAACAUCAAUGUUGGUUCAUUUCUGGUUAGGAAGGGUCUUUAAUUUAACUCAAUGGACAUAGCAGGUGACAACAAAGGUACAAAACAUUAACAUAAUAACACUCAUUCACUGAGAACCAGUUCACUUAAGUUAGUUCAAAUACGAUAGUACAAGAUCUGAACAAUGCAAUAAGGUGACAGAUAUGCAUUGAAGGCAAAUGAUUCUUGCACGUUUUUCUGUUGUGGUCGAAUAUAUGACAACAGGAGCAAUAGACCUUCCGUUUAUCUUGAAAUUGGGACUCAAUGCGCUUCUUCCUUGGCAUUCCAGGAGGCCCUUUGUAUGUGAAGGCUUUAGAGAGAAGAAAACCUCCCUAGUGAUAGAUCGAACCAAACCAUCAUCAUUGUAGUAAUCAUUAACGCAAUCAAUAAUGUUUUGGCCAAUGAAAAUAAUGACAGCUGCAACAUGUUCACAAGGGAUUCCCAACAUUUGCCAACCCCUAUAAGUGCAUGUACGGUUUAUAAUGUCUACAUUCAACAAGGCUCCCCCAAUACAUACCCCAAAUACUCCAUUCAUAAAUGGUGUGACCGGAUACAUCUCACCAUUUUCAAUAUUUUGUAGUACCUUAUCUUCAAUUUUUGGGCCAAUAAACCCUUUCCAAUUGUUGGACUCUUCUUUAUGCUUCACAAGCAUAGAACCUAACUUGGACAUGUGCUCCAAUAAAAAGUUACAAAUGGAGUGAUGUUUUUCAUUCUAUAAGCAAGCAUUAAAUGACUCGGCAAGGUUGGUAGUCAUUUUAUCUUUUUUUUUUUUUUUUUUUUUGAAUUUUGACAUGGCCCAAUGGCCCAAUGGCAAGACACAUUUUCUUCAACCCAUGUUGCUAAAGCAUCGUUGUAUUUUUUCAGUUCAAACAUGCAAAACGUUAUAAUCAUGUUCUAACCUUGCAUAUGCAAUACUAUCUAGGAAUUGAAGUGUAUUUUCUUUACCCUUGUUUCCUCGUGUGUUAAGCUUGGACAAGAAACUACUAAAAUUCUCCUUCAAGUGACGAUAGCAAUAGGCAUGGUUUUCAAGGCCAAACAUCUCAAGAACACUGCGAAGGAGAGCAAGAUGUCUAUCUAAGACAAUAAUAAUUUCUUGGUUUCCAACAACUAUCUUCAAUUUUUCCAAGAACCACAAGCAAUCUUCAUAAUUUUUCGAGCUCAUCACUCCAAAGGCUAAGGGGAACAUGGAGUCAUUAGCAUCGUAGGCGGUGGCUGAAAAUAGCGCACCGCCAUUUGGCCCACUCAUAUGGGUUAAAUCAAUUGCAAUGAUUGGUCGACACCCCAUUACAAACCCUUGGAUAGAUAUUGAAUGAGCAAUAAAAAACUGCUCAAAAUGGCCAUCAUCAAAAUAACUCAGCUCAAUGCUCAAUCCCGAAUUUGUUGCAAUCAUUCUUUCACACAUCCAUGGCAACAAUUUGUAAUAAUUUUUGGGUAGUCCAUAAAUGCGCUCCUUAACAUUCUCCUUUAUUUUCCAUGCUUGAAGGUAAGUCAACUGGAUGCCAUGUUGCCUUACAAAGUCCUUACAAAUUUGUCGUGGUUGGUAUUCAGGAGUAGAUCGAACGACAUCAUCUAUGACCAAGAAGGCACAAGUGGAUCUCACUAAAGGUUGAGACAAGGCAACAUCUCCCAAGCAAUGGUUAUGUACAUUUCGAAAUGUGUGUACUUGAACAAUGUUUGAAUCCCCUAUUGCACGAGCAGUGAUUUUCCUAAGACAAUCUUCAAUUGUGCAUACUACAGUCAUGUGUUUUGAACUAUUUAUUUUGUAAGAAUAUUGGAAUUUUCCAGCCAAAUACAUCAAAUAGAUUGCAUCUCAAAACUCUGAGACAUUUGGGAAGGUAUGUCCACUACCUAUAAUUGAAUGUUGGAACCGGCUUGGUUGAAAUUGAAUGAUAUUUGUUUCAACACAUAUUUGGGAAAACGCAAAUGACUCAAUUGUAGGCGACUCAUUAGAUAUGUUGCAACGAGGGCUCACCAAUGGAGGAAACAUGUGUCGAGUUUGAAACAACAAUAGGUGUUGGGGCACUGUGAAAAAAACAGGAAAAGAAAUUGAUCAUCCAUCAACCUAUGUGUGAACGUUGAUUAAAAAGGGAAAAAUAUUAUGGGAAGACAUUAGGUACCUAGUAAGGGUAAUGAAGACAUCACCACCUUCAGCACAUUGGCAGACAUAGACACGACAAAACAUGUUGUUAAUUUGAACAUCUUGACUAUGUUGACAUCAUCAUGCAUCAUCGAGAGUAGACAUGAUGGGUCAAACUUCACUAUGAAAUCCAAUUUAAUUGAAUUGGGCUCCAAGUUCAGUUCACCACAUACUUUUGAAACAAAUUCAGAAUCUAAGAUAUUCUUGCUAACAACAAUGCAAUUGGUCCGACCACCCUUAUAUUCGACGGACCCAACAACAAUCUUAACAAGCUCACCACCUUCAGGAAUGUAACAAAACAUCUCCUCUUCCAUUUCCUUAAUGACAUAAAGAUUUGUUACAAAUAAUAUAACAAUGAAAGAUUGAGGAAUUAUGUAUGUUGAUUGCAUUUACUUUUAUGUAGGAAAUAUACAAGACAACUUUUAUUCAUAGAUGAAAUAUUUGAAUCUUCAAAAAUGCAAUUUCCAGUCGUCACACAGGUAGUACCCAAGGUGGGCUAAGAUAGUACCUGAUGUUGACUAAGGCAGUACCUACAGUCGAUUAAGAUUGUACUUUCAAGAAUAAUGAGCUAGUACAUAAGGUUAACUUAGCAGUAGAAUAAGGUUAACCAACUGAUCACCAAAAUAAGACACAAUGGGCUAAGGUAGUACCUAAUAGAUUGGUAAGUUCUAUGCGCAAUUGAGUAUGUUUUAUGCACGUAGCCCAUGCAAUGCCACUUAUUGGUUAUAUCCUUGUGAAAUGGACUACGUACUGACCAAGGAAUUACGAAAUGUUAAGGAAUGAAGUUACUAACGCUAAUAUGAGAAGUGAACAUUUUCUAACCAGCACACCACUUCUAAAAAUUUGGUCACCCAUAAUGACAAGCAAGGUUUUGUUAGAUCAAUUUAUUUUUUUAGGGCAUCUUCAUCAAGAUGGGAAGUUUGUAUUGUUACAGUAGAUACAAAAAGCUACAGAAUGGGAAUAGGUUUAUGCUUAGCCAUGGAGACGAAGGUAGUUUUCUAUUCUGUAGAGGACCAAAACUAAGAACAAUACCCAUGGAGAUCUAGCUCCUCCCUACACCGUUUAUUCAUAAAGAACCUUUUAUCUGAAGACUAGAGUGUCAUAAAAUUUUCAUUUCUUCAUUUAAGUCAUUGAAAAUUUUGUUACUUCAUUUGAAGGGUUACAAUUAUUACUUGCAUAUAUAAAAUAUAAAUUUGACUAGAUAAUUUUAGCUGCUGAAACCUAUAUCAUUUUUUCUAAGCAUUUAUAGCAACUGACUAAUAGUUCAAGUAAUUUUAUAUAAAAAUAUGAAAAUUAAACUGAUAAAAUUAUCAAAUCUAGGUCAUUUUGUGCUAAAUGGGAGCAGUCACAGACAAACAAAACAAAAAAUAUAUAGAUCAAUAUGCAUUUCAUCCAUUCUACUUGCAUUCCCUGGUUCCUAAAAUCUUAUUAAGGAAAUGAAACCACUGCAUGGAUACCAACAGUUCCUAUAUAGCCUUUCCUAUUUCCAUAUUCUAAAAGGGAUCUCUAAAUCAAUAUCAAUUACCAAUCAACAAGAAGAGUAACAUUUACUAACCAAAAAUAUUUGAAAAAAUGGGACAUGAAUUUAAAUUAUAGACAUAAAAAAAACCAACGAAAACUUUAGCACCCAUCAACCAUCAAUAUCAUAAAAACCCAAAAAGUUGAGUAAUUUGGAAUCUAAAAAUCACCAUUUCAAAAGCACUUAUUUCGCUCUCAAAAGAAAUACAUCAUCCCGAAAAAGUGUUCCUUUUGGUAAUCCACUGCAAAGCUCAAUCCAAAAACACAAUCCAAUAAAUGAGUUUCACUAAAAAUGCAUUGUUUCCCAACACCCAAAAAUAAGAAGGAAAAAAAAAGGUUUAUUUUUGGCAAAUCAAUUAAAAAUUUGUUUUCCCAGUUCAAAACCACAACCAAAACAAAUGGGAUUUUCAGCAAAACGAUUCCCAACCCAUAUUCUUGCCUUCAUUUGAUAUCAAAAUAGAAAAGUUUUGGGGAUUCUCCAAUCCAAAUAAAACCGUAGAAACUGAUAAAAAUGCAUGAAAUUGAGAAAAUGGAUGAUGAUUCAUUAUGAACAUAUUUAAAAACUGAUUAUGAACUCCUAGAUGCCAAAAUUUGAGCCACGCCUAAUUGAGAAAAAACCCAGACAAACAGGAGAUUUUCGUGAUGUGAAUGCAAAUGCAAAAGAAAGAAGGAAUGGGUUAUCUUGGGAGAGAAAAUCUAAGAUGAGACAAAUGGGAUUAAGGGCUUUUGAACUUAAAUGAGAUAAAUUUUUGAAAACCAUACAUGGUUUUCAACUUCGCCUAGGUGAUGGAGUGAAAAAACAUGAGAGAAAUGGGUAUCAAAUGAGAGAGAGGAAAUAAAGAAUUGUCCGCUAUGGUGUUUUUGUGGAAAAGUCAAAUUUUGAUUUUUGAGUUUUCAAGUGGUUCAGUUUCAGCCCGUGUUGACAUGGACUCAAAGAUGCUGCUGGCUUGGAGACCUGGGGGGCAAUCUUGGCCUAAAAUAUGCACCAGGCUCAGAGUGCAUAAAAAAUAUAUAACUUUCCACAUUAAAAGCUAGUUUUCAUAUUUCAUAAAUAUGGUUCCGAAAACCAUAUAUGUCCCAAAUGGCCCCAUCAAAACACAAGUUUCCCAAGAAGAAAACAUCUUUCCAAUUAGCAUUCACACUAUGGUUUUCAAAUAGGUUACAGUAUGCCAUUAUAUCCUAUGUCAAUAAUUCACCAUUAGUGGGUGUACCAAAAGAUUCUUCCUAUGAAUCAUACAUUCUUUUAAAAAAAUACAAACUUGACUAUUUUCAUGCCUCUAUUGAUUCUGCCCAACAUUCUGUUUGGAUCAGUUGUCAUAUUUCUCUUGAAUUCCUAUGUUUCUGAUACCAAGUAUAUCAGAUAAGAGUUUUAAAAAAAACACAAGAAACCUCAAACUACCCUUGAUUGCACAAGGGAAGAAGAUUAAGGAUGAAAAUAGACCACAAUGUAUUGUAUAAACAGUUUUAUGACUCUGAAGUGUUUGGUUUCAAUAAUAAUGCGUAGAACACUCAUGUUCUAUCAACAACUCCUAGUGGCUCAAGUAGUGGAUCAACUAUAUUAGCAGCAGCAAAUUUAGCAGUAAUGUCACCAGGGACGGAGACUGAUGGAUCCAUCUUAUAUCUAUCUGAUAGUAAUUCAAUAGUUGGUAUCAAACCAACACUUGGUCUCACCAGCUGAGCUAGGGUGGUUCCAAUCUCUCCUAGGCAGGACACAGUUGGGUAGGUAAUGCUUCAUCUUCCUUAAUCCGAAUACAAGACUAUCAUCUGUUGAGCAACCAAAGAGAGCAGACUGGUCCAUCUUAUUGACAAACAUAGAAAAUGAGAAAUAACAAUGAAAAGUCGGGAUCUUACAAUUAUUUAAAUUUCAAAUGAUGAUUUUUAGUAGUGAAUUUUGUGUUUACACUCUUCAUCUAGAUUGAAGCCAAUCAAGCAUCAAUGAAUGUAAUUGGAUUUUAUUACAUGCAAUACAAGAUUUUCACAUGGUUCUGUUAAUUUGUUAGGCUUUGAUAUAAAUCUGCUUGCUUUAUGAUCAUCGGCAUAUGUUUCACUACUUUGUUUUUAAUUGGAAAAACUUCAUAGUUUUGUUAUAUCCAUUGAUCUCAGAACUCAAUGGUGUUAAUUCUAGUAAGAACUCCUAACAUUUUGGAUGCAAUAGGCCUAUCUCAGGACAACCUUCUAUUCUAUAGAGAUAUUGGAUGUCAUUGUUGGUUUUGACUACAGGAAUGAAGCAACUAGGACAACAUCCAAGUACAAACCAUAAGGUAGCUAUAAGCAAUUUCUCAAUGCAAAUGAGAUCAGGGAGAAGAGAUUGUAAUAAGUACGAAUGCUAAGAAACAAAACAGAUCAUGAUCAGAAUUCUUCCAAAAAAGAAUAGAGAAAAAAAAUGAAAAAUAUUGGAGAAAGCAUUUCGCACGAUCUUGCUUUGGAUAUUGAAAUGAAAAACAAUAGAGUCCCAACACUUCACAAAACCUAAAAAACUCCAAUGAAAAUCUACAGCAUUUCACACGAUCUUGCUUAAGAUAUUGAAAGAUCAUGACCUUCUCUCAAAAGAAGUCCUUCAAUAAAUAUGGAUUAAUGGUUUUCCUCCCUCCUUUAGAGAAAAUAGGGUUAGACCAUAGGGUAGGGCAGGGCAAAUGAAAGAGAAAACAAAUUAGGGUUUCAAUUAGAAGAAAAGGAAACCCAUUGGAAUCUCGGAAUGCAAAUCUUAUCCCACUUCCAGUUGGUAGCUAGACUCCUCACUUGAGCUACUCCUCUAAUCCCGACUACAUCGACUAAAUCUUUUGCUUUUGAAAUGAAAACCUCCAGAUCUCAGUUCGUUUCUGGUUACUUCAUGGAAGAGAAAACCAAAUAGCUCUAUCUAUGGAGCACUAGUGCAUCAUUGGGAAGUGAAGCUUAGAGUGUAUGCUCUCAAAUAUUCCUACCACCAUGAGAUUCCAAGACUUAUGGAGGGAAAUUCUGUAGAAGAAAUGAAACUUUUAGCUAAAUAUAUUCACUGUGUAACAUAAUGGCGCUUUUAAGAAGUGAUGAGGAUAAAAAAAAAUUUAUAUAUAUCAAUGACACUUUUCAGAAGAGCCAAGGAUGCAAAAAAUGAUGCUUAAAAUAAGCGCCAAGAUUUUUAACCUCUACCGUUCCAUGACGCUUGUAGAGCGCCAUAGUAAAGGAGCAUCAACGUCUAGGCAUGAUAAGCUAAAUAAAGAAACUUUUCUAAUAGCGUCCAGAAAGAAAACGUCAUUCUUUUUGUGUUUUUGUUUUUUUGUUUUUUUGGUUUUUUUAGUAGUGCUAGUGAUUAUAUUUGCAUCCUUCAAAUAUCGUUACACAUCUACUUAAAUUUUAAAAAACUUAGGACAAAAAUGGCAUUCUCCUUUAAAGUUAUUAUUAUGUGGAACUAUACUUUAACAUCCUUAAGGUUGUGUUUGGUUCCAGAAAAUACUAAGGAAAAAAAAAUAUAUAAAUAAAAAUGAUUUUUUCAUAUUUGGUUGUCCUAUGAAAAAUAUAGAAGAAAAUCAAAUAUAAUUAAAAUUUCAUGUAUGUUUAAAUUAUUUAAAUCUUUAUAUCGAUGAGUUAAAAUAAAUAAAAUUAGUUUAAAGUAACAAAUAAAAAUAAUUUAUCGACUUUUAAUUUAUUUUUUAUUUUUCUUCACUUUUUCUUUCCUUCUACUUUUCCUUUAUAUUUUAUUUCCUUUGUAUUUUCCCUCAAAUUUUCCGAGAACCAAAUAUAACCUAAGAGAAUAUAGAAUAUUCUAAACAUCCUUAAAGGUGUCCAUAACUAAACUUUUGAACACCAUUAAAAACGUGAAAAACUAUAUUUUGGACAUACUUCAGAUGUCGAAUCUUUCUUUCAAGUUUGAAUGCCAUGAAAUUGUUUCAAGAUUGGGAACAACAGGACCAACUCAUCAUGUCAGGGAUCCUUGCAUCCAUAUCAGAUGCUCUUCUAACACGUAUGGUAAAUUGUGAUACUUCAGCUCACGUAUAGAGGACUCUUGAACAACAUUUUGCCACUGAAGUACGAGCCAAAAUAACUCACUUCAAGACUCAACUUCACAACACAAAGAAAGGUGGCCCAUCCAUAAGUGACUACUUUCUCAAGAUCAGAAACAUUGUUGAUCACCUUGCACUAGUUGGCCAUAAUUUUUCUGAUAAAGACCAUAUAGAUGCAGUCUUUGAAGGAUUACAUCAAGAAUAUGGAACCUUCAUCAUCUCAGUAAGCUCAAGAAUUGACCCAUAUACAGUUGAAGAGAUUGAAGCACUCCUUCUUGCCCAAGAAGCUUGUAUUGAGAAAAACAUCAAGAUUCAUGAAUUCUCCCAGUGAUACUCGGGUUUUUAAUGACAUGUCAAAUUCAGAUAUUAGAAAAGUUUUCAUAAAAUUGUUAAUCAAAUGGUAAAAAAAGAAAGAAAGAAAGAAAAAAUUGUGAAGAUCCACAUCUUAAUUGAGAGAGAUUUUAGAAAAGUUAGUUAAAAGUGAAUAGUUUAAAAAUCUUGCCACGUGUAUGUAAAGAGUAGGAAUUAAAAAAAUUAUUAAAUAAUUGAGAUUAGGUUUUAAAAUUUUGAAUAUUAAGUAUAUUGUGAGAAUUAAUUUAAUAAUUAUUAGAGAAUUGUGGAGAAAAACUUGGUAAAAAUUUAUAUUAUAUUGAAUUGUUAUAAUGAAUAAUUAAAAAACGUUGAAUUUAAUUCUAGAACGAAUCAAUUUAACUCUUAUACUUGGAAUUAAACCUUAUAGGAUUAUAAAACAUCAAAUAGAAUUGAAUUGAAAUUAAGUUUAGAUUAAAUUAUGAUAUAUGAAUUUAAGAAAAUGUAUAAAAGGGUAUUUUAAUUAAAUGCGAAUUUAAUGAAUUUAACUUUUGCAAUUUUGAUUCAAUUGAGGAAUUUGACAAAUGAAAUAAAUUAAAUGAAAGGUAUACUAAAGGUUGAUAAUUUGAUUAUUAUAUAAAUUGAAUGACUAAAUAAUUGAUGGAAUUAAGUUUUAGAAUAUUGCUUAAAUUUGUGUUAAUAAAUAAAUAUUGGUAAAAUUAACGAGUUAAAGGUUAUCAUGAAUCUCAACUUCUUGUAUGUUGAAGAAUUAUUUUAUAUUUAAGACCUUUUAUAAAAUAGAUUUUUAUUUUUUAUUUUUUAUUCUUUUUAAUAGUUAAUGGAAUCACGUCCUAAAUGAAUUUCAAAGUAAAAAUGCAUUAGGUAAUUAAAUUCAAAUUACAUUUUUUGAAGAGUAGACUUGUAGUAAUUAAAUUUAAUAAAGAAUACAAUGGUAUUUUUCGUAAGACAGAAAAUCAUAAGUUGAGUAUAAUUUAUAAUUGUGGAAUGUAAAAUAAAAACUAGUAUUUUAAUUUAUUAAAAAAAAAAUGUGUGGUAUUUCAAAUUUGUUUAAUAAUAAUAAUAAUAAUAUAUAGAAGGAAUGGAGAACAUAAUAGGGGCGUUCGUAGAAGGGAAAGUGUCGUUGGCCUUCGACCGAUCGUUUGGUGGCCAAACGACUUUCAUUUUGUGUGAGAUUUUAGAAGAACACUCUAUUCAACAUGAGGAACAUAUGAACGUAGUCAGAUUUUGAUUUCAACAGUUAGAUUUUCUAAUUUGAGGUAAGGUGGUUUAAUCCUAAAACUUUGAUUUAAUAUUUUAGUUUGAAAAAAAUUUAUAUAUUGUGUUGUUGGGAGAUAAUAGAUGUUAUUUGUAUUAUUUGAAGUGUGAUUAUGAUUAUUGAUAAUUUUAUUUUGUGAUUUACAUAUUUUUUUUGGAAUAAUGAUAAUAUUUAAAAUGAUUUAAAUAUAGAAAAAUAGUUGUAUUGAGUGUUAGAAAUUAUAUAUUGAGACUGUUGAGAAUAAAUAAAAUUAAAGUAUAAAUUGUGUUUCAUUGAUAUUUGAAUUAUUGAGAAUUUUCUUUGAUAUUUGGGAUGAGAUAAUUGAAGAAAAAUUGUUGUGUGGUUGUUGGAAAUUAUUAAGCUAUUGGGAAUAAAUAAAAUUUAUGUGACUAAGGUUUAACCCAUGUUUCGAUAAUAUACGAAUUAUUUGUGAAUUUUCUUUGAUGUUUGUAGUGAUUAAAGUGGAGAAAAAUCGUUGUGUGAAUUAUUGAAAAUUAUAAAACAUAAUUGGAGUAAAUGUAAUUAUGCCUUGGAAGAAAAAGAAAAAUUGAAGAAAUGGUUGAAUUAGUAACUUUAAUUUUAUAGGGUACUCAAAACAUUUCCAAGUUCACAAUCUAAAAAUCUCAAUCUAAUCAUUGACAUUCAAAAUAUAAAGUGAAAGAACAUUGUUUAAAACAAUUUUCAAAAUAAUUGGUUUAUGUUGACUUAUGCUAGUGUUUUAUGAAAGAAAAUACUACAUUAUUGUAAUAGCAUAAACAAUAUUUAUCUCAAUAAUUUGAGUCAUUACACUCUCAACGGGAAAAUAAUAUAUCCAACUCAUAAGCAGAUUGUUUUGGCACCUCUAGAGAAUAAGUUCAGAAUUUAUUGUAAUGUCAUCUUCACACAUCAGAGAUGGACAUGGAUGAAGACCCUCAAUGAAGAACUCAAGGCCAUUUACAAUACUAACAUUGAGUAGUUGCAUUUUUCACAAAAGAUAGUUUGAUCUAUCUCAUCGUAUAGUUAGGACUUGGUUUAGUGAUGGAAGUGGUAGUGCAUGGUAAUUUUGAGAAAUUGAAGACAAGGUUCCGAUCGAGAUUGAGGAGGACGAAACCAUUGCCACCAUUGUUGAAGAGGUAAAAGUUUCAACAAAGGGCAUGGUUGACCAUUGCACCUAUUAUACCCAAGGAGGAAAAUAUCGCGAUAUGUCAUCCAAGCAAACUUGCCCUUGGUAUAUAUUAUGUACUAAACUUAUAUAUACUUAAACUCAUUAUAUAAAGAAAAUAUUAAAAGAAUAUUUUAAAGAGCAAAUUAAUUAUAAUUAUUUUAUAAUUAAAUGCAAAAUUUUCUUUUAAUUGAUUACCAAAAAUAUAAAAAUUAUAUAAUUUUUUUCAUAAUGUUUUUAUAUCAUUAAUAAUUAAUUAAAUAUUAAAAAAUUAUAUAUAUAUCAUAAUUUAUUUUAUAUUGUUUAAUACAAUUGAAUUAAAUGGAUCAUAAUUUUAAUAUUAAUAUAUAUUUUAAAAUUAGACAUAUUAUAAUCAAUUAUCAUAAUAUUAGAUGUAAUUUAAUAAUAAAUGUACACUCGAUGCAUACAAUAUUAUUAUCAAAUAUAAUAAAUCAUGUUAUACAUAUAUCAAAUUUUUCAAUAAAAUAACUUUAAAAUGUCUAUUAUACUUCUAAUUAUAUUAAUAUAGGGUUUUUCUUACAUUUUCAUGAGUUUUUAACAAUUUUAAGAUUACCGCUAUUUUUUUUCCAAAAUAUCCGCCGAUAUAUCCGAUAUAUUCGUAAAAUCGAUGUACCGAUAUAUCCGUGAUUACCGAUAUUUUCAUCCUUGAUUAUACCAUGUAAAAUAAAAGUAUAGUGGUUUUGGAAAAUACAAUGAAACAGAGUGAGUUUGAUUUUUUAUUUUUUUAUUUUUUAACAAAAUAAAAUGUUGAAAAAAAGAAGUAAAUAAAGGAAGAUAUAUUAAGAGUCAAUUUGACAUUACUUUUAAUGAAAGUGUUUUUAUUGUAAGUGUUUUCUUCUACAACACUUCUGUGAAAAACACUUUUAUGAGAAUUUUAAAAAGUGAUUCUAAUAGUAUUUUUAAUAAUAUAUUGCAUAAGUAUAAAAACAUUUUUAAUAAUAAUAAAUUACUAAAAAAGGAUAUUUAUUACAAAAAAAAUAUUAUAAUAAAUAAAAACUUUUAUUAAAAAAAUAUAUAAAUAUUUAAUUGUUAAAAAAACUCAAAAAUUAUUUUUAUGAAAAUGAAGUGAAAGAGGAAGAGGAGAGUAAGAAAAAAAAAAAAAGAAAGUUAAAGGGAAAUGGAGGAUAGCGAGAAAAUUUAUUUUAGGAAUAUAUAAAAAAAAAUGAAGUAUUUUUUUUUUAAAGAAACACCUCUCAAGUGCUUCUCUAAAAAACACUUCAAAUGUUUUUUAAAAUUUUCAUAAGUGUUUUUCAAAAUAUUAUCAAACAUAUAUUUUUUUUAUCUUAAAAAAGCAUUUAAGUGUUUUUAGGGCUAAAAACACUUCUAAAAAACAUUGCCAAAUGAGCUCUAAAUUCAUAUUUCCUUGAAUUUAUAUUUUUUUGAAUUUAUAUUUUAUUUUCUCUCUAUGAAUUUUCCUUUAUUUCAAAUAUAAACUAUAUUUUAAAAGGUUAAUUUUAUUUACUUGCCUUAAGGUUUUUGUUAGAUACACUUAAUUAUCAUUUAUUUGAAAUUUUAUUAAAUAUCUUUCUUAUCCUUUUCAUUUCUUAAUUGCCAUGUACUCGAUAAAAUCAACUUGAAGGGAAUUAAGCCAAAUUCCCAACCUGUGAGAAACAAAAAAUAGAGAAAACACAAGCUAAAGAAAAAGAAUCACACGUACAAGACAAUAUUUACGUGGUUCGGCAAUUUGUCUACGUCCACAGAGUUACAAAAAUAUCACUAUUAUCAGGGAAGAAUACAGAGUACAUCUUGUGGCUACAAUAUUUUCUCUCUAUAUAUAACAUAGCAACCACACCACAUUAAAAAACCCUAAUUACAAAAGGCGGUUCCACAAUGGGUUAAACGGGCCUAUCGGCCCAAGCCUUCACUUCAUGGACUAAGCCUUAGUAAAUCUCCUAUUAAAAAACCAUACAAUAUUAUUCAGGUCGGGUUGUCAAACCGAAUCAAACAAAACUAGGCUCCACAAAGCCCAACAAAAUCAAUCUUAUUAUCAUCCUUACUUCUUGAACCUUGGCUUAAAACUCCAACUUCACACAACAUCUAGUAUAAAUUAAGAAAGGACUUAUUAAAAGUAGUAACAUUCUACUUUAGUUUUAAAAUGUUAACAAAAAUUAGAGGAGAAUGAACUAAAAUAUACUGAAUUUAAAAUCAAGCUAACAGAUUAGAAACCAUUUGAAAUCUCACGUGAUUAAAUAGCUUUCUUGUAGUCUGACAAAGGAAAGAAAUUACUUGAAAAGAAUGGCAAAAUCGAAUCGCAUCUUAUGAACUAUAAUCACAUGAUUUCUAGACUUAGUGCAUCCAUUGCCAAGAAAGAUGACGAUCAUAUCACCUUUUGUAAUAAUUCAAUGCCUCUUUUUGUAAAGCCAUAUCAUAAAUAUAAUGAAAUUAAAAGGCAAAUUAAUCAAUCAAAUAAUUAAAAUUUAAAAUUUACAUGGCAGUAGGUGAGGGAAUUGUUCAGUUAAGAAUGAAGAGAGACCACACUCGAGGAAAUAUUAUUGAGGGCAUUGAUGUUGACUUCCCAUAUUCACACCUAAUUAAAAAGGUGAUUAAGAAAAUAAACAAAAACAACCCAAAAAGAGUGAAAGAUAUAUUGCUAGGAAAGAUUGUUCAAAAUGAUCCCAAGUUAUAAAAAUGAACUCUUUCAUUAAGAUGACCUUUUUGAAUACUUUUAUCCUUUUUUGUUUUUUGUUUUUUGUUUGCCUUCAAAAUUAUAAUCUUUCCUUUAUUUAUGUUAUUUUAUUUACUUUAUCAUUUUUUUUUCUAAUUUUUCAUUUAUUUCUUCUACUUACUUUUUCUCUUCUAUGAAGUCUCAUUAUAACUUCAUCUUUAACUUAAUCUCUCUCUUACCCCAUAAUUUCAUCUUUAGUUUAGUCAUGUCUUAUGAAGCUAAUUGUAUUUUCCUCCCUAACUUACUCUCUAAGUUGUUAGUAAUCCUUGAUCUCAAUUCUUUCUCGUACUCCAUUUUUAUUUUCAUUCAAGGUGCUCAUUAAAAUUACACAAGGGCUAAAUUUAAAUUAUAAGAGUUAAUUUCAAUUACAUUCCCUCAAGUUUUGGCUUAGAUACACCUUACCUCAACUGGUUUGAAAUUUCAUCAAUUAUCUCUCUUAUUUUAAGUGAAAGGGGAGGUGAGUAAAAUUAAUAAAUGAAAAGGUAAAGGAUAUAUUUGAUGAAAUUUUAAAUCAAUGAGCGAAAAUAUAUUUAGCUGAAACAUCAUGGAAAAUGAAUUAAAUUAACUUUAUACAAAACUUAACUGAGAUUAAAUUCUUGUAAAGUUUCUCACUUAAUCUAUCAUGAGAUUAUGUUCAAAAUCAUAAUAGUGAUGAGAUCUCAAACUUCAUAUCUUAACACAGUCAAUUGAACUUAUCUUGAUGAGUUUGAAGUCUCAAAAUUGUUUUGAGAUCCCUAGCUAGAAAUAAUCGCUAAAGCCCUUAAUUUUUUUUAUUAAAAUGUCUGUGAGCUUGAUUGAGAUCAAUUUGGAUUACUUUUAGAGAUUCUAGAGGAAUUUAGAAGAAUAUAUAAAGGAAAAAACUUAGGGAAGAUGAAAAGUGUUAGUUAGAGCAGCCUUCUAUUGCACCAAAAGAAGUGGGCGCACCCUUCUACUAUGCCAAAAGGACUUGACGCAUCUGUAUAAGUAUGCUAGGAAGGAAAAUAAAGCAACAAGCCGACCUUUGACUUGAGAGAUGGAGAACCCGUAAGCUGAAUACACGUUCACACGUUCUCACUUCAUGAUGUGGUCCAACACUUUGACCACGUCCUCCACCAUCUCACUUCCGCUGCGGUUAAGGAGCACGUUCCACCAACUGCUCAACAUGGUGGCAAGAGCAACGUGGUUUGAUGGAAGCCACUGUUAUAAAGUUUUCAGAAAAUGGUCCCGAACUCACUCUGCUAUUAUCUUCAAAAACACCAUCUAAAAAAGAGAGAUUAGAGUUUGGAAACCAAAGGUUGAAUCGAUUCCAGCAACUUGAUCUGAUGGCUGGAGGUAAGUAGACUACAAGUCUUUUACAGAUUGAAUUCAUGUUGUAAGUGUUCAUUGAAUUGUUUAUAUGCAUUAUGAACUGGUUACAUUUGGUAUCAGAGCCAUUAAAACCUUGCCUCUGCCUUGGUAUCUAUUUUGCACCAGAAUUGUUUAGUUAAUGUUUCCUUUUCUGGUUAUAAAAUACAAUCAUACAGUAUGCUUGAGAGGAAUAUCCGUUUUAUGAUCUCUCAAUUACUACUUAAAAAAAUUAAAAUACCCAUGCUUGCCGACACCACAAAUGAAGGAUCAUUGCUACUGCCACUGUAGUAUAAUUUUAAUAAAGUCGGCUCUGGAUGGUGAGCCUCCACCCAAUCUAUGAGCCAUAGCUUUACUUGAAAGAACCCAUUUGCCAAACUUGGAGAUCGACUUCUCCAAUUAUCUCCAAUGAAAGCCACUAUUCGGCGACUUUCCGACAGAAAUCCUGCAUCAUUUCCGAAGUGGGUCUGCCUCCGGUACACCCAUUUCCAAAGGUGACCAUGAUAAGGGCUAAGGAAGCAAUCUGGUGGGUGUUUAAGAGGCCAUUGUCACUGUGAGUCAUGCAAAGCUUUCCUGAAGCGCUGCCAGGCUGUUUUGCGGCUGAAGCAUGGUGUUGCCUGUGAGGAGAGGCGCUGUCUAUCUGGUGCAUUUAGUCUCCACCGUCAUUGCCUCAAUUCUGCCAUGGUCAGACUUGGACUAGCGGCGGUGGAUUUGGUGCCGGAAAAAGCGGCAACAGUGGCGUUCAUCCGCUGGUGAUGCAGGCUGCUUGAAAGGCACUGCGUGGGGUUGUUCUUGCAUGUGUUGCAGACGGCUCCAUAGCUAGCUAAUAAUGGUGCAAUCCAUGUGGGUGGCGGCGAGUACGUGGCUACCAGUGAUGAAGUAGUCCAUGGGGUGGCGGAAAAUUAGGAUGGUGGGUUUUCGUUGCAGUUGAUAAUAAUAAUAAUAAUAAUAAUAAAAACUAGAGAGAGAUUGAGUUCUGCUAAGUUUUUGGGCCUUGGUAUAAGUGACUUUUGGGCCUAUGAAGCUUAUUGCAUGACAGUGGCCCAUUUUACUGAAUUAAGGGGCUUUAAGUGUUGGGCUAUGGGUUAAUUGUUAAAAUUGGGUCAAUUUAGGUUCUUAUGGCCCGGUUUAAAUUAUUUUUUUGGGCUUGUAACUGAUUGUGAAAUUUGGGCCAAUUUAGGCAAUUAUGACCUGUUUGAAAUAAUUUUAUUGGGUUUAGGCAUCCAUUCAUAAUUUGAAACCUUUUAAAUUAUUCUAAAUUAUAUGUGAUUUUUAUACAUGCAAAUUAAAUUAUUUAUUUUAAUUUAUAUGUUUGUAUGUGUAAAAAUAUAGCCUAAAUUUAGUUAGAUAUAUUAAAAUUAUAUCAUAUAGUAUGCAUGCAAUUGUUGCCUAAAAUUUAGUUAGAUAUAUUAAAAAUAUAUCAUAUAGUUUUAAUGUCCAGUGAAUCCAUAUGAUUUUUUAAAUAAUUAAGGAAUAGCCACAACAUCCUUCAUUAUAUAAAAAUUAUAUAUUAAUAAGGAUCACAUUAUGGACAUUAAUUGUAAUUAACUAUAUAAAUAUGAUGAUUUUACCCCACAGGGUUUUCAUUAUGUUUAUAUAAUUAAUUAGGAUAAAAUAUUAAAAUUAAUUUUUCCUAAUUUACCCACAUAAGUUAUGAAUAAUUAAUUUAAUAGGUUUAUCAUAAAGAUUAUAGACAGAAAAUAUCAAACUAUAUUCAUAAUAAAUUUCAUAAUUCAAUAAAAUAGUUUGAUAAAGUCUAUCAUAAAGAUAAUUAAUCUGAUUGAAUUAAAGAUUUAGCCUACGGGCAAUUUUUAACAAAAUUAGAUUCAAUUUUAAGCAUGUUCUACAUUGGUAAAGCAUGAAUUUAUAUUAAAGCCUCAAAUUUUUUAAUAAGCUUGUAAUCCUUUUGUGCAGUUUUACCUAGCAUAUCUGAUAUUCGUUGUGAGGUUCCCGAACUUAGAGGAGAUAACUUUAAGAUAUGGAAGGAGAGAAUUCUUCUUCAAUUAGGGUGCAUGGACAUAGAUUAUGCUAUAAGGAAAGAUGAACCACAUAAGAUCAUUGAUACCAACACACUUGAAGAAAUAUUAUUGUACGAACACUGGGAGAAAUCUAAUCGCCUUAGCGUGAUGUACAUUAAGACAAAAAUCAGUGCUGGUAUACGUGGUUCAAUCGAGCAACAUGAGAAUGUCUGUGAAUUGCUAAAGGCUAUUGGCGAGCAAUUCGUCACUUCAGAUAAAGCCUUGGCAAGCACCCUAAUUAUGAAGUUCACAUCCCUGAAGCUCACCGGUAUAAGAGGUGUGCGUGAACAUAUCAUGGAGAUGAGGGACAUUGUGGCUCAAUUGAAGAAACUCGAGGUAGAAAUGUCUGAAUCUUUCUUGGUGCACUUUAUCCUUAACACUCUUCCACCUCAAUAUGGACCUUUCAAAAUCUCUUACAACACACAUAAGGAUAAGUGGUCUAUUAAUGAAUUGAUGACCAUGUGUGUUCAAGAGGAAGGAAGGUUAUUGAUGGAACAGGGAGAAAGUGCCAUGCUGGUGAUGCAAAGGAAAGGAAAGAAAGGAAAAUCUCAAGCUAGUCAGAAAGGGAAGCAACAAAUUCCUCCCAAAUCUGACAUUAAGAAAGACGAAAAGUGUUUUUCUGUAAAAAAAAAGGACACGUGAAGAAGAAGUGUCUGAAAUUUCAGAAUUGGCUUGAGAAGAAAGGUAACCCUACCUCAUUUGUUUGCUAUGAAUCUAAUAUGGUUAAUGUAAACACCAACACAUGGUGGAUUGAUUCUGGAUCUACAAUCCACAUUUCAAAUUCCUUGCAGGGUAUGCAAAACUAAGGAAGCCAAUGACAAGUGAGCAAUUCAUCUUAUCCGGAAACAAGAUGGGCUCGCAUGUGGAAGCAAUAGGGACAUGUUAUUUAACUUUAUAUGGUGGUUUUAUUUUGGAAUUGCAAAGGACCUUUUAUGUACCAAGUUUCUCACGAAACUUGAUUUCAGUUUCUAGACUUGUACCGUUUGGAUAUUCCUUUCAUUUUUCAGAAACAUCUUUCAGUUUGAUUUAUAAAUCUGAAUGUGUUGGGAAUGUUAUCUUGUCUGAUGGUCUUUAUUGUAUAUUAUUACAAAAUGAUACCGCUCAUAAUUCAUUACAUGUCCAAACUGGCAUUAAGAGAUGUGUUGUAAAAGAGGAUUCCUCUACAUUGUGGCACCAGAGAUUAGGUCAUAUCUCCAUAGAUAGAAUCAAAAGAUUGGUGAAUGAUGGGGUACUUAGUACUCUAGAUUUUACUGACUUUGAGACUUGUGUGGACUGCAUUAAGGGUAAGUAGACCAAUAAGUCAAAAAGAGGUGCUACUAGGAAUUCCAGCAUACUAGAGAUCAUACAUACUGAUAUAUGUAGUCUUGACAUGGACUCUCAUGGUCAGAAAUACUUCAUCUCUUUCAUAGAUGAUUUCUCACGAUACAUGUAUCUCUACAUAUUUCAUAAUAAAAAUGAAGCUUUAGAUGCCUUUAAAGUCUUCAAGGCAGAAGUAGAGAAACAAUAUGGUAAACAAAUUAAGAUUGUGAGAUCAGAUAAAGGUGGAGAAUAUUAUGGUAGAUACUUGGAAGAUGGACAAUCACCUGGGCCAUUUGCGAAGUUUCUUCAAGAGCAUGGGAUUGUUGCCCAAUACACCAUGUCUGGUUCUCCAGACCAAAAUGGUGUAGCAGAAAGAAGAAACCGAACUUUAUUGGACAUGGUGAGGAGUAUGCUUAGCAGCUCAAAACUUCCUAAAUUCUUGUGGACUGAAGCACUUAAUACAGCAGUGUAUAUAUUAAACCGAGUUCCAACCAAGGUUGUCCCAAAGACGCCAUUUGAGUUAUUGAAAUGUUGGAAACCGAGUUUGCGACAUAUGCGCGUUUGGGGAUGCUCGUCUGAAGUGAGAAUUUAUAAUCCACAAGAGAAGAAACUGGACCCAAGGACUAUUAGUGGGUAUUUCAUUGGAUAUGUUGAAAAGUCUAAGGGGUACAGAUUUUACUGUCCAUCUCAUAGUAUUAGGAUUGUGGAAUCAAGAAAUGCUAAAUUUCUUGAAUAUGACUUGGUCAGUGGGAGCGAUCAAUUUAGAAACAUAGUUUCUGAUAUUGAUCAUACAGAGUCUCAACCUUCCACUUCAAGUGAUAGAUUGUUUAUUGUUCAUAACACCCCUCAAGUACAAUCGGGUGUAGAACGAACAAUCACUGAAGUUCAACCAGUUGUUGAAGUUCCACAAGCUGUUGACAACAUUCCAGUAGAUCAAGUUGAUCAGGAGUUUCCUGAUACUUCUGGACAACAAGUUGAACCUCAUACUUCCUUAGAAGAUAUUGGUGCAACCUUAAGAAGGUCUACUCAAACUAAGAGGUCAGCAAUUCCUAAUGAUUAUGUAGUGUAUCUACAGGAAUGUGACUACAAUAUAGGAGCCGAAAAUGAUCCCGAAUCAUUUUCACAAGCCAUGAGUUGCAAAGAAUCAGAAUUGUGGUACAAUGCCAUGAAGGAUGAGAUGAGUUCCAUGAAGUGCAACGAUGUUUGGGACCUUGUUGAGUUGCCUAAUGGUGCAAAAACCAUUGGUUGUUAAUGGGUUUUUAAGACAAAGAAAGACUCAUUAGGCAACAUUGAGAGAUACAAGGCCAGACUUGUUGCAAAGGGGUUCACUCAGAAAGAAGGAAUCGAUUACACGGAAACUUUUUCUCCUGUAUCUAAGAAAGAUUCCUUACACAUUAUAUUGGCAUUAGUAGCCCACUUUGAUUUGGAAUUGCAACAAAUGGAUGUGAAAACAACAUUUCUUAAUGGAGAGCUAGAGGAGGAGGUUUACAUGAAACAACCUGAAGGAUUCCCCUCUAGUGAUGGUGAGCAAUUGGUUUGUAAGCUUAAGAAAUCCAUAUAAGGUUUAAAACAAGCAUCCCGCCAAUGGUAUUUAAAAUUUCAUAACAUAAUUUCUUCAUUUGGUUUUGAAGAAAAUGUUAUGGAUCAAUGCAUAUACCUUAAGGUCAGUGGGAGUAAAGUUUGUUUUCUUGUUUUAUACGUGGAUGACAUCUUACUUGCAACCAAUGAUAAGGGUUUACUUCAUGAGGUGAAACAAUUCCUCUCUAAAAUUUUUGACAUGAAGGAUAUGGGUGAGGCAUCUUAUGUCAUUGGCAUUAAGAUCCAUAGAGACAGAUUUAAAGGUAUCUUAGGUUUGUCUCAAGAAACCUAUAUCAAUAAAGUUUUAAAGAGAUUUCAGAUGAAGAAUUGUUCACCUAGUGUUUCUCCUAUAGUGAAGGGUGAUAGGUUCAAUCUGAACCAAUGCCCGAAAAACGAUCUUGAGAGGGAACAAAUGAAGAACAUUCCAUAUGCUUCUGCAGUCGGAAGUUUGAUGUAUGCUCAAGUCUGCACAAGGCCUGACAUUGCAUUUGCUGUUGGAAUGUUAGGACGAUAUCAGAGUAACCCAGGUAUAGACCACUGGAAAGCUGCAAAGAAAGUGAUGAGAUGUCUUCAAGGAACCAAAUAUUACAAGCUUAUGCACAGACGAACAAGCAAUUUAGAGGUAGUUGGCUACUCAGAUUCAGACUUUGCUGGCUGUGUUGAUUCACGUAAAUCAACAUUUGGAUACAUUUUUAUAUUGGCCGGUGGAGCUAUAUCUUGGAGGAGCGUUAAGCAGACCAUGACUGCUACUUCUACUAUGGAAGCUGAGUUCAUAUCUUGUUUUGAGGCUACUUCACAUGGUGUAUGGCUUAAGAGUUUCAUUUUCGGGCUUAGAGUUAUGGAUUCAAUAUCUAGGCCAUUGAGUAUAUAUUACGACAAUUCAGCUGCAGUCUUUAUGGCAAAGAACAAUAAAAGUGGAAGUCGAAGCAAGCACAUCGACAUUAAGUAUCUAGUCAUAAGAGAACGUGUUAAAGAAAAGAAAGUGGUUAUUGAGCACAUUAGCACUGAAUUGAUGAUCGUUGAUCCUUUGACUAAGGGCAUGCUACCAUUGAAAUUCAAGGAUCAUGUAGUGAACAUGGGACUUAGUUCCCUUAUGUAGUUUCUAUUGUACAAACUCUUAUUAUGAUGUUUUCUCAUAUUGAUGCGCACUUUUUAUUUAAUUUUGAGAAAAUUCAACUUCAUUGGACCAAGAAUGAACAUAGGGUUUAUUCAUUAAGUAAUAUUGCCACAUAAAGUAUAAUGUUAAGAAAUGAGUACACUGUAAUACAUGGAAGGUAACACUCGUUAAAUAGAGAACUUAUCGCCAUGAUUCAUGUAUUUGUUACUUAAUGGGACAAUUGAUGGACUAAAUUAGGACAUUAGGUUAAAGGUGUGGACCAAGUGGGAGAAUGUAAGCUGAAUACACGUUCACACGUUCUCACUUCAUAAUGUGGUCCAACACUUUGACCACGUCCUCCACCAUCUCACUUCCGCUGCGGUUAAGGAGCACGUUCCACCAACUGCUCAACAUGGUGGCAAGAGCAACGUGGUUUGAUGGAAGCCACUGUUACAAAGUUUUCAGAAAAUGGUCCCGAACUCACUCUGCUAUUAUCUUCAGAAACACCAUCUAAAAAAGAGAGAUUAGAGUUUGGAAACCAAAGGUUGAACCGAUUCCAACAGCUUGACUUUUACAGAUUGAAUUCAUGUUGUAAGUGUUCAUUGAAUUGUUUAUAUGCAUUAUGAACUGGUUACAGAACCCUCUCCCAGACUUAACUGGCGCACCUUUUAAGUGCGCCAAGGAAAAGAAAGAGUUGUGGCUCAACCCCAUCAAGGAUUGAUAGGCAUACUCUGUCCACUAAAGAUUAAAUGUGUUAGCACAUCUCUUAUCUCCCUCCAUGAACAAAUGGCGCAUUUAAUUAUACAUACACUGUAAGCAUUGGGCUGCCUAUCCGAUGGUGCAAUUCAAAAGCUGUGGCACGCUUGGUCAACGUAUGAGAAGCAUCCACUUGCAUCCAACAAUCUUGCAUGGGUGGGGCACACCCAACCUAAGUGUUCUCGAAGUUUGGAUGGUGUUGGAGCUGUUCUUUCCAAACUUCCAGCUUCUUCUUGUCUCACGUUCACCUGCAAUGCAAGGUUUACCCGGUGAAGCCCCGGGCAGACACCUCCGAUGGUUAAGUCUGUUGGAGUGUGAUAAGCCAACUUCUUUUUAAUUUUUCUUCUUAGCUGUGUUCUUAUACAUCUCUUCACUUACCGCCGGGACCGGAGAUAAUGGGGGCAUUUUCACCACAUCACUAGCUACCCACUUUGCCACCUUCUCAUGGCAGCAACCUUUUGGGCUAACCGCUCCCACCAUUUUUGGCGUCUAACCCCAAGACCUUUCACAUAACUUACCAUAUUUCUUUCUGGGCCAGAGACUCUGUCUAGUCCUCCAAAUUCAGCUCUUAAUUUUAAAUGCUUGGGCCCAGGCCCAUUGCUCCAAAUCUGUGAGGGGUACCCACAGAUGGCUACCACCAUACAUUCUACUGCAACCUUAUUCAUCAAGAUGUGAACCAAUCAUGAAAACAAGGGAAGCAAUUUAGAAAAAGGAAUGGGGCCUCACAAGAUAUUUGGUGGAGAAUUUGUUCUGCUACCAUCUCUGAAAGGAUCAAAGGUUGACUAAUUUUAGGCUGGCAACCAGUAGUAUUCUAGAAAUAGAGAAGGGAAAUUUGAGGAAAAGUCAUCAUUUUCCUUCUCAAAUUUCCUUGGAGGGGUGUUCUAGAAUAUAGAAUAUAGAAGAUAUUUUUUCUUAUCCCUUGGAGGGGUGUUUUUAGUUUUUCUUCUUGAAAUACUUUGCAGGUACAAAACUGUAUGAGCUUUUUGUUCAUGGAGUUCUAUGGGAUUCUUCGAAAAUGAAUGAAAUUCAAUUUUAAAAGAAGUCUUUUGUUUCUUUGCUUGAGUAAUUUUUUACCUUAAGUUUAAUUUCCCUCGCAUGUUCUAUCCAUGAAGCACUAAUUCACUUUACUGUUGUGGGUUGAAAGGGGUUGUAUCCCUUGCAACUCAAUUUAGUCCUCAAUGGUUUCAAAGGGUAGCGGAUAGGGAGGUGAAGUUCAUGAUUGUAGCAAAUGCAUGCAUGUUGUAGCAUUCUGAGAGCCCUAAGCUAAGCAACUCCAUGAGCAUGCUUGUACCUUAUAUAUUUAGCUUCCACUUCUCUACUAGGUGUUACACCGAAAAACGAAAAUAGGCAAUAAGAAAAUAUGAAUAAUUUAUGUGAAAAAUCCUAAACAAAAAAACUAAGGAUAAAGGAGAAGAAAAUCCACUAUAUUAAAAAGUGGUACAAAAAUAGAAAGAAUCCAACUACUAUUGGGUUAAAGUAUAAUUUUUCUUCACCAUAUAUAUCAUACCACAAAGUUUUCAAGUCAAACCAAAAAACAAUUCAUAUCAUCAAGCUCUAACAUUGAAAAAAGAUGAAAACAAAUCUUUGUAUAAUGGUUAUGGGAGUAACUUUAAAUCUUAAAAUUCUCAUUCAAGCUUUUUCAAAUGAAAUAUAUUAAUAUUAAGUUUCAUUUAAAUAAUUUAUUCUUUCGCUGAUAUAACAAUGAGUUGAAAUUUAGACUUGUUCAAUUUGUUUAUGUCAAACAUUCAAAUCUAAAGUACAUAUAACAAAAUAUCAUGGGAAUUUAUAAUAUAAGCAAUUUUUAUGCAAAGAGCCAAAUUGUAAAGAAUAGAAUAUUAUUUCGAAAGAGAUCCAAAUCAAGUCGUUGUUUUUAAUAAAUUAAAAAAAAAAAUGUUUCAUUUGGGGGAAAAAUGAAAAAAGAGCGACUGAAUCAAAUAAAUUGCUCAACCGGCAAAGCUGAGCUGGUCAACUUGACUUGCUUAUAUUGACGCAAUUGGGGGAAAAAUGUCAGAUUGGGGGGCGGAUUAGGUCAUUUGGGGGGUGCCGGGUGUAGAUGGAAGAAAGAAGUACAUAUGUGAUAAUAACUGGAGGGUUGACGUUGUCUGUGAGAGCAACUGAUGAUGACAACUGCAUGAUAACAUAAAUAAAUAAUUUAACUGAUGAUGAGGUAGAGUGGCUUAAAAUAAAUAAUUAUGAAGAUUUCAUUUUAUUAUUUUAAAUAAAUCAAACUUUCAUUAAUUAUUUUUUUAUCAUAUUAAAUUAAUUUAAAUUAGAUUUAAGAGUUUUUAAUGUAGGUUUAUUAUUUAAAAACGUGAUUUGUGACAAGUUAUUUCCUUUGAAACAUUUAUAAAUAAUUUAAACUAAUUAAAAUAAUAUAUAAAAUGACAUAAUAUACCAAUCAAGAAUAUGAUAUUAAUCAUAAUAUUUAUAAUGGACACAUCAUAUCAAAUAAAUUAUCCAAUUUUUAUUAUAUUAAUAGAUAAAUUGAAGUUUUUAUGGUAAAUUUAGAUAUGUUUGAUAUCAAUAAUAUUAUAAUGUUUAAAAAUUAAUUUAAUUACUAAGUUGUGUUUGGUUUAAAAACCAUUUUUUAGUUUUCAUUUUCCAUUUUCAUUUAUGUUUUUUCUUUUCUUAAAAAUAUCUUGUUUGAUUUUAAGCUUUCGUGAAUAUAAAAACUUGUGAAAAAGUAAGCUUUGUUGUUGGUACUCUUUAAUAUUAAUUGAAUAUGACUAAGUUGCGUUGACAAAGGGUACGAUGGGCAAGUAAUAUGCAAGGGUCAAUGGUCUUUAAUGUCUGGACGCGUGAAUAACAACUUCGCUGAUCGCCUACCAUUCCCAUAGCCUCAUGCCUUAUAUAUUUCCACAAACCUAGCUCAAUUUUCAUAUCCACCUUCACUGUCCUAUACUCACAAGCCAUGGCCAUAGAUACAAGCCUCUUGCCUGAGCUUGCUGCAGCAACUCUUCUCUUCUUCAUCACCCGCUUCUUCAUUCGUUCUCUCUUUCCCAAACCUUCCCGGAAGCUCCCUCCUGGCCCCAGAGGGUGGCCGCUCCUCGGCGCUCUUCCUCUUCUAGGUAACAUGCCUCAUGUUGCACUAGCAAAGAUGGCCAAAAGAUACGGACCUGUCAUGUUCUUGAAAAUGGGCACUAACAGCAUGGUGGUGGCCUCAACUCCGGAGGCAGCUCGGGCUUUCCUUAAAACCCUAGACAUUAAUUUCUCGAACCGCCCGCCUAAUGCCGGUGCAACACACUUGGCCUAUGGUGCCCAAGACAUGGUUUUUGCGGAUUAUGGGCCAAGGUGGAAGCUCCUGAGAAAGCUAAGCAACUUACACAUGCUUGGUGGGAAGGCUCUUGAGGACUCGUCUCAGGUUCGAACUGUUGAGCUAGGUCACAUGCUUCGAGCCAUGCUUGAGUUGAGCCAGCGAGAGGAGCCGGUGGUGGUGCCGGAGAUGUUAUCUUUUUCCAUCGCCAACAUAAUAGGGCAAGUGAUACUAAGCCGCCGGGUGUUUGAAACAAAAGGGUCGGAGUCAAAUGAGUUCAAGGACAUGGUGGUGGAGCUCAUGACCUGUGCUGGGUACUUCAAUAUUGGCGAUUUUAUUCCGUCCAUUGCAUGGAUGGACAUCCAAGGGAUCGAGCGCGGGAUGAAGCAUCUACAUAAGAAGUUCGACAAGUUAUUGACAAGGAUGAUAGAGGAGCACACGGCAUCAGCCCAUGAGCGCAAGGGAAACCCAGAUUUUCUGGACGUAGUCAUGGGCCAUCAAGAAAAUACUACAGGGGAGAAGCUCACCCUUUCCAACAUUAAGGCGCUCCUCCAGGUACUUAUAGUUAGAACUCAUCUCUAAUUUUAUUUAAAAAUAACUUUUGUAAGUUAUGAUUUUUUAUUCCAUAUUUAUCUUUUUGUAAAAUAAAGAUUUUUAUUUUUAAAUAAAUUUAUACUAAAAUGUUUCCUUUUCUUUUUUUUGGAAUCAAUAUUUUUUAUUAUUAGUUCCUUCAUGUUAAGAAAUUAAAAUUCUAAAAAUUAGUUGAUGUUUGGAAGUUAUGUUAAAUUAAAUUCUAUUUUUACUUUAUUUAUGUUAAAAUUAAAUUUCCUUUAAAAUAAAAUCUUUUUAUAUUUAUUUAAUUAAUACAAUAAAAUUAGAAUUUGAAAUAAACUCUAUCUAAUUUAUUUAUAAGUGCUAAUUUUUUUUAAUAAAGAGUUAAUGAAAAAACUGAAAAAUCAAGAUUAUAUUUUUUGAAAUGACAUUGAUAAAUAAAAAUAAAAAUGGUUAUGAAGAAAACUGAUUAAAGAAUUUAAAAUUUUUUCCUUAUUAUUUACUAUUUAAAAUAAUUGAUGGUUAAAAAAUAAUUAUUACAUUUUUAUAAAAUAAAAAAUGACAAUAUUUUUUUUAAUAAUUUUAACACUCAUUAUUAAAUAAAGAUUCAAUCACUUCGUCUAAACAUUAUAUUUUUAUUUNNNNNNNNNNNNNNNNNNNNNNNNNNNNNNNNNNNNNNNNNNNNNNNNNNNNNNNNNNNNNNNNNNNNNNNNNNNNNNNNNNNNNNNNNNNNNNNNNNNNUCUCUUCUUCAUCACCCGCUUCUUCAUUUGUUCUCUC
rnacentral:lncRNA from 1 species